GGUGGAGGCAGUAAAUGCAAAAGGGUCCCAUUUUGAAUGCAGUUGAGGAAGACAUUGCAGUUCCUUGUGGUAUUCAAACACUACAUGUUUCUGAGAAUUAAUAUCUUGAACCAGAUAGCCUUAUUAAUUGGGCGGUUCCUAAUUUUGUUUAAUCUUACUAGUGCAGAAAGGAACCAUAAAACCCUUUAGCCAAUAAUGUGUUUGUCACCUGCCUUUGUAUUAAAUUUGGAGGCUGGUAGGAGAUGGAGAUGAUUAACCUGUGGUCCUUGUGUGAAUUGUUUACAUCUCUGUGUUUGAUUUGGUGUUUCAAAGGUCCAUUUUGAUAUGUGAAUGGCUUUAGAUGAACAUAAAUGAUUUCAUUUCUGAAGGGCAGUAUGAAACUAUGAAUGACCUAGAUAACAAAUCUGAAAUGAUUUCAUGACCGACUUGUUGAUAUAUACCAUCGAUUACGAUUUGUUCAGAAAUGUGCAAACCAGAUUAAGUGAACAUGGGAAGUGCAAAUAGUGACUUGUUGAUAUAAUGAUAUGUAUGUCUUUGAGUAUGAGGGGAGUUCAGGAUCUUAACUUUGAAGCUUGAACAAGCCAAACUGGGGUGACAUUUUGAAUCAUGAAGGUGAGUGCAACAGAUAUAGUAAAAUUUCUACUACUGGAAUGGUCUGGUACAAAUAUGUCCCCAAUCAGGAGCCUCAGAACUCCGGUCUAAUUUUACAGAGCAAACUAUCUGUGUGUGUAAGGAUUUGGCACCCUAAUAUCUUAUCACUUGAUGCUAUCAUACUUACAUGACGAGAGAAAGAACAAAAAAGGUAAGCAUAUUACCACUGAAGGCAGCUGAUGCAGUUGAGAAGAAAAAUAGGGAGAAGGUUAUCAUGCCUGAGAAGGAAUUGGGGGAAGGAAUUGAUUAAAUUCAUCAACUAACCGCUCCAUUGUCUGCAGCUGAUCAUACGGUGCAAUCUGCACCAUAAUACAGAAAUUCAAACUGACCAUCAAUUUCUGCCUAGACAACAUCACAUUAGGCCAAGUAGGCGAUUCAGCAAAUGGAUAUAUUGGUAGGUCAUGCAUGACUCCUUUUAUCUUAUUCGAGUAGGAGAUUGUUCAUACUUGGUCAAAGAAAAGAAACAAUAGAUAAAUACAGCAGCCAUUUGAAUUCUUUGUAGCUGCACUGGUCCAAAUAUGCAUGUGCUAAAAUCACCAGUCAUAAUCAGCCAAUUCAAAUAAUCUACUAUGACAACUAAAAUGAACAAAAAGAAGUCCUAGUCCAAAAUCAGCCAAUUCAAGUAUUCAAAAGAUCCUCUUUCAAACUUGACUGGUAUAUGCAAAUAUGAUGGAAGUUCACAAGCAUUACUGGUAUGGAUUCAGCGUGCUUUACACUAUAGUCAAAAGGAGUUAAAUUUUCAUGAUUCUCAUCAAGUUGACACAAUACCGUUGCCUUGUCACUCUGUCUAGUACCCCAGCAAUAAAAUGACCCCUGAUGCCAUUUUCUUUUAGUAAUUCUUAUAUGAAUUGAAUCAAACAAAACAUGUUUUACCUGACUAAAUCCGUCUGGCCAUGUUAUUGACACGGCAUAGUUUCCCAUAGGCCGAAUUUCUUCAGGUUCAAUAUCUUCUGGAACAUCAUUAUACUGCAAUUUUUGCUCCCCUGUCCACUCAUCCUGAUUUUGAAUAAAAUUAGCCACUCAAAAGUUAAAGGAUUACAUAUGUAGAUAAGUAGAUCGAUCAAUGGGAACUUAAGACAAAAAAAAAACCAAAUUUCUACAGCAAUGGGGGAUAUAGUUUCUUUCUAGAAAGUAAUAUUUUGUUUGCUCUGAACCUUUAUUAUUAAACAGGUCCAGUGUGAAAUUUUGCCACCUCUACCAUAUUUCUCCAUCAACUAGUAUGUCUUCAAAGUCUUCUUUGACAUGGACAAUAAUUUCCAAUAGAUUAAUAUUUAAAGAAGUAAUUUAAAAUAAAGGCUUAGCGAAACAUGUCAAAAUUCAACAGCUGGAUUCUUAUGUUUCUCUGCUUUAAAAUAAGUUAUGCAGUGGCGUAGUGCUGAUGGAAAAUGACAGUACUUACAGAAGCAAUAUUCUUGAAGGAUCAGUAUCAUAAAUCUAAAAUAUAUGCAUGUCAUCUUGCAGCAAUAUUGUGCUACUCUUUAAAAAAAAAAAAAAAAAAACUACUAUACUUGGUGCUUUAAAAUAAAUCUAGUCAUACCACACUUUGGGCAGAGCGGUCAUUCCGUCUCACAGUUGCAGGAUGGAGAAGAAACUCAUCAUCUGAAUCUGGUACCUUCACUCUUAUUGCCUUGAUAGAUUUAUCGUAGGUCACUGCUGUUGAGACUACAAUAGAAAAACAUAAUAUUUCAUCAGAAAGAGUCCAUUUCAGUAAAAGAAAAGGGAAUUCAGCCUGCAAGGCUUUUGAGUUUGGGAAAAACACAAUAUUUCAUCAGAAAGAGUCCAUUUCAGUAAAAGAAAAGGGAAUUCAGCCUGCAAGGCUUUUGAGUUUGGGAAAAACACAAUUAUAAAGCUACAAAUUUUUUUCAAAGCUUUGGAGAUACUAGUACCUUCUAUACAUAGUUAGUUAGUUACUCUCUUACUUGAUUUACCAGAAAACUUUGUUAACCUGAAUAGGUACUGCAGGUCUAAGAUAGCAUACCUUGUUGGCGAAUCUUGGCACACUGUUGCACAACACAUAUUCCGAGUUCCUGAAAUGUCUUAGAAACUUCACCUAGAGGAUCAGCUACCACUUCGGGUACUCCACUAUCUCCAGAAGCAGAUAGCUGCCAGAUUAAACAAUCAAAAUUUUACAGUUUCUGCCUGUAGCAAAUAUGCGGUUUAACAUUUUACAACUUGAUAUGAUAAUAGAAACAAAUCACACAAAACUUGAACUGUAUAACAUAUGUUUGGCCUUGCUGUCAACCUAGCUAGUCUCAAUCAUACAUUAGAGCAAAUUCAAAUAAUAAGUGAACAGAAAACAUAUGGACUUACGGUUGGUCGAAUGGGAAGAUCAAACAGAUUUGGGAUACCAAACUGCUUUACAACCUGCAAACAUAUAUGAAUCAUACUAUAUCAAAUACAUGGUAAUGCAUGAACUGAAAUACUUAGAUUAAUUAAUAUAUUCUAUGAAGCAAGGAAGUAAGUUAUAUAUGUACAUACCUCUGAGCCUGAGCCUUUACCAAAUGGGUAGUGGCGCUUCCCAUCGGCAUCAAAAUGGCUCAUAUUCUCAACUACAGCAACACAUGGCACCUAAAUAGAUGAAAAUGACAACAGGAAUGUGUUAGAUGAGAUACCUUAAAUAAACUAACCAUAAACAAGACUGAUAAACUUUCCAUUACUGGUAAGAAAUAAUCACAAGUUCGUCAGUUUUGAACAAUGUUACUGAUCUAUUACAUGCCAUUGACUGGUUAGUUUAUAAUGGAACAUUGGAAUGGAUGAUUGUGUGGUGAAUAUACAUUUACCUUCAACUUUGAAAACAUGCGAACUCCUUUUGCCACAUCAAUAAACGCUAGCUUUUGAGGGGUGGUAACAAUAACAGCAGCGGUCAAUGGAACUACCUGAAAAUCCAGAAUUUUGUCCAACUCAAAACGUUGGAAUAUUGAAUAGAAAAAUAUUUGGGUAAAAUAUCCACAUAUAACAUACUCGAUAUAAAAUAAUAGUUAAUCACACAAAUACAAAGGAGAAUGCAUAACUUGAUCGAUGGAAUUCUUAUAAUCUGGACCCCCCUAAAAAACAGUGAAUAUGGAAAGAAAGCAGGACCUGGCACAAUGUAAGCUGAAUAUCACCAGUUCCAGGAGGCAUGUCAACAACAAGGUAAUCCAGUUCUCCCCUACAUAAUGAAACAAACACAAUUAGACAGUUGAACAUCACCAGUACCAUCUUUUAGCACUGAAUUCUGUAAGGACCCCUGAACUUAAAUUUUUUAAGUUCAAUUACUGUGAUUCAUCAGAAGAAAUUGAUUGAGAUGGAAGCUUCAUUUACAUAAGCUCUACAAAAUUUCAUUGGCGAUAACUGACAUUAGACCAACUGUAAGAUAUGAUUUGUUCAAUCAGUUAUAGUUGACAGUAUUUCAGUGUUCAAUGAAUCUGACUGACUAACUUCAUUUUCUUAAAGUUUCUGGUCAAGUAAAUAAAAACGAAGUUUUAUAGUAAUGGUAUUAUCAAAUGCAUUGAAUUGCAUAAGGAGCCAUCCUACAAAUGUCCAAAAUAUCUGGUACAGUACUUAGCUCAUGGAAUGUCGAUAAUGAUAAACAGAAUUUGCAUAACUUAUUUUCAGAAGCAUGCCAUACCACUCUGUUGUUGUUAGAAGCUGGUCAAUGACCCCAGAGACCAUUGGGCCUCUCAUUAUUGCACGACCUUGUCCGGCAAAUCCAAAAGACACCAAUUUCACUCCCAAGUAUUCAGUAGGAAUAAUGGUUCUUUUCUCUAGGUUCUAAAGGAAACUUUCACAGUGUCAGAAUUCAGAACUGCUGAGCUUGACAAAUUGCAAGAAAAUUCUAUCAAGAGUUAUUACAUUACCAUUUCUAGUAGUCGGUUUUCAGGGGAGACCAUCGUUGGUAGACUAGGACCAUAGACAUCAGCAUCAAAUAUACCAACUCUAGCACCCAUACCAGCCAAAGUAUAUGCUAAGUUUACUGCAACAGUAGAUUUUCCCACGCCUCCCUGCACAUAUAUUACAAUAAAACAGGAAUUCAAAUAAAAAGAUAUGUCACCAUCAUAAGUUUAAAAACAACAAUCAAACCCGACCAUAGUGAACUGAAACCAUGAAGAUCAGCAUGUACCUCAAAAGAUAAAUACCAGCUAAGAAAGCACCAAAUAAUAUUGGAAAGUCUACCUUGCAACUAGAAACUGCCACAAUAUUUGAAAUUGUCUGUAACCCUGCUGGAAGUUGCCCGGCAUAAAGGGGUUUUGCAGGUUGUGCUGACAUUGUCACUUUGACAUUCUUGACCCAUGGAAGCUCGUUCACCACCUCAUUUGCCUUUUGCUCAAACUGAAAUGCAACUUAAGCUUAAUAUGGCUGCUAUUUCUUUUUACGAAAAGAAAAUUGGUUGCUAUUUUUAAAUUUUUAUGGACUCUAAGCCCUCAGUAGUCCAUUCAAUGCUACAAGUAGAAGCAUAAUAAACUCAUGAAGGUAAUGGUUACAAUUGCAUCUUUUCAUUCACAUAUACAUCAAUCAGCGAUCAGUAAGCAUAUAUUCAGUUCACUUAUAAAGUUAUAAUUCAAAAGUCUACCAUAUCAUGUACUAGCGAAUUCUAGAUAAAAUAAUGGUGAUUGUAUCAAUUACCAUGUCCUUUACUGGACAUGCUGGUGUAGUGAGCUCUAACCGAAAUGAAACCUGAGAUGAAAAAUCAAUAUAUUCUGGUAAGGACUACAUUCGUUAUAUGUCUGUCACUGAAAAUCUACACAUACACGAUCUAAACGACCUCUCCCAAUGCCUCAUCGAUUUGCAGGUCUUUCACAAAUCCACACGAGACAAUGUCUGUCCCGAAAUCUGGAUCAAUGAUUUGAGACAAUGCCUUCAGUACAUCACUCUCAGCUACCCCAUUUGAUACUGCGGCAGUGCCAGCUACAUUUAACCAAAAGAAUAGAAUAAAAUUACUAGAAAACAAAAUCCUCAGAUGCACCUAGUGUAACAAAAUCGUUAAAGAAUAUAUAAGACACCCAUUAUCCAACUCAAUUUCUAAUAUUGUUCAGUAAUUGAAGGCUUCCCCCUAUCUGAUUUGAUACAAAAUGUCCAAUGCUGCCCAAGUUCCAAUCUUGAAUGCUUACAAUAUAAAUUAUGCUUCUUUGGUAAAAGUCCAUUAUUAAAUUUCAUGGCUUUGGCUAUAUGGGAUUCUGAAAAAUUCCAGUUCAUAAAAAAUAUCAAAAUCCCUCCAACACAGGCAAAUGGGUUCUUUCCUAAGCAAAUCAAAGUCUCUUGUUAAAGUGAAAUAUGCAAUUUUGGAAACUGGGUUUAAUCCAGAAGUUGCUCAAACAAUGUAGAGAAAGCUUUACCUUCCAAAGAAGAAGCUUUAGUCGUUAAGGAGCCCAACACAGAGCCUCUACGUGAUACCCAUCUAGACCUUUCAACUCUUUCUUGCUGAAGAGAACAAAAUAUAGAAGAUGAUGAUGAUACAACAGGUUUCUCAUAUAAAGCUAGUCCUACAAGUACAACAAAGCAGAGGACAAAACAGAGUCAGUGGGAGUUGAAAUGAAACAGUUGCAGAAGUAACACAUUAGAUAUAGAGAUAAGCAUCGAUCACCUGCUGCUUCUGCAUGUGUUUUAAGGGUUUGAAAUGAGAGAUAUGGUGAGGAAGGAAGGUGAAGAAGUUGCAUAUUAUUUUUGAGAGGGAAAAGAUGGUGUGAGAAAAUGGGAGGUGACAAUGAAGCAGGAAGUGAUCAGUGGCUUCUGUCAAGUUUGAACCUCAUGUUACUAGUUUUGCUGCGUCAUGCCUAUCUCAUUCAGAUUUCAGAAUCCGAACCCUUUAGCCUUUUUCGACGCGUCAUCUAAUUGACCGUCGUUUAUUCAUGAACAUUGUUCUAGCAUCAGGAUGAAAGUCGUAACUACCCCCAGAUAACAUAAUAUUUACGGAUACGUAUCCGACGUACAAAACCGUUUUCCGGCCAUACCAGCACUACCAUGUUCCUUUUAGGUUCAGAAUCUGUUCUCAGAAACGCCAAAAACGCGUCGGAAAAGGGUUAAAUGAAAUUAUAUUGUUUCUUUGGCUGUUUCAAUUAUAUUGAGUACUGAAUUCGAUUCAGGGUUUUUUGUAUUAGCUGAGAAGGCAUGCAUGUUAUUCUGGUUGCAUAGUGAAAAAGAUGAUAGUCUUGGGUUGAGCUUGUGUUUCCAUGUCCUGUGAUGAGACAUGGUCUUUUGAUGUCUGUUUUAUAUGUUGCUUUGAACACCAAAGGGUAGCCAGGAUAGUCCAUGGGCUACUGCAAUACUCGCUAUCGAACUGAUCUAUCCAGGAUGUCAACCUCUUAUACCAACUUGCUGUUGUAGUGAUUUUCUAUAUUGCGAUUUGGACACUGCCGUAUGUUCCACUGUUAGGCACCAAGUCAGUACCUAUCUCACUGAAAAGUUGAGCAACCCCUUCAUCACACCCAAGUGCGUUAUACAGCACGCCUACUGACCUUAGCAGUUUAACAGCAUCUACAUUAUUAAUCAGUGAAUCGACUGUGAAUAUCAACUCUUCCUCUAUGUUACUUUUGCUCAUCAACAGCUUGAGGACUUGGUAAGGGAGUUGGUUUUCUAGUAAGAAAAAUUCCUGUUCUGCAAAAGCCACCUGAUCCCUCUUGAAGUUAAAUUGUGCCAGGGUAUGUGAACUGUAAGGUUGAACACCCAUCUAAGAAGGGGCCUCGUUGGUGUAGGACCUUGUUGCUUCCUCAUCAUAGCGGUCCUUUAGUGUGUCAAUGUUGUCCUCAAUGAUCUUGUGCAAGUCUUUAGCUUGACGGCCACUGGCUUUGAUAUAUUUUGCUGCCAGUGCAAGCUUGAACUUCUCUCCCAUAUGACAACUUGGUUUAUUAUGAUGGAAAGGACCAAUUGCUACCAUCCUUGGCUCAUAGUAUUUCUCGAAAUAUUGGUGAUUUCGGAGCAUUUCGGGAACCCUUUGGAUCUUUGGUAGCCUCACUUCUGCUUCCCUCUGUUUCUGAACACCUCGUUCUGAGAUAACUCGUCAGGGAUUGUGAUGCUCCAUUCUGGAGCUUCAUUCAUGGAAGCCAUGUAUUCGGUCUGUGACAUUUUCAAUGUGCCUGUCUAACCAUGGCAACUCUUGCUUUUUCAGUAUACUGCUUCUAGUGUUUACAAGCCACAGAAACUUGUGGUCUAAGUAAGGGUUGGAAUAUGUACGUUGCUUAGGAUCUGCAUAUGUAGACAGUCUUUAUUCCCCAUUUCCCCUUAUCCAGAAACCAGCAAUCCCAGCAUCCUUGGUACGAACUCGAUCUUCACUCUACCUGAUGAUUCGAUUCAUUUCAAACCCCACAAAUCAACUAUGUAAAAUAAAAGGUUGAAGAAAUGACAACUAAGAAUUAUGAAUCUAUAAGAAGGCAAAUGACAAACUGCAAUUAUGAAAAUUUCAUGAUAAAUAUCAGGUACUCUUCUUUGAAUUUAUGCAGGUUAUGAUAACAUGAAUAUGAAAAUAUCUCCAAUGAUUAAACUCUACAGCUUGAAUAACUAGGAUAACACCGGGAAUGACAAAUGCGUCCUAUGGCCAGAAACCUUGCCUCCAAAGGCCUUCUUCCCGGGACAAAUCAGUCUUCUCAAUCAGUGAUUAUAGCCGGACGAAUCUUGUCCGGGAUAUAAUUAUAUCACUUGUGACGGUGACUAAGAAAAAAUGCCUGUACAAAGACGGCAAAAUUAAUCAGAGGUCAUUUAUCGAAUCUCAGGAGAAAUGUAAAUGCAAUGGGAGGCAUAUACUAAGUCAUAUCAGCAUGCCUCCCCAUUAUUAAUGCCAGAGCUUACUACAGAAUCCGUUCCGUUGCCUCUUGCGGGAUAUGAUGUCCGAAAAGGAGUCAACUAACUGUCCUGCCAAGCUACUUGGAUCAUCAAUCAUAGUUUGAAUAAAGGUGUUCACCACCCUACGCUCUUGCUCAGUUGAUCUCAAACUGAACCAUGUUAGCAACUUCAACCUGAAUUCCUCUGUAAGGUGACCCUCGCAUUCCAGCCACCUGAUAAUUUUCACACAGUACUCAAAGUUCUCAUCCAAGCAACAAGAACCAUUUUGCAAUGGUGGCCCAUUUAUCAGUGUGCUGUCACAAUCAUGGGUCUCUUCAUUUGUGUUUCCUUUCCUCUUCCUGCCAUUUUCUGCCCGGGAAUCAACAGCAGGGACAUCUCCAGUAAUCCCAUGAGUCCAGGUCUGUGAAUCACCACUACCAUGUGAUCUUGCCAGGCCAUUUUUCACCAUCUCAUGAGAGGCAGCAUCAUCAUCUGCCUCCACGGUCUGCUGCAGAGUGCAUCCAUUAUCUUCAUCUCUGGAUGACUCAAAGGGCGGGGUUAGCUCUUCAUUCAGAUCGGGCAUUGAAAGAACAUUCAAGUCAAGCCCACGUGAAACAGAAGGUAACUCUUCUUGUAAAGUUUCAGUUUUUAUCGGGUUGCUUGGUCCACAACAUUUUUCUUUGUUGGCACUACAAAAGCCCUCUAAGGAGCCUUUCUGUUGAGCCUGAGCCUGAGCCAGACGAAGUAUCUUUCCAAGAUCACGAACUUUAAAUUCAGAAGAGGGCACAACUGCUGUUGUAGUUUCAGGCUCCCUCAUGGAACUAGAAUUUGCCUCAAUGACGGGAUUCUCUUUCUUAUGAUUCCUGCAGACCGGUGAAUCCAGGUUUUUAUGAAUUAACUCAACACUCUUGGUGAAACACUUUGCCUCAGAGUGACCCAAGUCACCAGUCUCAGUAUAGGAUAUUAUCCUAAAAGUAUACUCUGUGCAAGGCUGCAGAUUGGAGAUCAAAAUUCGUCUCUGAGAUCUUGAAAAGGUACAAGUAGGCUCUUUUGUGGGCAAUUCUUCUCUGCUCUUGUAGUACCAGAGCUUGUAGCCCUUGAUGUCAUCAGCUGAUGCAUUAGACAGUUCGAUCAAUAUGAUCACAACAGAUGAAGGUGUUACUUCCUCAAAGAGAAACUUGCAGGCAGCUGGUAGUGAACCCUCUGCAAUGGAACGAAAAGAAACAGAAGCAACAUUCAGGUUCUUAUGCAUGAUGAUGAUCAAAGAGAAGUAAAAAGGAGAACAGGUUUCCUACCUCUGUUUGGAUCUGCACUAGAAACAUUAGCCAACCAUUCAUCAGCUUUCUCAAUUGCAAGAGAACAGAGUUUCAGUACAGCACCAGCGAUAGAUAGCCUGCUGACUAUCCCACGUACCAUUGUUCCAGACUCUCCAUUAAUUGGACCCACUUCUUUCUCAAGUUUAGUCUUGGCUUCCUUCACAAUAUCAUGAAGUUCUUUAAACCUUGAAGUCCCAUCCAGAAGCUUAUAACUCAAGCAUAUCCUGUCCCAAAGUACAUCAACACGACGAGCAUCCUUUGCUACAAGUAGCUGCUUCUUCCAAAUUCUGUCAGUAUUGAUAGAAUCACAUCAGUUAAUCAGCAAACUAUUAGCAAAACACAGAUUUACAUGCUAUAGCUGCUUGCUUUCUCUUGUUAUCUUUGUUAUGAUGGUAACUAUGUUUGCAAAAGAUAUCUCUUUAAAGAGGGGAAAUAAAUGUUCUUUUAUUAAAUAAAUAUAAAAUGGUUCCAAAUUGACAAGACAUUAUCAGAUUAGUACACUACAAACAUGCGCAAAGUGUAACUUGAAAAAAAAAUAGUAAUUCGAAAUGAAAAAAGAAAACAUGAUUUUUCAAAUUGGAAGUGAUUUAUGAGAUGCCUGACAAUAGCACAACUCUGUGCUUCAACUAACUAGUCAAAAUCAUAGCUUGUCAAAGUAAGGAUUCCUGCUUCAAUCUACAUUAACAUAUGCAAGAGAAUUACUUACCCAAGUAUCCCAGAAACUUUACCACAUGAAGCACAACAAUAACUACCAUCUAGCUGCAUCAAUUGCCCAAGAUCAACAACUCCCACCUUUUCACGUCGAAGUGCGCAGUCAAUGUGACAAGAUAACCCACAUGAGUCUCCCUCACCAGAUUCAGAUGUACAUACUAACCAAAGACUAGGGUCCUUGUUGUCAUCAAACAAAUGACAAAUACAGCAGGAGCAUCUCUUGCAGAAUGUGUUGUCUAUGGAUAUAACAGCUCUACAAGCAGAGUUUUUACAGAUCCAUGAGUUCGAAUAUCCAAAAUCUGGAGACUGCUCAGAAGCCGGUGAGAGUCUGAUGGGAUUAUCCCCCUUUCUGGAUUGCUUUUUAGAAACAUGAUUGUUUGGACUAGAAGAGGCUUUUUUUGACUCCUGCUUCUUAUUUGUCUUGUUAGUGGUCUUCAAAAGAUCGGCCAUCUUGUUUCUUGAGGAAGUCAAGCUUUUCUUGUCCUUGUCAAAGCAUGUCUGAAGAAGUUCCUUCUUGGGACCAGAUUUCAGAAACUGUUGAAGGAGCUCUGAACUUCUUGAAGCAUCAUCUGAAUGCCCAUUCUUCUCAGGAGUGCUUUGCACACUGAAAGAGAGGCUUUGAACUCCAGAAACUGAAAGAGGAAAAGAAAGUUACGAAGUGAAGGAACAGAUAUUAAAAGCACCAUAAUAAUAGAAGUCUACAACUCAGUAAUUAGAAAGGCAGAAGAAAGAAAAAUGAACAAUCCUUGUAGGAAACUCAAAUAAGUUUUAUAAUAAGAGAGACGAAAGGGGCAAUUCGAUUCAAUGGUGCGGCACAACCCAAUCAAAUUCUGCUUCAUCCUUCUUUCUACUUUCAAUGCCUACAAUAUUUAUUUGCAGAUAAACUAAAUCCUUUUUGUCUGAACAUUCCAAUGGUCUAAAGUGCAUGCUUAUAUGUCUAUUUCCAACAAGAUCUAUCAUCAUACAUCUAAUGGCUUGUCACAUUCCUUACUUACCUUCCUAAUCAGUUUACUCAAUAACCUAUCAGCAGCACUUCCAUGAUUUCUUCUACAAUAAUACAAGUCAAAGAUCAUCUACACCUUGUCUGAACAUCAAUUCCCACUUCACAGCAGUAGAGCUCUAUAUGCUUCUAUCUGAAAAUUCCAACCUGAACAUGCUUCUAUCUGAAAGGAUGGUGAUGAAAAUUUUCAUCUAAAUAGAAAGGCAAUUCAAGAUUUACAGAUGCAAUCCUACAUGAGUUCAAAACCAUAAAACUUUUGCAUCUGACUAGAUAAACGAAACAAAAGAAGAGUCCAAGUGUAUGGCCACACAAGGAUACUUGACACAGUGACAGUUUUAACAACAACAGAACACAUCAUUCGACUACCUCGGAAUAAGUACCAAUUACUCCAGAAAAAAGAGUUAACCUUCUUCUCCUUUCUACUGAUGACAUCUCAGUUAUCUGUAUUAUCUCACAUGACACCGAACAUCCAGUAACAAACGCAUCGCAGGAGCAAAACAACCUCAUACCAAAAUUUCUAAGAUAAAAAAAAAGAUCAAACCUUUAGCUAGAACUUAUCUUCCGAAUCCAUACAAUGCAAUCCUGACACAAUCAAAAUCACAUUCAUAACAAUCCAUCGAAUCACACUACUACUUCAGUCGGCAUAAUGUACUUCAUAACCUCAGCUAAAUAAGCCAAAAUCAGCUCAAAUCACACCAAAUCUUUCGAUUUUCUGAUACAACAGUAAGCUCAAGCCCUUUCUAACAUGCAGCUAACAAAACUAAGCCUAUUCACAGACACCGAAAAUCUCCGAAACAAAAUACACAAAAUUCACUACACCAAGCCGACCGCAUUGUUAAACAAUCCACCGGCGAGCGAAUCAUAACCUUUUUCAGGCUAUUCAGACGGCGAUGAUUUCCGAUAUGAAUUUCACAGCAAACAAAAUUGCGGAGAAGGAAAAAGCAGCGGAGGCUAAAAGCGCUUCGGCAGAAAGCAAAAGCGGAAAAACGGAUCUGCGUUGAACAAGACUUUGAAACAAAAACAAAAACAAAAAAAAAAAAAAAUUUAACGAUAAAGAUAAGGAGGAAGACGACGAGGAAAAGAGAUCAGAGGCGGAGACGUACUGUACCUGCUGAAACAAUGAGGACGAAGAGAGCAGAGCAGAGCGCCUUAGGGUUUUGGUUUCGCGCGCCGAAGAAGACGAAGGCCUCUCAGCUCAGAAUCUGAGAGAGAGAAGAGCGAAGAGAGAAGUCUCGCUCUUUUUGUUAGUUGGUUUUGUGUGAGAGAGAGAGGAGAGAGAAGUUUGUACGAGUCGUUCACGUUUUUGGGGAAGAGCGCUGAGAGGGGAGGCUGGCGCGCGGGUGUGGCGCGUGGGGUGCGCGCGUCCAGUUGGGAAAAAGCAGUUUGGGGGGGGGCUCUGCCGCGCAGGAAAAAGUACAAGGUCGACCUGCCCCGCGAUGUGAUUGGCCUGUGGCGUGCAUACGCGAUUUGGCGGUGCGUGUAACAGACUUAUCCAUGUUUAUUAUUAUUUUUUAUAUUUAUUUUUUUCUGUCGACAUGAUAGGUACCGUAACGUGCAAUACAAUAAUGCUUUAAUUUCGUAUUACCCGCCGUGUGUAUAAAAAUUUAUCCAGUGUUUCGUAACGAUGUUAACUUUGAAUUUGUAAUAUUUUGAUUGAUAUCUAAAGCGCAAACAAGUCUGAAUCAUGAGACAUGUAGUAGUGAUUGGGGUUAAUGUAUUAAUCUCUAUGUUGUGUACAUUUUUCUAAUUGGUUCUAUGAGAUAAAGUUUUCUUUUAUUUUCACUCAUUCAGUGGUUGUCACUAAAUUAGGGUGAUAAGAUGUAUGAACUAGCAAAUGGUAAUGUCACGUAAUCAGUAGUGUUCACUUGAUCAGUAAUUGAUUAAAUAAAAUUUGAUUUAUUUAAUAAAAACUUAUAUCGAAAGGUUAAUAAAAUUUGAUUUAUCUCUGUUAUUUGAUUAACUUCUAAAAAUGGUUGGUUGAACCGUUGAACAUGAAUUUCUUAGGCAUCUAGUGAUAAUCAGAAAUCAUAGAAUAAUUACCCAAAUAAAUGUAUCGGAGUCAAAUUACUAGAUCCUAAGAAAUUGAACCAUUGGAUCCAAUUUACGUACGGUCGACACGUUCAGGGCCGUUGACGGGGAAUCUUUAUUCGUAGUGCUAAAUUGACCGAAGACUUUAUUGAGAAUGAAAGGCCUAAUUAAUCGAGACUAAUUCAGAGUGAUUAACACGUGUCCGAAUAAUCUUAGAGUUGGAGAAAAAAGAAAGAGUACACGUCAACACAUGGUCUUGGUACUUUUUAUGACUAGCUUCAGAGACUUUAUGAUCUUUUGUGCUUUUUACAAGUGUACAAACAAAUUGCGGCAAUUGCCCAUUGGUUGCUGAGUGAUGGGGGGUGGUGGUGAGGUGACAAGUCUGGGUGUGUAUGGAGGUGAAGGUCUGUUAAGGUUGAUUGUGACAAAAAUGGCGAAGGAGAAAUGUAACGAGGUUCCAUAUCUCUCUUCUUCUGUCCAUGGUAUGUACCCUCCUUUACUAGGGAUGAAAAUUUGAGCGUCACGUCGUGUAGACGGAGACUUUUCGGGGUUAUGGUAAGGAAGUCGGAAGAGGAAAACGAAGUGAUGGAGAUGAUGAAGAUGGGUACCUAAUUUCCUUAGAAGGAAAUUGUCAACAUAUGAAAGCGUCUAUCACAACAAUAAAAAGGUAAGUUGAAACGAUGAGUUGCUAAAGAUACUUAUGACUAGAGCAUCAAAGAUUACCUAGUGACCAUAGUGGCGGAGCCAUGAUUUGAAGCCUGGAGAGGGUUCAAAUAUAUAUACCAGAACGUACGUUAAAUUUUGUGUUUUUUUUUUCUUGUAUAAGAUGAUCAAAUGAAGCAAACUUUUGUAAAAAAUCUUAAAAUGAAACAAAAUUUUGUUAUAUACAUCUCUUAACUCGUAAAAAAAUAUAUAUAUAUACAAGGGAAGAAAGUAGCAAUUUAUUCAUUUAUUACUUCACAAAUUUUGUUUUGGUAAAUUUUGUUAGUAGUAAUUUAAUUUCUUAUUAACGUUCUUACCUAUUUCGAUUGUCAAGACAUAAAGACCAAUCAAUCUACAGAUACAUUUCGUAAUAUAAUUGAUUUGUCAUUUAAAUUGAUUUAUUAUGAGAAAUUCUUGGGAGGUUUAAUGAUAAAAUUUAACUAAUUUUUAAUAAUAAUUAACUAAAUUACACACUAAACUUCAAACUUUCUAAAUUCUAAGAGGGGUUCAGACCCCUUCGGGCCUAAUAAUAGCUCCGCCCCUGAAUGACCAGGAAAACACUAUUGUAUUUGAAAUUGAAGUCUCGAUUGGGUGCUAUCCGAUCGAAGAAAAAGUCAUGAUUAGGUCACAGUCUCCAUUGCCAACCUCUUACAACGACACAAAACUGAUUGCAUUGCAUAUGCUAGAGUCUGAGACUGAGUGCCUGACAAAUGAAUGGCCAAGAAAGAAAGAUAAGGUCCCCAACACCAUGCCACCAUUCAUUCAUGGAUACAAGCAUCUAAAAUCCCCAAAAAACAAAAGGUAGCUACUCAUGGACCAUGACCGAGGGACAUUAUUUGAAGCAGGGACGACUGAAUCGUAUUGAUUUAGGCCAGAGAGACCCAGGGUGGGGCAAAAGUAAUAACUUGGCAUUUGGAAACCCCCAAAAUUAACCCUUGAGGAAAAGACUAGUAUAUUGGGAGCUUCUGCAACAAUGGCCGCAGGUGGUUGACAACAUAUCAAAACAGUGAAAGUAGUAACAACUAACAUGGAGUCAUGGAGUUAGGCAAGGACAACAGCCUAAAGUCAAGAAGUGUGAAUAAUGCAUCGUGCAUGUAAUCAUGUCAAAAGCAGAAGCUAAUUGAUGCAACCACCCUCCUCACCAAACCGUUAUAAAAGAGACCCCAAACUCUCUGGGCAGUGAUAGCUUUGCAGUUGGCUAAUCACUUUCAGAGUACAUCUUCAGGAUAACAUGCUAACCGGUAACUGUACUGAGUGUGAAGAUCACAGUAUCUGAAUUAAUUAUCCUGAUGGCCACAGAGUAUCCGAUAACAACCAGAUAAAAUUGUAAACAGCAAGGAACAGAUACGGCGAAUUUGAGCAUGAACAAGCUCUAAUAAGAUUGAUAAUGCAUAAACUUGAUAUUUCAAAUGGUUUCAUUGUGAACAGCUAGUUAUUGUGAACAGCUAGUUACGGUCAUACAUUUGUUAAUCACCAGAGUAACAACACUAAAGAGUGGUGAAAAAUUUAUACAUAUAAGAUACAAGGACAGAAGAAGGAUGCCGAUUCUGAAAUCCUCAACCUUGAAGUAGCAUUAGUAUCCGGAUUGACAACCGGACAUCUUGCAUAAUCUAAUUGAUGGAGACUGGAGCAAAGUAGAACCUGCAAAGUGGGAAUAACCAAAACAAAGUAAAAGUCAAUUUUAUUGAUAAAUUCGAAACACAUGGUUAAUAAUCAUACAAAGUUCAGAAUCUACUUUAAAGAUGUGAUCCAAUAUAUGGGGGUGAACUGCUUGAUGAAUAAAAGCCAGGAAUCAAAAGGAUUUUGUCAAAGUCUCAACAAUUAAAGAAGAUAGCUUUAAGGCAAAGCAAAGCAAAUAAAACUUGAUUCCAUAAUACAUCAUAUCUGUCCCACUAGAUGUUCUCCAGCAAGUAGAAUUUAGUUACGGUAACCUUCCUCUAUCAGCUCAGUUACAACUUACAGGUUAUAUUACAAAACUACUCUAAUAAAGGUUCCUAGUUGACAAGGAAACAUAAAGCAAUCAGUUUAUGUUCAGUGUUCACUAGUCAUAUGAAUCUGACUUCCAUGUCUACUAAUAACACUAGAAAGCUUGCCUAUAACAAUAUGUGCAACAUGCAAAGCCUCAGUUAGCAAUCAGCUCCAACCAACCAGAAUCUUUCUCAGGAGUUAUGAAUAUAUACUAACAACACCCUUCAAAGUUCAAACCGUUGUAACAAUGACUGAUCAAAAAUAAACUGUCACUUCCAUAUCACCGACCUGAAUCUUCAUGUUUGCACAAAAAACUGAAAUAUCUUGUUAGGCUAGUUUUUCAAUUUUAAAAAGUUGAUUUUCCUUAGUAAGUACGCAGAAAUCUAUGUUUUGCUGCCAUUGGCCAUGACAUUGGACCCAUCCUUAUCCAGGGAGUCGACAUACACCUAGCUGAUUACACUAACAAUUUCCAAUCAAUCACUGAUUCAGCGACAGCAACUCCAUACCCAAUUAUUCCAACAGAUAACUUUGCACUAAACUAAGGACUACACACUUUAAUCACAAAACUUUUCAUUGCCACAUACAACUCGUAAAUGAUAACCAGACAAUUUAAUUGCUUAAAGGUUUCAAAAUCACCAUAAUUUGAUACCAGACCAAUUACUAGAUUCCAAAACAAACACCACAGAACACUACAGUCCUUAGGUUGUCACAUUCUGCCGAAUCCCAUGCAAAAUGAUGGACAUUCUUAUAAAUGAGCAUCUUCGGUGAUCAAACAAGGCAUUGACACAAAAGAAUGCAUCAUGAAUCUUUACAUUCGGAUACUGAAACCUCAGAAUGGGCCAAUAUAUGAUUCCAUUUCCCACUAGCCAAUAUUCAUAGUCAACAAAGCACAUAAAUUCAAAUGCUUUACUUCAAAGAAAGUAUAAAGGAGCUCAAUUUCAUGAACAAUUUCACCAAUCAGUAAAACAUCAAUAUCAAGCUGAAAACUCAAAGCACAAUAGUACUAGCUUAGCCUAAACCUCAAUCACAUUAAGCAAAUCAGAAACCCUAAUUCUUAAAACCCUAACCAGCCGAAUCAAAGCUACAAACUUCAAAUUCGAAACCUGUUAAGAAGCGGAGUGGCGGCGGCGGCCCUCACAGGCCGGACUGUCAACGAAGUUCUUAGACGGAUACUUCGCCGUCACCAUGCCGACCUCAAACACCAGAUUCUCGCCGCUGGACCUGAUUCCGGUGAUGGACCACCACUGGUAGAAAGCGCGGACGCUGAUGCCGUUGAUCUCGGCGAUCCGGCCGUGGUUGAUUUUGCCGGUGACUCUCUUGGAAUACGUGGCGAGGUAGUUGUCCGGCGGGAGCGUGAUCUUGCACGCGUCGCCGAGGUCGACGACGAAGUCGCCGGUGAGGGGGUUGACGGUGUAGUUUUCCACCGGGGAAGGGAGGAGCCCGAUCGGGAAGCCGAAGCGGGUGAGUUCGGUGUGGGCCGGCGAUGGGCUUCGGGUCGGGUUUGGGGGUUUCGGGUCGGCCGUUUGGGAGGAGAGAGAAACGAGGAGGGUAAGGGCGGAGAAGAAGAGGAGAGGUAUCGUCAUUUUUUUUUUUUGAAAUUGUUUGGAGAGAAGAUGAAAGAUCGGUGUGUUUUGAUAUAAGCGGCGAACGACGCGUCGUUGACGACGUCCGCGCUGGCGGGUAAAAAGGUCGUGUGGAAAGUUGGUUUAGUUCGUUAAGACUUAAGAGGGGUUUCUUAUUUGUUAAUUAGGAUUAGGUUAAUUAAUUAAAAAUCUGAUUGGGAGUGUAGUGAGGGCUGUGACUUCUGCGGAUGUUGUUCUGCUAAAUGACCUGUCUGUGAUGAGCUUUGCUAGAGUUGAUUUGGUUUUAUGCGUCGUGACUGGAUUCGCCACAUUGAUAAAUCAGUAACGAAGAAGAAGAGUACACGUUUUUGGACAUUUUACUAACAAUGCAUAUUACACUAGGUAGGAAGCCAUCACAUACUACUUUGAUAUAGAAGUUUUAGGUGAUCUACCGGGAGCCCCUUGAUAAUUUUGAACACUAGCUAGUGAGGGACUGAGGGUGUAACUCUAGUAAGAAUAUUAAUUUCUCCGGUCUUUUAUAUUCACCUACUAGUUACUGGUUCAAUAGAGUUUUUCUCUCGAUGACAUCAACGUGUUAAUUGAUUUACAACAAUGUAAAAUUCACCUUACGAUAAACUAUAUUAUCGAAUAUUCUAUUAGUUGCCCAUAUCCCAUUGAGAAGGGAGGGAGUGUUUGUGUUGGCAAUAGGAUUACUUGCAAUUAGGGGCGGAGCCAGGUGCAAGCUUGGUUAGGCUCAAGCCCCACUGAGAAUUUGUAAUGAUUAAAAAAAAAAACCAAGAGUGUAUAUGUUUGACUUCAUUAAGUCCACCCAAGUUUUGGAGGAUUGAAGUUUUGAAGUGUUUAGCUCUCCUUUUCUAACCAUUUCAUUACACAACAGCACAAGUUUGAUGGUAAUUUGCUAUGUUUGUUUCAAUGAUGCUUAUUCGACUCAUCCCGUUCUACAUUUUUGCAUAGUUAUAACCCUAAAAAAAAAAUUAGACUUCGCCCAACAUACAAAUACACGAAAACGGCCUAAAACGUAGUCUACCCUAUCUUCGGAUCCUGGAUCCACCACUGCUUGCAGUUCCAUAAGUAUAACCUAGCUAGUGAAUCUCAAAAAAUGGUAUUUCCAUAUUCGAGUGGUAUUAGCUAGGAGUGAUUUCCUUUUCAUACUGGGAAUAUAAUUACCUGUGUGGGGGCAGAAUAUGAAGGACAAGAAGAACAAACUGAAAUAAGAAAAUUUCCGCCACCGCAAAGAAGCAGUCCACAUGGAAGAAGAAGAGGAGGAUUCAACCGUGAAGAAGAAUACAUCCGCCAACUAAAACAAGCAAUGGAGUUUCUAGACCUUCACCUUCUUCCCCGUCGUUUGAAACAAGUAAUCUCCAGGGGCGGAUCUACGUUAGAGGCUAUAUGGGCUAUAGCCUAGACAAAAAUUGUCUCAAUACUUUAAAAUAGAUUUGUCCUACAUAUCAUGAAGUUCGAUUUGGUUUAGUUGGUUCAGUGUAUUGUUUAGAAACAACAUGAGCUGGGUUCGAGUCUUGCAUCUCCUCUUGUUUCUUCCUUUUUUCUUCUUCAUCCUUUCCCUUUUAUUUUCUUUCACCAUUUUUUUCUAUCUUUUUAUGAUUCAAGUAUCAUUUUAAUCUUCCUUUUUCCUUCUUCAUCCUUUGAUUCCUUUCCCUUUUAUUUUCUCUCCCCAUUUUUUUUUCUAUCUCUUUAUGAUUCAUGGUAAUAUGGUAUCAUUUCGAUCAAAAAACACAAUCUUUGUAACAAUAUUGACUCCAAAAAAAAAAUCGUUUUAGCUACUCUAAUUAGCCUAGACGAAAUGUACAUCCUGGAUCCGCCACUGGUAAUCUCCCUUCUCGAACAUGUAGAAGGGUUGUGAGAAAAGAUCCGCCAAAUGAAAGCAGAAAUCCAGGAACUAGCUUGUAUGCUACAAACACCCGGUAGUUCUUCUACAUAGGAUGCAAGCGUCAAUGACGCAGCUGCGACUUGUUUUGGAAGCGAAGAGAAGCCAAGAUCCAAGUUCAACUUUGUAGGAAUUAGGAUGUAACACUAGUAAGAGUAUUAAUUUGUGCAGUUCUUUAUAUUCAGCAACUAGUAACUGGUUAGAUAGAGUUUCUCUCUUCGAUAGUUCGAUGGCAUUAUCAUGCUAGUUAACGUGCAACAAUGUAAAACACCAUUCACUUCACGAUAAACUAUAAUUUAAGUGGCCUUUGUGUUUUUUGGCUUGAAUCACUCGAGUUCGAUUCCCACCGUAUACAAUUUUCUUUUUAAUUUUUUGUGUUGUUCUAUGCACCUUUUAUUCCUUUUUUUUACUGCCACCAAUGCAUUGAUGUUUCUUUUUUUUUUUUUUUUUUUUUAAGACAACUCUACUACUCAUUGUAAUUCAUGGAACUGGAAGCCUGGAGCUGGAAGGUUGACUGGAAAGAAAUUGACCUUAUGCUUUCCAAGAUAAACAAGAAAAAAUGUUCAAUCAACCUAAUUUGUAUCCACUAUGCAGAUGAUUUUUAUAUGUAGUGCCACAUUGAGAGAUGAUCAUCAGAUACAAAGUGGGCCUUAAGAUCCUCUCAAACUUAAUUAUAAUACAUAUGAGCUUACAAUCAAGAUGUGAUUGACAAUAGCUAUAUACUUCUAUUUAUGGAGCCAUUUUUUCACUCUCUGCAUAAUAGUAGAGAGAAACAAACCAGAACUUUUAAUUCCUUUCUUUCUGGAUUGGCACUUAAGCAAUAAGCAGUAGUGCUUUUAGUUGAGUACGUGCAGGACAUGUAUUGUUGAUCAUGAUCAUCACGGCGAGUUCCAGAUCUCGGCAUUUUUGACCUUAGACACACUCUGCACCACUUCAUAAGGAAGAACAUCUCCGAUCACAACCACCAUCUUGCUUUCCAGGUCUACUUUGUAGGAUGUCACUCCUGUUUUGGUUCAAGGCAGAAGCAGAAAAUAUGCCAGAGUUUGUAAGAGGCUACAGAAAAUAAGGACUGGUACAACCAUUGGGAACCUCAGCACUAAUUCAGUUUCUAAUUGUAACGAAAAUCCUGUAUGCAUAAGAGAUUUUGACAUACCUUCCAUCUUUGAGAUAUGUUUUUCGACUUUCCUGGCACAUCCAUUGCAGUGCAUGGAGACCCUUAACAUCACCAUCUUCAUCAUUCAUCAAAUUAGCAAUCUGUUUCGUCAAACAUGUGUACUUAAAAGUGAGAAACGGAAAGGGAUAUUCACCUUGGGUUUCAGUUGAAAUGCCAGAGUCUGUUUUCCUGCAACAACAUCCUUGAGUCUCAUAAACUGAUCCUUUUCUCCAGGAAUCAAUGGACUUUUCUCAAACUCAUCUUGGAUUUCCUCGGAGUAGUUCAUGCAGAAACAAGAACUUGAGCCAGAAGAAAGACAAAGAGUGUCUAGCACCUUCCCAAAACUAAGCUUCCCCAUUUCAACCAGAGAAACAAAUCUGAAGUGUGAGACAGAAGUCACAGAACUAAGUACCUAACAGCUUAUUUAAGCAAUCCACACACCCUCAUCUGUCCUUCCAACUCGGUCAGAGUGAUGGAAUUCCCAGACAAACCAGUGUGAACAUUAAUAUAUGCAUACAGGGUGGGGGUUGGAGAGAGAGGAGAGAGCAAAAGGUCAAGUUUUCAUUGGGGAAAACAAAAGCUGAACACAACCCAAUGAAGCCUAUGAAGGAGGAAAGGGAACAAGACCCAAUAAUUUAUAUUUAUUAAACUCAGAUGGUCAAGAAAACUGAGAAGGAGAUCCAGGAACCCAGAAAAGCACUACUUCUAUAUACUGUGACCACUUCUCAGACCAAGAACGCAAACCCAACUAGAUUUUGUCAUGUGAUGGUGAAGUCCUAAAAAGAUAGAACGCACCCACAACCAAUUCUAUAAAAGGAUUACAAGCCGAAAUGAGAGAAAGUUCAUGUGAUCAUUCAACUAAAGAAAGAAACCCAAAUCUGUAAUGAAGCUUUUCGAUCAGGAACCCUGUUUCAUAUGAUUGAGAAGCGAAAAAGGAAAGAAAGGAAAUGAUCACAGUGACCAGUGGAGAGGAACUAGAAGCACCAUGCUUUAUGACAUGUGAGGACUGCUAGCUAGAUACGUCCAAGUUAUAGAGUGAAAGAAUAUGCUUAAGCCUUACAUAUAAUAUAUAGCUGGAUUAGUUUGGAUAAGCAUCUUUGGCAUGUUUAAUUCAAGAACAGUGAACAUGAGAAACGUUUAGGUGUAACAAAUAAAGGAAAGAAAGAAAAGCAGUAACAUUUGGUGAGCAUCUGAACAACUCAAAGGGACGAUGUAUCAUCUAACACACAACAUGAUCCCUUUUCUUGUUUCGACGAAUCUUUUCACGAAACAUCAAAACUUCUCCCAGCAUUCUACGAAGCUUAUAACUUUACAGCUUGAUGAAGUAUAAUUUGAAGUCACUCAAAACAUUUAGGUCAUUUUAACAUAGAUUAGUGGAGUAAAGUAGUGUGUGAUCACUACCCACCUAAUACGCUAUAGAUUAGAGAACCUCCCAAGCAACCCAAAGGUGCUUGUGAUGGAUACUUGGAUAGUGUAAUAGCUCAGAAACCACAACAGAAAUCUUGAAUAGGUGACAAUUUUGUCUUGGCAUUCAAUAUGAAAAAUCAAAAUGGGACAGGAGGCCUCCCAUUAUUGGAACCCAUGAGCUCACUAAGUUUCUUAAUAAUUAUACCAUAGAAUAAAUUUGAAAACAAAGUGAAUGGCUCUAUUCUCUACACAGGUUGUUCCAUGUGAGAUGGUUCUUUAUAACAAAACCAGAGAAGGGUUUUUGAGAAGAUUGUAUACAAGGUCAUGUUAAGCACGUGUUGGACACAUGACAAGCAAAGUUGGGGUGGCAAGUCUCAUGUGUAUGAAUAAUAAUAUAGAGAAACCAGCCAAAAUCGAAGGGAUGUGUUCUUAUAAUGGAUUUCUGAAAAGAAGCAAGCAGCACCACUCAGGGGCCUUGGUUUGUAAAAUUGUAGGGUAACCAACUAUAAUGCACUUCUGAACAUGGAGUGAUGGAGCACUGCACUGAUACGACAGAAUUGCGAUAUAUACACAUGUUUUAUAAUUGGAUUGCUAAAAUAAUCCAAAAGUUGUAUAGUGUUUCGGUGAGUAUUGGAAGUCUAAAGAUAAUAGCCGUUCAAAUGAUGGAUUGCAUUCAUGUGUCCAUAAAUAUAAAUUAAUCGAACGGCUCAUAUCUAUGGAAUUCUUAGUAAUCUAGCGAUUUGGGAAAUGCAUAUAAUGUAUAAGAUUGAUCUAUGCACUCAAACUAAUGAAAAAGGAGCUAGCACAAACAACAAUAAUGAAAAUGCAACCUAAGUCUGGCCUUUCUCUCCCAAGUACUCUAAUACCUUUAUUUUCGUUUUCAUUACCUUUUCCAUCAGUUGAAUAUAGCAGAAAACUUAUUAAAAAUGACUGCACUAUAUCUCAACCAAGAAUGGAAUUAACCAUUUUAAAUGACUUGUUUGUCUUUUAAGCUUUUCAAGAUAAGAAAUUGAGGUCUAAGCAAUAGACAAGAGGAUUCUAUACCUGGCAAAUGGAAGUGCAGAUCUGACUCUACUGCAUCAAAGAGGUUUGAGUGCUGCAAGAGGAAUUGUUUAGAGGGAAAACAAUAACAGCAACGGUGCAGAAGCAUCUAAAUUCACAUGGCAUAUAUGUAAUGGAAUAAUAUAAGGUUUAAUCAAAACACAAGCCUUUAAAUCAGUCUCAGCCUAGCUACUGCAUACUUGAUUACUCAUAAUUUAUAGUUUUUGAAGUUCAUAGCUAGUAUACGAAAUAUAUAGGCCAUACAUUGGGACUAGUCUUUUAUUACCUCCAAAUCCUAACAGUUUAAGUUUCUCAUUAAACAGUGACAGAAAGUUUUACAAGUUACUAACUUACUACUAUGAUUAAUCUUGCGAUAUCAGCUGAUCUAUUAAGCAUUAUAGCCAUAUCCAAUAAUCUGUCAUCUAGCUACCAGAUCGAAUUUCAAUUUCUUAAAAAUAUGAGAGGCGGCUUUGGACAAAAACUGAGCUAUAUAUAUGUCAACUGGUGUCUAAUCCAACCCGAGCAUAACUUUAGUUUAAGGCACGAGGUGAGUCGAAUUUUUAGAGGAUAUGAGCUGAAUUACUUUCCAGCAACCAAAAGAAUCCUUCAACAACUACAUGAGUACAUGGCUUCUCGCAAUUGUUUUGCCACAUACAAUAGUAAUAGUAGAUGAUCAUUAGCUGUGGAAAAACAAAGAAAAGAAAAGAACUUUAGGCAAGGGGUGGCUUUCAAAUCAUCAUUAUUUACAGUCGUUUUAAGUUCAUAUCAGUAAUAAUCAAUCAUAAUCACUUUUCCUAUUUAUUUAAUCAAGUUGAAUAAUAUUUCCAUCCGCAUGCAGAUUUCAUAAAACGAACAUAUCAUGAUGUAUAGUCAUGAAGAAUCAAAUCAAUCCAGUUAUACAUUUAGAAUGAUAGCAACCACUUGAUGUCUUGAUUCAGAAGGCCUAGGCUUUCAUCAAUAUAUAAAACCUCUUUGACAUUACCAAAUUCCAUGUGGUUUUUAAAUCACAGCCUCUUAUUCUGUCGGUUUUAAACUAUAUGCUUCAUACAUCACAGCUACUAUAAUAUAUGCUGUCUUGUUGUCACCUCCACCGUCACACCUUGAAACAGUAAUGGAUCGACACUGAUCCAUGUUUGCAGCCACUGUAGGAAUUGUUUCACGCUCCAAAUAUAUACACCAAACGAAUAAAACCCUAGAACAUACACAGACUAGUAGUUUUCCGCUAUGCAAAACUUAGAGGUUAUUAGUUAAUUACCUUAGAUUCGUUCCCAGCUUCAUUUUCAUAAACAGUUGCAUCUUAAGCUUCACCAGCCUCAGGGUCCUCCGGCCACCCUUGCUUUUCCCCGCCCGUUUUGCAUGCCACGAGUUCAUAGAUCUCCGGUGACCGUCGCGGUCAAUCACGUACUGCUUGUUACUCGAUCGUCGUCUACGUAAAAUGCUCCUCAUCUCUGAAAAUUUGAGGCAAAUGGAGCCGCCGUUCUGGUUCUUUCGUCUCUUGGCCAGGGUUGUAGAAGUUCAAAAGGUCAAAUCGUCAAUGUAAUUCGAACGAAGGAUCGGAAAUGUCAGAGACUCCAAGCCCAAGUUUAGACCCCGGUUCUGUACAUGACCCAAAACUCCAAAAGGUUGAAACCGACCCGGACCUUUGAAAUACUUUUCAAAUCAUGUGACGACAAUGAACUUGUAGAAUUAAUUUUCCUCAUAAGGGUAGGAUUCAUUUUCAAAUUUGCUUAUAUUUGCAUAUUCAGAUCGACCAUGCAAGUUUUUAAGACUUUGAUAUAAUAAGACUAUUCAUCAAACAACUUUAAAUAAAGCUAGAAAAGCCCCUUUCAGAGCAAGGAACAAGUGGUAUUUAACCACGUUACUUGCAACAACCUCAUAUUCCCUAGUCCAAGUUCAUCAUAACAUCCAUUCUACUUGGUGGUUUUAUUCAAAGUUAACGCGUGCGUUAAGAAUUGAGUAUUUCAUAAUACUGUAUUCUAAAAAACGAGCUAGUUUUAUCGUAACUUUUGUUUAAUUUUGAUACAUAAUUAAAAAUGUUAUAUAUAUCAUAAUCUUUAUUUCAAGAAAGGCCUAAAUCAUUGUAAUUAAACAAAGAAAACAGUACGAGGAACCAAAUUCAAACAAAAGAAAAGAAGGAAAAAAAAAAAAACCUCCCAAAAAAUUAGCAAAAGAAAUCGCAAUUAAUUACAGAAAGAAACAGCUAGCGAUUAAGGGUCUUAAUGAUUCGAGUCGCCUUGUAUGACCAAAGGUGGACCCCCACCGUCAAUAUAGGAAAAAUCAGCACGCCCAUAGGGACAGGACACCCCAGCGUAACGCUCCCUGUGUCCGAUACCACCCCAUAAUAUCCCUUCAACUCUCUCUUUCAUUCUCUCUCUCUUAGUUUUCUUCUUCCAACUCCUCAGAGCUCUCACCGAUCCGCAACUCUAUGCCGACUCCGAUAGAUCUCCCCUAAACGACGUCGUUUUCUAGACGACUACUGAAAACGCGCGCGCCGGAGCUUCUUCUUCGAAUUGAGGUCAGUCCGGUCGAUUUCUCGUUGAUGUUUCUUUUACGUUUCGGUGUGCUCCGGCGAGUGUGAUUUUCCAGAUCCGUUUGAAGUUUGCUUCGUUUUCUGUGCUCUUGUGGUUUUUGGAUUGUGUGAGGAAGAGAGAUGAGAGUUCGGAUUUGAUUGGAUAGAUUAGGCUUGGAUUCGUUGAAGAUUUUCGCUUCGCUGUGUGUUGAUAGUUUGAUUUAGUUCAGUUUAAUCAGCAUUUUCUGGAUAUGAAUUCGAUUGAGAACUUGAAAUCGGUGAUUAAGCUAGGUUUGAUAGGCGAUGGGAUUUCUGUGUGAUUUGGUGACAUUUCUAGUGGAUAAGUUAUGAUUCAACUUGAUUGAUUCUGUUUUUAGAGUUUUAGUGAUGACAGUGUGGCUUGAAAUGUGUUAGGGAAGUCGAAAUGGCGAGCCGAAAGGAGGAUGAGAAGAAUGAACGGAUUAUUCGUGGCCUUCUUAAACUUCCUGAGAAUCGGAGGUGCAUUAACUGCAAUAGUCUGGUAAGUGAUGCAUUGUUCUAUUGGUUCGUCUGCUACUUGUACAUUUGAUGAUUAUGUUGGUUCAAAUAGUAAAUUUGAUUUGGACAUGUUUAGAAAAGAAUUAUUCUUCUUCGUAUUAGGCUUAGAAAUGAUAAUGGUGACAGCGGCACUUCCAAAGUUACUAUUACCCGAGUAAUAGUAAAGUAUAUAAGCUUGUCAACUUUGGGACAAAAAUUGAACGUGCAGCUAUAUCCACACUUUCUGUAAAGGUGUUGAAUGCAUCAGUUUGCUGAAAUAGUACCUUGGUCAGGAUGCAAAAGUUAGGGAUUUUCAGUACAAAGUGUGGAAUUUGCAUGUAUUAUACCUUACAAGUAAUUUUCUGCUAAGCAGGGGCCGCAGUAUGUUUGCACAAAUUUCUGGACGUUUGUUUGCACCAACUGCAGUGGAAUACAGUAAGUUCUGCCCACCUGCUCUACUGCAUUAUUGUUCUUAUGAAGUAUUUUUCUUAUUGUUUGUAUGAGUACUUUAAUUACAUCAAUUAUAUUUCCAGUCGGGAGUUCACGCACCGAGUAAAAUCAGUGUCGAUGGCUAAGUUUACGUCGCAAGAAGUUAAAUCCCUUCAAGAAGGGGGAAACCAGGUAUGCGUGCAUGCAUCUUUUCAGUUCUUACACGACUGAUGUAAUUGUCUUGUCCAUUGAUAAUCUUCUCAUUUCUCACAUUGUACUCGUCUCUGUUUCCCAAUUACAGCGUGCAAAGGAAAUUUAUCAAAAAGAGUUAGAUCCGCAACGUAAUUCCUUCCCUGAUAGCAGGUUAACACUUUUUUUUGUUUUUCUGCUUUAAUUGAUCUAUGUAAUAAGUGGGUUUCUGAUUCAAAUGUUUGCUACCAGUAAUGUUGAGAGACUCCGAGACUUUAUUAAGCAUGUGUACGUGGAUAGAAGGUAUACUGGUGAAAGAAACAUUGACAAGCCACCGAGGCUAAAAACGGUAAUUAUAUAUUCCCAUAUAUUAUAUUGAUUAUAAGGUGUUACUUGGGCCAAAACAAAAGGCAUAUAUGGUGGUACAUAUAAACCUAAACUGAGCUUACUGGUUCCAUGUUCUGAUUUAUUGUCAUACAGGGGGACAAGGAGGACUCUUAUGAAAAUAGAAGGCUAGAUUCAUAUCAGGGUUCUCGAAGCCCACCAUAUGAUGAUGACCGUCGUAGUGAAAGGUCCAGUCCUGGUGGUAGAAGUUAUGAGGACCAAAGGAGUCCUGGAUAUGAUCAAGAAAGUCGACAAUAUGGUGAUUCUAAGAGAAGUCCUUCUCGCCCUGAAAUUGUGAAUGAUUGGCGUCGAGAAGAUAGAUUUGGAAAUGGUAGGCGAUAUGAUGAUCGUAGAGGAUCCGAUGGAGAUUCUAAACUUUAUGCGAAAUCUCCUGAUCGAUCAAGAGAUAUAGAUUCGUCCAGUCCGCCUAUGGUACGACCUGUUAGAGAUAUUUUGGGUGAUAAGACAAUACCUCUCCGUAUUAUUGAACCUCCUAAAGCCAACAGUGUUAGGGCUACUGAAGGUCCCGUGGUUACGCAGGUGAUGUGUCUCCCCUUAACGGACAAAAUAUGAUUGUAGUUACUCGAGUUUAUUUUUUCUUCUUUUACUGUCUUGUGCUUGUUAACUUUGUUAUUAGUGCGUAACUUGCUCUCUCUCUCUCUCUCUCUCUCUCUCAGCCCAAGCUUUAUUAUUUUCUUUGCCUUAUAUUUUCAGGCAGCUUACACAUUCAUAGCUUCACACUUUCCUUAAAUGAUAUUUGCUUCAAUUCUGUUAUAUAGAACAGGCUUGUGCUGCUGUAGUUGUUUGAAAUACUUGUUUGAUUUCUUUUAACUUUUCAUCUACUUUCUACUAAUUUCUCAUAUCGUUUAAAUUGCAGAGAACUGCAUCUUCCAGUAGCUUGGGUUCCACCAACGGGAACCCAGUUGAAGUGAAACCGGAGACUUCUGUAAGUUUAAUUGAUUUUGAUGCUGAUAUUGAACCUGCUCCAGCUCCAGCAGUUCCUCAAACACAACAAGCUUCUGUAGCUCAAUCAUAUUCACAGCCAGAAAAUUCACAGAGUGACAACAACUGGGCUUCUUUUGAUGUUGCCCCACAAGUGAAAGCAACUCAAGCUCCUCCAAGUGCAAAUUCUUUGGAAUCUCUGCUAUCACAGUUGUCUGUUUCGGCACCUGUCCCUAGUUAUUCUGGAACUUCAGGUAAUACUGGGGGUUUUUCAGCUGCAGGCAACAUGACUACACCAUUUGGUGGUAAUCCAGUCAUCACUCCUGCAGGACACACAAUGUUGCCAACUGCUACUACAGUUGCACCAGUUACGAGCUUGUCAACAUUUCCCCCUGUCGGUGCUCCAGUUGCGACCCCUGGAUUGGCUCAAGUAUUCCCAACCAAUACUAGUAAUGUCUCUGCUACCGGUUCUGGGCAAUGGCCUAGUAUGCAGCAUCAGCAACCUUCUUUAUUCCCUUCUAAUGGCAUUCAGUCUGCCUCUCAGCAAUACAUUCCAUCAGCUGGUGGAGCUUCAAGCAAUCAAGUGAGCUUACGUGACAUUCUUGUCAUUUUAUUCUUUUAGCAUUUUGUUACUAUUUCACAUUCAUUCUUGAUUAUUGUAUGCUUUUUCUGCAGCCAUGGAAUUCAGCUCAGGGUCAACCUAGUUAUCCAGCUGCACAAGCGCCACAAGAUGUUUCAAGAUCUAACCACAAUGUUAGUAAUGUUGCAUCACAACAUUCAGCUGGGGAUGUAAAAUCAAUUGGAAGAAGUGCACUUCCUGAGGUAAUUAUGUUUUUUUUUUGGCUUUCUUGACAACAUUAUACAAGGGAAUAUUGCACUUAUUUCCUCCUGUAGUUCCAAUUUCAACUAGUUUACCCUUGUAGUUGCUAACAUCUUCAAUAUGGCCUGAAUUUAGUUGCUCACAUAUGUUGACCAUAAAUGUGGAUUUAGACUUUUGACACUUUAGCAAAUUAAGGGAAUUAGUUGAAGUUGGAACUGUAUUGACUGAAUUAAGUUCGGGUGUAAGCGGUAGGGACCUUAAGUUUGAUAAGCUCACGUAUAUUUGUGCAACUGCAUACUGAAAAAGAAAACUGAAUUGCUUGUAGGAUCUUUUUGCUAUGAACUAUUCAUCCUACCCUGCACCAGUUCCCGGAUGGCAGACUGGUCCUCCUCAUGGUAUGGGGUUUGCAAUGCCGUACAAUACUGCAAUGGUAUUUUUUCAACCCAAUAAUUUAUUUAUAAUGAAUUAACUCUGUUCCACACCAUUGGAUGUGUAAUUUUUUUUUAUAAAUUCAGUGCAUUUGAAUCUAUGUUUAUUUGCAGCCCAUUCCCAGUUUUCAGCAGUCUCUAAAGUCAGCAAACCCGUUUGAUGUCAGUAGUGAUCCUCCUCCAGUUCAAGCCUCAACGGUACAUGAUUUCAGUUCAUGUUAUAGUGAUAUCAUAGUCAUUGGGUCCACACUUUCUGGUGUAUCUCUAAAGAUAGAAUCAGAAUAUACUGACAUGGGCCUUGUGCAUGCAUGCCAGGCUAUCAAUUUUGAAUGAGUUUUCCAGGUUGGAAAAGGGAAGUUGGGGAAGCAAUUGAUUUUUAAAUAGGAAGUUCAAAAAUUUUACUUAGCCUAGAAGGAUAGUUCAGCCCAAUGAAACUUGGCUGCAAUGCUUGUUAUUGUCACAUAUCCAUUGUUUAAGGUUCUGAUAUCAUGUGGUUGUUCGUGGUAUCAGAAUUAGGUUGUAGUACCUCUUUUGUUGUACUACGUUGCAACAUGCAGAGUGGGUUUGCUCUUAUAUGCUUCUUCUCUUUUGUUUUUGUCUACCUCAUCACAUAUUAAGUGGGACCACACAUUAGGCAUGGUGUUAACUUAUUACUACAUAGUUGGUCCUACACUCCUACUUAACAACUUGGAUGUUUGAAAUAAGUUUCAAUUCCUUGUUUUUGCUCAUAACAAGAAGUCAUCAGAAGUCUUUAUUUUAGCUGCUGUUGUUCUUGAAAUCUUUUGAUGCACAAAGUACUAAUCUUUGUCAUGUAUUUUGCACGCACUGCAGUUUCAUUCCAUGGCACCCUCACAAGGACCGCUACCAAAUGUGCAGCCUCCAUCUGACUUAUUGCGUACAUCUAGCCUGGGGGCACUCCCAUCAGCUUGGGGGCCCUCAUAUUCAUCUGGAUUGCCUCUCCAAGCACCGCCAUAUGCAUCACAAAUGCCUCCAAGUAAUAUGAAGCUGUUUUCCUCCUUUUUCUUUCACACCCCCUAGUUUAUUAGCAUUCAUUUCACAAUUUGGAGUUUACGCUAAAUUUCGGUUUCAAAAUCUCAGGUGCCUAUGCAGGACAACAAAUUCCGAGUAGCUUGCCACCUCCAGGGUAACUAUAAUCAUUUAGCUUUCAUUUAAGAGUAUUUUGACCAUACAUGUAACCACUUUUGGAUAACAUUCAACAAAAUAAUUAGGAAAUAAAAAUGGGGUUAUUGGCAUCAGUAUUGUCAGUUUCUCUUUUGUUUCAAACACUUCAGUUGUUUGUUAAGUCUGGACUUGAAGAUUAUUUUUACAGCAACUAAUAUGCAGACAUGUUGUUAUGCUUAUAGGUAUCAAGGAGCAGGAGGCUUUAGUGCUGAGGGAGCUGCCUUUGGUUCGUUAAAUAUGGUACACCAGCCGGUUGGUAGAUACUCAGCACCUGCUACCCCAAAUCCUUUCCCGUCUGCCGGAGGAAACCCAUUUGGAUAGAUGUGAAGAACAAAGUGUGCCUUAUCCCACUCAGGGUAAGCAUUAUUUUGCCCCUCUCAAAUUGCCGGGUGGAAAGUUUUGGCUGUUACGUUGCUAGCUUUUAAGUUAUCUGAUGCCGCCUAGUGAGAGAAUUUUUUAUUUUUUAUUGGAUCAUCCCCCUGGGUUGGGUCAAAGGUCGACAUCAAUUGUCAUGUACAAUUUGUUGCUGUAAGAAAAGGAAAUAGUAUAUAUUAGAAAAGGGGGAUAAAGCCAUAAAGGGGGUACAGACUAAAAGGGAACCUAGGUAUCAAUUUGCCGGCCAAGGUAUUCAUUGGUAGUUUGCGGCAUUCUUUAGGUGAUCCCUGGGUUCAAUUGCUUCCUGGGCUUCCCAUAGUUUUUCCCCCUCGUGAUUCUUCGUUGCUACGUUGUAUGAUUUUGCGAUCUCUUCGUUGUGUUGUGAGCUCAUUGAAUCUGUGUAAGCUAAUGAAUGUAACAGUGAAAUGUUACAGUGGAAUUGAGUUGGUAUGUUAAUAUGAUCUGAUGUGCUUUUGCGUUUGUGGAAUUCUGGAUUAAAGCUUUGCGUUCACUACUUUGAUUAACACACGAUCCCCUCUGUUGAUAUGCUCCGAUGUGCAUGGUUUGGUGGUGUUUGUUUCUGAUUAAUUUAUGAAAAAGUGAAUCAUCUAGACCCAAAUUCACACUGUUUUAGAAACAGAUGAUUGAUUUUGAUGUUUGAGCCUAUGGUGGGAGUUUGCAGGUUCCUCAUCAAACCUGACUCAGUUUUUACAUUCCGGCAAGUUGGUAUAUUUAGCAGUUUUUACGACCGACCCUAGAUGCCCAUUUGUAAGGUGACCCGGACCGAGACUAAUAACAGCCCAUUAAGGUAAUUAGAGGCGCUAGCCCAAUAUAACAUAUAAAUAUACCAUAAUGGUCCUAACACACACGGCUUUGUAUAUAAGCAGACUAGAAUUAUACCUGUGCCUCGGCCCGGUGUAUACAUUUACGGUGUGUUUAGAUGUGGGUGAAUUCUCGAGAAUUUAAUCAAAUAUAAGGAAUUCUCAAUUUCUUAGGACGGUUUCCUUCAUUUGGAUACUUAUCCCGUGAAAUUAGCAAUUUUCACGGAAAAAUAAUUGUGAUAUUUAGGAGCUUAAAAUCCCGACUUGAAUUCCUCACAAAAUAAGCGUCAUUUGUCAAUUCCCUUAACUAAAGUUAGUCUGAAUACAAAUUCUUGUCAUUUUAAAACUCUACAUCAUGAAAUCCAAACAAUGGAAUUCUUAAUUAAUAGGAUUUAAAUUCAUGGAAUUCUUAAUUAAUAGGAUUUAAAUUCAUGGAAUUGUAAUUCUCAUGAUUUUGAAAUUUCUAUAGACACAUCAUGAAAUUCAAAUAAUGAAAUUCUCAAUUAAUAGGAUUUAAAUUCAUGGAAUUGUAAUUCCCAUGAUUUUGAAAUUUCUAUAGACAUUAAAAUUACUUUAUCCAAAAACAACGUUAUGAAGCUGGUCAAUGGGUUAAUUGAUUGAUAUAAAUGUUUCUGAUAUGUACUUCAUAGAAUGCUACUUCAUAGAAUGUUAUACAUGCAAAUUAUACCCAGCUGUUAUACUGAUUAUAUAUCUAGCGUUAAUGACAAUAUUGUGGUUUCUUAAAAAUAACAGGGGCAAAAGGGUUAGUAUACCCGCGUCUUGGUGCGGUGUAAUAUUCACAUUAUGCAUAUUCCACAUAUGUAUAAGAGCUAUCACAAAAUUCAUGGAAUUGUAAUUCCCGUAAUUUUAAAAUUUCUAUAGACAUUAAAAUUACUUUAUUCAAAAACAACGUUAUAAAGCUGAUCAAUGGGGUAAUUGAUUGAUAGAAAUGUUUCUGAUAUGUACUUCAUAGAAUAUUAUUAAUACAAAUUAUACCCAGCUGUUAUACUGAUUAUAGAUCUAAGAUUGAUGACAAUAUUGUGGUUUCUUAAAAAUAACAGGGGCAAAAUGGUCAGUAUACCCGCCCUUUGGCUCGGUGUAGUAUCCACAUUAUGCAUAUUCUACAUAUGUAUAAGUGCUAUCACAAAAACAACUUUUAUACAAUAAAACAUCUAAUCUUGUAUUCUACCCAAAAUAUAAAUGCUCUAACUAUUUUGAUUUAUAAGAUUCAGGAUGUAGAAGAAAAAUAAAAAAUGGAGGACAAAAAAAUCUUUACCGAGAGAGAGCUUAUCUAAAAAAAUCUAAAUUACAUGUUUAAGAAAGAAAAAAAAAAAGAAAAAAAAAAUCACUGUUCAUAUGCUUAUAUAUGAACAGUUAAUCAUUUUUUAGUAUAUAGUAUAAUUUUCCUCAAACCCUAAGCAUUCUGCAAAGUAGAAACAAAGAAGACGGACGAUUGUCGUCAGACAAAGAAGAAGGAAGACGGUGGCCAAAACGUGGACCUCCCACCGGAGAUCAUGCAUGACAUUUUUUCAAGGCUGCCACCCAAGUCUUUGUGCCGGUUCAAGUGUGUAUCAAAGCCAUGGCGGUCCAUGAUCUCCGAUCAUGUUUUUGUUACUAAGUACAAUAAGGAUGUAUCCCGGCGACGGCGACUCAUGUUUACUUCUGUUGAGUCGACAGAUCAUUGGCUUUACUGCUUGGAUCUUAACAAGUUUAUCUAUGAGAAUCAUAAUGAUGAUGUUGGUGGUUCAACAGCAGCACCCUCUGAGCUCGACUUUGUUUACAAUCAACUUCCGUAUGGUGGACUUGAUUUUGUUCCCUCUACCCAUUAUUCCUACCAUGGCUUGUUCUUUUCCCAUUAUUGUUCUGGCUGCUUCAGAUUCAGUUUGAUCGACUAUGAAACCAAGGAAUCAGAGUACCUCCCAGACGCAAAAAUAAGGAGACUAACAAUCGAGCCUGGAUUUGAUUACUGGCACUUAUAUGGAGUUGGAUUAUUUGAUUACUCCACAAAUGGAUACAAGGUGAUUAAGGGGCAGCAAUAUAAUGAUGGAGUUGUGUUUAGUGUCUAUACUUGGAACCCUACAUGUUCAGGUCCUCGGCGAAAAAUUGAGCACUUGUUUCCCUACAGAGUUUUACGUAGUCAUGGUGGUCAUGGGAUCCUGGUGAAUGGUGAAGUUCAUUGGUUGGCGACGAAGAAGGUUGGACAGGAAUCAUUGGUGAUGAUUAUAUCUAUCAUUUUAGCAGAGGAGAAGGUUAGAGAAAUUGCAAUACCGCCUAAUGCUCCUACUGGUUCCAUUGAACUAGGGGAAUUCAGAGAUUGGCUAUGCAUAACAUCAGCUGGAUACGGAACAUGUAAUGAGUUUUGGGUGAUGAAGGAAUAUGGAGUGAGAGAGUCUUGGACUAAAAUGCAGUCUCUAUACCAUAUUACAAAUUAUCACAUUCUGGUUUCUGGACGGAUACUCAUGACCUGAUGGUGUUUGAUAGAUCAUCCUUCAUUAUGUACAAUUUUAGCGAUGGGAAAUUUUGGACUUUACCGAUUGGCAAUGUUGGUGAUAUUAUUAGUACUGGUGUCUACAUGGAGACCCUGCCUACCUCAACUCUAUCGAUCAAGAACAAUAUCUUUCAAGGAAGAUGAAUCCUCUCAGCAACAUUAUCGAAUAUUAGUUCUUACUUUUAGCAUUACUUCUGCAAUUGUUAUGCGAGGCACUUAUAUGAACUUCUAACCAUUCGUUUCUAUCUCUAUCAGAACUAACAAUAUAGGCAAAAGGAUAAUGAUAUGUUGCUGAUGUAUCAUAUACAUGUUCUCCAUCAUAAAACCACUACAGCACAUGUCACUUGAUCAUUUUAGUAAACAGUAAAUUGUUACGGUGGAAUUAAGUUGUAUGUUAGUAUGAUCUAAUGUUGUGUUUUGGCGUUGAUUGGUGGAGUUCUUGAUUGAAGCGUCGCUCUCACUACUUGAUCAACAGUACCCUGAACAUCUUAUGUUAAUAUAAUAUUCUCCGAUGUGCUUGGUGUGGUGGUGUUUGUUUCUUAUUAAUGUAUAAAAAGGUAAAUCACCAAGCAACCAGACUCGCACUGUAUUACCAAGGAUAAAGAGAUAAUUUGACUUUGAUGUUUGAGCUUGUGUUCCUAAUGGCACUAGGAUUUCCCCGACCCCAUGAAGAGGAAUCCUUUUCUUACUUGGAUAUAUAUAUAUAUAUAUUUCUCCUCUGAUAGUCUGAUUGGAUGGGAAACGUUUCACACUGCUUACAUACUUAUUUAGUGUUAGGAACUGAGAAAAUUCAAGAAUGUAAACACAGAAUCUUAAAGAGCUCAAGCACAAUCUGGAGGAAUGACUAGUUUAUUGAAUAACAACUUUGGCUAUUACAAGAGCAAAACAGAAAGCAUAGUACAGCCCACGAUUUACACUAACUAAAUCAUGGUAGAGUGCAGCAGGAAAUAGUCAAAACAAAGAACAACUCCUCCUACAUAAUAGGGAUUUAUUUGAAACAGGAGAAAAACAAUUCUAUAAAGCCAGGGAUCCUAAUAUUUCAAGGAGUCCCUAUACCUGUCAUAUAGAUACAAGUUUUUAUGUAUUGCAUUCUGCAAACAAAGAAGAUGUACGAUUGUCGUAACAAAAAGAAGAAGAUGCAAGACGGUAGCCAAAACGUGGACCUUCCACCUGAGAUGAUGCAUGAAAUUUUUUCAAGGCUACCAGUGAAGCCCUUGUGUCGCUUCAAGCUUGUAUCCAAGUCAUGGGAGUCCCUAAUCUCCGAUCCUGAUUUCGUCGCAAACUAUUCCAAAGCCGCCUUUGAGAAUGAGGAUGUCUUCUUCAGAAGACGCCGCCUCCUCUUUACUAAUAUUAUUGACUCUGGACAACAUGGGAUAUACUCUUUGGAUCUUGACCAGUUUCUCAGUGAGAAUUCUAAUGCUGGUGUUGAUGGUCUAGUAGCAGCACCCACUGAGCUCGGCUUUGUUUACAAUCUUGUUCAAAGAGGUGGAUUUCCAUACCCCUUUGUCCUUGGUCCCUGCAAUGGCUUGUUCUUGGCCCGGUUAUGUUACGGUGACUACGGUUACAUUUUGAUCAACCCCGUAACCAAGGAAUCAAAGAAAUUACCAAAGCCACCACUAUGGAGACCAAUGGAGCCCUUUUUUUGUCACAUAUAUGGACUUGGAUUUGAUCACUCCACCAAUGAAUACAAGGUGAUUAACGGGCAGCAAUAUUUUGGUGGAGUUGUGUUUAGUGUCUAUACAUUGCAGACUGAUUCUUGGCGACAGAUUGACUGCUUAUUUCCCUACAAAGAUUUACAUAAUGAUGGGGUCCUGGUGAAUGGUGCUGUUGAUAGGUUGGCGAUGAAGGUUGGAAAUCAAUCAUGGGUGAUUAUAUCUUUCUCUUUAGCAGAGGAGAGGGUUAGAGAAAUUGCAGUACCGCCCAAUACUGCUAAUCAAUCAAUUCAACUAGGGGCAUUCAGAGAUUGGCUAUGCAUAACAUCAGCUGGAUAGGGAACGUGUAAUGAGUUUUGGGUCAUGAAAAAGUAUGGAGAGAGGGAGUCUUGGGCUAAAAUGCAAAUCUCCAUGUCAUAUCAUAGAUUAUUACAUUCCGGUUUCUGGACGGGUUCUCAUGAUCUGAUGAUGUUCGAUAUAUCGUCAGGUAAAUCAUCAUUAGUUAUGUAUAAUUUCAAUGAUGACACAUAUUGGACUUUAUCGAUCGGCAAAGUUGGUGCUAUUAGAUGUGUUGGCAUCUAUGUGGAGACCCUGCCUCCUUAAAUCAUCGAUCAAUAAAAAUAAGUUCCAAGGAAGAAGAAUCCUCUCGGUGACAUCAUGGGAUAUCAAUUCCCAUUCUUUUAGGCAAUAGCUGAAAGGAGAAUGAAAUCUCAAGUAGAAUAAGUAGAUGCUCAGUUCACCUUGUGCCCUUUUGUUGUUUAUGUACAUACAGCUCUCUAUUCACCUUGAUUGCAUUCCUUGCCUUUUUACAUGACUCACUAUACACAUGUUUUCAUAAUACCACUGCAUCACAUGCUUUGAUUUAACACACAAACCCCUUCUCCCUCGGAUAUAGGGGAUAUGAUAACAAUUCCAUUUCCAAACUUUAGUAAAUUCCAUUUCAUAGAUAACCAAUAAACAUAAUAAGCAGCCUGAUCAUCAACAGUGGUGAUUCACACGUACAUAGAUACUCUUAGCAAUCAACAAAAACUUCUGUCAACAAUCCUAGAAGGAGAGAAGAACAAACAGUAGCAUUUGAUAUUUUAUAUGUGAGACACAGACUAGAACAACUCAGAAAGAAAGGCAACUAACUAAAAUUAGGAAUUCAUAACUAUUAGCAGAAGGCAUCACACCAGAAAGACUUCAUGUGUAUGAGUGACUUGAGGUACCCAACUACCCAUUGUGGAAGCAGUCAGCAGUAAUAUUCAAGGAUGUCAAUCAGCCUUACUUUUAUCCAGUUGUUCUUGAUCAAAAAGAGGCUUAAGGUUCUCCACAUAGACACCCAUGCUACCAAAACCACCAACUUCACCCAUAUUAUGACUAAUCGAGAAGCUCCAGCAAUGUUUAUCAUCAAAAUCACACACAACUAACCCUGUUGCAUCAACCAGCAUCAAAUCAGAGUUCUGUCCAAAAACCACAAUGCUGUAACCGGUGAUAUGGGAUGCCAAACUCCAUUUUAGUCCAAGAGCCCGUCGCUCCAUAUUCCUUCAAGACCCAAAACUUAUUAUAUGUUUUUCUGGAAAGGAUGAUGCAAUUGAUGUUAUACAUAGCUGAUCUCUGAAAACGCCCAGUUCUACUAUACCAGUGCUGCAACUAGGCGGUACUUGGAUUUCUCUAACCUCCUCCUCUGCUAAAAGGAAAGAUAUAAUCACCAAGGAUCCAUCUCGCUUGACCAACCAAUGAACAGCCCCAUUCAGCAACAUCCCUUCCUUCCUACAAACACGAGUUUGUUUGUAGGGGUAUAGAGUCUCGAUCUUUCGCCAAGAAUCAGUCAAGGAAGCAUAAACACUAAACACAAACCCAUCAUUGCCCCCCUUCCCUUCAAUCACCUUGUACUGACUAGUGGACUCAUCAAAUCCAAACCCAUAUAGCUCCCAAGAAAAAGACAUCUUUGUCAGUGGUGUCUUUGGUACUUUCUUCCAUUCCUCGGUUGCAGGGUUGAUCAAAUGGAACCCAGAAUCCGACCUGCACAUCAAGAAGCUCUUGCAGGAAAGCACAACAGGAACCCAACCACUUCCAAUAUUGCGACGAACAAAGUCGAGCUCAGUGGCUUUUGCAACAUAAUCCACAUCAUCAGCUUUAUCAUUCCUCAUCAGUUCAAGAUUCUUGUUGAGAUACUGAACAAUGUCCAAAGUGUAGAGGCGUUUACGUGCAUGGUCAACAAAUACAAGACGCUGUCCCUUAUCCUCAAUAGCUUUAUACUUGCUCUUGUCUGCCAUCUUCAAGCAAAUCUAGACCUGAUCAAUCAUGACAAGACCUAAGUCACAUCAACAUUGCUUCAAUUCCUACCGUGUAUAGAGUCUCAACAGAUAUUAUAAUGACCCCGACAAGAUUUAUAUAACAAAAUCACCCCUGCAAAAUUUUUCAUACAGAUACGCGAAAUAUGCCAAUCACUUUACAAAACCAGAACAUGGUCUUGUUGUCAUGCAAUGAGGGAAGCCUAAGUGAUUCUAUACACUACUACACAGAAAUCUUAAUAUCCUAGAAACCCACACAUGGCAGAGACAGCAUUUAAGAUGAAAACUGUAACAAGAUUCAAGUAUUCCAGCCAACAAAACGCACAAACAACAAAAAGGAAAGUGAAACUUGUAGCAAAAUUCAAGUAUUCCAAACAGAACGUGAACGGACAACAAAAUUCUAGUGUCCCAAACCACUGAAGAAAACGCAACCCAUCUACCCAAGAAAGAUAGUUCUACCCCAAAAACUUGUACAUAUCGAAAUGAAGGACUAAGGAAUUGGUAUACGCAAACUAAGUAAAGGGAACACGAAGAUCAAACCUUUAGCCGUUUAGGGUUCUACCGCUUCUUUUGAGAGCGCGAGAGGCACUGGUGCUAACGCAGAGGUUUUAUAUAUUUCUGGGGUUUUGGGAUUUUGUGCCUUCAGGGCAUUUUGGACUAAAGCAGACUAGUUUGCAAAAUGGGCCAGCCCAACAUAUAGCAUCCUCACCAUUGAGACCGUUUAAGACUAAGAAGCAUUUCCCACUGUUUUUUUCCUUUCCAAAAAAAAGAAAAGAAAAAAAGAAGAAGCAUUCAUUUCCCACCAAUGAGCCUAACGAUGAGCACGUAAGAAGUGUGUUGUUAUGCUCUCAUUUGGUCGGUUAAUAGAAAGUUUGGUUCUUAUCAUUGUAAUGUAUUUGUGGGUGAGUCGCAACCUGGUUAAUUAGAUAGACUAACUGAUAACAUUGAGGUCAUCAGUCACUUAUCAAUCCAAUAAUCAAUAUAUUUAACAACAAAGAUAAAAAGUUAAAACCCUAUAAAAGAUUGGAAAAAGAACUCAUUGUUACAAAUCAAACUCGGGUAGAAUAUGCCGGAAGAAAAACAAAGAAAUAAAAUUUGGUUAAUUUAAACGGCUAUUCAAUUCUCACAAGCAGAAAAAAAAAAAAAAAAUAUAUAUAUUUCGUCACUAAACUAUAGUUCUUCUACCUGAACAACAAAACAAACUCUCCUCUUCAAAUGGAGAGAUAGACAUACACAAAACACUAGGAUACAUCAUUAACUCAUUUCGGAGGGCAUACUGUACAAUAUUUAUCACGGCUGAAAUUGGACAAUAAUAUAUAGUUCCUCUCUAUUAAUUGCACGUGAUGGAUCAUGUGACAAUUUUUAAUAGUUGAAUAAACAGAGUGAGUUAAGUGAUAAACGAUGCAUAAAGUGAGUAGUAAAGUUAGUUUUUUGAAAUGUUAACGAGUAAAGUGUCAAAUAUGUUAAAACUCAGUGACCAUUUGUGUUUCUAAGUAAUUUUAAUACUUAAUUUGAAAGUCAAUUAGGUUGGGGUCGUUGUUGGGAGAUAAAAUAUCUCCAUGGAUUAUGGCCAAAUUAAGUAGAGCCACAAAAAUGAUUUGUAUGUAAUUGGCCUUAAUAAAAUUAUCCAGAUGAUGGAACUUGCAAGUGUUUCUGACCCUCAUCUACGACGGAAUUUUAUAUGAUCGCAUCUUUGAUAUUAUCCAGUAUAAGACUCAUCCGUUAAACAAAAAAUAAAUGACGUCCGUCUUCAUCAAUUUGCAGAUGCUAUAAAAUUACUUUCCGGAGUGGGCUAGCUAGGCUUUGAGGGCUCUAUUAAUAGGUGAUCGAGGAAGGACUGAAGGAGAGACGGAUACAUAUCCCACUUAGACAGUUAGACUUGCAUGUGUUUCUAAUUACAUGCAAAUUUUCGCUACACUAAUUGUCAAUUAAGAAUGGCAGACGACCGUAAUGAUGUUGAAAUGGAUGCUCCACAGCCAACUCGUGAUCAACCUUCGAUAUAUGAUCGUUUGAAUGAUCGGGAACGAGUGACAACUAGUGAGGCGAGAAAUGGUAUGUUAGUUGUAGCUGCCCUUAUUUCUGCGGCGACCUUCGCAGCGGGAAUAAACCCACCAGGCGGGGUUUGGCAAGAGGAUGACCAAAAAAACACUCCUCCUAAACACUUUUCGGGUAAGUCGGUUUUAGCUACUAAUAGUGAAGUUUAUUACCAAGUGUUCUAUUUCUUGAACGCCGCAGCUUUCUCGUCGGCAAACCUGGUGAUUGGUUAUCUUGUACAUAAAUUUCCAUAUUAUGUGGAAAUAUGGGGCGCUAUGUUUUGUAUGUCGGGAACCUACGGUAUUUCGACUUCUGCAGUAAGUCCCCAUGAUUUCAACGAUAAAAUCAUAUGGUUUGCCAUCGCCGUUCCUUACAUAUUAAGGGGUACUGUUGAAGUUUGGAAGAAAUUGCGUAAAUGCUCAUCAUGCAGUAAAUGAACUUGAAGCUGGAUUGUGUAAAACAUGCAUGCAUCCAUAUAUGCGGAUGUUUGGUACGUUGUGUUAUUGAUGCUUUUUCCUGUAGAUUGGCUUGUGGCACACGGCCCUGUUCCUCUUCCCGGACCUGGCGGAUUUGCUGCUAGUUGUUAGUUAGUUAGUUUUUUUUUGUUUUUUGUUUUUUUGUUUUAAAUAAAGGCUUGUUUGCUUGUGCUUAUUGCUUGGUUGACCCAAAAAUUGGGUGUUUGUUUGUAACUUUGUAUUAUGCUGGUAUUAUUAAUAAAUAAGUUCAUACGUAUAUAUAUAUAUAUCUCCUCAUUUUCGUUUCUUCUCAAAAAAGAAAAAGAAAAUAUUCAUUUAUCUCCCAAACAUAAAAAUAUAAAAAGUUUCGGUAACAAUAGAAAAGACUCAAACUUCAAAUCGUUCAGGAUCGUCUACGAUACCUAGAUGUACCACAUACCCCCAUUUACAACAAAUUGGACAAAAAUUACCAUUUUUUUAAACCAAAUUUACAACAUUGACAACCAAUUUACCAUAUUUGUUUUAUACAUUUACAACUUAUUUUAUUGCUCCUCUCGGCGUCGUUGAAGAAAAGAGAAAUUAUUAAUAACGGCAUGAAACUAAUGGGUUACUUAAUAACUGUGUUUUUGAAUUUGCGACUCGGACUUGCAUGUAUCAGUCAAAUAUAUAACUGAGGAAUCAUUAAGGGUUUUCAUUCCAGUCAUUGAGUUCGAUUCUCAACUGUAUUUCCAAUUCAUUUCAUGCACCCAAAUACACAUUAACCACUCAAUCUCACCAUGCACGCCAUAAGCUCAAACAAAACAGAAGUAAACUCUUGCAUGGACAAAAAUUAUAUGAAAAGGCUAGCAUUUAAUAACUUCCAGAUAAUGAGAGUUGAGCAAUUGAUUGACUCUCAUUAAUCCUUCCUCAAUUGAUCGACUUUAUGAUAGCUAGUGAUGGAGAAAUGAUUAUGGGGAUAGUCUGAUUGGAUGGGAAACGUUUCACACUGCUUACAUACUUAUUUAGUGUUAGGAACAAAGAAAAUUCAAGAAUGUAAACACAGAAUCUUAAAGAGCUCAAACACAAUCUGGAGGAAUGACUAGUUUAUUGAAUAACAACUAAAUCAAGGUAGAGUGCAGUAGGAAAUAGUCAAAACAAAGAACAACUCCUCCUACAUAAUAGGGAUUUAUUUGAAACAGAAAAACAAUUCUAUAAAGCCAGGGAAUUCAUCCUAAUAUUUCAAGGAGUCCCUAUACCUGUCAUAUAGAUACAAGUUUUUAUAUGACAAGACCUAAGUAACAUCAACAUUGCUUCAAUUCCUACUGUGUAUAGUCUCAACAGAUAUUAUAAUGACCCCGACAAGAUUUAUAUAACCAAAUCACCCCUGCAAAAAUUGUCAUACAGAUACGCAAAAUAUGACAAUCACUUUACAAAACCAGAUCAUCGUCUUGUUGUCAUGCAAUGAGCGAAGCCUAAGUGAUUCUAUACACUUGCACACAAAAAUCUUAAUAUCCUAAAAACCCACACAUGGCAGAGACAGCAUUUAAGAUGAAAACUGUAACAAGAUUCAAGUAUUCCAGCCAACAAAACGCACAAACAACAAAUGGAAAGUGAAACCUGUAGCAAAAUUCAAGUAUUCCAAACAGAACGUGAACAGACAACAAAAUUCUAGUGUCCCAAACCACUGAAGAAAAGACAACCCAUCUACCCAAGAAAGAUAGUUCUACCCCAAAACUUGAACAUAUCGAAAUGAAGAACUAAGGAAUUGGUAUAAGCAAACUAAGUAAAGGGAACACGAAGAUCGAACCUUAAGCCGUUGAGGGUUCUACCGCUUCUUUGAGAGCGCGAGAGGCACUGGUGCUCAUGCAGCGUUUUAUAUAUUUCUGGGGUUUUGGGAUUUUGUGCCUUCAGUGCAUUUUGGACUAAGAUAGACUAGUUUGCAAAAUGGGCCAGCCCAACAUAUAGCAUCCUCAAUUCCUCACCAUUGCAACCGUUUAAGACUUUAAGAAGCAUUUCCCACUGUUUUUUUCCUUUCCAAAAAAAGAAGAAAAAAAAAGAAGAAGCAUUCAUUUCCCACCAAUGAGCCUAACGAUGAGCACGUAAGUAAGAAAGUGUGUUGUUAUGCUCUCAUUUGGUCGGUUAUAAUAGAAAGUUUGGUUCUUAUCAUUGUAACGUAUUCGUCGGUGAGCCGCAACCUGGUUAAUUAGAUAAACUAACUGACAACAUUAAGGUCAUUCGUCACUUAUCAAUCAAAUAAUCAAUAUAUUUAACAACAAAGAUAAAAAAUUAAAACCUUGUAAAAGAUUGGAAAAAGAACUUAUUGUUUCAAAUCAAACUGGGGUAGAAUAUGCCGGAAGAAAAACAAAGAAAUAAAAUUUGGAUAAUUUAAACGGCUAUUCAAUUCUCACAAGCAAGGGAAAAAAAAAAGCCUUCUGUCACUAAAUUAACCAUAGUUCUACCUGAACAACUAAACAAACUCUCCUCUUCAAAUGUAGAGAUAGACAUACACAAAACACUAGGAUACCUUAUGAAGUCUGUAAAAUGAAAUAUUAAACCAAAACUACCAACUACCAACAACUUUUGAAUGCUAAAAAUUCACAUUAGAAGACUAUAAAUAACUCAAAAAUUACGAGUCACUCAUAAUGGGCUUGGUUUAAAUUCCAACCUCUCAUGUUCCUCCUCUUUACCUGUAAGCGAAGCAAGACUUUCUACAUAGAUACCAACCCUAUGAAUACAACCAGCACGAAGUGGUAGAUUCUAAAAUGUUCCAUCGUUAAAAUUACACAUAACUAAUGACGAGUAAUCAUACACCAUCAAAUGAUAAGUUUUUGUCCAGAAACCGGAGUGUGAUAAUCGGUAAUAUGGUUUGGAGACCUGCAUUUUAGUCCAAGAAUCUCUCACUCCAUAUUCUUUCGUGACCAAAAACUCAUUAUAUGCUACUUCUUUCACUUCCCACAAUGUUAUACGUAGCCAAUUUCUGAAAACCCCUAGUUGUCUUGAACCAGUGCUGCAUAUGGGUGGUAGUGGAAUUUCUUUGACCUCCUCCUCUGCUAAAAGGAAAGACACAAUCAACAAUGGUCCAUCUCGAUCUCGACCUCGUCUGGCCAACCAAUGCACACAGCCAUUCAGCACAGUCCCUCCAAAACUGAUAGUAACGUAGGGAUAGACACCCUCAACUCGCCGCCAAGAAGAACUAGUUUCCAUUAACGUAUAGACACUAAACACAACUCCAUCACCAUUUCCUUCAUUAAUAUUUCCACGACCAUCAGUACUAUAGCACUUUGCGUAAACCACCUUGUAUUGAUUUGUGGAGUAAUCAAAUCCAAACCCAUAAAAGAGGUCUGGUUCAGAGGGCAACUUAUUUGGUAGCCUCCAUGUUGGUGUCUUCGGUACUUUCCUUGAUUCCCUGGUUGCCGGAUAAGUUAUCAAAUCGAACUUAUCACAUCCCCGAAAAAACAACAAUCUAUUGCAUAUAUCCACAGCAAAAAGGGGUCUACAAUCGUAUCCGGUACUGAGCUCUUUGUAUACUAGUAAACCAUCAACCAUAUGGUUGAGAAGCUGGUCAAGGUAUAAAGAGUAAACGCGACCAGUUUCGAGUUUAGUAAAUACGAGUUUCAAUCUUUGGGUGAGCACAUCCAUAUUCUCAAUGGCUUUAGAGGAGUGCAUGGCAAUAAAUUUAUGAUCUGAGAUCCGGGACUGCCAUGGCUUUGAUACACACCUGAAGCGACACAAGGGCUUCACUGGUAACCUUGAAAGAAUCUCGUCUAUGAUAUCGGCCGGAAGUUCAACGUUUUGGUUUGCCCGUCAACUGGCCACCACGCUUUUCCAUCUUCAUGUAGUUUCCAAACCCUAGCAAAGCUUGAUUAUGAGAAGAUCUCUAUCUAUAGAAGAAAGAAAAAGGAACGUUAAGUAAAUGCAUCUCCUCCCACGUUUUGGGCCUUUGCUUGGGCUGUAUAUAAAGGUCUAACACUAAUAUUAUCCAACAAAGUAUAAAUCAAGAUAAGGAGUGAAUAAGUAUCGAUUCUGGAUGGUUGAUUCAUAAACCCAUCUCCUAUUUCAGAAUCAAAUUCAUGAGCAUUCAGGUAUUGAACUCUGAUAAAGGGACGAGACAUAGCUCAAUUUUCAUUCAUUAACAUGUUAGUAAACAUAUGAAUAUUUUACUAAUUCAUGUAUUUAUUUGUUAGUAAACACAGGAAUUAGAUUACCUUCCCCCAUCCUAAAGUCUUGGGAGAAAGAGAUCAAUACAAAUCGAAAGGCAAAACUAAAAUCCUAAAGAAUACCAAGUGUGUAAAAGCAGACACCAUAUAUAGCUAGGAAUCAUUUUCUUACUUGGAUAGUUGAAUAUGUAUAUCCCCCUCUUAUAUAUACAAGUUCAUCAACCCUUUAUCUAUAUUCUUAAUUAAGCAUUCUGCAAACAAAGAAGAUGGAAGAUGGUCAUAAAGAAAAGAUGGAAAACGAUGGCCAAAACGUGGACCUUCCACCUGAGAUGAUGCAUGAAAUUGUGUCAAGGCUACCAGUGAAGCCCUUGUGUCGCUUCAAGCUUGUAUCCAAGUCAUGGGAGUCCCUAAUCUCCGAUCCUGAUUUCGUCGCAAACUAUUCCAAAGCCGCCUUUGAGAAUGAGGAUGUCUUCUUCAGAAGACGACGUCUCCUCUUUACUUUCGUUGACUCUGGACAACGAGGGAUGUACUCUUUGGAUCUUGACCGGUUUCUCAAUGAGAAUCCUAAUGUUGGUGUUGACGGUUCAGUAGCAGCACCCAUUGAGCUCGACUUUGUUUACAGUCAUCUUCCGAGAGGUGGAUAUGAUUGGGUCCCCGUGUUUUUUAUUCCUGCUAUGGCUUGUUCUUGUCCCGGUUAUGUUCUGGCGACUGCAGCUACAGUUUGAUCAACCCUGUAACCAAGGAAUCAAAGAAACUACCAGACGCACCAUUAUGGAGACUACCAAUGGAGCCCCAUUUUCGGAUUGGAAUUGGAUUUGAUCACUCGACCAAUGAAUACAAGGUGAUUAACGGGCAGCAGAAUGACGAUGGAGUUGUGUUUAGUGUCUAUACAUUGCAGACUGAUUCUUGGCGAAAGAUCGACUGCUUAUUUCCCUACAGAGUUUUAGGACGUUAUGAUGGGAUCCUAGUGAAUGGUGGUGUUCAUUGGUUUGCGAGGAAGGUUACAGAUGAAUCAUUGGUGAUUAUAUCUUUCUCUUUAGCAGAGGAGAAGGUUAGAGAAAUUGAACUACCGCCCAAUAAUGCUUUUACUCAUCGAAUUCAAGUAGGGGCAUUCAGAGAUUGGCUAUGUAUAACAUCAUCAUCAAAAUAUUCAGUCACAUUUAAUGAAUUCUGGGUCAUGAAGAAUUACGGAGUGAGUGAGUCUUGGGCUAAAAUACGGGUCUCCAAACCAUACGAGAAACUAUCCCAUUCCGAUUUUUUGACAAAAUCUCAUGAUCUUAUGAUAUUCAAUAGAUCAUCAUUAGUUAUGUACAAUUUCAAUGACGACACAUAUUGGACUUUAUCGAUUGGCAAAGUCGGUGAAUUUAGAAGUAUUGGCAUCUAUGUGGAGACCCUGCCUGUCUUAACUCAUCGAUCAAGAACAAGAAGUUCCAAGGAAGAUGACAGUGACAUUAUCGAUAGGGCCAUACAAGAAUGGAUAUCAAUUCUCUCGGUGACAUCAUGGGAUAUCAAUUCCCAUUCUUUUAGGCAAAAGCUAAAAGUAGAGUGAAAUCUCAAGUGGAACAAGGAGAUACUCAGUUCACCUAGGGCCCUUUUAUUGUUCUUGUGCAUACAGCUCUUUUCUUUUCUUUUUUUAGAGUAUCAACGAAGAUACUUUUAAAGACUUUUCAGGUCCAGAAACUAAUCCGUGCCAGAGAAUCUUGUCAGAACGCUUCCUCCCCUCUUAUUACCAAGAAUAAAUUGAGAUUUAAUUCCACUUAACGUCAGCUGAAAUUUAAAACUGGGUAUGGGGGUUCCACACUUAAGCUUUUACCAACUUGACCACCUGUAGUGGUUACAUACAGCUCUCUCUAUCUCACCUUAAUUGCAUUCUCUUUGUGCUCACACAUACAUGUUUUCAAUAACAGCACUGCACCACAUACUGUACACAUCAGGACCCUGCCAACGUCCUUGGACGUUAGAUUUAUUUGCUCUCCCACUCCUCAAUUUGGGGUCAAUGCUGAUAGAUUUGAUUUCUUUAGGGCAUAUGGGACAAUUGGUGAAUACCGAGUUAGAUAGUCCCUCGAAACAAACGUGCUGUCCCAAUUGGAUCGGACAUCAUUAUACAGAAUACCAAGUGUGUAAUAUAUAGUGUCUACAUGAAAUUAAUGGAUACAAAAUAGUGUACAACGGUUAUGAUCUUGAUAUGACAUAUCAUAUGUGUAUGCUCUUCAUGUAUUGUAACAAAUAAGGAGAAGCUAAAGUAUAGGGCAACUUGUAUAUGCUCUUUUGCCUUCUUAAACCUCUCAGAGGUCCUAGGGGCUUGAAUUGCUGUAGGAAUUGGGAAGUCCCAAUCAGUUCAUCAGUCUAGUGCUGGCAGGGGUGGCUCAUGGUCUCAAUGGCUCUUCUUGAACAUGCAAAUAGUCCUUCCUCUCUUGCCAAUGCUGGACUCGAAUAUAUACAACCACAUAGUGUCUUCGAAUUUAUACGAUCGAUUCAGUUGUUUGUCUACUCUUCCAUAUAAUUGGAGCAACCAGCAUCCACACUGCAAAACAGAAAUUUCCUAAGUACCUCACUAGCAAGAACAGCUACAAGAUAAUACCCCCAAGUAAAACAGAGUUGCUUUCUGUUUAUUUUACUUACAAUACACACAGACAGCGAUCCACUCGUUCACAAUUCUGACCCAAGUGCUAGUCCAUCCCACAUCAAUUGUCCACCUGUAGAAGUGAGCGUCUUGUUAAGGAUCCAAGAAAGAAAGUAAAGUCAUUCAGGUAUAAACACAAGGGUCUACUUUGGUGCAUUUGUGCAUUUCCAUUAAUAUACUGAUACAUACUUUUUCAUGGAGUGAUUAGUAUUCCAACCGAUCAAUAGCAUCGCGAAGUACAUUGCUCCUGUGGCGAAAACGAAAUGGAAGAAGCCAUAGCCGUAUGGAACAUCAUCCUCGGAUUCAGUCUCGUCCUUCUUGAACUGCAGUUUCUGUCACUGUAAGGGUUACAUUUUAAAGGAACUAUAUAUGCAUGAUCAACUAAAAUUUAUUCAGACAGUGGAGCAAACCUGAAAGCAUUUGGAGUCUAUACCCGUUGAAAAUGUUGCAAUAACCAUUGCGAGUACACCAAUAACAAAGCUCUGCAAACAAGUGAAUCAUUGUCAUCACAUUUUUGUGUGAGAUGAAUGAAAUUUUUGUAAUACAAGAACCAUAGUUUGCAAAAAAGAAAAAAUGGACAUUAUACAUAAACAUUAGUGUUUUAGAUCUAAAAUAUUCUUUGCUUUAGGUGAAGAUGUAAUAUCAAUUAUUAUGGACAAGAAUAAUUGAGAGCCUUUUAUGUCAUUGAACUCUUAAAAAGACUUGGGAGUAUUACUAUGACGGUGAGCCAAUCCCUAUGCUGUGAAGCUUCCGCCUUCCUGUUGCAAAAGUUCCCUGCUACUGGCUCACUGCAUAUUAACACAAUAAACAUGUCAAAACUAAACUCACAGAUGUAAUCACACAAAAUCUGUGAAGGCACAGUUUGUAAAGGUUUCUGACAAACUCCUGUUCGAUUGGAGGCUCAGAACUACGUAGGAAGUAAUGUCAUGACAUCGAAAACCAACUUUGAGCACAGUGGGAAGAUAUUGUAACCGUACCUUCUAAUGGCAAACCAGCAGAUAAAUACUAUAUAGAGUCCCAUGAGCCCUGGAGUCAAGAUACCAGCAUUCACCUAUUUCAGGUGGGAAAUUAGCAAGCAGACUGCAGUGAAAUACAAAUGAACUAGAUAGGAAAGUUGUAAACAGAACUUACUUUUGGGUGGAGAGAGACGCUCGUCAUGAGUUGCAGUAGUACCAAUGUCCAGGUAAUGAAGAAAAUGUUGAUGACGCAAGAUGGUUCUGGUGAAUACCAUAUGUACAUCAUUAUUAUCCCCACUAAGCUUACAACAUAUGCUGCUGUUGCAAUUAGCAUUGAAUGAAUUUGGCUGCAGGGAAAACCAAAUUAGCCGAAGAUAAAGUCAUGGAACAUGGCUAUAGUAGCUACAUUACAUUCGUUUCUGUGUCUCAAAACCGGAGUAAAGAGUGCAGAUAAAGUGUUUCCAUUGAUACCUCUCAAUCUCAUAAUACCUUUGAACAAAUACAUAUACAACUUAACCAAGUUCAUCAAGAAGUACAUACCAGUCAUGAAACUUAUUGUGUCUAUAUAAUGAAAUUCUUAUAUGCUUAUUAGUUGAGUUGGUGGUUUGAAGACAUUCUUACCAUCUCUCUGAUUUCGAAGACUGGCAGCAAUCGUUCACCCAUGUAAUGAAACUAAUUACGCUUAUUAGUUGAAUCAGAAGGAAUACCCUGAAGAAGAAAAAAAAAAUCAGCACUUGAACUUGUUAAAUCAUAAUUCAACAAAUGCUAGUGUCUAGCAUAACAUGUAUAAUAUACGAUGAUAAAGAAAGCAUUAAAGAUAACAAGGUAGAAAUGUACCCGGCGCCAAAAUGUGCAACCACACCUGCCAAAAGAUUUGUAUUAGAGGCAUGAAAUGAAACGAAUUCAAGAACAUCAGUGCAGGGUGUGUUGUAAAAAUGGCACUAACCAUAGAGCUUUAUAAUAGCCGAAGGAAGCAAAAAGGGGAUAAUAAUGAAAGCAAUCCACAGGACAAUCUUAGCAGACCACCAUCCAGAUUGCCAUGUAUCUCUGGACUCGUUCAACUUCGAAGCACCCGCGGUUGAAAGAAACAUAGAGAAAUAAAACAACUGAUCACCAUGUAUUAAGGCUUAACAUCUGAAUUUUUGACAGACAAAACACACUAUGAAGAGGUUUUAACUUUAGACUCAUCCUAGUAAAAACAGUAGAGAAACAGAACCUAUAGAAGGAUACAAAGCAUCCCAAGCUCACACGAAGAACACCUUCUGUAGCCAAACAGUCAUGUGCACCAUCACAUCCUCUUAACCCUGCAGUCCCAACCAAGCAAGCGUUAAACAUCGAUCAUUUACUAUCCAUGCAUUCAUUAACAGAGAACUUCGUAUAACAGAUCUUCACGUACUGUUCAUCUCGAUCAGGACGCUGUUUCCGUAAUCCCUUACGGCCCAUGCCAUAAGAUUUGCUAGCAGAAACAUAAAACCAUAGACAUAUCUUGCCAUCCAUGGAUUGGAGCCAUUCCGGAAUUGGCUAAACCAUGUAUCAACUUUGAAGGUGUUGCUCCUCUCGUAGUUGCCUGUUGGAGCAGGACUCUCCAUUUUCUCUACCAUUCAUCAAAUUUUCAGGCUCUCUUCUUCAUCAAAAAACCAAAAAGUAACAACCAGUUCUUUCUGUUUCUGUCAGUUUCUCUUCUCCCCCUGCAAUCUUACAGUUAGUUAUAUAGCGUCAAAACUACAAAACUGAAAAAUUUUGGGCUGAAUAGAAUAGUAGCCCAAAAUGUGAUCCAAAGUUGAGACACCCUUUUCAAUUUUUCAUGAUGAUCAUACUUGUGGAGAAGAUAUAUACAUGAACAUGAACACACUCAAUUGAACUUGGUGAAUGGUGUGUGGCAUUAUGCUUCUUUUUGAGUUGGGUGGGCAUGACAAACACAAACACAAUCGUGCAUCGUGCAUGCCACGAUAAUAGUUGAUGAUGGAUAGGCAAAGCAUAUAUGUUCUGAUUCCAAUAUGAUGAAUAUGGUCUAAAUCAAAUUGCUAGUAUCAGAGCCGUCAAUUGGAGCAUAGCUGCAUAAGCAUAGUUUCUACUUGAGAGGUUGAGGAGUAGCCUCAGGAGCUUUUUGUUUCCUUAUUCGAGUUUGGUGUCGAUAUUUUGACCACUUUGUACCCACUAAGCAGUUCUGUAUGCUUUUGAAAUUUGAUCAAGCUCAAACGAAUCCAAAACUUCCUUGAAUUGUUAUACUUACUUAUUUACUUUUCAUUUUUCAAUAAUAUUGAGUUCCUUUCUUCUAAUGCAAGCCGGAAUAUCUUCCACUGAACUCCUCAGUUUAUUUCAGGACGAUUAUGCCCCCAAAUGCUAUGCUAUUCAUAUGGGGAUGAAGUUACAAUUUGGUAAUUGUACUAGCUAUUUGACUCUAUCACACUCAACCCAGAAGACAAUCGAAAAUAGAAUAACUUGACUCUUUGCUUGAUCGUUGAGGAGAACAAACACAUUUCUCACCAACUAAAGCGAUCAGUAGUGGAAAAAUUCGCAUUUAGGGUCUUGUAAAUUUGUAAUCAUCUGAACAAUAUGAAAUAUGGUUUCUAAUUUGCUAUCGGAAAUGCGCAAACAAGACUAGACACCUAUCAUCCAAACAACCAGAUUUGACAUCACUAACAAACAAAGAGAUUGAUUAGAAUCUGAAGCAAGCACAGUAUAGCUGAGAUAGAAAGAAAGAAAGAAAAGCAGCUUAGAAAAGGUAUCACAAACUAAAGCUAUUUGAGAUCAUCCAAGAUUUCGAACUUGUACCUGAGAAUGAAUUGAGGUGGGGAGGGAAUCGAAUACGGCAAUGUAGAUACACAGGUGUAGUGAUCAGUAGCUAGCUUGGAGAGGCUCCGAGACUCUCCCUCCCAAAGUGUCUCUGUGACAGAAAACAAAGAGAGAGAGAGAUUGGUCUUCCGGUUUUGUUUAGGGAAAGAGAGAGAGGUUGCUUUGGUUGCUUUGUAGAGGAGGCCAGGUUUUGAUUGCUUGUCUGCUUUUUCUUUCUUUUUCCCGCCGUAAGGCUCACUGUCUUGGCUUCUCGUCGUAUCUUUCAAGGCACUUGGGCCAUUUGCUUACUCUUUAUCAAACUCUUUCACGCACAACAAAUCUAAAACGCAACAAUAACCGUGAAUUUUCCUUAAAUAUUAUCUUCGAUAUAUUAAGUUGAAAUCUCAUUAGUUCAAAAUUUAUCAGAAAAUAACACUCCCGACAUCAAUCAUGACUCCACAUGUUGUGUUUAAAAAAGACAGUCUACCACAGACGGACACUAAUAUCGUGUUAGAUAUUGACUCGUUAUAUCAAGGAACUUCAUCCAUCAUAAUGAACCAAAUCGAUGUACAUGGUAUGUUUGGGAAAAACAAAAAAAAACAAAGAUUAAAAAGUUGGUGAAUUGGUGUUAGCUAAGUGCACACAAUAAUCAUCAUCAAUUAUAUGUUGCCUCACGCGAGAGGUUCAUGCCUUAUAGCUGAUGAUGCUUUUACUUGAGCCCUUCGUUGUCUUAUGCAUCCCUCUAAUCAUGCCUCUGAUCCAGCUUUUGCAGUUAGACAGUAAACCAUCAGCUGUAACUUUUAUUUUACUCAUAGAUCCCGACAUUUUAACCAACUCCUAUCACCAAAACUCCAAAAUCAAUUUUGAAAAUAUCUAAGAUAAAAUACUACAUGACGGCAUAUUCCAAAUCGGACGGUCGAUAAUACCUAACAGAAUUUAUGAACAUUCCCUUUGCCAAAGUUCGGCGGAGCUCCAUACACAAAGUACUAGGAAUACCUCACGUCUUUAUUUACUUUAUUUGGAAAAAAGAAAAAAGAAAUUAAAAAAGGAGAAUGAAAAAAAAGAAGAAAACAGAAAAGAGAAAGAAACAAAUUAGGGGAAGGAAUCUUUGAAGCAGUUUUUGACUGUGACGUGUUCUUUUUUUCCUUUUUUCUAAUAAUAAAAAUUAUUUGGAUCCGUGCAUGCACGUGGCAGCGUCACAAAUUUCUCAAUCAACGUUGAAAAUCUUUUUGGAUUUUUUAACCCGGAUUUCACUUUUUACCUUUUUCUUUUCACCCGAGAAUUGAUGUGAAUUUUGAUAAGGUUUUUCGGGGGACAUUAGCGUUAAUCAAGGAGAUAUUUUUCUUGUGUUUUAACUUUUAAGUAUGAUUAGAGUUUGUUUUAGUGGGAAUCAACAGUGAUCAUUGAUACUGAUAGGGACAAAUCGAAAGGCAGGCCCAUUUGCAGGUUUUAUGGACGUGCUUUCUCAAAUAAUAUUGGACCUGUGCUUAAGGCCCAAACCUGAAUAUUUUGGAGCCCAAAACUUAGCCAACAUCAGAAGUUCAGCUAUUGGCUUUAGUUUAGGUCGCAUGUGGAUGUCUUCGCAACAUGUUUCCAUCUUUUAACUGUCUGAACAUAUAAAGCUUAACUUCGGAGUUUCUGAUAUAAAUAAUUACAUUAUAUGACUACGUUUAGUAUGAAAAAUUGUAUUUUCUUUGUAACUUUAUAAGUUCAAACAUGGUCGAAUCUCCGCCCUUUCGACGCAUUAGUGUCGGGUGUCGAGACAAUUGAGUCAAUGAAAAAAGAUUGCAGCCAUGUUACACAGUUCAACUAACCUUGUACACAAGACUAGAAGCCAGCUCUGUAGCAAGUAAAAGUUGCGUAAGCAAAGCAUGGUGGCACUGGUAGAGUGGUAGCAGGAGCCUAUGAAAUAAUGGAAAUGCCAUUUUUCAAAUGUAUAGCAAAGCAUGUAUAAUGCCUGAAACUUUAGACCAUCUGCCUGUUAAAGGCAUAUGAUAUCUGCACCACACAAUUAUUGAAUCCAUUCUUGUAUACUAAGAUACAUAUACUAAGAUACAUUAAUAACCCUAAAGCCUGCACUCCAAAAACAAUUGCAUAAACUGAUUCCGUUGGACAUUUAUUAUAUGGGGGUCUUUGUGGUUCCAAAACUAAUCAAGUAUUCCCGUUAUUAUUAAGCAAAUAAAACCAUCAUGAACUGGUUAAGAACUGCCGGCCAAAAAUCCAAUAUCAUUUUCUACACACGGCAAUUCAUGGCUUCCAUGUUCCUCUUUUACUUUUUCUUUGGCAACCCUAUAGUAUUAAUGAAAACCAGAAAGGUCUUAGAGCAUGGAGCACAUUGUGGAGGCUAGUCUAAAAACUUUAGAGGUUUUGUUUGGUGGGCUAUUUUUUAUUAUUAUUUUUCAUUAUAUACGUAAAUCUAAAUGUCAUUCGACCGAGAAGUAUUAUGGGUAAUUUUUAGGUUUAGUGUUUCCAGAGCUAUAGUUAAUCAAAAAUGUGUGUAAUGAGCAUAAAAAUUAGAUGAGAUGGUCAUUUAAAUGUUGACCUAAUCACAGGCUGUCCAUAUUAAAUGGGAGUAAUGUCCUAUUACAGGUAAUGAAAACAAGUCAACCAACUAGUUACAUUAAAAUUGGUACCAUUGCCAAUUGUUGAUGUGGAAAAGCGCUAACAUCCCAUGUGGGAGUUUAUCUUCUCAGGCCCCAUUUCUAUUUAAAACCCUUCACUAUCCCUUACUUGAUGGGUUUCUCUUGUUUUCUACAAUAGAAAAUGACACUUUCAUCAGAGAAAAUUAUGGUUUAUCACAUUAUAUUUUGGUGAGAAAGUAUAAUGUGAUAAAUUAUAAUUUUAGAGAAGUGAAAUUCAUAUUUCUUAAAUUGUAAUCCAUUCUUAUUUUUUAUUUGUGGUACUGGUAACUUAAAUUUUGUCUUUAGUGAUUUAAUUUUUGUCUUCUUAUGAAAAUAAUGACUAAAAAUAGAAAAUAGGAGUGUAGAUUACAAUUCGGAGAGUGUGGAUUUCAGAUCUCUAAUUUUAUCACAUUAUAACGUGAUAAAAUUAUGGUUUACCACACUAGAAAAAAAAAAAACCAAAAAAGAAAGAAAACAUACACGCAAGUCAGUACAGUUUAGAGGCAACUAUAUUAAGUCCAAGAUGUGGAUGAAUGGAGACGCAACAUUAGUUGUUGAGGUUUGGCUCUUCGGGAGAUUGUAUUUUGGUUGCUUGCGGAGAUUAGGGUGAUUCGGUUGGAAAUAAUUUGGACCUAAAUUUCGAAAUUAGAAACCGACGCAUGAAUAGAUAUAGGAGAAAUCUACAAAGAAGAUUGUGCGUUUGCUCUAGCAGCUUACCCAAAAAUGUAGAGAAAAGGACUUGACGAUUGUCUAGUGUUGGCAGUCAUUUUCACCAACAAUGGCAGAAUGUGCAUGGAAGGCAGUUCGAGUAGCUGAAUUUGAGUGCCCUUCAAUAGAGGUGGGUGGGUACUUUAUAAGAGUAAUGAGCUUCACUUGAUUUGGGUAUGCAUGGUCUUAAAGUUUUAGGGCAGCAAUGAAAGCCAGUAGGUUGUGGAAGAGAUCAGAGCAGCACAACAAAGAUGGAAAACAGGGUCAUCAUCUCAAUCAUGUACCAAUAACAUGUGAUCCAGUUGAAAGGAACGGAUGGUGGAAAUGCAGCACUGGCGUAAUGGUGAAUCUGCCCACAGUAAAAAGUACGAAGAUUUGAAUAUGGUGGACGAUGAUGCAGAAAAGCUCAGUGAUGUUUGGGAGGCGUGAAAAUUAUAUGGCUUCACCCAGACCCUGUGACUCUACGACCCACCAAGAGAGGCAGAGAGACAAGAGGGACCUUUCGGAAAGUAAUUGCUCCAUGUCAAUGAUUCUAGCGAUGAAAGAACAAGAACUCUGAAGAACAAUUCAUAUCUUCGAAGAAUCUAAACCCGGAAAAGGGUUCGAUCUGCAAUUUAGUAAAGCAAAAUGGAGGUGGAAUGUGACAAGAGUCAACAACAAACGCCCUCCAUGAUGAAGCUUUUCAUGAGGGUUAUGGGGGGUUUCAAAUUCCAAUAGGGGAAGUGUGAGAGUGAAGCAAAGAGGUUUGAAUUCGAAACUUCAAAUCCAUACAUUUGAUAUAUUAGAGGGGGAUGCACAUGAAUCAUGAUGAUGAUGAUACUAAUCCCAAACAAUACUAAUCUAAUUCAAAGAGGCUCAGAUCAGAAAUUGAAGGUAGCACCAGCCACCAGCAACUUCCAUUCACUCAGUUCAGAAUUUCAGGUCCUACCCAGCAAUGUCGAUUGCCAAUUGGGGCCUGGAGUCUCGAUCGAAAAUUAGGGACCCAAUCAACCUAAUGACUUAUCUAUCUAUCACCUAGACAACAUCAACAAUAUGAUAAACGAAAUUGAGCUUAGCUGUGUCUUGAUAGACAAAAUCAACAUCGGAUGAACACAAUCUAGCAUAGCUGUGUCUGUGACUCUCCAAGUCGUUUUCUCAAACUCCAUAGCUGCAUUGCACAUGGAUUCCUAAUCAAUCCAACAAUUCCAAUCCACGAACUUUCAAUGACACAGAAAUUGAUUGAAACAAGACACCCAUCCAAGGUUCCUGAAACUCAAACUAUUUCUGGCGAAUCUAACAAGCAAAUGGAAACUGGGCGAAGAACAAGAGGAUUGAACAAAUGAUGGACAAACUUAUAACAUGAAGUAGGAAAUGGAAUGAUGUGAACUCUGAAACUGUGAAACUUAAUACAAGUAAAGUGUUCAUGAUUAUACUAUAGAAUUUGGAAAUGUGAAGAAACAAAAGUAUGAUUAUAAAUGAGACAAUAACAAUAAAACCCUAAAACUACAAAUCAGCAGCGGAAGCAGCUAGCAGAAGGCGGUGCUGCUGUGUUUGUAGCCUGAAUCCAUUCAUCCCUAUACAUACAACAUUCUCUGCAACCUACUCUUUCUCUGCCAUUUUUAUUUCACAACCUCAAAAUAUCCAUAACAAUUCAAAUAAAUAUGGGAGAGAAUUUCCCCCUUACCUCUCUCAAUCUAUAGUGAUAUUCAUGUCUAUGCUUUCACCCUCUUCUUUUUGUUCUUUUCUUGAGACAUUUGUUGUCGCCGUUGAUGAUGACUCCAGGAUAUUGCAUACAAUCUCAAUUACAAUGUCUUUUUUUUCAAGUGUUUUUCCCACUGAGCGAUGAGAAUUGCCCAAAAGAGAAAAAAUGCCAAUGACUCUGAGUUUGUUGGUGCUCCAGGAAAGGUUAGAGGAGGAAAAUUCUCAAAAGAAUUAAUAGAAGGGUGGCGGCGGAGGAGACGCGUAUGAAACUCCAAAGAUUGGUGGCAAUGGGCCCUCAUAUACAGGAGUGGGAGGCGGCGGGCUUGCAUAAAUAUAUGGAGGGGGUGAAUUCGGUGGUGGUGGAGAACUGUAUUGAACAACCGGUGGUGGUGGUGAAUGGUGGACUGGAGGUGGGGGAGGCGACUCAUACACUGGUGAUGGUGGUGGUGAUGGAGAUGGUGGUGGUUUGUGAUGGUAUGGAGGAGGUGGUGGAGGCGAGGACUCAGGACAUGGUGGCGGUGGUGGAGGUGGUAAUUCAAUGCAAGGAGGCGGUGGUGGAGGCGGUUCUAUACAAGGAGGUGGGGAAGGGGGAGGUGGGGAGUGGACAGGGGGUGGAGGUGGCGGUGAUGAAUAAGGAUAAAUUGGUGGCGGUGGUGAAUGUGGAGGAGGCGGUGGUGGUGAAUGCGCAGGGGGCGGGGGUGAGUAGUACAUGUAAGGAACUGGUGGAGGUGGAGAACUCAAUGGAGAAGGCGGUGGAGGUGAAUUUGGUGGCGGCGGUGGUGGGGAGUGGACACAAUAGGGAGGGGAGACUGGUGGGGGAGGUGAUGGUGGAGGUGGAGGCAAGUAAACUGGCGGUGGAGGUGAUGGUGGAGGCGGAGAUGGAGGCGGUGGUGGUGGUGGGGAGUAAACUGGCGGUGGAGGUGGUGAGUACACUGGGGGAGGUGGCGAGGGCGGUGGAGGUGGUGGUGAGUAAACUGGGGGAGGUGGUGGUGGAGGUGAUGGUGGCGGUGAGAAAACUGGUGGCGGUGGCGAUGGUGGAGGAGGUGGAGGUGAGUAAACCGGUGGAGGAGGUGAGGGUGAUGGUGGCGGCGGAGGAGGUGGCGAGGGAGUCACAACAGGAGGUGAAGGAGUCACAAUUGGAGGCGAAGGAACAGGAAUUGGGGGUGUAGGUGAAGGAGUGGAACCCUUACAGCCAAACGACUGGCAACUGACAGGCUUAGACAAAAACGACUUACAUUGCGCCGCGGACCUCUGUAACGGCCUAUUCGGCAAGCAAUUCCUCUUGUCAUCGAAACCCGGCAAGGCCAGACACACCGGAGGCUCGCCAGUGAAGAAGUUAUAAGAGUAAGUGAAGUUCUCCAAACUCGGCAGUGAGCAAAUAGCCGGCGGAAUCGACCCAGACAGCAAGUUAUGAGCCACAUUGAGCUGCUCAAGACUCACCAUCCCUCCAAUUGUGUCCGGCAGCGGCCCCAAGAACUGAUUGUAGCUCACGUCGAACACCGUCAAGUUCUUCAGCAUCCCUAUCUCCUCCGGCAAGCACGACCUGAACCCAUUAUUCAUCAUAAUUAUCUCAUCCAAGUUCGACAUGUUGCCCAAGCUCGCCGGAACGCAGCCAUGGAACUUGUUGUUGGCGAGAACAAUAACGGAAACCGGUGAGUUCCCGAAAUUCUCAGGGAGAUUGAACCUGAACCGAUUGUGGUUGAUGAAAAUAGCAUCCAAGUCCUUGUCAAACAGCUCCUUCGGCACAGUCCCCUCGAACUCAUUGAACCUCAGAUCCAAGAACUUGAGCUCCGGGAGAUGAAGCACAACAUGCGGGAACUUGCCGGCGAAGCGGUUGUUACUGAUGUCAAGCUCGUAAAGCAGCUUCAGGUUCCGGAAUUUAUGCGGCACAGUCCCGCAGAACCUGUUGGAGUUGAUGUGGAACAAUGCAAGAUCUGUAAGCAGCCCAAGCUCCUCCGGCAAGUACCCAGCAAUAUCGCCGUGGUUGAGGUCAAUGCCGGCGACGGUUCGGAUCGAGCUGUUGUCGAGAGCCGGAGCACAGAACACCCCGGUGUAGCUGCACACAUCAGAUCCGACCCAGUCACCAGUGAGAUUGAAAGGGUCAGAGAGAAUAGCCUUCUUCCAAGCUUGUAAUGCUAUGUAAGCAUUCCGGAGUCUCGGGUUCUCGAAAACCAGAGAAGGGUCGACUUUCACGACCUCACCGCGGUCGCCGAACUCGUCGCGGUAGUAGAGCAGCUGGCGCUGCUUGAUGUAGUGAGCUUCGGCGUCGGUGAGACUUCCAUGGGUGGUAAUGUGGCUGGAAGAGAGUGUGGAAGCAAAGAAGAAAGCAGUAGUGAGAAGUAGAAGAGAAAGAUCAAAGAGAGUGGUCUUCUUCUUCAUCUCACAUCAGACAUCUGACUUCCCAAAUGCCCACUUCUUUUUGCUUCUCUUGGUCUAUAAAACCCUACACAAAGAAAAUUAAAAAACCUUUUAAUGUUACUUGUUUUGAGCUGAGAUUGCAAAUGGGUAUUUGCAGAAAUGGGGAUUGAAUUUCACCUUGAGAUCUGAGGAGGAAGAAGGAGGAAGAGAGAGAGAGAGAGAGAGAGAGAGAGAGAGAGAGAGAGAGUAGUUGGGUUAGAGAGAGAGAGAGAGAGAGAGAGAGAGGAGAGNGNGNGAGAGAGAGAGAGAGAUUUGGGGUUUGGGGGAAUGGGAAUGUGGAAUGGGUAAUGGGUUUGGGGAGGAGGAGAGAGUAGUGGGGACUGUUUUCUAGGGAUUUUGGAGAUGUGUGUUUGUAGUAUGCACUAGUGAUGAGAGGAGGUUAGAAGGGGUGAGAGAGUUGAUUAUACACACAUAAAAAUAGACAGCUAAAUCACAGCUCAAAGCCCACCAGAUUCUCUCACCUUCUUUUAAUUUUUUUUCCUCUCCUCAAUCUACUGUCUCUUCCCUUUUUAUUCUAUUUCUCACAAUCCCAUUCACAUUACAGAGUUUUGGAAUGAAACCCAUAUCCACAAUCCCCAUUUUAGAUUUUUUUUUUCUCCUAACAAAAAUAUAACAUCUCUAAUAACUACAAAUGUUCUAUAAUAAGUUCGAUACAGUCAUACAGAGAUAACCGAAUACCUAAAAUGUUACGCUAAGAGAAUAAUUCAGAACCCUAACAGUAUAAAAUUAUCGUUGUCGGUUCACUCGUUGAGAAGUCUCUGAUUUUUAAGUAUGAUCAUUUGGUAAUAUUUAGCAAUUAUUAUGAUUUAUUUUUAUGGUUUAUUGAAGCUGUUAAGAGUGGAGUUGGUAAGCUAGUGAGUGUGAGAAUAUAGCAAUUUCUCGCGAGAAAUUGAGAAUUGGAGGAGCGAUUGGUGGGUUUGAAUUGUGAGAGUCCGACUUUAUGAAUGUGGAUGUGGGGGAGUGGGUUUGUUUUUGUCAAAUCGGACAAGUCUGGGAGUAAAUGAACUACCAGUAAAGUUGGCAGAAAUUACGGAAACGACCUCGGUGCGUUUUCUUUUAUGAAGUCUCACGGGAGCAGACAGUGUUCUGGAGCGUCCCCGGCUUCUUUGGGUAAAAGAUCUCAAACGCCGCUCUAUGCUCCAAAAGUCUAAACCUAAGUCAAUUAGUGUAAUUACACUAUAACGAGUAUAGUCGACUAAGCAAUACAAAACGGUAACUUUUCGUUACUUGUGGGCGCACUCAUGCAAAGAUUAAAAACAAGUCAAAUAUCCGAAAAUUGUACCGGUUUACAAUGAAGACUCGUUGGGUCUUUCUCAUUUUCAUUUUCGUUAGGUAGUUUUUUUUAUCAACCAACGUAUUAUUUAUGAAGGUUUUGUCUUCAUCCUCUUCUUACAGUAUCUAAUUAUUAUUUGGGGUAGUAACUGGUAAGAAAGUUUUAUGCUUCUCUUAUCUCUUGUUUUGAGCAGUAGAACAAAAUACGCUCUCAUUCUGAUAUAAAACAUGUAAAUACAUACUUGAAUUAUACUUUUUAACAUAGACAUAUUAUUUGAUUACAUUUGACUAUACUUUUGUAUCUUCUAGCAAUUUACCCCACAAUAAGUGUUGCAUUGUUCCAAAUAACCCAAUAUUCACUUCAUUUAAAUACAUGAAUAGGUUAGGUGUCAUUGUCUCGUAGGAUUUCCAUGUUUGUAGCUCAAGUGCAUCAUUAUCUCAGUAUAUAUUGUCAGUAUUCCUUGGCAUCAAGUACCUUUUAUUUAACUUUAGUUUACCCACUAAUCAACAUCAUCAAAGUAGGUGAUGUAAGUAAAAUGGUAAAAGUAACUUUUAUUUAUUCAUGAAUUGAUGAAACUAAACUAAAAUGAAUCGGGGCAUCCGUUACGUUUUCAUAAAUAGCCGUAACGGUAGCGUUGAAGAAGGUGGGCCGUUAUGCACGGUAAUCCUGGGCCGCAACCUCAUCACGGUUGACGCUGAUGCACCAUUCGAUCACCAUAACUGUAGAAAAGCCUCAAACCGGGUGAUGCUCGCCGCGUGGCCUUUCCGGAGGUGGGUCCCCGGGUGGCCAGCCGGGUCAAGGCUCGGACACGGUCACACCCCGCCCCAUGCAAAAGCCCCGAGAGGGCCCCACGCGUCACGUCGUGCUCGGCUGGAUCGUCGGCGUUGAGAUGGAAGCGGGCCCCACGUUCGUGUAUUGCACCGCGUCGUCGUAACGCGUCCAACACCCACCGUUUGGGAUGAUAACGAAAAGACUGUUCUACCCCUUAACACCUUUUGAAUUUGGAAACGGGAAAAAGGUCACGAGCGCGCCUAACCACCACGGCCACCGUUUUAAAUAACGCGCUUUCACUCCUCCACCGCCGUCUCCAGUGGCCUUUUUGCUCUGUAAUGUAGGCUUCAUAAUUUUCGUUAUUCAUGUUCCGAAACAUUAUAGAAAGAACGAGAACUCGUAUCUAACAUUGUGAAGAGAAAUAUCGUUGUUCGAAUAUUGAUGUUCGGACGGAGGAAAAAUAUCGUUGUUCGAAUUUUGAUGUGUGGAGUAUUGAGUUUUGAUUUUUGAUCGAUCGAGUAAGUGGAGAGCGCGGCUGCAAAUAAGGGUGAGGACAUGAGUUGUGUGAUGUGAUACGAUGAAAAAUAAGUCGGGCUCCAGUUGUUGUCUGAAAAUCUUGUGCAUAUCAUUAUGAAAAUAUUAUUAACUUGGACUUAUGAUUAAUGAUUUCAUGUUUAAAAGCAGAGCCACCGAUCCAACUCAUAUGAUGUGAUAUGAUACUGUGGUUUUACUCAGUUCAAUUCUUACUGGGUAAUAUAUUACUUGUGCUGAAAGUCUGAAACCCUAAAAUAAACGAGAAAGAACCAUUCAAACUGUGGACUUUGAUUUUUCUGGGUUUGGAAAUGCAUAUGAUCAUGAUCGAUGUUUGUUGAGCAGCUUCAUUGUUAAUGUUUCUGUUGGCAUUGUCAACCUCGAUACACUGUUGCGAAACGUUGCUUUGGUUUUUCUUCCUAUUUUUCUAUGAAAUGAAGCAUCAACAAGUUCUGUUUGGCUUCUCUAAUCACAAUUAUAGAUGUAUCUAAUUGGUAUUAAUCAUCUCUUUCUAGUGAAAUGAUUAGCAUUGUCAACCAAUCAAGCCGUCACCUAGCACUCCAAAUCAAUGGUCAACAUUAUAAGCAAACAAUUCAUCACUUGAAUUUCAGAGCAAUAUGCCAAUAUCAUUACGUAAUAUAUCGAGCUGUAUCGAAAAUUAUAGACUUUGAAUGAACAAUUGCAUGUUAUACUCUUGCUUAUGGCCAAAGCAUAUACAGUAGUACUCUUGCUCGAAUAUAAGCUAGCAUGUUAUUCAGGCUUUCUAUAUAAGCACCUGAUGGCUUACCUUGGGUCAUUUUUACCAUUAGGGUUUUUGAUCAUUUUUUUUAAAAUACUAACUUUAACGAUUUAACCCUGAGUAGUCUGAUUAUGCCGAUCGGUUUUUCUUGAGUCUUUCCCUAACCCUAACCCUAAAUUGCUAUAAAUACACACAUCCAUCGUCCAUUUCGAUCACGAGGAAUGAUGAUAAACAUGGGAAUUCGAAUAGGAUAGGAGUUGGUGUAUUAGGCUAUUACUCUAUUAGCUAUAGCUAGCACUUGAAAAUGAUAUGAGCUAAGUUCGAAUAAUAUGUACACGUCAUGAAUUGAUCAAUGUGUAUUACAAAACCGUGUGGGACCAAUAUAUUCCACGUCAGAUACUUCAGCCAAUCGAUUAGGACAAAUACUUGCCAGCCGGCAAGUCCAGCUGCCCAUCACACUUGUCAAUUUCUCCCAAGCUCUUAUAUAUAUCUCAUGCAUGUCAUUUUCAUUUCUUUUUUUGUUUUUUUGUUUUCUAUUUACGGAUAUUUUUCUAAUCGAUGGAUUAACGAUCACACAAGAAAAUGACGGUAGACGUUUCCAAUUUGUUAUAUGUAUCAUCAGUUCUACUUGUAUCAAAACUUAAACGAAUGUCUUAUUUCUACAGCUACACAUUACCUGUAAUGCAAUGCAUCUUAGGCUUGGAUGCUAAUGUGUUCGCCACAUAUUUGUAUUGUCCAUGAUGUUUGCAAACAAAAUCAGUUUUGUUUCGACUGCAAAAAUCUACUUGUUUUUCUUUUGUCCUGCAGCAUAAAUCUUGACACGGCAUUCAUAACGUGCAAGCUAAUCUAGAUUAAACUCAGAAACUAUAUACUAAUAUACAAGUAAUUAGUAUUAAUAUUGUGUCAUAUAUAAACUCACACACACUUGCACAGUAUCUAAUCUGCAGCCUCAAUCUCCUUGCAAACUGACCUUGAACAAUUCCCUUUUGUCGAUGGCAAAUUGACAAUGCAGUAUGUGAAUUAGUCAGAUUAUAGAGAUUAAUUAGAUUAUAUCUGCUAAGUUUGGCUAAAUAACAAAGCCAAGAUGCUGCAUGUAAAUUGGAACCGUCGAAUUUGAUUUGUUUUAUUUUCUGGGUUCAUAUGGUUAACGUUUCUGCUGGACUUUAAGCAGCUUGUGUGUGAUCGAUGUAAUGUGUGGAAAAUUGAUGCAAAGUUUGUUGUAGAAGCUGUCUUUACUGACGUCAAGUAUAUAUAUGUUCAAACAAACAUAUCAUUUAUAUAUUUCCUUUGACUAUGUUCGUCUAAUUCGUUUUUCUUUUUUGGUUGCUGCUCUGGUUUAGGUCGUCGUCUCUACUUUGAGCACAUCGAAUGGCCAUCGGAAUUAAAAUACUGAAAGCCAUAUAUUUGCUUAUUUGCUUCUGUAACACUAUGUACAUGUUUUUCUUUUCAAAUUAUCAUGACGAACUAUCUUUUCGUCUAUUUAACAUUUAUCUUGUUGGAAGAACUUGUAUGAUUUUGUAAAUUAGAAAUGUAGAAUGUAAGGAAUUAAAUCUAACUUCAGUUGUUUUUACAGUAUUGUAUCAUUGUAGGGGGUGACAAGUCAUAAACUCAUAAGCCAUAACACACAUGAUCUGCACAAAAUGACCAAACUUCAUAUGUAAACUAAAAAGUUAACUCAUUCAUUAUUAUAGAGUAAAAUUUGUAAAAAAAAAUGUAACACCGCUCAUAAAAGACAUCAUGGAUCAAUUUUUAUAACAAGAAAAAGAUUGAGAACACACAAAAGAGUUGUGACCAGAACUUCUCCGCUAUGAUUGUUACCAAUUCGGUCGCAAUAGAGAGAGAGAGAGAGAAACACAAAAGAGUUACGUCCGAAACAUUUCCGCUAUACCAAUCUCGAAUGAAAGUUAAGAAAAAGAGAAAAUGUCAUACUUUUUUCAUUCCUUGAUAGAUGAUCCAAACUUGCAACCUAAUCUGCUACAUUGUUCAUCUUCAUUAGAAACACACCAAAGAACUUCACCUCUGGCCAUUUUAGUAGUGUGACUAAAAUGAGAAAGCAGCAAAAGAAAAUAAAUAAUGUGUAGACGAUAAAAUUAAGGCUGCGCAAAUUACGGACACAAUUCGAGAACGGAAUUGAAGCCCAGGAAUUGUUUUUGUUGGUAGCUCUCAAUCAUUUUAUUAUGAGUUUAAUUAUGAAGCCUAAAAUCGUCGGCAGCCAUUUUAGUAUUUUGUUUUGUUUUUAUGGUGAAAUCUGGGUUUGUCUGGGUAGAGCCUGCAUUCAUAUUCGACCCUACAUCUGUGCCGUGUUUUCUUCUUCUUUGGGUCCAUAACGUUUACGGUAAAUGGUAAUUCCACAUGAUUUUAUACCCUUUUUCUCUCGUGUUUGUUUUGUCCAACCAAUUUCCCAUCAAGUCUUCCUCUUCCUCUUCCCCAUAUUGGUUUUGAUCAUUUCUGUGCAGCAAAAGUCAAGAAACUCAAAUUUUGGCUUGGUACGGGUUACUUGGAUUGAGGUUGAAGUUGAAGACAUGAAAUGUGCAACCGUCGAGUGAUUUAUGGUUAGUGGAUUGUAUCAAGAGGUUUCCUCGUUUUAGGUUUAAACCAGAUGAAUAUCAUUUACUUCGGAGGUCAAAGUAGUCAUAGAGUUUCUAUUGUCUUACCAUUUCGAUAAGAAUGAUCGAGUUGUCACCUACAUGUGUAGAAAUUUCGCAAGUGUUCGAUCAUGAAAUAUUUAAAUCAGACUUUUGAUUGUCAGUACCUAGAUCAUAAAUUCUAAAUCGAAAUAGCGUGAAACAAAAUACGUUGAAUCAAACUCAUACAACGAACAAAUGUAACCUUGUUUUAUAGAUGUUUAUACUCGUAAAAUUGUCAAACCACAAGAGAACAAUUGGUUGGAUGAGUAUUUAUUUGAAUAUAUAGAACAAACUAAUGACUUCAAGAACAAACAUAUGUCAAACCCUAAAUUAAGAAACCAUUUACUCGACACCAAAUGUUAGCUAGCAUGUAACAACUUCUAGUAAGGAAUCCAUGGGAAGGAGGAGAAACGAGACGAGAAGAUGAAAAUGAAAAUCAAGAAGGGCAAUGGUCCCUAAAUAAGGCGAAUACUACAACAACUGUCCCUGUAGCAGUGCCAUAUGGUGGUCUCUCGUCUUAUGAUUCUUAUCAACAAGGAACUUGGUACCCUUUGCAGAUUACAACGAAAAUAAUUUACCUGCCUUCCCUUGGUGUAAAGGACAGGUCCCCUACAAGUUCCUCUUCUCUAUGGGACUGUCCCAUCAAAUAGAAGACCAUUCAUUCAUAGCUGGAUCUGUUAUAACUGGUUCUUUGCUUCACUUUACAUAAAGUUAAAAAUGGGGCAAAAAAAUUUGAAAAAAAAGUCGGUUAUUCUUCCAGAGAAAGAUGAAGGUGAUGGAUCUUGUUUGCCCUAGUAGGAGGGACAAAAUAUAAAGCGAAUAGAACUGGUUCUUCAAAACUAUGUCCACCACUAAAACCUUUCACCUUAAAAGUAGAGCAUAAUUGGCUUUCCAUGAACUGCCAUGAAGGAUCUGUAAAGCACAAGAUGUUGCAUGCAUCAAUUGCACUGCAAUGGAAGAUGGAACCAACCACCACACACAGUUUUUUACCUAUCUGAUUUUAUGAGCCACCUGUUUUUCUCUGAUUUUAUGAGCCACCUGAUUUUAUGAGCCACCUGCUUUUCUCUCGGACUUGAGAUUUCAAGAUCUGAUGCGAGUUCUAAAAAUGGUGUUAUCUAAUGUUCAUUAAAAAAAGGCCAAUCAGCCAUAAAAGAGCUAAAAACAUUCUAAAGCAAUAUAAACUUCUUUUUUGUACCGGACGGUAUGUUUUGGUCAGACGAUCUGACCGAAAAGCUUCACAUUUGUAAUGGGGAAUAACUGGGGGCAUAAGGAUGUGUAUAUAUCAAUCACUACACAAAAAUCAUAACCCGGGAAAACUCAAACAACCAUAGCUUUAAGCUUUAGCUUCCAUGGAGGGUCGUUCCUCUUGCUCAAGGCAGCUGCCAUAUUUGGUGCCUCUAGGUUUUUUGGGCCUGAGGCGACCGCCUCUUCGACCUCACCUCAGGUCCGAGCCUGCUCGUGUAAGACUUGUGAAAAAGCUACUCGAAACCAUUUCUUCCUCUUCAACCAUAUGUCGGCAUAAGAGAACGAGCUGCCAUUAUUUGGUUUAGUAACACAAGUCUCUUUUGGUUCAACUAUAUAUCUAAUUGAGAACGAGCGGCUAUUUGGUCCAGUAACAUAAGUCUAUUUCAGUUCGACAAAAUCUCAGUUGUUAAGAUCAAUUAUGCUAAAGUACAUAUAUUCUCUUACAUGAGUCUAAUCCCAUAUCAUUGUGGAACCUAACCGUGACAAAGUUAGAUUCGAUACAGACGCACAUAUAUUGAUAUAUAGACCAAGUUGAACAAUGCCAGCUCAAAACCCACCCUUACCUGAUUGCCUGCCAUACAUGAAUUUAUAUAAAGCAAAUACAAUUAUUCAGAAUAAAUAUAAGUACGAGCCCAUCAAUACUUACUAUUAUAAGCUUAAAACUUCCGACCACAUUUGUUCUUUGCAGCUAAUAUAACUCUGAUUAGAAGCAAAACCAAAUGAUUGGCUAUGAUUUGGACAUUGUUUAAGUAUGAUUAACCAACUUUACGAAGACCCAAAAACGAAUCAACAAGCUAAGCACAAAGAGAAAGGAACAAAUUUAUAUAUCAAAUGGGAUUAACAUCGUAAUUAACAAACGUUUAUUUCCACCGAAACAAAAAAGAAACUUUUUUUUUUUUUUUGCCCCCUUUUCUAAUGCCCAACAACACAUCAUUGUAUAUGUUACAUGUAAUCAAGAUAGAGAUUUCAUUUAGCUACAAAAUCAAAGGCCACCCGCAGAUAGGGGCCCCUGGAUGGGUCUCUUUCUGGUGAACCUAAUAUAAGGUGUGUAAUAUAUAAGUUGUAAAGUAGCACAAGAAUAUAACUAUCCUAAUGGAAACUACAAGUACCUUUCCAGGUUGUACAUUGGCAAGUUUUACAAGUCACAUCCUGCAGAAAAAGGAGAAAGGGAAACUUUCGUAAGAAGUCUAUAUCUAGAAUGAUCAAGAUGCAUGUAAACAAUGAGCAAAGCAAAAUGGCGUAUGGGAGGAAACCAGUUAAGUUAGAUAUGUAGAGAAUAUGACAUAAGAUGGAUCCCGCAUGAUUCAAGGUGAAUAUAAGAUUUGAAACAACAAUCCCCUAAAAUCAUCGAAGGAUUAGACUUAUAUGACUUCUCUACGAAUCUCAGAAAAACCAUAUGCCCAACUCCCAAAUGAUUUAUUAACUUAUGAAAAUGAUCAGAUUAAGGAACCAGAAAGUACUUAAAAAUAAACACCCAAAUAUGAACAGUGUCUCAUCCAACUCCAAGGUUCUUUCAAGUGAAGAUGUAAUAUAUAUAAUGAGUGACAACUUUAUAAAUGGAGACUUCACCCGAAUACAAUGAACACAUCAUGCGACGAGAUGAACCAUUCAUGAGUAAGUGAGCAAACAGACUAAUGAAAACUUAAAACAAAAUAUUUAAGUUCAUCUUACAUGAAGAUUGAUUAUAUGUUGAUGGACUUCUUCAGCAUUUGUAGGCUACUCUUCCUCAUGGGUGCCAUUCACAAGAACAACACCAUUCAUGGAGUCUGAAUCCUCCUCAAUGGUAUGUUCUUCACCUGGAUCUUCUUCAUUCUCCUCUACCUCCUGUAACAUUGACAAAUAGAUGUAAAACCUUUAAGUACCCCUUCAUACAAAAAAACAUCAAGCAAAACGAACAGCAGAAUGCUGAAACAAAAUUUUUAUAUUCAACAUGUUUACUUCAACUACUCAUAAAACAAACUAUGUGCAGCAUCUAGAAUUUGAGAAAAUCAUAAUGUGAAACUGCUUUCAUAAGAAAAACAUGCACUUUGCCUGAAUAAUCUUCCCGGAAAGAGAGGAAAACAAAAGAGAAACAAAAGGCUAAGUAAAGUUGCAGAUGUGCAAAUUCUAUUUCUUUGCUAUUUUAGUUGUCCCUAGAGUAUUAAUUUGCAUAAAGAAUUGUAAGUACAUAACUCAAAUGAGUAUCAGCUUUCCCAAUUUUCAGUUCAAUAAUCUGUUAACUCAGUUGGCUGAUUGUACCUCAUGAUCCAGAUCUCCAUUUUCAACUGGGGCUGCUUCUUCUUCAUCAAUGUGCAUGCUUUUGAAUAAUUCAACAAGGCUGCUAGCUGGCUUCUCAGAAGCAUAGACUGGGUACUGUUCAGCUGGUUGAUAAUUGCCACUGCAAAAGACAUAGACAAAGCAAUCCAGUCAAUUUACAUGCAUAGGGCACAAAAUGAUUUAUCAACGACCAAUAACUUCAGUAAGGUUCUGAAAAUACUGCACCACCUAUCAGUAACUAUGGUGAUAUCUACUGGAGCGCAACAAACUCAGACAAUGUGUUAAUGUCCCAUUAUUCAUGACCAUAACAUUGAACAGGAAAGUGAAUUGUGGAUACCUGGUUUCAGUGCGGUUAGACUCAAGGGAAAGAGAAAUCUCCCAGUCCUCAAACAAAUUAGGAUAUUCUUUGGGAUCUGCCAAAGAUUCUGCAGCUCUUUUAUUAACCUGUCAUAUGGCAAAUAAAAGCACAUGGUUAAUAUAUAUUGAAUUGCUUCAUUUGGUGACUAUGCAUUUUCCAAAAUAAAGGUUCGUAUCAUAAACUGAAAAAGGGACUAGAAGUUAGACCUUGUUCAGGUCAUUUCUCCAGAUUGAAACUAUCUCUGACACCUUGCUGGGUAGGUAAGAUCGUGCCAUCAAUGCUGCUUCAGGUAUCCGCUCACUGUAAGGAGAGAUGUAAAUACUUCAACAAACAAGCAUCAAAAUACAUGGAAAAGUUGAGUGAUCAUCAUUUUGUUAAAUAAAAGAUUACCUAUCUAGCAACAGCUGGAUGCAUUCUUCCAAUUUACCCAGCAUGAACAAACAAAGGAAUGCAACAUUAUUCUUUCCUUGCUCUUUAGCAAGUGAAGCAAGUUUUGAUAUUCCUUGAGCAUCUCCAAGAGAAGAAUACAGAAGUAACAAGCCAGAAUAGUCCAGUCCAUGUAAUAGGCAAUCUUCAGCAAGUUCUAACUGCAUAAUCCAUUCAAGGGUAUGGAUAAAGAUUUGGAUGUACCAUAUAAAAUGCAGGCAUAAUUGCAUAACUGAUGUAUAACGGAAGGUUUAACUGAUAGUAAGAGUGUACAGUAAUAUCAAACACAAAGCACAGUAGGAAUGAGAAUUCCCAAUCACGAUGGAUAGAUGAAUGACUCUUUAGGUGCGAGUGCAAAUGAGGUCUUCAAGUUUAUUUAUAAGAAUUCGACAGAAGACACAUGUAAAGAUAUACCUUCCCAGAGGACAGAGCUAAAUCUCCCAGCUGCUUCCAUUUGGAUUCACUCUGUGCUUUAGUAGCAAUUUCCUAUCAGCAAAAGAAGAAAAACGUAAAAAACUUCAAACAAGCAGAUACAACUGAACAUAAGUUUUGUGUACAAAUGAAUUGAGCACCAGUGUAGAAGUAAGCUCCAGAGCAAAGCUUUCUACCAACUCAGCCAUAAGAGUAAAAGAUUCUUACCUUUGCAAUCUCUAGAUUACCCAGCUGUAUAGCAAGAUCAAAUUUGUAGUCAGGAUCUGUAGCCACUUCCAGUGCAUCCUCCAACAUCCCACGAGAUUCCAAAAAUCGGGCCACACUGAAGGCAAAACAAGACUUACAACAUAACCCUCCAACCAAUAAAAUCAUAUGUAACAUGCUUGUACCAGUCUACCAAUAAUUAGUACCUACAUCUAACAUUGAUUGAUGCACAACAAUUUGCGAUUGCAAAAUCUUCCUACCUGUUAUGUUGCUCUUGGGGAAUUGUAGGAAAAAUCUCUUUGGCACGCUCUAAAUCUCCACGCAUAACAAGUGUCUUGUACUCAAUCAAGCUGAGAAGCAAGGAGUAUCCCAUGACACUGCAUAAACAACAACAACAACAAAAAAUAGAGAUUAAGAUUUAGAAUAACCAAGACACAAUUCAUUAAGAACUGCAGCUUGCAAGAAAAAACUCACUUGAACUCUUUAUCAAUAAGAAAAAGACGACUUUGAUUGGCAAGAUAUCCCAACAAGUACAUGGGCCGGUCCAAAUGAAACAUUGUGGUCACCUGAAAAAGUUGCACCAACUCAAAAUACCUUCCUUAUCUUGAAUAAAUAUAAAGCAAACAUUUUCUAAUAUGUUCUGAAAACUAAAGCAGAAGGGGGACAAGAGAUUCAAAUAUUCAGCUCAGGUGGGUUAAAAGAGUGGUAACAAUAUUUUCACAUGUCGUAUAUCAAUUUUAUUAGAAUAUACUGUUUCAAGAAUUCUCAAGUACAAUAGCUAUUAUGAACUUAUUCUAAAAGCUAGAAAGGUCAUAUACCUCUCCACCAACACAGUAGUUGAGCCGCCAGGAGGAGUUAUUAUAAACAAAACAGUCGCCAACCCAUAAUCCAGUUCGGACACGCUCGUUUAUCUCAAAGAGGAGCUCAAAAGCAUCUUCAACACCUAGUUCAUCAACUGGCCUUCCACUCUCAAAAUAAGAAGAGACUAUAUCCCUCUGCAAUAACCAAAAUAAGUCAGCUAUGUGAACUAUUUCUACAAACAUGCGUAGAAAAGAACUGAGAAACAUUUAAUAAAGGAUAUGAAAGCUUGAAAAGGAAGAGCUCUUACAUCAUAUUUCAGAAUGUAAAAUGAUGAAUCACUAGCAAUGGCCACCAGAUCACCGCUAUCAGCCCAAUAAACAUUCUAGAACAAUCAAAUAAACCAAAGGAAAACAUAAGAUUACUAUCGGCAUGGCCAGAAUCAGACGCUUGACAGUGAUAUUGUUCCAAGUGGUGUUAGUGGAUACCUUCACAUUGACAUCAAUUCGUCUAAUCAAUCUGCAAUCCACCCAGUCAUAGAAGCAGACAAAGUCAUUUGAACACAUUGCCAAUAGUGUCCCCCCAUAAAUGUGUUCAACAGAAAAUGUUGGUCGAAUAUUCUUCUUUUCCUGCACGGUAACUACCAGUUUAACUCCAAACCUAUCCACUCAGCAAACUUUUUAUUACUGAAAAGUAAUUAUCUGUUUUAUGCAAGAGCUAAAUCUGCCAUCAGCAAGUGCAGCCCUGCUGAUAACUAUUCACACAUCUGAGUUCCAAAUUUGCAUCAUUCAGAUACCAUUGCUCAAAGUUUAUGAUAUCUUCUCUAAUUCGGUGGUAAAUUUGCAGUCCUUACUCAACCAGACUACUUCUAGACAUCACAUGUUGCCAAGCCAAGAGAGACAAAACAAUAAGAAUCGUUUUCAUGAAAGAGGCAUUUACCAAUCACUUGCAAAAAUAGUCUAAUAGAGUCAAGGAUAUAUUUAUUCUGUAAGCUUCAAUACCUGGAAUGUUUUGCUGAAAAUUUUGAUCUUUGAUGUCGUUUCCCUAACAGCAUAUUCUCCGUCUGACGACCAGACAAACUCCAAUGCGGAGCCAAAGGAUCUAUUUCUCCAUGCUAGAGCCGUGUAUAUUAUGUACUCUCCAUCUCCACAAACAACAACAAACCUUCCAUUGGGGUUGUGCUUCAAAUUCUGAAAUAAAAUACCAUAUAAAACUCAACAAUGCAUCUAAUACGCAUUUUCUGCUUGAAAUCUGAAAUGCAGUGGUUACAAGGAGAUGAAAGUUUCCUAUUUUGGGAGUUUCCGAUUAAAUUGAUAAAGAUUUAGUAUAUAUUCAAAAAUUGGCCUUUAUAUUUGCGAGUCGAGAACCAUGCAAUUAUGCCUCAUGAAAUAAUCACAAGAAGAUCAAUCGAAAUAAAGUAUCAAAAUUAAAUUAAUUUAAGGGUGCCAAUGCAACUGCACUUAUACCCACAUACGUUAAAGCCAAAAUGAGCCAGAGGACAAUGAGGGAGUGGGGAUAAGAGUAUUAUUUCCUUGUUACACAUGUUCCCAACUCUAACCUAACCCUCUCAUGUUGAAAGAUAUUGAGGUGAUAUAGAAAUACAUUCAGGGUAAUGGUUCAUAGUUACUGAGCUGGUGUCCCAUGUACCAUCAUAGCAAAGUGGAAAUUUCUAUUUACUAUUAACAAGAUUUAUAUCUCAGAAAAGGAAGUAGAAACUUCGGAAGAAGGCUAAUGAGCUAGGCAGGCUGGCAUGACACAACUAUAAUGACAUCAUUAUCAACUAUAUUAAAGAUUCCUCAAACAUAGAUACUUACUUGAGGAUAAAGAUCACAGGUUCCCAACUCCUUCACGGCCAAUGGUAACCUUUCUCCAUCUGUAAUCUGAAUUUUAGAACAAUAGGAUAAUAUUCAAUUCAACUGAUACAAAUAAUCCUAGGACCAUUGCAAAGAAACAUGGAAGUUUGAGGCAGGGAGAUUGAACCUCAAAAUCUGCUCCCACACUUUUGAUAUUCACAGUUUGGAUUUCAUUAUGCUUGGCCCAGAUUAUUUUCCCACUACUAUCCAUGCUAGCAACUGGCACUUCUCUACCAAUUUUUACCAAAAUGGUUCCUUCGUCAUAACCAAUAACAAUCCUGCAUACGUAGAAGACAUGAAUAAUAUCAUUGUAUCAAAACAAUAACAACUGUGAACAUAAUUCCAACUUGCCAAGGGUAUCAUAAUAAAGAUGUCUUGGUUUUACUCAAUCUACCUCAAGCAUUGCACAUGUAGAAAAAUAGAUAAUUGAAAAUAGAAAUAAAGAGCUUACCGACGUGAUCCUUUCAUAUACCCAAAAGCCCAAACACGUUCCAGCCCAUAAUUCAAGGUGUUUUCAAGCCUGCAAAGUAAUUUCAAUUUCAGUUUAUUUUUUUCUUUUAAACUUUUCCGUGAGACAAGUAAUGAUCACUUCAUUACUUCAUAGACAACAGAAAACUGAAAACUAUGCAGAGAUCUAAAGAACAGAGCAAUAGUCUAUCUUUAAAAAGCAAAGUUAAUCUCAUUACUGCUAUAUGACCAUUCACUAGAGAGCUAAAAAGAGUUCAAAACAGAUGAUACAAUAGGCUCAGCUGCAUGGUUUGCCCAUAUGUCCAGAACAACAGUGACAAAGACAGACAAAAAUGAAAAGAAUGUAAGACCUACAAUUCAAUUUCAUAUCCCUUUAAAAGAUGGAUGAGGGUUGCUACCUUCAAAGUUUUAACCAAAGUUUAUAGGUGAAUUCAGUCCAGGUAAGACUUCACUUUCUAAGUCCUUAACAAUUCAAUAAAAAACAAAUCGACCCUUGGAAAAUAAACUGAAGAGUUGACAGAACAAACAGGACCUUUAUUUGAAAUAGCUUAAACACAGUCUGUAUUUGUAAUUCAAAGUUACCUGUAAGUGGUCGAAUGCCAAAUCCUAACAGUUCCAUCCUCAGAACCAGUAAUUAUAAUCGGAAGUUCAGGGUGGAAGCAUACUGCAGAUACAUUAUGAGUGUGUCCUUCAAGUGUCUGAACACAACUUUUGGUUUGAUAGUCCCAUACCUAAUUACAUAAACUCGAAUUAUAGAAUAUACAUGAAAUUCAACAACUGAAGUGUCCGGAUGAUAUUGUAUACCUUUGCAGUAUGAUCAUCAGAUCCUGUGAUUAAGUACGGCUUAUCACCACCAGUGAAGUAAUCAACGCAAUUCACUCCUUUCAGGUGGGCGUCCAAUGUAAAGUUUGGGUCAGGCGAGCCAAGAUUCCAAAUCUGGUAACAGGAAGGUGACAAGCAAUUAAUAUUACGUACAAAUGAUUUUCCAAAACAUAACGUACAAAGGUUAUUAAGGAGAAAAACUGCACCUUUACAGUGUGAUCGAGGGAAGCACUCGCAAAAGUGUUGGUGUCUUUGGGAUUAAAUGUCACUUGCAUGACAUAGUGAGAAUGCCCUUCAAAUAUCUGAGUACACAUCCACCCUUUUUCCCAGUCCCACAGUUUGAUGAGCAUGUCAUCAGAAGAUGAUAAAACAUAUGGAAGCGUGGGAUGGACAGCCACACAUCUAAUGUAGUCAGUGUGCGCCUCGAAGACUUUAACCUUAUCCAUGGUAUUGUAAUUGUAUACGCGUAAACACAUGUCAUCGGCUGCAGCAACUACCCAUUGCUUUCGUGUUACAAAUUUUGCUGACCGAACUGCAAAUAAAAAGUUUGGACAACAAUCAGUUUUCAUCUUAUAAGCAUUGAAGCUAAUAGAAAAACCAAUGUGUGUAGUACCUGGCAAUUCAGAGACUUCAAAUGACUUAGCCAUAGUCUGUAAUACAAAAGUUACAUUUCAGUCAGGACUACUCUGAUCCUCGGAACAUUUUACAGUCAAUAGCAUAAUUUUCAUAUAUACAAUCCAGUUUCACUUUUACGUAGAUGCCAAAGCCUAAUAAAGAACCGAUAACAAGUACGUCCGAGUGACCUAUUUCCAAAUUUUGUUUUUACAAAAAUGAUUUAAACUCUAGCACAAGCAAGGACCAUGUACAUUCUUACCAACAAAAAUGUAAGAGAAGGGAUAGCACAUUAAGGCCGUAGCAAAACUACAACUAGACUAUUGGAUAAAUGGCACAAACCUGUGACUGGUAGUUCAAGAUAUACACGGUCCCUGAGUACAGACUUGCAAGGAUCCUACACCAUACAAACACAUUAACAAAUCAGAUCACCGAAAACAUAACUACCACAAUGUAUUAGCAAGCAUUUCCAAAACUACAUUCGCAUGCACCAGAAACAUCAAAAUGCCACAAUCUAAGAGCAAUGCGAGAGCGUAACGUUACCAUGGUUCAGUUGGAUGUAGAUCCAAAGACUUCACUCUCUCGGAUCUUUGCGCAAACUUACGCUAAAAAAUCAGCACAUUAUGUAAGCAAACAAUCGAAAUCGCAAGCUCAAAUCGAAAAUCGAUAACACAAAAACUCAAACAGAGCUGAAGCAAAAGCUAUACCUUAAUGUCAAGCCUGAGAGGCUGCGAAGAUUACGAAGUUUCCGGCACCAACCACACACAUUGCACCAAAGAUAAUCAGUUAGAAACUCCAUUGAAUCAAAUCGUGAAAGCUAAAAAACUAAGUGGGUAGAGUCAGUCAAUGAUAGAACAACAGCAAUUUAGGCUCGGUUUUGAAAUCGCGUUUGCGCAAUUCAAACGCAUCGAUUGAAACUCGAGAGUGUGUGAAAAUAUGCGAGGCAUUUUCAGAUCUAAAGCAGAAUUUCGAAAUCGAGAGAGGUUUACCAUUGUUUUGCGUGGUGGAGACGACCAGCUUGGAGCGGAGGAGUUGAUGCAGAGCGAGGUGGAGACAGAAGGGACGGAGAUCGAAGCUGAAAGAGUGAUAGGGUCUCUCUCUGGAUCAGAGAGAGAAGAGAGAGAGAGAGAUAGAGAGAGAGAGAUGGGAGAAGCAGAGUCGAUUAGUUUUCGUAGCGACUGUGAGUCUCUGAAACUGAAGAGCGAGCGAGAUCGCCAACAAGGUAGAGUGGGCCACUAAUAUGGGCUUUGAUACGCUCUUACCAAAAUCGCAUUGGGCUUAAUGUGGGUCGAUUUUUUUUCUCUCUCUCUCUUUUGGCAGAGGAUAUUGAGAUCUUUUUCUUAACACCGACGAUUAGGUUUAGUAACAUAAGUUAUUUGUAGGGGUUUGGUUGUUGUACGCACGUAUGCCAUGCAUAACUAACAUGGGAGGGUGGGAAGGGAGCACGGGUAGUAGGGGUGCUGGGUUUUGCCUGUAAAGGCUGCCGCUGGUUUGUAAGCCAUACAAAUCUGUAUGGCAGAAUUUUCCGUUUUGUAGAGCUUAGAAGGUUAUUUGUGCUUCUCAAACCAAUCCAAUAGCUUGUUUGUGAAGAUCCUAAACCAAAUUGAAUGAUCCUCUUUUGGUUGAUCAGCAAUUUCAAGAAUUCUCAUGCUGCAUAAAGUUACUUUCUUAGAAUUAUUCGUUUUGAUAACGUUAUGUAAAAUAAAAAUUAAGUGAGUACGACUUAAGUCAGACAACUAGUCAUUUUACAAUCCAACGAAAAUAAGACGGGAUAUAGGAACUUUGUGUAACUAUAGUAGUAGAGUGAUGUGAAUUAGGUAUUCCUAAUGAGUUUGUAUGGAAAUGUAAACUAUGUACUCUCUUUGUCUCUUAGAAAGUUAGAAUCAAUGAGAUGUGAUAUAACUGUGAUCAUGAUAUUGGAAGACCAUAUUGGACGUCAGAAAAUUGUUGUAUGCUUCGUGUGAAACAUGUCAAAAAUGUAUAGCUAGCAUUUGAUGUUUAAUUAGUUUCUUUUCAACCAAAGGAAAAAACUUUCAUUCCCAAAUGAUGACCAUAAUUACUUCAUUUCAUCUAAGAGAGACAAGUAGAGGUGAUGGUAAGCUGCUCGUGAAUAUUGAUUUUGCCCGGGUUUAAUGGACAUAUAUAUAUAGCCCUUCUCGGUUGCGGACGUCCGCACCAACGGUUUUAGUGCGGAUUUCCAUUUUUGCACCACUUUCCGAUCGAAUUUCCUCAUCUCCACCGUCUAGUAUCUAGAUAAUAUUGUGUAAAUUAUCUCCGUAAAAUUUCAGCCAAUUUGGUGAUCGUUAAGGCCCUCAAACUCGAGUUUUUCUGAUAUGAACACAACCGGACAGAAUUCAAUCCGUCUAUUUGUUUUUUGAGUUUGAGGGCCUUAACGAUCACUAAAUUGGCUGAAAUUUUACAAAGAUGAUCUACACAAUAUUAUCUAGAUAUUUGACGGUGGAAAUGAGGAAAUUCGAUUGAAAAGUGGUGCAAAAAUGGAAAUCCGCACAAAAAAAUUGGUGCGGACGUCCGCAGCUGAGAAAAUCCGUGUAUAUAUAUAUAUCAGGGCCCCUCCAAUGAGGGAUCCCUUUUUUUUGUUCAUUUAUAGAAAUAGAUCAUUUGACGAACUUUUCGAUCACAAAAUCAAAUCUUCACCGUUCAAUUUGUUGGGCUAUAUGAGUAGAUCAUUUCUACAAAUUUUCAGAAAAUUUAGUGAUCGUUAAGUCAUCCAAGUGAGAGAUUUAUUUUUAAUAAUCUUGAACGGUGUAGGUUUGACAUAAGUGUUAAGUUUUUUGUUUUAAUCUCAGCCAUCUAAACCCAUUAAAAAACAGAUCUAAUGGUGUGGACCUAUCCCUAAAAGUGAAAAAAAAUAGGGAUCCCUCAUUGAAAGGGCCCUGAUAUAUAGUACUAUAUAUAUAUAUAUAUAUAUAUAUAUAUAUAUAUAUAUAUAUAUAUAUAUAUAUAUAUAAAAGAAGGGCAAUUACUGAUAUAAGUGAUAUUACUGGACCUAGCUAUAUAUAUGAUUGGAUUGGAUGAUUACAUGGAAGACUGAGAGUGCUAGAGUUUAAUCCAAGAUUGAUUGCUAUAACAAAGAGAACAAACAAGCAAAGUAUCUGAUUUAGAAAUUAAAAAUCCAAAUUACACGAACUUAAUUUACUUAAAUUCAAACUGUAAAAACCUAGCUAGCUACCACUGUAAUGCUUUAUUCCCACUAAACACAAAUCAUACUUCACUGAAAAACAAAAGGGACGACACUAGCUAGCCAGCCAAAAUGAUGUUAAACAUCAUCAGAAAGAUGAGGUGAUGAACCACUGUCUUCAGUCGACCUGUCAAGCGCGAACCUGCACGAUUCGACUGCAUCCUCCACGGUCAAGUACACAUUCUCCUUCCCGAUCUUGUCUAACACAUUUGAUAAUAUCAUCUUCUCCAUCACCUUCACUCUCGGGUUAAUUAGUCCCAUCUGAAAAACAGAAACAAAAUAAUGUAUUUAUUAGGGUUCUGGUUUAUCUGUAAUCGAGUUGAUCGAUGAACGUACUGAUGAAGAACACUAACCUUAAUGCCCUUUACAGCUAGGGUUUUACGUAUCUCGUCCAGUGUUGAAAGGCUAGGUUGAUCAAUGGUGAGGACUCCUGAAAAAAGAAAAUGAAACUCAUCAGUAUAAGAAAAGAAAAUAGAUAAUAGAUAUAGAAACAGAAUUAGCCUAAUGAAUCGAACCGGAUAACUCGAGCAAGACGUGCUCAAUAACAUCUCUGGUACUGUUUUGCUCAUCACGAAUCCAUCUCAGAAUCCUGCAAGAAAAUUAACCAACCAUGCAAUGCUAGUACUGCGAAUAUAUAUAUGUAUCUAUUUGAACUGAAUGUAGGAAUAUAUAUACAUACCUCUCUCGAAUGUAGUUGCCAUUUGCACAGUACAUGGGGGAGCCAAUUUGGAGGACAAGGAUACCUUUAUGUCUUGUUCCUUCUGGAUACUGGGUGGCGUCACGAUACAAAGACAUGUCUGAUAGGUUCACUUUGCCAAGCUUACAAGUGCCAGGCCUAGCCACAUACAGCAGUGAUCUCAUGAGACCAAGUGCGACCUGAAAAUUUACCGCCAGAAAUGACAGAUGUCUUUACAUUCAAGGGAUAAUAUAAGUGAUUUGCAGACCGUUUUUGUUUAAUGCAGCUGAGAGAGAGAGAGAGAGAGAGAGAGAGAGAGAGAGAGAGAGAGAGAGAGUAGGUNNNNNNNNNNNNNNNNNNNNNNNNNNNNNNNNNNNNNNNNNNNNNNNNNNNNNNNNNNNNNNNNNNNNNNNNNNNNNNNNNNNNNNNNNNNNNNNNNNNNNNNNNNNNNNNNNNNNNNNNNNNNNNNNNNNNNNNNNNNNNNNNNNNNNNNNNNNNNNNNNNNNNNNNNNNNNNNNNNNNNNNNNNNNNNNNNNNNNNNNNNNNNNNNNNNNNNNNNNNNNNNNNNNGAGAGAGAGAGAGAAGAGUUUGGAGGCGGUGAAGAAUACUUACUGAGAAAACAAGACCAAAAAGCAUGCUUCGGAGGACCACAGCAAAGAAGCAAGACACGCAGAUUAAACAGUCGAACUUGUCAACCUUCCACAGUGCAGUAGCUUUAUUGUAAUCGAUGAUAUGAAUCAUGGCGCAGAUGAUAAUGGAAGAUAGGGCAACAGUAGGGGUGUAACCAAAUAUAGGAGCCAAGACCAAAAUCACCAACAGCAUACACAUUGACUGGACAGCAUUCGCCAUUUGCGUCUUGCAUCCCGCGUUGUAAUUCACCGCAGUCUUUGAAAAUGGUCCUGCAACAUUGAUAUGAUAUCUAGAUCAAUAUAUAAGGAACAUACUAUAAAAGGAACCAAGAUAGAGCGUCGGCUAAAAAUGCUUGUACCCGUAGACAAGUGACAAGAAGUCAUAGAUCCUAUUGUGUUCAUGAAUCCCAAAGCUACCAUUUCCCUAUUCCCAUCAAUAUUUUCAUUGUGCUGUAAGCCAAAGCUCCUUCCAAUGGCUAUUGCUUCCUGGAUGGUAAUUAAUCAAAGUUAGUUUCAAAAUUAAGGAUAUUAAUUUAUUGAUAUAAAUAUGGUUGAAAUUCAUUAAAAUCUUACAGCCAGGGCAAUAAUGCCAGUAACAGUCCCAGCUUUGAAAGCAUAUGGAAAAUAUUUCAUGUCAAAGAUCAAAUGUUGAGCGGUAAUAGGAUUGAGUCCUCUCUUCAACUCUCCAACCUAACAAAGAUUUAGAAAAAAUUUUUCAGAAGUUAUCUUGAAUUUAUAUUCAUGCUUACAGAAAUAUGUAUGUAACUCUCUGAAAUUAAGAUUAGAGAGCAUGCAGAAUCACUUACAAUGGCUAUAUUAUGUUUCUUAUCAAUUUCGAAAAAAUAAGCAAGACAGCAGCCAACUAGAACCACCACCAGUGGACCGACGGCUUGUACCAAAAAUAGCUUCCUGGGGUUUAUCUCCUUCUGCAAUUUUACAUAUUAUUCAUAUGAUCAUUAUUAGAAGAAAACUAUGCUUGUAUAGAUAUGAUUGAUAAACUACAUACGGGGUUUUGGUACUAAUUAUCAUGUUAAUAUUCGUGUAGUAAAGCGCUUACAAUUUUUCUUGUUAUUUCAAGGAAAGCGACGAAGCAGGCACCAAGAACCGCAGGCUCCCAACACCACUGGAAAAGAAAAAAAUGCCAAAACUGGUCAGUAAUUAGGUUAAUAUAUGUGUUUUGGUAGGAAACAAAAUAUCAGAUAGUUCAUUUCUGAAAACAAAUAAACGAACCUCUUUUCUCAUGUCGAUAAUACAUUUCACAACAGAAAAGAUGUCGGUUUUGCCUGUAAACCGCUUCAACCCUAAUAUUCCCUUAAAUUGUUGCAAGCAAACUAUAGUUGCACUCCCAGCCAUAAAACCAGUGAUGGUAGAAUGUGAUAAGAAAUCUACUAAAAUCCCCAAUCUGCAAAAUUCAUGCACAACAACGCACUCAUCUAUUAAUUCAAGUACUGGAAAACAUAAGAUGAAAAUGAAAGAUGGUAAUUUCCAUAUAUUAAUUCUCUUACACAUCUAACAAAACUUAUUUCAACCUAGCUUUUGACAUAUAAAUUGUUCAUAAUAAAUAUUUCAGUUUAGAUUGCAUAAUAAUGAAACCCUAGGCCUGCACUAAUUUGAUGUGCAAGUACCUUAGAAAACCCAUUAUUAGCUGCAUGAUGCCUGUGACAAAAGUUGUUGUGAAAACCAGAUGAACAAACUUAGUGUACUCUGUAUCAAAGUCCACUACUUGAGUGAGAAUAUCUUUGAUAAGUAAAUUGGCCGACGCCACAUUUCCCACGGCAAGGUACUUGGAGUCCCCCAUAACUGCAUAAAUCAUAGGCGGAACAAAGCUCGUAUCUGCACAACCAAAACCAGUAUUAGUAAUCAGUUUUAUAUAUCUAACUUGUAUUCAACAGUUUCAUUAAUGGUUUUUUUUUUCUUGACGAUGGACUUACACAGGCCAACGAGGGGUGGCACGCCUGCGAGUCCAGCAUAGCUAAUUCCUUGGGGGAUAGCAAGACUAGUAAUGGUGAUUCCGGCGACGAGAUCGGAUACGAAUGUUUUGAGAUUAUACGUAGGGAACCACCCAAAGAUCGGAACGAAGUACUGCACACCUCUCUUGAUUUUCCCACAUGCGUUCAACUCCCCGAAGCCAUGAAAGGGGUCGUCGGGAAAGAGUGCUUCCAUCACAUCAGCUUUGAGUUGGGAGCUAAAGGGUCUCGGUUCUGCGAAGCUCACCUUCGGCUGGUUUGUUGUGGCCAUAUCGGUAGCCAUGGUGUUCAGAGUGGUCGGACUGAGAUGAUGUUAGUUCAGAGUGGAGUAAUAUUCCACUGCCGAGAGUGUUUAUAUAUAGGAAUAAUGGGAGUGAGUGAGGAGUGAUGCUCUCUAACGGCCUAGCUAGGUUAACUCGACGUGGAUAAGAAUGGAGGUGCAUAUCUCAUAUUUUAGCUGCUUGGGACUAUUUCUCUGCAGACAAGAUCAAGAGUCAAAGGACCCGUAUUUCCCUCUUACUUAUCUUAAUCGUUUUUACCAUAUCCUACUCCUAACCUACUUCAUGGAUCUACCUAACAGAAUUCACGAAAGACCUAGUCCUCAAAUAACAAGAUUGCUAUUGCUUUCGAUAAUGUCAAGAAUUUAAUUUUACUACAAAUGGAAAAUUCACAUCGGAAAAAAAAAAGAUUUAACAAAAAAAGUCAAAAUAAAUCGUAAAAGAAAUUGCAAUUCGCUCCACAUUUUGAGGAAUAACUUCCCAAAAAUUCUCACCUUUAUCCACACCGACAGGGUGUGUUUCUACUUUCAAUUACUAGAUCGAGCAAAGUGUUUGUUCUCAUAUAUAUAUAUCCAUGUCCAUGAUGUGAGUUACCUUUCUUUUUUUGUUGUAAAAGAUCAUGAGUAUUUUGUUGCAUUCUUUUACAUAUUUCAAAGAGUCCCCAAGGUUAUUUAAACUAGGUCAUAUAACAGUGACAAAUUUUUUAUUAGAUAGUUAUAAACUCUCUUUUGUUGUAAGGAUUUUUGAGAUAUAACAUGAAAGGUACAUCUUACAUUUUUGAGAUAUAACAAGAAACUAAUUAACCUCACGAUUCAUACAUUUCGGGAACAACUUCCCAAAUUCUCACCUUUAUCUUUUGCAUACUUUCAAUUACUAAAGCAGGAAAGUGUUUGUUUUCAUGUCGCAAACGAAAUAUCCAUAUCCAUGAUGUGAUUUAAAAUCUACAUGUUGUUUUGUGUGUUGUAAGAUCGAUCAUGAGUAUUUUGUUGCAUUCUUCUACAUAUUCAAAGAGUCUUCAAUGCUAGCUCAUAUGAUAUUUUGUUGCAUUCUUUUACAUAUAUAUUCAAAGAGUCGUCAAUGCUAGCUAGCUAGCUCAUAUAAUAGCGACUAACUUUUUAUUUAAUAGUUAUAAACUCUAUAGUUUUGAGAUAUUGAAAGAAAUUAACUUGAUCGAAAGUGUAGUGAUUGAAAGAUAUGAUAAUUCAUAGAAGAGUAACAUAUUCCACUCUCGAGAGUGUACGUUAAUGGAAAUGAGGAAGGAGCGAUACUCUCUGAUGGCCUAGCUAGCUUAACUCGACCUAGAUAGGAAUGGAAGACCAUAUCUCAUAUUUUACAUACUUCGGCUGCUAAAGGAGUGACAUACAACAUCAAAAGUUAAAGACCCGUAUUUCCCUCUUAUUUAUCUUAAUCAUUUUUACCGUAUCCUAUUCCUAACCUACUCAAGAAAUGCAUGGAUCCACCUCACAAUAUUGUCCAAAGAUCAAUUCAAAUCACAAGAUUGCUAGCUAUUGCUUUCGAUAAUAUCAACAAUUUAAUAAUGGAAAAUUCACAUAUCUCUACUAUAAUCUGUACUUUGGAAAUUCACCAAAUUAUAAACUGUUAUAAAUGCCCUUAAAACUAAGGGUCGAUCAUUAUAGUAAACAAUAAAAAUAAAAAUAAAAAAACAAAACAAAGAUAAUUAAGAAACUACUUAGGUUGUGAGAUGUAUAACUGUAUAAUCCAGUAAACCGAAUUUAACCGUUCAACUUUCCUUUUAGGUGAUUGGGAUCUGGCCGUGAAAAUGUAUGGAUAAAAGGCUAGUAAAAAGAAAUUUAACUAAAGAGUAAAAAUAAAAAGUAAAAGAAGUUGCAAUUGUCUCCAUAUCUUGGGGAAUAACUUCCCAAUAAAUCUCACUCUGAUCCACUAAUUCGUUGUAUUUGGCCUGUAAUAUAUAUUAAAACGUACGUAUGGUAUGGUAUUGUAUGUUGUUUGAGCUGUAAUGUGUAGUGAACAUCUGACCAUUUAAUAACCCUACUGACCUGAGUUUGAAACCUGCCAAGCCCAAAAAACCUAUGUUUCUUUUCUUUUCUUUUUUCUAUAAUACUGGUGUGUACGUUUUUAGAUCAUGAGUAUUUUCUUAUAUGAAUACAUAAUGAAAGAGUCGUCGAUUUUUUUUAAAAUUUUUUUUUAGAAAAUUUAAUUGUUUAUCGUUUCAUCAACAAUCAAAGGCCACAACUCGCAAAGCUUACAUGAGAAAGACCGGCGGUAAGAAAGAAAGUCCCGGACAACCUAUUCAAGCUAAAGCAAAUUAAUUAAAACACACCAGAACGCUCACACUUAAGUGAGCCUAUACAAGAAUGAACAAAUAAACCAUAUCGUCUAAUCAUUCACUUGCCUAACACGCAAUUGUGAUCCAAGCAAUGGAGCUAGAAAGAGUCUGCAAUGUAUGUUGCUUCGCGGCUAGCUACCUAGCUAGUUGAAUACCAUUGAAGUUACAAGUGCGUACGUAUAUAAGCAGUGCACACGAUAAUCUCGAUUAACAUACAACAGCAUUGGAAUGCAUGUUCCACGAUGCUUAGACGUACUACAUACACAAUUACACAUCCUAGCUAGCUCGAUUGAUAGAUAGGAACACUCUAUCUACGACAUAGCUAGCUAUAUCGAUAUCGAAUAUAUGAAAUGUACGUGAUACUAUCGUCUUCUCCAUCACUUCAGUUCCUAGCUACCUUAUUAUUCCUCACUUUGGCUACAUUUUGUUUAGAUUCCUUUCCCCGAUGGGAAAGCUGUGUUAGAACUUCUCUGAGUUUUUGUAGCAUGGCUUGUGGCCGCGUUUGACGUCGAUCCCUUUGAUUCAGCUGAAGUACUGAACCGAUGGUUUUGAUGCUAAGAUAUGUGAACACAUUUGGUUCAUUGUUAUAAUUGUUUGCACCAGAAUCUUGAAUGCUUAGUAUAGGAAAACGAAUGGAACCGGAUUCAUAUAUAAUUUGUUUUAUUUUAGAAACAGUGUUCGUAUAUACACAGUAUUUUUGUGCACUCACUGUGAUAUAGUUCUAGUUCUGAUAAUUAGCUAGUAUGAAAAAGAAACCAAUAAACAAAAACCCAAUUACAUAGUCAGAUUGAUUGAUUGGUUUCAGUUUGAAUCGUUUAACUUCUAACCUAAAUUGGAUGAAUCCUAGAUAUCUUUAUCUUGAGCUAUGUAUGUGCUAGCUAUCUAGUCAGUAUCACUCGGAAAAGUAUAGAUCAACUGCGGAGAGUGAAAAUGGGAUUGUAAUUUUAAUAACAACUCACCAUAAAUGAGUCUUUAGUAAGAAUAAAUUAUCACGUGUGUCUUCAAAAUAAUAAUAAUUACAGACCUAAUGAGUUUGAUCUAAUGGAAGCAUACUAACUAGGCUAUAAGUGGGGCGGACGCUGCAAGAAUUCUCCUAGUAAUAUGAAGUACUUGGUUCGAACUCCAGCUUGUGAAAAACAUCCCUUAGAGAGAGGUCAUAUACCUAAAAUUGCUUCCGGCCCGGGAGUGGUAGCUCACGUGACCAUCAUUUACUAUAAUUAAGAAAAAAUCAAGUGUUUGGACACAAAGGGGUCAAAUUACAAUACACCCUAACUAGCGGGGCUAACAUUCAAAUUCGAAACUCCCAAAAAGGGGACACUUUUCAUAAAUAAACCAAAGUUAGGGUUUCCUCCAGCUUCAGAAUCUCAUUUCCCUUCCAAUCUCAAAUUCCGGGUUCAAAUUACCCGAAAUCACAACCCAAUUCCCCAAAUUUCCAAAUUAGGGUUCUGAAAGUCUCGACCUUUCCGGCUGAAAUGGACGACAUGGAAGACGACCAAAGGUACCACCCGAAACCCUACUCGUUAAACCACCAUAGCUCCUCGAACCGGCGAAACCCCCACAUCCGUAACACCCCGUAUUCCCGGCCACCGCCGCCCAAUCGGUACUCGCCGGAAGACGACGACGACGCUAUCGAAGACGAUUUGGACGAGGAGAGCUACGGCAAACAAGACGACGUCGUCGUCGUGGCGGAGCAGUACCACCAGCACCACCCGAACCGCGGCUUCGACGCCGAGAACGGCUGGGAAUGGCACCCGAAGAAGAGGAAGCUGAAGAAUUUGGAUCCGGGUUCGGGUUACGAGUUCGCGCCCCGGGUCAAAAUGCCGGGUCGGGUCGGGUCGGGUCAGGAGGAGUGGACGGAGCACGCGGUGUUUGUGCUGCUGGAGGUUUGGGGGGACAGGUUUCUGCAGCUUGGGAGGAAGAGCUUGCGGUCGGAGGAUUGGGGUGACGUGGCGGCGAAGGUAUCCGAGGGGUGUAAGAUGGAGAGGAGUGAGAAGCAAUGUAGGAGAAUGCUGGAUAUGCUGAAGAGGAAGUAUAAGAAGGAGAAGGCGAAAAUGGAGGAAGGAGGGGGUUCAAGCAAUUGGGGGUACUAUAAGAAGAUGGAAAUGCUGAUGGUGAAUUCGAUGAGGCAGGAAUGUGGGUUGGCUUGUGGGGUGGAUAAUGGGGAGUAUGUGUUUAUGAACACGAGGGUGUAUUUGGAGAAGUCGAAUGGGUUUGAUGAGAUGAUGGAUAGUCCGGGGGAGUCGGAGGAUGAUGAUGAGAAUGAGAAUGAGAAUGUGAGUGGUCAGAACGGGUUUGGGUUUGCUCUUCCGAGACAGGGAGGGUCUUCGUACAGAGUGUUGGCGGAGUCUAUUCAGAAGUUUGGGGAGAUUUAUGAGAAUCUUGAGAGUAGAAAGAGGCAGCAGAUGAUGGAGUUGGAGAAGAUGAGGAGGGAGUUUAAUAAGGAAAUGGAGGUGCAGAAGAAGCAGAUUCUUGAGAGGGCGCAGGCGGAGAUUGCAAAGAUUCAGGAGGCGGGUGAUGAUGAUGAUGAUGAAGACUCGGAUACUUCUGCUGAAGAUCUUACCGAAUGAUGGAGGUGGGAUGUGUUAAGUAUGUCUUUGCUUGCUCUUAGUCAGCAUGUUAAGCUGCUUUGCCAUAAACUUUGUUUCUCUUAAUUGCGUACUGUUGAAUUGCUUGCUAAAAACAAACUAUUGCAGUUGUUUGUCCAUUGCUAGGAAUACUGACUUUCAUUUGUUAACUUAGGUGAAUAUAAGUUUAUGGUAUUUCACUAUUGGUUGGGUUGCUAUGUUUUUGGAACACAUUUGAUUUACUUUAUGGUCUUAGUGUUGUUCAGAUCUCUGUCUCUCCCUUUGAGAACCAAAAGUCCUACAAAGUACAAACCAUGACAUGCAUGGUUAUGUGAGUAGAACUUUGUAGAGGCCACUGGCAUUUGAAUACUAAAUGCAGAACAGAAUUGGAUACAAGUACAAUUGGGUAAUAAGGUCGGGACAAUCGUAGAGGUAAGGCAUUAGGCUCUAAACAAUAGAAUGUAGAACUUACUGACCUUAUAGAUAAUUGGAGAAUAUCCAGUUUUGUUCAAGAACUUACAAAGUUUUGAGUCUUGACUCUGACCAUCCUUGAAUUUGGUUAUCAUCAUUAUAUAUCUUUUUUACAUCCCUGCCAGAGGAGAAAAACUUUAGCUUAGGGGCUCAAGUUUGUCUGCCAUAGCAAGAUACCUCACCCCUGGGGACUUGAUCUUUGCUCGCCAGUACCAUAUUCUUUGCUGCACUUCUUUGCUGUUCUUAUUUGUGGGAUGGUUUUGACUUCUUUUGUAUCAUUUCUUUGCAAAGUUGUUUUAUACUCGUCAAGUCCUCAUGGUUAGAUAUGUUUUUAUAAUUUUAAGAGGCAGCUUCAUUGUUUGUGAUGAACUAUUUCUGUCUUAAUUUCUUGUAUCAGGACUGGCAUCUGAGUGGAACCAUCCUUGGAAAAUUUUCUACUGUUUCGGAGUGGAACUGGCUGCUCUGUGAAGAAAAGGAUUUGCGGGCAUACAUUGUGAAUUCUCCUCAUUUCUUGUCUUAGGAUCGGCAUCUGACUAUCUGAGUGGAACUAUUUAUAACUUUUCAACUUUUUCGGAGUGGAACCUGUCCGCACUGUAUUCAAGAGAAAGAAUCUGCGAUUACACAUUGCAAUUCUUGGAAGUUUUAUCUGCUCUGAUACAUGUAAUUUGGUAAGGAUGGAAGCUGGUGUAUUAACAUGCAACAUUUUCAUCUGUAAUUUAUUUGCACUCCAUUCCCCUAUUAUAUGCGUAAAUAUUGAUAAUGCUAAGGAGCAAUUCCUAACAGCUCCUCUAUCCUCUAAAUCUGAAAUUCGACUAGAACAGAGCCCUUAUUUUGUCUACUUUUUUUCGGCAUAAGAAAGAUAAUUAAGGAAGUAUUUGAAAGGCAAAGGCUGUUUUUCAGUAUAGUUCAAAUGGAUAUUCGGAAGAUCUGUAGACGAAAAUGUUUUUUUUAUUUAUUUAUUUAUUUUUUAUUUUAAGUGUUUUCUAUUGGCAGUGGAUAUAGACGGCAAAAGUCCCUUUGUCUGGAGUCUGAGUUCCAUAUUGAGCUAGGAGCAUGAAAUAGAGCAGCAUAAUUAUGCUUUACCUUACAGAAUAAGAUACAAGAUCUUCUAAUGGCAAACCAAAAUCGUAUGCGGGAAACUUAUGAAAACAGAAGAAAAUGAAAAGUAACAAGAUCAAAAUUAUCUCCUAGUUUCAUUUCUAGAGCUAUAGAUGUGCAACUCAUGAGGACUGCCUCAUAAGUUUUCUUCUGGAAAAAGCUCAUCCUUGAUUGCAGGAGCUAUCCACUGUAUCUGAAUAUGUGUUAUCUCCCAAAGGUCAUCAUCUUCCUUUUGCACUAGAAUCUCUCUUUCCUUCAUCAUUGUAAUCAUCUGUCUCAAUAAAUCUGGGACUAGUUCUUGCAGUACUGUUGAUUCACCAUAUCCACCUAAGUCAGCCUUCAUACAAGUGUCCAUUCUUCUCAACACUCCUAACCAAAAUGUUCGAAACCCCGGGCUCUGUGAUAUCUGUAUCAAGAAUUGCAAGUACACUUCUGUCAAGAGCUUCAGUGCGAUCUUUAAUGUCGCUUCCAUGCUUCUCAUCUCCCUCUCUGCAUGUUCCCUACGCGAGUACUCCAACAUCUUUUCAUGCAGAUCAUCAACCAUUGCGAAAACAACAAGGUUGAAACAGUUUAUGCAAUUGACUGGAGUGAAGUCCAAUGCCUCAGCAAUUCUGAAACUCUUUUUAAGAGAUAGAACUGCAUGGUUUCUCAUCUCUUCUCGCCGAGCUAAGCUGGACUUUCUAAGUACUUCACCUAGUUUGACAAACAAAUUCAUGGCAAAGCUGCAAGAAGAGCCUAUACCUCUUGCCUCGUCUAAAGAGGAGUUGCUGUGGGCGCUGUAGCUGUUCGCAGGAUCUGAGUAGUAGUUUCUAUACCAUUCGACCAACAAGUUUACAGACUCUGCUAACAGGUCCAGUAUCUUUAUGUUCUUCUCCAAUGGACUGUUCUUAAGUGCAAUAAAACUAAAGGCACAAUCAAUGCAGUAAGCGUAAUUUAUCCGCGAAACAUGAGUUCCAUCAGACAUGAAUCGGACAAGUGUCUCAACUCCUAGUUCAUAGGUUUCAGUGUGUCUCCCAGAGACUUGUAACAAGUGGAGAACUGACUUCCAACCAAGUUGGGUUUGCAGAUUGGCAGGGUACUCAGUCAGAAUCUUGUUUAGUGAUUGAGUUAUGAAGUCACAGCAACUGUCUAAAAUCUCUUUCUCCAGCUUCCACAUUAGAUUUAUCGACUUGAAAAUGAGCUCCUCCGGGAUUUUUUCAGGUUGGAAUGUCCCAAGGAUCUUGAAACAUAUUUUGAAGAGGCCUGCAAUGGCCUUUUCAGCGAAUGGAAUAGGGGAGAACAUGGGAAACUGAGCAACCACAAUCAGAUAAUCAUGAAAACUAGGCCAAAAUGUAUGGAACCUCUGACUGUUGGCCGAAGUGAUUGCAACUAUUACAUCCCAGCAGAAACCAACAGUUUCUUCUUCUUCAACUGCUGUACUAAACUUCUGUCCUUUCCCAGCAGCUGCAUAUAUCAAAGACCGCCCGAGAUUGAGCAAAGCAUCCUCAGGAAAUUUUGAACUAUUGCUGAAGAUGUUCCCAAUUCGGCAUUGUUUGAUAACCUUGAGAUUUUGUUCAAAUUCACUAAUGCCAAGGGAUACAGCAUCUUCUGCACUCUCUAGUGACAUAAAAUGUGAGAACCGAUUAAUCAUGCCAGAUGGCUGGCGGCCUCCAAACUUGGCAUCUUGAGCUGGGAAGAUUACACCGGAUUCAGAUGUUAAGUUUUCUGAUGAGGUGGAAGCAGCAGCAUCAAAUUCAAUGGCAGACUGUGGAAGCAGCUUUAGCCUCUUAAGUUUUAACAAGCAGUCAACAAUGUUCCUCCAGCCCCCUCUAAUUGACUCUCCAAAAUUGUUUGCAAUGGUGAAAACAGCAAGUGUAGCCAUUCUUGGCUUCAAAUCUUUGCUAAAAGCAAAGAGGGUUUCUUCUGCAGAGGCAUAUGGAUUCAACAAUGUAGUGAAUUUGGAGAAUGUGGCGAGAAUUUGAUCAAGAGUGUCUUCUAGUCCAUACUGAGCUAUCCUCGCCACCGAGAACAAACCUUCAAUGCAUUCAUGGAGCAAUUCUUCUUCUUCAGCAUGCUCAAACACUGCAGAAAGAGCAGCCACUGAUGGACCAGCAAUGCAAGCAAACAUAUCUCUGCCUAGACGGCGAUCAAAUUCACAUACAAAGAAAGGUUGCACAGUUAUUGUUCGGUUCAUCAACUCUAUCCAUCUGUUUGGGUUCAUUUCUAGCUGAAGACCAGACUGUCCAAACACGGCAAUUGCAGUAUUUGAGAUGGAAUGGAAAAGGUCAGAUAGAUAAUCUCUAGGAAGAUCCUUUCCUCCAUUGAUUGCUCUAUUGUUCCUGAUGAACUCGUCUUCUGUCAUUUUCUUCUUCACUUGUGGAUUGUGUUGAUCAGUAUUGAGCAUAAUGAGAGAGUAGCAAAGAAUCAUCACCGUAUCCUUGUUUGCAAAAAUAUCUGUAGGUUGUUGUUCAUAAAAAUUCUUUGAAAAUACCUCAAGAAUCCGCUCAAUCUUCUGGGACUCUCCAGGUAACCUGAAAGUCUCAAGAUAAGUCCGGAGACCACUGUCAAGAUUCAUGCCUGCAAAUCCAAACGUUUCUGUAUAUUCUCUUAGAACUUGAAUGUGAAACUCAUCAGGAUCACCAAGAUAAUCCCCUAUCAACAUCUUGUCUAGACCAGGAGUGUACCGGAAGAAGUAAGCCACAGACUUCGGAUCCGGAGGAUCAGAGACUAAUUUGGUAAGUCUUAAGUACUCCAUUCCCUUCUUUUCAUCUCGAUUAUAAUGGUGUCCAGCAAUCAUUAUUUUCUUCUUCUGUGCUUUCCUGAGUCUUACAAAUUCCACCCAAGUUUCCAAAUACUCUUUAACCUGAUCUUCCCAAAAUGGAGUAUACUCAGUAACUUCAACAGGAUAUGGCCCUGAAGGGCUUGUAUCAUUUUCUUUAUCAAUACUAUCAGCAAUGUUGUGGAUCAUGAUUACUAACCCUUCAAAGGCUUGUAUCUGUAAACUUGACAAAGGGGCACCCACCGGAAAACACUGCCUGCAAAGCAACUUCCCAAUCUCCUCGAACACAUUAUAGCAUAGGGGAUCACAGUCAUAGUUCACAUAAACUUCGACUACGAAUGUUGCCUGCCUGCAGAAGUUUAUAAUUCCUUCCAGUGCAACUUCUUGUAGUUGGGUUGUUGCUCCUGGAGCUGAUGCAACUCUAAAAAUCUCAAAUGUGAAGAACGAUUCUAACUGGAGACGAAUGUGCCUGCAAAAAAAACGCCAAAAGUGAUCAUGGUUCAAGUUAUAGUUUGGAAAGAAACUCAAACUCAAGCAUUUCAUGUCAAAAUUAACCUGCGAAGAAAAUGAUACAUAUUCAAAACCGUACUGCAAAUCAUGGAAAACACAACCGGGCUUGAACAAGUCCCAUAGUGCACCAAAUGGUGAAACAGAUCAUCUUUCAUCAUCCUCAAAAGCUUCGAAUGUGUCCCAAUCCCAUCUCCACUCAACUCGAUCGCGGUGUUGAUCAAAACCAAAGCAAAAAGCUGCACAUCUUCAUCAGCAGUUUGAACCGUAGACCCAUCUGUCUCGACCACUUCAACCACAUUGAGCAAAGAACACAAUAAAUGAAAUAUAUCAACCGCACACCUCAUUCCAUACCCGAAAUCCAAACCACCGUCGUCGACGUCUUCAGUAUCAGUCUCCGACCCCUCAUCGUGGAUGUCAACUUCCGGCAACCGUGAAAAGAUAAUGUGGAUCAAAUCAUGCAUGGUGUACUUAGCAGUACGUUGAAGCAAGUCCCCUCGUGACGUGGAUUGUUGCACGACUUGGAAACAAGUGUUGACAAUGGUGCACACAGCUUGGUCAGACAACAACACUGCCGCCCUGUGGUUCAUAACUCCGGUGAGGAGCUGCAGAAUGUGCAUCAUCACGGCGUCCUCCGACACCGGAUCAGUCUUCUCAAGCCUACACGUGGUGAUGGCAUUGACAACGGUGUUGAUGGCGUCCUUGGCUCCAGGGGUCUUCUCGUCGAAGACUCCGAGCUUGAGAAUCUUCAAGGUGGCAGAGAGGGCGACUCUGGUGGCGGCGGCGUGGACGAAGUCGCUCUGGAUGACGUCGAGGAAGGGAGAGAUGUAGAUGGUAGGGUCUAUUGUGCGCCAUUCUUGUUGAGGGUUGAAGAUCAAGGCUCGAAGUGACUUGAGGGAUUGGAGAAGAGAAGGGUCGACGUUGUCUUCCGGGGCGGCGCCGAAGACGUGAGAGUUGGAGUCACUGGGGCGGCGGAUGACGGCAAGGACGGUGCCGACUUCGGUGUUGAGCAUGCAAGAGAGUCCGAGCUCUUUCCUUUUGAGUUUGGUGGCUUGCUUGGUCUUGCCAUUGCUUUCAUGGUUCUCCAUAGGAGGAAGAGGAAAAGGAAACCGUUGAACAAGUUCAAAAAACGGUUAUAGUUUCUGGUCUUUAGCAAACGUGAGGUCAGUUAAAUUUCUGAUUAGAUAUUACUGGUUAAUUUGGAUGGUUAAGAAUACAGGUUUGAUAGGUUCUACCUCUAUUUUCUCCUCAUUUAGUGCAUUUCAGCACCAAUUCUAAGUCAAACCCUGCAGACCCUGCAGAAUCGCAAUGUAUCUCACACGAAAUCAUGCACCAAAGACAAAGGGUUUCUCUACAUAUGGUAAAUGGAGUGACAAGUUCAAAACCCCCUUCACUAGCCUAACUUGCGUGCUAAGUCAUCAAAACGAGAGAUCCUUACGCUGCUAGCUAUUGAUUCUGGCGCCUACUGUCAGUUAGCUGAUCUAUAUGAGCACUUUAGUUCUUGCUGCAAGCAAAACAAUACAUCCAAUGAAUCUUCGUCGUUAUAGUUACCGGCUUGUGAAACUGUUAGCAGUGUCUUCAGCCAUUCCUCAUGGAGAGUUGAGAACUCUGAUCUCUGUUCACUAGACUUGAAGCUUUCUCCAACGGAUUUCUUCAUUACUUGGCCAGCCUUCGAAGCAGCUUCAACCACCUUCUCAGGGAUCCCAGCCAUCAUUGCUACUUGCAAUCCAUAACUCUCUGGGCAUGCCCCUGAGGUAAGGCGAUAGAGAAAUACCAGCUCUUGGUCUCUUUUUAAAGGGGAUACAGAUUUUGACCUAAAUGCACAUGCCAUGUGUUGUAAUGAAACGUGUGGAUGAGACGCAAAUUCUCUCGUAAGCGGGUGAUAGUGUGUGGCGAAUAACAAUCUGCAGUUAAUCUUUUCAACAAGAUGGCGAAAUACCUGAACAAGUAUAAACAGAUGAAUCUAUUAAACAUGGAACAUGGCAUAACAUUAGCAUAAUGAUAUAAGUAAUGGAUAAAACCGUUCACAAACAGAUUAGUAGAAAAUUGAUACAAAUGCAGUGCAAGUUAUCAGUAGAAUACAAAUUCAUAGAAAACUCAAAGGAACAACAGGUAUUUUAAGUCUAUCUUGCUACUUCAUAUGCCUCACAAGUUUCUUCAUGCAUGUGGAUGGUGGUAUGUGUAGCAUACUUAUUUCUCAGCCGCAGCUACAACUGAUUACAAAAUGAACUAAUAUUCUCAAGUCUCAACUGGUUUACUUUCUUAGACUAUAAAUGCUUCAGUUUUUGAAUCAGUGCACAGGUACAGUAGAGGUGAAUGAAUUCAAGUAUUUAUGUAUCAAUGAAGUCCCUCCCAAGCAGAUAUUUAGAAAUGGUAAAUUAUAUAUAUCUGAAUGAGGGAUGAGUUUGAUUAUUGGUAAUUUGAUAUUGAAUGUAUGAUGAGUAGUAAAGGAUGUCUCACAGCAUAUGCAAUGGCAUAUCCAUCAAAAGUGCUUGUUCCACGACCCAAUUCAUCAAGAAUAACCAAAGAAUCUGGAGUUGCAUGCUGAAGAACUGAUGCCGUCUCUGUGCAUUCCACAAAGAAGGUACCUGAGAAUAAAAGAAAAUGAACACCAAUCAUCAAAUUUUGCAACUGAAAAUAUGAAAAGUUUAAUAUUCAAACUGAUAUGACUACCGGAUCCUGCAUUUGAAUGUUAAUUUACUACUGUGAGUUGCUAAAUACAACCAGACUCAACAUUCAACAACUCUUAACCAGUGCAGAGAACCAAAGUAAAAGAACUCUAUGAAGCAGAGAUUGGACGGACUAUAAGCUUUCCAAUAAUUUCGAAAUUAAAUUACUUAAAAAAAAACCAACAAAACUUAAUUUGGGGAAGACUAGGAAGCCUAGCACCACCACCAGGACUACAAAGACCACCGGUCCUGAAACCCAACUACAAGCCCUUAGUCACCAAGACUCCCAGACUGCCAUUAGUUUAUCAUCAACCCUCACCACACCUGUUCCAGUGUUGAAUUCAUUACAAUGCAUAUCCUAGCUCCCUAUUUGCUUUAUUUUCAUUUCAAAUCAGAGCUUGUCAAUAGUUGCACUGACAAAAAGAAGAGAACCCAUUGUCUCUUUUUUUUUUUGGUUUUCCCCACAGGUGACAAUGAUCAGAAAGAACACAAAACAAAAGAAAUGAACAUAUUAGUUUGCUAGGACUUACUCUCGCCAGUCAUGAUACGAUCAGUGGCACCAAGCCGUGUAAAGAUGAUGUCCACAAGUGAGAGAACACAUAUCUCACAGGGCACGUAACAGCCCAGCUGCAAGCCAUCAAUGAAUCAAAUAACAAGAUGUCAAAAUCUCUAUUGCUCCAAAAUCUGUAAGUGUUUUGCCAACUCAGUAUCUGGUUUUAGAAAGGAAAUUGCUCAGAGAAAAAGAAUAACCUGGGCAAGUAUUACAGCCAGACAUGUGGAACGAAGAAGAGUUGAUUUCCCACCCAUGUUCGGUCCAGUUAAUAGUAAAGUGCGUGGAUGAUAUCCAUCAGUAUUUUCACCUAGAACUACGUCAUUUGGUACAGGCAGUCCACCAUUUUCACCAAGAGCAAAUGGAUGCCACAGCCCUUUAAUAUUGAGUGUAGGACAUCCAUUUUCUCCAUUCAAGGUUGUUUGAGAUUGAGGCAAAAGAACAGGUCUGGACAUGGCUCCACCUGGGAAACUUGAAGUAACUGCAAAAGAUCUCAGUACAUCAAUACAGUUGAUGCCAUGUAUGACAUCAGUCCACUCAGUUGCUUUCUCCAUAAAUAGCUCGACUAGAAUUGAGAGUGUUUCGGCAUCUGAAUCAGUUGCACCAUGAUCCUGGCACCAAAUUCAAUGUCAGUUGUCUGCAUAUAGGUUCAUCUCAUGAAAAUAAAAUCAUAAUUUGUGUACCAUGCAGUACAUGAAAAUACUGAUAAACUUUGUUGUCUAAAGUAUGGGUGAGCUAGAGCUAGAAAGGCUCCUGUCCAAACAAACAGUAGACCUUCAUUCCUCAUCGCUAGAAAUACCCACAGCUUUUAUUUGUAAGAAGAUAUGAAGAAAGUCUGAAGUCUACUCCUAAGCUUUUCAAUAAUCCAAUGAUAGAAAUAUGAGAUGAGAAAAUGAGACUUCAAGACAGAAAAUACAGUACAAAACAUGACAAGCCAUAGGCCCAUAGCAAUAUGUUCAAGUUACCAAAAGCAGCUACUAUGAUCAACUAUUAACACCAAAGAUGGAAACUUAUUGUGAACACCAUAUGAGACGACGACUACUGAACGGAAAAAGAAGUACCUGGUAAUUUGGGAAAUCACUAUCUACAGCUGCUUCAAAUUGCUUAAGAUAUAGAUCAAGCCCAUCACUGCCACUUAGACUUGGAACUUUAAAUAGUUUUAAUAAUAGCUCAAUCAUAUGCCCUUCAUUUUGUAACACCUUUAACAAAUCCAGUCCAAAUCUGAGGCCUUUCACAAGAGUCCCGAACACUUUCACCUGUCACACACAAAGUAUUAUAAAUUUGUUCAUAUUAAUAGAAUUCUUAUAUAUUGCUGCUAAUUCAUGUCAGCUAGAGGUGUCAAUAUACUCUCCUAGUGUUGCGACAAUCUUCAAUGAGCCUAGACUCUGAACACUAUCCCUUGUAUGCAUAGAAAAUGAUAGAAAAGAUAUAACUAAGCAAUGCAAUCAAGAGAAUUCUGAACGGUGAUAAACAUUUGCCAGGUUCCUUCAAGUUUUCAAUAAAAAAUUCAUAAUAAAGUAGAGAAUACUUACUCUCUGUUUUAGUACUUUCUUGCCAAAUAAUGGCAAUAGGAGGGAAGCUGACGACUGGACACUUGCCCUGACCCGUCCAAACAACCUCUCUAAGUCUGGAAGCUUGCGGAGAUACUGAGCAAUAAGUGGUACCAUUUCUGGAUGACCCAGUAGAUCUUCAACCACAUUAAGCCGGUUAUUAAUGGCUUCAACAGAUUUCAAGGGAUGGCAGAUCCACUUCCUCAGAAGCCGCUUACCAGAUGCUGUCACACAGUUAUCGAGAAAUGCAUACAGCGUACCUGAAACCAUGAUAGAAAUUAGCACAAUAAACCUGACAAACCUGAGUAUUCUGGUCAAACCCAAAGAAAGGGAACACUUGCCUGAUGGACCACCAUCAGCAGUAUUACUGAAAAUCUCAAGAUUUAUCAGUGUCUGUCCAUCCAUUUUGAGGCAACCACUAUAAACUUGGUAAGGUAAUAUAUCUCCAUUGCGUAGAACAUCAUCUAACUGAAUGGGAAAUAAAAUGUGUCAGUUAUACAUAAAUGCUAUAAAUUAGUAUCCAUUUUACAGGAGACAUGCAAGUGAGCUUACCAUCAACCUGGAUAGAUGGUCAAUAAGUGUACCAAGAGCAGGUAAAGUGAUGUCAUGGUGUACACCAUCAAGUCCAUGAUUCCAUGAAUUAGAAGACCCUUUGAAGUAUCCUUUCAACUGAAUCAGUUUACUAACUUCAGAAGCAUCCACAAAAUCAUUGACCGGCUGCACUGGAGUCAAUUGCAGUGCAGAACCUGCAAGAUAAACAAAAAUAAUCAGUCACCUCUCUCUGUAUCUAUCUAUCACACUUUCAAUUAGGAAAAAGGAAAAGAUGUCUUCAAACCUGUUGAGUACUUUUUGAGUGCCUUUUGAGCUUCUUUUGACAGCCCUGAACGGAGUUGAAUAUUGAAGUUUCAAGAUAUGAUAUAUUUCAAAAAACUUCAAGGUGGAACUUGCAAAACAAGAGGACGUGCAGAAAAGAAAAAUUGUCUUACCUCUAUUCUCAUAUAUAACUUCUUUAGGUGACACCUAGCAUCCCAUGAAGAAAUUAGAAUACAAGUUCUCAAGCCUUCAAGAAUAACAAGAGAUGAAGAAGAAAGAGCAUACUUGCAUCAAUAGAGCCCCCAAAGCAGCACAGGAAGCAUCAUCACUGAUAGCACCAAUCCAGAACUUUAAAGCAGAACAAUCAACAAAAGCAAACCCAUAUACAACUGAACCAUUAUCAACCCCAGAGUUCCCCUAAAACAGAAGAGAAUUGUGAGUACAGUAAUUUUGAAAAGUGAAAACAUAUUUCUGGUAGUCGAAAGAUAAGCAUGUCAGGAAGCAUGACAAACUAAUCAGAGAAGGCAGAUACAAUGAAGAUGAAUAAUAUUAAUACUGAGAAACAGUAAAUAAAUACAUUCAAAGCAGAAUAAGAGCCUGCUCUGGUGCUUUCUCUUAACCUCUCUGAGUUGAAUAUCGAUUGUAUUCAGUGACUUUAGGACGUAUACAUUUAGUACCACUGGGAUCAGACUGAGCUUACAAAUACCACAAUCAAAAUAUGAAAAACAUGGUAGACAUAGCAAGUGGCAGAAAACUAAAUAUGCAACUACACUCAAGAUAGUUGAAAAAUUCCGUACAUCACAAACCUCUUUUAUUGCAAGAAGAUGAACAGCAUCAGGUCCAAUAUUUCCAUCAGUUGUGGUUGAUGGUGUGACAACCUGAACCAAUUUUCUUGGAAUUACCUGUAAUCAGAGAUUCAAAAUUCAGACAUUCAACUCAUAGUUACUAAAUAAUCACUGAAUGACAGAGGCUUUAAUAAGUUAUUCUACUUUUUACAGACCCAGAUAAAGAAAUAAGAAAAAUAAGUUUGCAUUGUCAACUUACAGCUUUGGCACCUCUGGCUUUUGCUUGCUCAGAAGUUUCCAGCUGCUCUAUCCGUCCAACUUUAUACCUUAACAGCAGAUGUAACAAAGAACAAGUCAAUUAUGAUGUAUUAACAUACUAAACUAGAAACUCAUCCUACUACAAAGGAUGCAGAUGCUGAUCAAGUUAAUAGGACCAGUCAAUCACAUACCCACGGACAACCAAUUUUUGAACAGCAUCGUCAAUCCCACUUUCAGAUAUGCCAACCUGACCACAGCGAAAAUCAAUACAUGUAAAUUAUUCCAAUCAACUGAUAAACAUAUACUUUGUUGGAAGAACAAGUAUACAAAUAAAAACAAACAGUGAUUCAAGUCACCUGGCGGCAUUUCCCAACACCACUCAAGGUCAUUUUCCAAUCAAGCUCCUUGUGGCCAAUUUCAGCAUCUAUUUCAUAUAGCUCAUAAAACUUUCCCUGUGUUUGACCACAAGUCAUCAUAUUAGGUCACAGUGAUAUAGUGUAAACAACAAGGUUGAGCUAAUACGUUCUGCAAAAUAAAAACCAACUUUGUUCUACAUCAUUCUCUUUAAAAGAAGGCAAGCAGAAAAAAUAUGUUGUGAAAAUAAAUCAUCCCAAAACCCUUGACAUAGAUCAGAAUAUGAACCAACUAGCAAGCCAAAUGUUAUCUACUCAGUCUUAUGGAGAAAACAAAACAUCUCUAUUUGCUCAUUCUACAAAUGGAUUGCUUAGGUGAAUUGUCAAACUGAAUUUGUGGUGCCACAGUGUUUAAUGAGCUACAGACCCAGACAAAACAUGAUGCACUUCAAGUAUAAAUGUUUAACUAGUUCUAACUCACCACUUUAAAGAAAAUCACAACAUCCAUAUACUGACACUUGACAUCCCAGUAUUGUCUCUGUGAUGCGGACAUUUUCUUCAAAGCAUCAGGCGGUAUAUAAAGCGAUGUUCUGUCAUAGAGAGGAUCACCAGGCCUUCUGCGAUUCGCAUCUCUAAUUCGGGACGGAUCAAGCCACUCAAACUUGCUAGCCAUUUCAGACGCCUCCCCACGGCUCUUGUCUAAGACUAUCGGCUCCUCAAGAACUUUCAAUCUUUUACUAGAAUUUGGCACAGAACUCCCAAAUAUAUCCCCAAACUUAGGUAUCUCCUCUUGAAUCCGCUUCAUACGAGGUACUAGACGCUGUGUCCCCGGUGUUUCUGGUCCAGCAAUGUCAUCAUCACUUUCGAUAAGCAUCACAGAACCUUUUUUAAGUUUCUCACCGGAAUUCGCAUCAUUAAAUUUACCAGAUACUACACAAUCAUUACCGGAACCACCAGUUGGUUCAUUCCUACACACAAAAUCAUAAAACAGAAUUUAAAAUUUGUUUCCAAAAUUCCAAAACAGCUAAACAUAACACUAUCAACUACUAUACCCAAGGCUUCAGAGUCACUAUUAAGCUUGAACAGUAGGUAAAACCCUAAGCAUUUCUAUGCGAUUCACCAGAAUAAGUAAGUAAAAAUCACUAUCAAUUUUACUGGAUAAGAUAAGGAACAGUACCGGUGGCUCUGAGAAGCCUUAUGUGAGUCAUCGACCUUCAUAAACUUAUGCAUAAUACUAGAGAAAGGCGAAGAGUCUCUCAGGCUCGCAGAAUUCGCCGUCAGAAUCUGACGUGGCACCUUCUCCGGCGGCGUGUCGGUUCCUCGGACUUUGAGAUCCGGAGCCUGAUUGGAUCCUACGGCCUUCUGCUCCUGCUGCUUCGCCGCGAAAUGGUCAGCUCGCCGGCCAUCGUCUGCGGCGGCGGUGCUGCUCUUCUCCGGCGAGGGUUUCCGGAAAAAGGAGAGGAUUGAUUUCUGGCGCUGCAUAUUGUCAAUUCAGAGAGAAAUGCAUAAAGACAAAAGGCGCCGAAUCGGCUAGUUUUAUUUAGCGGAAGAAAAAUUUGGCGCCAAAAUAUUGCGCUUUUGGGGAAAUGUUUUCCCGGCGGUGAUUUUGAUUUGACCUAGCACGAAACGACGUCGUAUUAGGCUCCAGCACGUGAGCCAAUGAUACGUCACCACGUUGCAAACGGCGACACAGCUAAUAAAUAUUUUUUACAUUAUCAUCCUAUUAUAAUUGUUAGGCCUCAUUUGAUACGCGGAAAGAAAAAUAGUUCUAUUUUCUUUCCCAAGGGAAGGGAAAGAGAAGAAAAAUAAAAUUUCCCAACGAUUUUCUGUUCCAAUGUUUGGUAACACAAGAAAAAUCAUCCAAAAAGUUGUUAAUUAAAAUAAUAAAAUAAUAUAUUAUGAGUAAUAAAUGCAAUAAAAUAAGAUUGGAAAAUGGUUUCUAUGGGCUAUAGAUUUUGGAACGAACAACUUUCCCUCAUAUUUUGAUGGUUCCAUUAGAAGUAAAGUUGCAGCUGGAGGUUUUAUUUUAAGAACAAAAGUUGGUAAACCUCUUAUGGCAGCUGCCUUCAACUCUUGUGUUGCUAGUGUUCCCCUUGCAGAAGCUCUUGCGCUAAGAAACAGUCUGGUAUGCACUAAAGAGAAAGGCUUGUCAAAGAUUUAAGUAGAAGGCGAUUCCAAGCUUGCCAUUGACAUUGCGAAUGGAGUUUGUGAUCCCCCUUAGAGGCUUCUAAAGAUCUUGUUAAAAUGUAAUUUUGUAUCCAUCAGCUUCAAACAUGUAUUGAGGGAACUAAUUUCGUGGCCAAUACUUUGGCUAACAUAGGGUAUAAGGUUGAGAAUUGUCACUUAUGGGAAGAGUGUGUUCCUCUAAAAGCAUCUCUUGUUCUUGUUUUUGAUAAUGUAAACUCUGAGUGUCGGUGAGGUACCUCUAUAUAAUAUAUUUUCUUCUCAAUAAAAAAAAAAUAAAAACUUUCCUCAUAUUUUCUCAAUCUUCAGCCAAAUAUAUCGAAAAGUAACGAAUUUCAUUUCUUGACGGUUACUUUCCGCGAACCAAACGAGCCGUUAAUGUAAACCCUGUUUUGCUCAAAACCCAGGAACCAGAAAAUCGAUUCAGAUGGUGGAGAUUUCUCAACUGAAUGAAGAUCUAUUGGGUCAGAUCCUGAAACGGGUCAGCGACCCGGAUGAAAGGAAACGGGUUUCCCAAGUCUGCAAACAAUGGUUCAUACUCGAGCGUCUAACCAGAACGUCACUCACUUUUCUCGAACUCCGUUUUCUCCUUCAGGUACUUCCUCGAUUCCCGAAUCUAGUUACAUUUCAGACAUCCGAGCCUAUCUUCAUGGACGCAGACCUUAAAUUCUUAGCCCAAACAUGUCCCAAGCUGGAGACCCUCAAUCUCGACACCACAAAACGCAAAUCAGGGUUUUUACCGAUGAACGGUCUUCACGCUCUGUCACUUGGCGGCGGCCUUCCGAAAUUGUCCGAGCUUUUUCUCUUUGGGAGAGAUAAUGUAGUCGUUGAUAAAUGGUUACAUGAGUUGCCACAUGAUAAGUUGACUUGUUUGGAUUUGGGACACUGCAGGUUUGUCGAUGACAAAGGGUUGGUAGUAAUUGGGGAUAUGUGUACUAGUUUGCGUUACUUGAAUUUGGCAAAGUCCAAGAUUUCGGACUUUGGUUUGAGAUUGUUGGCAAAUGGAAGGUGCUCGAAAACCCUCAGGACAUUGGUGCUUUCUCAAUGCUGUUAUAUAACUGAUUUGGGGUUGGCGCAUUUGCGGAAUAUGCAAUUCUUGGAAGUGCUGGAUUUGGACUACUGCGGGGAGGAAGUCACCGAUAUUGGAGUUAUAGCUGCAGUCUCUUCAAAUCGAUCCCUCAAGAAGUUGAACUUGAGUUUGUUGAGGAAUGUGUCGGACCAAAGCAUGGUGUUUCUUGCUGAGAAUUGCCCCAACUUACAGUUUCUUGAUUUAAGUGGUACUAAUGUUACUGGUGCCGGAGUUCGUGCAUUUUCUGGUCACAGGUGCCUAGAGUCUCUUGAUUUGCACGGGAGUGGUGAAUUUUGUUGGUGCGAUAUCGAGUACUUGGUGCUUGGAUGCCAGUCACUCAAGUCUGUCCACCUGUCUAGGCCGCCUAUGGACUCAGUUCCAGAAAGCGUUAGCAGAAUUGUGACAUUGACUGAUUUGUGGUGAAGACAACUUCAACUUCACCAGGUUUGUUAUGUUUUUUAAUUGGUUUAUCUAUGUGUUGCUUCAAUAAAACUGAAUGUAAUAGGCUGCAAAGCAAUGCUAUCCCUCAAGAAAUUGAACAUAAUUCGGUGUCUUAUGUCUUUGACCGAAGCAUUGUUGCUCUGGAUGAGAAUUGCCACAACUUAGAGAUGCUGAAUUUUAGUGGUUGUGUAUAUUCCGGCCGCAGUUGCUUGCUUGAAAUCUGUUGUUUUGCCUUGUAGGUGGCUCUGUGGAAGUGCGUGGAAAAGGUUGUAGCAAGUUGAAGUUGAAUCAGAUGCCAGAAAGCGAUGGGAGAAUUGUGAGGUUCUUUUCAUGCCCAAAUUUGGAGAAUGUUUGGUUCUGUUUUGAUACUUUUUUGGUUUCUUUAUCUAUCUAUUUAGUUUGAGUUGUGUUCUCUUGUUAUAUUGCUCUAUCGAUCUCAAUCAUGAAAAUCACUAGCAACUUUAUCUAGUUAUAGAUUUCAACACCUUGAAAUUUUGUAUAUUUCAGCAGUGUUGUCUUGCUAAUUUAGUUGUCUUUCGAUAUUACACAGCCGAGGUAAUUGUAGUUGACAAUAGAUUUUUUAACUUCAUAUAUAUUGACAAUAUAUACAGACUGGGAGAUCUAAUUCAUAAACCUACAAGUUGAACUAUGGAAGUCUGGACCUAAUUAAGUGAAGUUUGUUUGGAUAUAAUAGGUAAUCAGAAUGCCUGCAUUUGUACCAUUGUGUGGUAGAAGGUAGAUAUGUAAGUUAUAUUUUGGGUGUCUAUGAGAAACUUGAAUUUCAUACCUGGUUUUUUCUUCAUUUUUAUGACAAAAUGGCGUUUUAAAGUAAAUCUGUUUGGGGUUUUUUGUGUUUAUGUUUGGUCAAUGAUUUUGCUACUUGAGACUUAUAGGAACUACAACUACAGCUACAUAUAUAACUAAUAACUGAUAAUCCAGUCAUACAAACUUGAUAAUUGAUAUGUUUUGAAUUCAUAUGUUUCAGAAUGUUUCAUCGACUCACCUACAAUACAACAUGCAGAACUCAAAAUAAAAAGUUUAAUUCUGAUCGAAAUCAUGUUUAGUAUAUGCUCUAUUCUCAGUAACCCGUAUUGCAUUCCCUAAUAACAUAGAUGUGUCUGGAUUAGCAAAUUCAUAAGGUGUUAAGAAUUUACUUAGAUGUUUGACACUUAUCCUUGCUUCCUCUUUACUUAUAUUGAACAUGGUGAACAUAUAUCAAAGACGACAACCUACAACUGAAAAGGACUGAGAUGAUAGGAGUUUUUAGUGGGUCAGUCGCGACUCAUCUAUGCCUUCUUCUAUAACUAAUGUUCAAAAAUAAUAGGUCUGAAUAAUCAGAGCAUCUUCAGUAUACGGUGUGUAUCUACACAUAUAUAUGAGUAUGAAAUAAUCAUAGCAUCUUCGGAACAUAUAAAGGGUGUUACUAAAUGUACCCAGUAAACUUCUAAAUAGACCCAACACAACAAUUUUUAUCACAUAUUUUUCUAUUUUACCCCUAAAAUAGUAAAUUUAAUUUUAAAAAAGAUGCAUUCUUAUUACUGUAAUUUACAAGAAACACAGAUCCAGCACCUUGAAUCGGAAAAUAAAGGAAACCCAGCACCUCUGGAAUAUCGAUCGUUUUCAUUACCAGUGUGUUUCAACAUCAAUUGAACAAGGCCAAACAACUUGUCAAACACUAUUUCUCCUUUUCAAAUCUGUACUUUAAAAAUGUUGGAUUCAAUUGAAAGGCAAACAAACUAUAAAUUCUAAUAAACUGCAUAAAAACGAUACGAAAGAUGAUAUUUCACAAAGAAAUAGAAGAAGAUCAAGGAAGAAAGUGAGAGAGAGAGAGAGAGAGAGAGAGAGAGAGAGAGAGAGAGAGAGAGAUCUAAGAGUAUUCCAACACAACCCAUCAUGCGACUAUGAUUCAUAGAUUCUUAUUCUAAAGCUGUAUCACAUCUGGGUGCUUCCCAGUUCUCCCACGCCAUUAUCCUUUAUUCUUCUUUAAUUACAUUUAGCUAUUAGCUAACCUCACAAUCAUAUCAUAUCAUUUCAUCAUCAAAUAUUCUUAUGAUUGUGCUGAUGUUCUUCGGUCUUGAUUCAUAAACACUACGAUUGGGGGAUAUUGAAUGAGGCACGAACGGCAAUUUAUUAUGAUAAUUUUAAUUUAUUUUUUAUAUAUUAAAAUUGGGGUAAAAAUAUUAUAAAAUAUUAUGCUGAGUUUACUUAGAUAUUUGCUGUGUAAAUUUGGAAGCACUCCAUAUAAAUGAACGAGUAAAAUUAAGACCAAGUAUAAUAAGAAUUUGCUUUCGUUAUCCCUUCUUCCAACUAGGACCCAAACGACGUCGCAUAACUAUUUCCAGAACCUCCCGCCAAUUCUGCCUCGCCACGUUGUACACGGAGCCCAUAGAUAUUUGUCUACGAUUGCCACGCUGUCAGCUCUAUCCUCCAAAAACAGAGAACUUUUGAGAAGUUUCGAGAUGCUCCCUCACCUCCCUCGCUAUAUAAACCGUUUUGUUUUGCAUUCAUUACCUAUCUAAUUUUUCUUCAACAACCUCCUCUCUCUUUCUCUCCUAAAUCCACAGAAUCUAAUUCCGUUUCUCUCUCUAAUUCCGUUUCUCUCUCUUCAACUUUUCCGAUCAUGCCGAACCGAUCCGCCGGAGCACUGACACAGGACUGGGAGCCGGUGGUGAUCCACAAGUCCAAGCCGAAGCCACAAGACCUCCGCAAACCCAAGGUGGUGAACCAGGCCCUCCGGUCCGGCGCGCCGGUCCAGACGAUCAAGAAGUCCGACGCCGGCCACAACAAGAAGGCGGCGCCGGUGGUGAGCGUGAAGAAGCUGGACGAGGCGGCCGAGCCGGCGGCGCUGGACCGAGUCUCGGCGGAUGUGAGGCAUGCGAUUCAGAAGGCGCGGCUGGAGAAGAAGAUGAGUCAGGCUGACCUGGCUAAGAGGAUCAACGAGCUCCCUAAGGUGGUUCAGGAGUAUGAGAACGGGAAGGCCGUGCCGAACCAGGCGGUGCUGGCGAAGAUGGAAAGGGUUCUCGAGGUGAAGCUCAGGGGUAAAGUCGGUAAAUAAGAUCAAAACGGCUGCGUUUUGGGGGUUAGGGUUUCUGUGAUGAACAUAAUGUGAGUGGUCUGUUUGGUAAUUAGCUAUGAGAUCUGAGUAUAAUGUUUUAGGCUGUAAAAAGUAAGAAAUGAAUGAACUCUGAUGCUGUUGUUGAAAUCAAUUUCUGGAUUUGGCUCUAGUUUUAUUAUGCAUACCAAUUGUGCCUAUUACAUGUUUGAUGAAAUGCCUCUGCUAACCCAUCUAUGAUGAUAGAGCUAGACUUAUUUUACAACACAAAAACAGAGUAAAUUUAGAGCCAGGGAGAGUUGUAGAUUGGAGUGACCACUGAUUUGAUAUGCAUAUACUUGUGGAGGCCUUCCAUACCCAUGUCUUUUCCAAAGCCACUCAUCUUGUAUCCACCAAAAGGGGCGUCGUUGUCGGCGGCGAGGUAGCAGUUGAUCCAUAUGGCACCGGCGCGGAUUGACCUUGAGACGGUGUUGGCAAUGUCGAUGUUCUUGGUUACAAUGCCUGCUGCUAGGCCAUAUUUGGUGUUGUUGGCUCUCUGUAUGGCCUCUUCUAUGGUCCUGCAAUAGAAUAGGCUCACAGUUAGGGGACAUUUUCGAGCUGAUGUGAAGCGCGAAAUGGGAGCAAGGGUUUUACUUACUUGAACUUCAUCACAGACAUUACAGGUCCGAAUAUUUCAUCCUUGGCUAUCAUCAUGUCAUCCUGAGGGAGUUGUUAGAACAAAUAAUCAGAUGAAACAGAACAAACAUUCGCGAUAUUGACCUGAAUUAGCUAAGAGUGUACCUUGACAUCUGUGAACACUGUUGGCUCAAUGUAGUAACCCUUGUUGCCCACAGGCUUGCCUCCUGUUAGCAAAGUGGCUCCUUCUCUUUUUCCAUGCUCAAUGUAGGUUAAAACUCUCUCAAACUGCUGCCUACAAACCUGCGAUUGUUGUCACGACUGACAGACGUUAGAAUCUAGAGGGAUCACAUUGCAUAACCAUGAAGAAUUCGAUCAGAAGCAUAGUACAUAGCAUAGAUCAAUCGGAAAACUGCAUCGCCUUGUUGAUGACUAUAAAUAUUGAUCGAAAAGAGUGACUGAACAUUCACUAUUUUCAGGAUUCGCUUGUGUUACCUGGGGUCCUUGACGAACAUUAGGAUCAAAAGGAUCCCCAACAGUCCAAUAUUUUGCCUUCUCUUUCAGCUUCUUCACUAGUUCAUCAUGAAUCCCUUCUUGAACUAAAACACGAGAACUUGCCACGCAAGUUUCUCCCUGAAAACAUGAAUGACGCAAAGUUACCUCACUGCAAUAAUUUCCAUUCAAGUUAAAAGAACUUCAGAUUUGAAGAUGGAUGAUACAAAUUAAUGAUCCUGACCUUGUUGAAGAGGAUCCCCAAGAGAGCAAGGUCAGCAGCCUUAUCUACAUCAGCAUCAUCAAAGAUUACAAGGGGUGACUUGCCGCCUAGUUCAAGUGAAACUGAUUUUAAGUUGCUCUUUGCUGCAGCCUGCAUCACUAGACGGCCUACGUCUGUAGAACCAGUAAAACUGACCUGAAAUGUCAAGAAAUCAAACCAAGUAUCAGUAGGUGUUACAUUAAGCCUUAGCAAUGACCAAGUUGGAAGCAGAAGAGCUGGAACUUACUUUGUCAAUGUCCAUAUGAUAACUGACGGCCGCACCAGCAGUCUCUCCAAAUCCAUUUACGACAUUGAUCACUCCAUCAGGAACACCAGCCUUCAUAAAGAAAUCAAAAGCCAAAGUCACUACUACAUCUAAGCUACAUUGGCAAUGCAAACAUUUGAAUUCUCUUCUAAAUAUAUGCCGUCAGGAAGUGAGCUUAUAUUAAAGAGAGAAUUCACAUAAUCUCGCGACAUAGCGGCGUGUACUAAUCGAUCAUCUGACUACAUAACAUGUCACACUAUCGCCACAUAGCAUGACAAAGCAACUAUGCCGGAUCAGAACCAUGAGAAUGAUUUUUCAAGCUUACCAGCUGGGCCAGAUGAGCCAAAUAGAGAGCCGAAAGAGGUGUCUGCUCAGCCGGUUUGAUGACCAUGGUGCAACCAGCAGCUAAGGAAGGAGCGACCUUAAAAGAUAACAUGCCGCAUGGAAAAUUCCAUGGAAUGAUGUGUCCAACAACACCAACUGGUUCGAGUAAAGUAUAAGCUUGAAGCUCAGUCGACAUUUUGAGCACAUUUCCGUGAAUUUUAUCAGCUGCACCCGCAUAGUAACGGAAGGUCUGUGCUGCCUGAGGUAUGUCUAUGGCUAUGCCCAUACUGAACAACUUCCCAGCAUCAACUGUAUCCAAUUUGGCUAGUUCUUCUGCAUGUUCAUCAAUCAAGUCUGCAAACUUCAUCAUGAUCCUUCUCCUCUCCUGAACAUUGGUCAAGGCAUUACAUCAACAAUCGUUAGCGAAAAUAAGAAAGGCUGAUUCGAAAUUCCGAACAAAUUAAUUAGAUAAAAUCAACAGUGACAUCUCUACUAGGACUAAAAAUGGCAAACUAGUCAAGAGUAGAGAAACGUAAUACGUACAAUGCCGGGCAAACGAGGCCAGGUGCCAUGGUCAAAGGCGGCUCUUGCAGCUUUGACUGCCAAAUCCACGUCUUCCUUAUCUCCCUCUGCAACUCUGGUUAUCACCUCCCCUGUUCUUGGAUCGAUUGUCUCAAAUGUUUUACCUUCAUUAACGAACAAGAAACCAAUAUGGAUCGCAAACUCUUGUUAGCUAAUGUUUCCCCAUAUGAUCGUGUGACUAAAUCAUAACGAUACAGAGAAGAUUAACAUGUGUUCGAGACAAGUGAAUCAGGAAUAUUCAAGUACCUGAAACAGAAUCCACGAACUCUCCAUUGAUGAAGAGCUUGGUGAACUUUAUAGUUGGCAGCUUCACAAAGGACUCCUCGGAGCUGGCGUUACUAUUGGCACCCAUUUCUGUUUUUGUUGUUCUUGCUAGUGUUUAACUGUAUCGUCUAUGUUGAGGUUGUAGUGUUUAUAUAACAAAAGGAUAGGACUACAGAGGAGGCAAAAGUCUUCUAUUCAAAUUAAAAAAAUCUUAGUUGUAGACUAGUUGUGACUGUUGAAUGUUCUCAGACUACCUUAUUUGAAUUUGGUACAAAAACAAUGGUAAGAUAUUGUAGCAAACUACAAUUUCUAAUACAAUUCCUCAUAGUAACUCAACAGUUUUCUAUAACUUGGAUCUAUUUGUAGCUCUAUAGUCUAUACUCUUUCAGAGAUAUCUUGAAGGUGACCAAUACCUAAAUUAUCCUUUCAGGCUCGCAAUUAAAACAGUGGAAAAUCAAAUACAUAGUAUACAAAAAACACACUUACAAUAUUUUUUGACAUAUCCCACAAAAAAGUAUACAACUUCAUCUAAAUAACUUAUUGUGCACUACUGCAAGUUGCUAGCAUUCUUUUGGUAUAGGAUUUACAGCCAAGGAGAGUUAUAGAUGGGAGUGACCACAGAUUUAGUAUGCAGAAACUUGUGGAGGCCCUGCAGACCAUAGUCUUUUCCAAAGCCACUCAUCUUGUAUCCUCCAAAAGGGACAUCAUCGCCGAAGGCGAAGUAGCAGUUGAUCCAUAUAGUACCCGCGCGGAUAGAUCUUGAGACAGUGUUGGCCACAUCGAUGUUUUUGGUUACAAUGCCGGCUGCUAGGCCAUACUUGGUGUUGUUAGCUCUCUCUAUUCCCUCCUCAAUGGUCCUGCACAAUUGCUCAUUGUUGUAAGUAAAUUAUAUCUAUUCAGAAGAGCUAAAAAAGGAAUCAGUUUUGUGCUUACUUGAACUUCAUUAGUGACAUGACAGGUCCAAAUAUUUCAUCUGUGGCUAUAAGCAUGUCAUCCUGAGGGAGUUGUUAUAACAUUAAUCAGAUGAACAUGGAAGAUCAAACAAGAUUAACAUAAUUAACUGUAUCAUUUUUUACCUUGACGUCAGUAAAUACUGUUGGUUCAAUGUAAUAACCCUUCUUUCCCACAGGCUUGCCCCCUGUCAACAAAGUUGCUCCUUCUCUUUUUCCAUGUUCAAUGUACGUCAAGAUUUUCUCAUACUGUGUUUUAUCUACCUGCAAAUUUAAAUGAAUGUCAUGAAUCUGAAAUCAUAGGAUACAUUAUCUUCUGUAUAACUUUCGAAUUCGCUAUGGUAGUACAUAGAUAUAUCAAAAUCUACCAUGUUGAUGGCUAUAAAUAUCGAAAUAGUCUAAAAGGCAGUAUGAUCAUCGUCAUAUAUAUAUACCUGGGGUCCUUGACGAACAUUAGGAUCAAAAGGAUCCCCAACUGUCCAAUCUUUUGCUUUCUCUUUCAACUUCUUCACAAGUUCAUCAUAAAUCCCUUCUUGAACAAACACACGAGAACUUGCCACACAAAUUUCUCCCUGUAAAAUGUGAAUGACACAAAGUUAAUUAACCCUGCUACAUGCAUAUAGAGCUAUGAAUGAAACUCCUGACUACAAAAAAUUACGUAAACUAAAACUAUAAAAACUGACUUUGUUGAAGAGGAUCCCCAAUAGAGCAAGGUCAGCAGCCUUGUCUACAUCAGCAUCAUCAAAAAUUAUUAGAGGUGACUUGCCCCCUAGUUCAAGUGAUACUGCUUUUAAAUUGCUCUUUGCUGCAGCCUGCAUCACAUGACGUCCGACCUCCGUGGAACCAGUGAAACUGACCUAAAUUAUUACGAAUUUAAUCAAGUAUCAAUUUGUAUUACAUCAAGCUAUUAAACUGUGCUGAAAGUUGAGUAACCAAAGAUUCCAAGAGAAAGAGCUAGAGUUUACUUUGUCAAUGUCCAUAUGAUGGGUUAUGGCAGCACCAGCAGUCUCUCCAUAUCCAGUGAUGACAUUGAGCACUCCAUCAGGAACACCAGCCUUCACAAACAACACAAGCCAAAGUCACCACUAGCAAUACUAAUGCACGUCAUAGGCUUGAUAACAUAACAAAUCUACUCAAGUUAUACUAUGAGAAGGUUUGUCCAUGCUUAAUUACCAACUUAGCAAGAUGAGCAUAAUAGAGCGCCGAUAGAGGUGUUUGCUCCGCAGGUUUGAUCACCAUUGUGCAACCUGCUGCCAAGGAAGGAGCAACCUUUGCGAACAGCAGCGUGCUGGGAAAAUUCCAUGGAAUGAUGUGUCCAACAACUCCAAAGGGUUCGAGUAAUGUAUAGGCUUGAAGCUCGCGUGACAUUUUGAGCACCUCUCCAUGAAUUUUAUCAGCUGCACCAGCAUAGUAACGUAGAGUCUGUGCUACUAGAGGUAUGUCAACAGCUUUGCCAAAACUGAACAACUUCCCAGCAUCAACUGUAUCCAACUUGGCUAGUUCUUCGCUAUGUUCAUCAAUCAAGUCCGCAAACUUCAACAUAAUCUUUCCCCUCUCCUGAACAAUAUCACAUCAAGCCAUCAAUUUAAGAUCACUCUUAAGUAUUCACACUAAAGUAAAGUAAUUAAUAUAUUUCAAGUGUUACUAAAUAUACAAGCCAAUAAGCUUAAUAUUAAUUAGAUGACAGUUUAAUUUUAGAUAUACACAAUUUUCAUUAAUUAAUUAAUUGUCUAAAAUUUGAGCAAACUUCACUUUUCCUUAACAAGUAUGAUCAGCUCUAUCUGGUCCAGAAAAGGACUAGCUAGAGAAAAUGAGAAGUAAUGAUCAAGGACUUUUCAGAUGGUAAAAUUUGAAAAUCAGAUAGUUGACCAGAAGAACAAACAACCGGAUAAGAUUUUCUUUGGUCAGCAAAGACAAAAAAUAUAAAAAAGCUUGAAAAUGAUUUCUAUUUUUAACGGUGACUUAAUAUUAAAUAUCUUAAUCAGUAACUGACCAGUAAACAUUGUUGUUCUAAACUAAUUAAUAUAUAUAUUACGUAUGACACAAGCAACUAAUUAAAUACGAAGUUUUACUUUGAAAAUUUCACAAUGUCGACUUCAUUUUUAUAAUUUUUUUGUUUGGGACCUCAUCAUUUUCGGUGCCACACUGUAGAUAGAAGAAAUGAGAUGGUGACAGACUUGAUAAGUCAACUCGACGAAUAUCUCUUCGACGGGAAAAAAAAAAAACCUUAAGUGACAUAUAAGCUUACGUCACCAUCGAUAUCGACUAGAUAAUCGAAGGUGCUAUGUGUUUAAUAUAAAUCAUAUUUACGAAUCAUAAUGCUAGCCACAUGAUACGUGAUAUAUCUCACUCUGAUGAAACAGUAAACCUAGCUGAAAGACUUGUGGGUGCUUGCUAUUUUUCUUAUCGAAGAAAACUUUAUAGGAGACUAAUUCGUGUCGGGAGAUCAAAGAUUUAACAAACACAUGCAGCAAGAAACACCUAGCUCUCGAUCAGUAAUCUUUUAUAUGUAGUGUGGUUCAUUUUGUCGUCGAAAUAAUAUAACAAACAAACACAUGCAGCAAGGAGAGUCAAGAAAGCCAAAAGUAGAAAUUUCAGAACCAAAACAAGUUAGCUUAGCUUAGCUAGCUAUAGGUGGCAGUAAAGAACAGAAUGGGGAUUACGUACAGCGCCGGGAAAGCGAGGCCAGGGGCCGUGGUCAAAGGCGGCGCGUGCAGCUUUCACGGCCAAAUCCACGUCUUCCUUAUCUCCUUCCGCCACUCUGGUUAUCACCUCGCCUGUUCUUGGAUCUAUCGUCUCAAAUGUUUUUCCUAUUUGCGAAACCAAAACAUCAGUAUAAAUCAGAAUGUAUGUACGUGUAGGUGUUGUGCUUUCUGAAACCUUAGCCGAUGACACGUUGAAGCUGAUGACAUGCAUAAGUCCAGAAAUGGUAGCUAGCUUGCUAGCUAGAAUAUAUAUGCGUUUGGAUCUUUGAACAAUACAGAAACUAAACAUCAUCAACAAGCUAGCUAGCAGUGGUUUGUGACUUGUGAAACAUGAUAACGAUCGAGGAAGAAGGUAUGUACCUGAAACGGAGUCGACGAAUUCGCCAUUGAUGAAGAGCUUGGUGAACUUUAUCGUUGGCAUCUUCACAAAGGACUCCUCGGAGCAUGCAGAGCUUCCAUUACUUUGGCCACCCAUUAUAUCUGUUUCCUGUCAAGAGACUUGUUUUUGCUUCGUUUCGUAUAGAUUGAGAAUGUUUAUAUAGACGAGCCAAGAGGCAAGAAGCAAGACGCAAGAAGGAAACGUAAUUGUUUUUUUUGUUUUCUUUUCAACUGAGGAGACGUAAUUGUUUAGCAAAUAGGUAACUUCCGGUGGAGACACUAGAAAUAUAGAAAUUUAGUUAACUUUUUUUAGAUAUAGAAAAUAAAAAUAAAAUUCAACUGAGUUCCUGAAUUCAAGUCUGAGAUCAUUAACAAAGGAGAUGCUAAACACCGAAGUGGUAGACUUGGUGGCUUGGUGCACCCCAGUGAGAUUACGUACCCAGAUGAACAUUUGAAUUCUUUUAAGGCAAUUGACUCAAUUAGCUUUCCUAAUCUUGUUCUUAGAUAAUAGUUUGAUCACUGUCACUUGUAUUAGUCUAAAAUAAAAUUGCUCAACCAUGUCUGAAGCUGAAUGAACUCCCAAGAUUAAAUAAAUGAUGUGGCUGCUAUUGGAUUUGUAUAACACAAGAGUUUGGAGGUGAUAGCUAAAUUAAAAGCUAUUUAUUUUCCUUAUUCUCCUGCAAAUUUGUCGAUUGUAAUAUAGAGAAAUAAGGGUCUCCCGCAGAGGAUUAAGUUAAACUAAAAGCUUCAACAAAAGUCACAAAACGUGACUGCAGCUCCUAUUGAACAACAGUCGAAAAAUAAAAGUAAAACCUAACCUAGAAUGUUCAGAAAAACACGAAAAUUUACAGAGGUGUACUAGACACACAGAGAGUCUAGCACACAAAAUUUGAGACAAAUCGGAGUUGAUUUGAUAGGGAAAUAAAAUACAGGAAUAUGACGAACAGAAGAUAAGAAAACUGAAAACUGAUUUCAAAGUAGUUGAAAAUCAAGAUAAUGAGACUAGCUAGGGAGGAAGUAUCCACCCCCCCCGACAAUCACACACAACACACUUUGUCCAAUUUGUGACCAACUAACUCAAUUGAAGAUGCUCAGAUUGACUCGGUACGCUUGAGUACAAUCUAUUACUCUUUCUUACUUUGUACGUUAGGCAGGAAGUGCUCUACACCUAAACUAUUCUCAAACAUUGUAACCUAAAGGUACGUUUAUUAGGUUAAACAAGCAGAGAUCAAUAAACAUGAAAAGAGUUUGAGCAAUCACUAGGCAUCGCAAUAAACUUAGCGCCUUGCUAAACCUAGGGUUUCGUCUACUCGCUAGUAAAAACUACCGAUUACUUCUCUAGACAAUUUGAGGGAUCCGAUAUUGACCCAAGCAUCAAAUAAUCAAAGUAUUAGAACCCUAGCAUGUAUACUAAGUAGGCCUCCAAAGCACACACACAAAGAAUUCAUCGAUGAACAAUCGGUAAACAAAACCUCAAUCUUAUUAAUUACAAAAACAAAUUGAAAAUCAAAGCAUGUUAUGAAUCAUGUCUAGGGGCUUCAACAGCCCCCUAGCUACUAUGAGUUUAGUUGCGCAUAAUGAAAAUUAAAAACACAAAAGAGUUCAUGGAAGGGGAAGACAACAAUAACCAAGCUUGGAGAAUCCUUGAGAAGAGAUCAAUCUUGUUCCGUCCGAUUCUUGUGUUCUUUUCUUCCCGACUUGUCUUCUUUUCUUUUGAAAUCCACCAAGCAUGAAUAGAAGAAAUUCCUUAUCAGAUUUCCGGUGCUCAUUGAUCACCAUUUCCACAUGUUCAAAGAAAUCAAAAGGCACUUCGAUGAAUGGAGCAUGUGGAGAGCCUAAAUGUGGCAAGGAAGAGUCUGGUGGGCGAACAUGCGCUGGCAAUAGAGGAUCAAAUAUGGAAGCUUUGACGGUCUCCCCCUCUAAGCAAUAACUCACAUCAUGCUUGGAACACUCUUGAUUUUCAUGAGGUAUUGUGAUCUCCUCCAACACAUGGAACUCAUUAUCAGCUUCAAGUUCCUCAUUGUUAGAGUCAUUGAAGUUCUCUUCAUAGACCACCUCGACAUUUGAGUCUUCUUCCUCCUCUACGAUGUAGUUAAGUGAUGUACCAUGAGAUUGAAGCAAAGAGGUGGUUACAUGAAGCUCCCAUAGGACUGGCAUAUGUGUGUGAGUUCGUCUGUAUGUCUAGCUUGUCUCUGUAAAUAUUUGUAUUUUUCUGAGUAGUUUACGUUAGUCAACUAAUUAGGUUUCCGACUGCUGGUCGUUAGGAUCAGUAGUCACUUUUGUGACGUCUUUUGAGUAGUUAGAUUCAGUUAGUCCUCUGCGGGAAAGACCCUUGUUUACCCUUUGCUACGAUCGACAAUCCUAAGUGUGAAUAAGGAAAAUUAGUAGCUUUUUAUUCAGCUNNNNNNNNNNNNNNNNNNNNNNNNNNGCAAAGGGUAAACAAGGGUCUUUCCCGCAGAGGACUAACUGAAUCUAACUACUCAAAAGACGUCACAAAAGUGACUACUGAUCCUAACGACCAGCAGUCGGAAACUUAAUUAGUUGACUAACGUAAACUACUCAGAAAAAUACAAAUAUUUACAGAGACAAGCUAGACAUACAGACGAACUCACACACAAAAUUUCAGAUGAAUCGGAGUUGAUUUGAUAGGUGAAAUAAAUCUGGGAAAUCAGAGGACAGAAAAGUGACGAAAAUAGAUUUUGGUUUUUGGUUUUAGAAAACAAUGAUGAAACUAAUAAGAGAAGAUGCAAUCCACCCUGACAAUCACUCACAAGACAAUUUGCUGAGUUCUAGUCCAAUUAAUCUAGAUGAAGAUGCUCAGGUUGGCUCGGUACGCUUGAAACACAACCUAUUACCCUUUCUUACUUUGUACGCUAGGCAGGAAGUGCUCUACACCUAGACUAUUCUCAAGCAAUGCAACCUAAAGGUACGCUUAUUAGGUUUAAUACGCAGAGAUCCUUAAGUUCUAAAAGGGUUUGAGAUAUCACAAGGCAUCGCGAUAAACUUAGCGCCUUGCUAAACCUAGGACUUAGUUUACUUGCUAGCGAAAACUAACAAUCGCUUCUCUAGAUAGUUUGAGGAGUCCGAUAUUGACACUGGCAUCAAACUAUCAAAGCCAUAGAACCCUAACAUGCAUACUAAGCGUGCACUCAAAGCAUACAGGAAAAGAAUUCAUCAAUGCCAAAGUAGUAAACCAAAUCUCAUCUUGAAUUAAAGGAAACAAAAGCCAAAUCUCAAAUCAUCUUGUAGUUCAUGUCUUAGGGCUUCAAGCAACCCCUCACUAAGAAAAACUAAACAAACAUGAUAAUAUAAAUAGGAAAACGCAGAAGAUGGAGAGGAGAAGAAGAAGAAGAAGAAGAAGACGGCAGAUGGUGAUAGCACAGGGCUUUUAUAUUGCUUCCUUCAACCAAUCCUACUUGAUUUAGGUUUCCCUCGACCAAUGGAAGUGCGCCAACUCAUUUAAUUCUUCAUAAUCAGUUCCCAUCGAGAUAAUAAGUUGGAAUAUGAAGUACAAACUCGACCAUGGGCUUCCUAGUGUGAUUUGGGCCUCAGAACACAAAUUCCCGUCAAAGGUCAGAUUCAGGCGCAGUUUGACCUUCUGACACUAAAUCGGCCAUAACUUCUUCUAGAAAAAUGCUAUUCACGAACCGUAAAAUGCUACGGAAAUUUGACAUCCGUAGCUUUCUAAUGGUAUGAGGCUCAUGAUCUGAUUCAUCCUUAGCUGCCCUCAGUGCUCUGUCGAAGUAGGCUGAUCUGCAAAGGCAGAUUUCUGAAUUUUGCCUUCCAAUGUCUCUUCUCCACCCUUUUCUUUAAAUUUGCUCCAAAAUUCCUAGAAAACAAACCAACAAAGUAAACAACUAGAAAAUACACCAAAUAAACAAAGAAAGUAUAGAGGAAUUCGAUACAAAUAAUGUAUAAUUAUGCACCUAUCAGGAGGUUAAUUGGCAAGCCUCGUUGACAAACAAUGAUCAUUUGCAGGUUUCGAUCAAAUAGAGACUUGUAUAUUGCAACAACAAAGAGAGGAAACACGUACAUGCAAAUAGAUGAUGUACAUAUACAAUCCUUUUGACAUUUCCCACAUAAAUAAAGAACUUCAACUCAAUAAUUUUAUUCUGCACUGGAAUUACGACUAUUAACAUUAAUUCUUUUGGUAAAGGAUUCAAAGCCAGGGAGAGUUAUAAAUGGGAGUGACCACAGAUUUAGUAUGCAGGUACUUAUGGAGGGCCUGCAUACCAAAGUCUCUUCCAAAGCCACUCAUCUUGUAUCCUCCAUAGGGGCAGUCGCGGUCGAAGGCAAAGUAGCAGUUGAUCCAUAUAAUGCCUGCACGGAUUGAUCUUGACAUAGUGUUGAUCACAUCGAUGUUCUUGGAUACAAUGCCUGCAGCUAGGCCAUACUUGGUGUUGUUAGCUCUCUCUAUUCCUUCCUCAAUAGUCCUGCAAAAUUGCUCAAAUUUAUAAGCUAAACUUACGCCUUUUAGCAUAUCAGAAAGACUAGAUGGAACAAAAGGAAUCAGGCUUAAUUAUGCUUACUUGAACUUCAUUAGCGACAUCACAGGUCCGAAUAUUUCAUCCUUGGCUAUAAGCAUGUCAUCCUGUGCAGAUUGUUGUAACAUCAAUGCGUUAAACAUAACAGAAACAUAAUCAACAUUCGCUAUAUCAGAUUUGAUAUUGAUGUGUUGACAAGUACCUUGACAUCAGUGAAUACUGUUGGCUCAAUGUAAUAUCCCUUGUUCCCCACAGGCUUUCCCCCUGUUAACAAAGUUGCUCCUUCUCUUUUCCCAUGCUCAAUGUAAGUCAAGAUUUUCUCAAACUGCUUUUUAUCGACCUGCAGUUCAUAUAUAGGUAAGGUUUUGUAUAACUAUAGGAAUUCACAAGCUUUAGUCAGGCAUAUACGUACAUCAAUCAUAAAGCUGCAUUUGAUUGUUAUAAACAUUAGAAGACACUAAUUAGUUAAGAACAUAGACUAUCUUGGGAUUUUCGCCUGCCUUACCUGGGGUCCUUGACGAACUUUAGGAUCAAAAGGAUCCCCAACAGUCCAUUCUUUUGCCUUCACUUGCAAUUUCUUGACUAGUUCAUCAUAAAUCCCUUCUUGAACAAACACACGAGAACUGGCCACACAAAUUUCUCCCUGAAAUGAUGAAUAACAAAAGAGUUAGUAUUGCGACAUAUUAUGGUUAAGAAAAGUAUGAAACAAAGUUAUGACUAUGAAGCAGACCUUGUUGUAGAGGAUUCCCAAGAGAGCAAGGUCAGCAGCCUUGUCGACAUCAGCAUCAUCAAAUAUCAAAAGGGGUGACUUGCCCCCUAGUUCAAGUGAAACUGCUUUUAAAUUGCUCUUUGCUGCCGCCUGCAUCACUUCACGACCUACUUCUGUGGAACCAGUGAAACUGACCUGAAAGAUGAAGAAGUUAACAGAAGUAUCAAUAUCACAGUAAGCCAUUCAACUAUACUGAAGUUUGUACAGUUAGUCACAUAAACGACACGCAGGUUGAAGGAAAAGAGCUAGUUACUUUGUCAAUGUCCAUAUGAUGAGUGACGGCAGCACCGGCAGUCUUUCCGAAUCCAGUUAUGACAUUGAGCACUCCAUCAGGAACACCAGCCUUCAUAAUAAAGUCAAAAACCAAUGUCACCACUAAAAUUAAGCUGCAUAACCGAUAAUCUAAAAUGACAAUUUGAUAACAUAACAUUGAAACAUUUUAAGUAACAUAAUAUGUCAGGUGACUGACUGUGCAAAGUUCCUUGAGAAGUUUUUUCUAGCUUACCAAUUUAGCCAGAUGAGCAUAAUAGAGCGCCGAAAGAGGUGUUUGCUCAGCCGGUUUGACGACCAUAGUGCAACCAGCAGCUAAGGUAGGGGCAACCUUAGCAAACAGCAGGCUGCUGGGGAAAUUCCAGGGAAUAAUGUGUCCGACAACACCGAUAGGUUCGAGCAAUGUAUAACCUUGGAGCUCCCGCGACAUUUUCAGCACCUCCCCAUGAAUUUUAUCAGCUGCACCAGCAUAGUAUCGUAGCAUGUGUGCUACCUGAGGUAUGUCUACAGCUUUGCCGAAACCAAACAACUUCCCAGCAUCAACUGUAUCCAAUUUGGCUAGUUCUUCUGCGUGCUCAUCAAUCAAGUCUGCAAACUUCAACAUAAUCCUUCCUCUCUCCUGAACAAUAUUCAAGUAUUUACAUCAAUUUUCAGUCUCUUAAUUCUUAACUAAUGUUGAAUUAAUACUAAACAGCAAAGCUAAGCCAAGUAUAUUGUAAUUUUGUUACAGUACUAUGUGUCUUCAUAUAUACAUUCUUAGGUCUUUUUCUACGUUUAUUAACUGUGGUCCAUGAAAAGGACUUCAAAGAUCAUAGUCAAGGAUUUGUCAAUAGUCCAAUUAAGGAUGAUAUUCGAUAAAGAUUGAGACUACAAAUAUGGUUCAUUUUUGAAAUACAAGAUUGUUACAUUAAGAAAACGAAUCAAAUUGUGUAUAAGUUCACAUGGAUGCUAACUAUAGUUACACAGUUAGUUCUCCAGAAAAAAAAAAAAAAAAAAAAAAACUAAUAGUUACACAGUUACACAUGUAAGAAAUAUAUUGUUACCCCUUACUAUUACUUUUACAAUUGAGGUGUUCAAUUAAACAACAUGUAGUGCUAAUCACAUGAUCACAUUGUUACUAUAAACUAUCAUAUUGUACAACUACUUAUACUAAUUGUGUAAUGUUAAUCACAUGAUCCCCUCAUAAUAUAUGUUGCCGACCACGUUAUAUAUAUAUCUCUCUCUAAUCGAGUCUCAUUAUUAAGUCACUAAUGAUCGUAAUUAGAAAAAUAUGAUACAAAUCUUAUCUUGCCUUAAACUAAGAAUAUUUAGUCAGCUGGCUCAUGAAGCCGGCCACCUCUAAUAAUACAGUGCAAUCUUAGUUAAGUUAUUAAUGCCUAGUUUGGUUCAAGGAAGGUAAAGGAAAGGAAAUUAAGGAAAUCUUUGAAUUUUCCUUCGACAGAGGAAAAGAAAGUGAAUCAUUGGGGUGGGGGAGAGAAUCAUUUUCCACCCGAUUUUCCUUUCAUGUGGGAACUACUUUCUUUUCCUACUCUUUUCAUUUUGGUUUCUAAACAAUAAAAAUCAAUGAUUUUCCUUUCUCAAUGGCUUGAUUUCAUGAACCAAACAUGACUUUAAUAGAAAUCUUAAUGGAAAGUAAUGAUUUUCCUUUCUCAAUUACUUGAUUCCAUAAACCAAACACCGCCUUAAUAGAAAUUUCAGGGACCACAUGAUAAUAUCCUUGUACAAAAUAGACGAAGAAGCUGGAGCAGCCUCGAUAUAUAAUUCUAUUUACAUAAGAGCAGCCUCAUUAUAUAAUUCUAUGUAGACAAAAAAAAAAUUAUUGGUUUUGUCUUCAUCAUGGAAUUAUAACAAUAAUAUUCCAAUAAUGCUGUCUUGACGAAGACGCUGGUAAAAAAAACAAAAGAUGCCAAUCGAACAAAGACAGACAAGGAAACUGGGGAUUGAAAGGAACAAUAUAGCUUAGCUAUGGAGGCGGUAAAAGCAAAGAAAAAGAGAGUAGCCGGAUUAAUAAUACGUACAGCGCCGGGCAUACGAGGCCAAGGGCCAUGGUCGAAGGCGGCGCGUGCAGCUUUCACCGCCACGUCCACGUCUUCCUUAUCUCCCUCUGCAACUCUGGUUAUCACCUCUCCGGUUCUGGGAUCUAUCGUCUCGAAUGUUUUACCUUAAACAAACAAAAACCAAUAUCAAUAUCAUGAAUGUGUUUGGAUAUUGUUGCCCUAAAAGAACGCAACGAUACAAAGAAGAUUAACAUAUAUGAUCCUUACGACGAAAUGGUAGUAAAAGAGAUGUUCAUGAGGAGUUAAUAAUACACAAGCAGUAUACCUGAAAUGGCGUCGACGAAUUCUCCAUUGAUGAAGAGCUUGGUGAACUUUAUGGUUGGCAUCAUCUUCACGAAGGAGGACUCGCAGGGUGCAGAGCUACCAUUACUAUCACCACCCAUAUCUUCUCUGCUUCUCUCUGUGUUUCUUGCUUCUCUCUCACUCUCUCUCUCUCUCUCUCACUCGAGCUUGUGUUUGACAAUUUGUUUCGUCUAGAAUGAAGCACAUUGUGCAGUAUUUAUAUAGUGAAAAUAGGAGGAGGGCGAAACCUAACGUAAUCGUUAGGACGUGGGGUCAACUAUGCCAUCUAAAGCAAUCUCUGGAUUGAUGGUCCAUGGUAUGCUACGUCUCAAUAUACAUCAUAAAAAUCAUCAAUGAAAUUGGAUUUUGUGCUAAUUUUUUUUUUCUCGAUGCGUUGGAUUUUGGAUUUUGGUCUGUAUUAUAUAUAUUUGUUGGGUAAUUUAAUAAACAACUGUGUAAAUUUGUGGAAGAAAUAAAAAGAAAAAUUUUACCAACUCCUCUUCAUGUAUUUCCUAGAUAGAAAUUUACUACUGGAGGCAUCCACGGGUGCUGCGGCGAUGGCUUUCCUCCGGUGGAUUUAAGGGUCGUGUGUUGUGCAUUGGCAACAACCAAUGAAGUUGGUGGUUUGCAAAAAUGCAAAUGAGAAUGCUCGACUAGGCGUCUAGGCUCGACUUGUCUUUCACAGGAGGAAAGAAGAUUAUGGAGAAUGCAUAAAUAUGGUUGCAUUAUUAUGGUUUCAUUAGUCAUUACUCGUUACAGACAUUGUUCGAAAAUGACUACAAUUUUUCAACUAUUAGUUUGCAUUGUCCAAGCCUCACCAUACUAGCGUUCUAAUCCAAAUGGCGUUUAGCCGAAAACUAUUAUGGUUGUAUUAUUAUGGUUUAAUUAAUCAUUACUCAUUACAGACAAUGCUCGAAAAAUGACUAAAUUUGUCAACUAUUAGUUUGCAUUGUUUAGCCGAAAACUAUACAAUUACUGAAUGAGAACUACGAUCAUAUAAGUGCGUCAAAUCACUAAAAGGUAGAAAAGCAAAUGUCCCAAGAGAUGUAACAUGCGGAAAUUGGAUGUAAGAAAUGUAAAACAAGUUUUUUUUUUCUUUCCAAAUUAAGGGAAGAUAGGUGUAUUUUCUCUUUCUUUCACAGAAAAUAGACCAGUAACCAAUGUUCUUCUAUCCAGUUUUGUUAUCAUGCAAAGAGAUCCCCCGUGUUAAAAGCACAACACAAGUUGAAGCAACAACCGCCUUCACCUCUUUUGCAUGUGAAUGUGAUCUCUCCGAGUUCAUUUUGGUUCCUCUAUAAACCUACAAAUGUAUUGAAAUUUGCACAAGAACAAAAUAGAGUUCAUUGUCAAUCGUCACUUCCUACAGCAUUAGAAAACUUGACAGCGUCGUUUUCAAUUUGAUGCUGCUUUCAACAAGUCAAUAGAGAAUACAAGAACUACAUACAAACAUAAUUGGAACAUGACUCAUUGCAUACUACAUAUUAACACUACCAAAAUAGACGUUCAAUUUUUGGGGUAAUCCAAACGAAAUGGUCCAGUUUGGCCUGUAGAUAUAUAGGAAACCAUGGUUAUUUUCUUUUUCUUCGUUUAUGUAUCACACAUAUAGAGCUGGUUGGUCCAUUGGAGUAGUUUAUUUAAUUUGCCAACAAUUCAAUACAGCCGCCGGACCAGAAAGAAGCAAAAGAUAUUAAUAUUAAUGAAAGCUAUAGACAUAAAGAUGAAGGGCGAUGGGGGACGAAAGUUCAUGGAGAAUAUCCUUCCGCCGAGGUUUUAGGUUUGAGUAUGAAUGGCCAACAAAAUUGAACAUUCUUGAACAUUUGUUCUAUAUGUGUAGCAUUUGCAAAGUUGAAAAUAUCUCUGGAACAUUAGUUCUGUACUUCUAUUCGUGUAGCAUUUGCUUUUGAUUUACCCAUUCUUCGUUGUAAGGAUUUUGGUUUCACACCGUGUUGUGCUACCCCAAUCGCCGGCGCCGAUUUCGAGUCGUAGACGACUGAAGCUCAUACUGGUAGAAACAUUCAUCAGGGCUAGAAGUCUCGUGCUCCAUAUCAACAAUUGUUCAUACCUUUCUAAGCUUUGAUUUGUAAUGUGAAAGAGCAGCAGUAACAUAGUCUAGAGUCUAGUCUAGACUAAGUAAUAGACUAAGUAAUACACCGGACAAAAAAGCAUUAUAUGAUAACUUGAUUAGGGACCGUCCCUAGUUACCAACUGAAGAUUAGGGGAACCAUGUAGCUAUGUCUGCAGAAUUAUUGUUGAUAGGGUGGCGGUUGGUAAGACGGUGGUGUCGCAUUUGCAUAAUCGUAUGGCCCUCAUAGGAUUCAGAGCCAGGGAGAGUUAUAAAUGGGAGUGACCACAGAUUUAGUAUGCAGGUACUUAUGGAGGCCCUGCAUACCAAAGUCUCUUCCAAAGCCACUCAUCUUGUAUCCUCCAUAGGGGCAGUCGCGGUCGAAGGCAAAGUAGCAGUUGAUCCAUAUAAUGCCUGCACGGAUUGAUCUUGACACAGUGUUGAUCACAUCGAUGUUCUUGGAUACAAUGCCUGCAGCUAGGCCAUAUUUGGUGUUGUUGGCUCUCUCUAUUCCUUCCUCAAUGGUCCUGCAAAAUUACUCAAAUUUAUAAGCAAUACUUACGCCUUUUAGCAUAUCAGAAAGACUAGAUGGAACAAAAGGAAUCAGGCUUAAUUAUGCUUACUUGAACUUCAUUAGCGACAUCACAGGUCCGAAUAUUUCAUCCUUGGCUAUAAGCAUGUCAUCCUGAGAAGAUUGUUGUAACAUCAAUGCGUUAAACAUAACAGAAACAUAAUCAACAUUCGCUAUAUCAGAUUUGAUAUUGAUGUGUUGACAAAUACCUUGACAUCAGUGAAUACUGUUGGCUCAAUGUAAUAUCCCUUGUUCCCCACAGGCUUUCCCCCUGUUAACAAAGUUGCUCCUUCUCUUUUCCCAUGCUCAAUGUAAGUCAAGAUUUUCUCAAACUGCUUUUUAUCGACCUGCAAUUCAUAUAUAGGUAAGGUUUUUGUAUAACUAUAGGAAUUCACAAGCUUUAGUCAGGCAUAUACAUCAAUCAUAAAGCUGUAUUUGAUUGUUAUAAACACUAGAAGACACUAAUUAGUCAAGAUCAUAGACUAUCUUGGGAUUUUCGCCUGCGUUACCUGGGGUCCUUGACGAACUUUAGGAUCAAAAGGAUCCCCAACAGUCCAUUCUUUUGCCUUCACUUGCAAUUUCUUGACGAGUUCAUCAUAAAUCCCUUCUUGAACAAACACACGAGAACUGGCCACACAAAUUUCUCCCUGAAAUGAUGAAUAACAAAAGAGUUAGUAUUGCUACAUAUUAUGGUUAAGAAAAGUAUGAAACGUAGUUAUGACUUAUGAAGCAGACCUUGUUGUAGAGGAUUCCCAAGAGAGCAAGGUCAGCAGCCUUGUCGACAUCAGCAUCAUCAAAUAUCAAAAGGGGUGACUUGCCCCCUAGUUCAAGUGAAACUGCUUUUAAAUUGCUCUUUGCUGCAGCCUGCAUCACUUCACGACCUACUUCUGUGGAACCAGUGAAACUGACCUGAAAGAUCAAGAAGUUAACAGAAGUAUCAAUAUCACAGUAAGCCAUUCAACUAUACUGAAGUUUGUAAAUUUAGUCACAUAAACGACACGAAGGUUGAAGGGAAAGAGCUGGUUACUUUGUCAAUGUCCAUAUGAUGAGUGACGGCAGCACCGGCAGUCUUUCCGAAUCCAGUUAUGACAUUGAGCACUCCAUCAGGAACACCAGCCUUCAUAAUAAAGUCACAAACCAAUGUCACCACUAAAAUUAAGCUGCAUUGGCAAUAUGUUCAUACAUGCAUAUACAUUUCUUAAACUUUUCUCAUGUUAUGUUGUUACACAAUUUGGAUCGACCAAAAACAUGAUUAAUCUGACAUAACCGAUAAUCUAAAAUGACAAUUUGAUAACGUAACAUGUGAAACAUUUUAAGUAACAUAUAUAACAUGUCAGGUGACUUGAGUGUGCAAAGUUCCUUGAGAAGUUUUUUCUAGCUUACCAACUUAGCCAGAUGAGCAUAAUAGAGCGCCGAAAGAGGUGUUUGCUCAGCCGGUUUGACGACCAUAGUGCAACCAGCUGCUAAGGUAGGGGCAACCUUAGCAAACAGCAGGCUGCUUGGGAAAUUCCAGGGAAUAAUGUGUCCGACAACACCGAUAGGUUCGAGCAAUGUAUAACCUUGGAGCUCCCGUGACAUUUUCAGCACCUCCCCAUGAAUUUUAUCAGCUGCACCAGCAUAGUAACGUAGCAUGUGUGCUACCUGAGGUAUGUCUACAGCUUUGCCGAAACCAAACAACUUCCCAGCAUCAAUUGUAUCCAAUUUGGCCAGUUCUUCUGCGUGCUCAUCAAUCAAGUCUGCAAACUUCAACAUAAUCCUUCCUCUCUCCUGAACAAUAUUCAAGCAUUUACAUCAAUUUCAGUCUCUUAAGUCUUAACUAUGACUUAAUGUAUCUGAAUAAUUAAUACUUCAAAGAUCAUAGUCAAGGAUUUGCCAAUAGUCCAAUUAAGGAUGAUAUUAAUUUGAUGAAAAAUACAAUUAAUUGUGCCCGGAAAGUUUCCACAUUUUCCAUAAAACUUUCCUUAUUUUCUGAAAAACUUGCAGCUUAAGUUCCAUGAUUUACGAUUAGCUAGCUUUGAAUAUUUAUGUAACGAUUGAGACUACAAAUAUGGUUCAAUUUUGAAAUACAAGAUUGUUACAUUAAGAAAAAGAGUCAAAUUGUGUAUAUGUUCACACAAUUAGUGGAUGCUAACUAUAGUUACACAGUUAGUUCUCCAAAAAAAAAAAAAAAAAAAACUAUGGUUACACGUACAGUUACACAUGUAGGAAAUAUAUUGUUAGUUUGGUACCCGUUACUAUAAACUCUUACAAUUGAGGUGUUCAAUUAAACAACAUGUAGUGCUAAUCACAUGAUCACAUUAUUGUACGACGUUACUAUAGACUAUCAUAUUGUACAACUACUUAUAAUAAUUGUGUAAUGUUAAUCACAUGAUCCCCUCAAAAUCUAUAUUGCCGAUCACGUUAUAUCUCUCUCUAAUCGAGUCUCAUUAAGUCACUAAUAUUGAUCGUAGUUAGAAAAAUAUGAUACAAAUCUUAUCCUGCCUUAAACUAAGAAUAUUUAGUCAGAUGGCUCAUGAAGCCGGCCACCUCUAAUAAUAUCUGUGCAAUCUUAGUUAAUUCACUAAGAUCUAGUUUGGUUUAAGGAACGUAAAAGAAAGAAAAUGAAAUCUUUGAAUUUUCCUUUUUGAAAAAGGAAAGUGAAUAUUUGGGGGACUUUCUUUUCUCAAUGACUUGAUUCCGUGAACCAAAUGGCCUAAUGGAAAUCUCAGGGACCAAAUGAUAAUAUCCUCGUACAAAAUAGACGAAGAAGCUGGAGCAGUCAGUGGCGGAUCCAGGAUCCGGAAGUUGUCUAGUCUAGUUAGAAGCACUUUUUUUUUUUUAGGUUUAUAACCCACUGAAAACUCAUUGAAAGAAUUUUUUUCUUAAGAAACACUAUGAGAAAUGCAAGAACUAUAUGAGAAUUUUUUUUUUGUAAUUUCUUAUUUGAAGAGAGAAAAGUAAAAAAUGGGCAAAAAAGAGUAAGAAAAUAUUGUAACUGAAGAAGGAAGGAAGAAUAAUUGUGUUGUUUCUGGUACCAAAGUGAGGAAAACUACUAAAAAUACCCAAAUCUGCUCUUCAGAGCAGUCGAACCUGCGACAAGGUGGUAAUAAUUUGGUCAAGUUGCCAACUGAACCAAGGCUUCUCAUUGUUUUCAUGGGUACUUAUUUACUACAUAUAGGAUUUCUGUCUAGGCUUCAGCCCAGACAGCCCUUAACGUAGAUCCGCCCAGGAGCAGCCUCGAUAUAUAAUUCUAUUUACAUAAGAGCAGCCUCAUUAUAUAAUUCUAUUUAGACAAACUGACAAAGAAAACUAUUGGUUUUGACUUCAUGGAAUUAUUAACAAUAAUAUUCCAAUAAUGCUGUCUUGAUGAAGACGUUGGUAUUCGUCCAAAAAAACAAAAAAAAAACAAAAAAAUGAAGACGUUGGUAGAAAACAAAAGAUGCCGAUCGAACAAAGACAGAUAAGGAAACUGGGGAUUGAAAGGAACUAUAUAGCUUAGCUAUGGAGGCGGUAAAAGCAAAGAAAAAGAGAGUAGCCGGAUUAAUAAUACGUACAGCGCCGGGCAUACGAGGCCAAGGGCCAUGGUCGAAGGCGGCGCGUGCAGCUUUCACCGCCACGUCCACGUCUUCCUUAUCUCCCUCUGCAAUUCUGGUUAUCACCUCCCCGGUUCUGGGAUCUAUCGUCUCAAACGUUUUACCUUAAACAAACAAAAACCAAUAUCAAUAUCAUGAAUGUGUUUAGAUAUUGUUGCCCCCCUAAAAGAACGCAACGAUACAGAGAAGAUCAACAUAUAUGAUCCUUACGACGAAAUGGUACGUAGUAAAAGAGAUGUUCAUGAGGAGUUAAUAAUACACAAGCAGUAUACCUGAAAUGGCGUCGACGAAUUCUCCAUUGAUGAAGAGCUUGGUGAACUUUAUGGUUGGCAUCAUCUUCACGAAGGAGGACUCGCAGGGUGCAGAGCUGCCAUUACUAUCACCACCCAUAUCUUCUGCGCUUCUCUCUGUGUUUCUUGCUUCUCUCUCUCUCACUCGAUCGAGCUUGUGUUUGUUAAUUUGUUUCGUCUAGAAUGAAGCAGAUUUUGCAGUAUUUAUAUAGUGAAAAUAGGAGGAGGGCGAAGCCCAACGUAUUCGUUAGGACGUGGGGUCAACUAUGAUACAUAUAAGGUAUGCCAUCUAGAGAGCAAUCUCUGAAUUGAUGGUCCAUGGUAUGCUACGUCUCAAUAUAUCAUAAAAUCAUCAUAAAAUUGGAUUUUGUGCUAAUUUUUUUUCUCUCGAUGUGUUGGAUUUUGUAUUUUGGUCUGUAUUAUAUAUAUAUAUAUACACACACACAGCUUCUCAGCUGCGGACGUCCGCAUUUAUUCUUACGGUGCGGAUUUCCACUUUACAUUCAUUUUUCAAUCGAAUUUUCGCAUCUCCACCGUCUAGUAUUUAGAUACUAAUAUAUAGAUCAUCUCUGUAAAAUUUCAGCCAAUUUGGUUAUCAUUAAGGCACUCAAAACUGCCUUUUUAUGUUAUAAACAUGAACGGUUCAAGUUCGACAGAAUUAUGUUCAUCAAUUGGUUUAAUCGAGUUUGAGUGUCUUAAUGAUAACUAAAUUGGCUGAAAUUUUGAAGAGAUGAUCUAUACAUUAGUAUCUAAAGACUAGACGAUGGAGAUGUGAAAAUUCGAUUGAAAAGUGAGUGUAAAAUGGAAAUCUGCACCGUAAGAAUAAAUGCGGACAUCCGCACCUGAGAAAAUCUGUAUAUAUAUAUAUAUAUAUUUGUUGGGUAAUAUAAUAAACAACUGUGUAAAUUUGUGAGAAGAAAUUAAAAGAAAAAUUCUACCAACUCCUCUUCUUCAUUUCCUAGAUAGAAAUUUACUACUGGAGGCAUCCACAGGUGCUGCGGCGAUGGCAUUCCUCCAGCGGAUUUAGGGGUUGUGUGUUGUGCAUUGGCAACAACCAAUGAAGUUGGUGGUUUGUAAAAAUGCAAAUGGGAAUGCUCGACUAGGCGUCUAGGCUCGACUUGUCUUUCACAGGAGGAAAGAAGAUUAAUGGAGAAUCCAUAAAUACGGUUGCAUUAUUAUGGUUUCAUUAGUGUUCUAAUCCAUAUGGCGUUUAGCCGAAAACUAUACAAUUAUUGAAUGACAACUACGAUGUAAGUGCAUCAAAUCACUAAAAGGUAGAAAAACGAAUGUUCUAACUUCUAAGAGAUGUAACAUGCGGAAAUUUGAUGUAAGAAAUGUAAAAAGAAGUUUUUUUUUCUUUCCAAAUUAAGGGAAGGUGGGUAUAUCCAAUGUUCUUCUAUCCAAUUUUGUUAUCAUGCAAAGAGAUCCCCCGUGUUAAAACCACAACACAAGUUGAAGCAAGAACCACCUUCACCUCUUUUGCAUGUGAAUGUGAUCUCUCCGAUCGAGUUCAUUUUGGUUCCUCUAUAAACCUACAAAUGCAUUGAAAUUUGCACAAGAACAUGAUGUAGGAUGAGAAUUGGCCAAAUUUAGACAGAAAAAAUAAAAGUCAAGAAGCGGUAAAUAAUAAAAAAGAAUGAUCUAAAGAUCGGUAAUUCUCGUGUCAAGAGGUUGCUAGCCGCUGGAAUAUUCAAGAAGAUGUUGUUUUGGAUUUUCCGGGUUGCUCAUGCGAAAUCUGAAUUUCAGAAGCAAAUCUGAUCUAGAGUAACUUUUGACCAAAAUGUCUGUUUAAAACGCAUAAUACCUUCCGGAAUAGGAACGACGAGAUCUACAAGACUCACUUUAAUGAGCCAUGUCAGAUUAAGGCCAAAAGAUAUCGUUUUAUUAAUCCGAUUGGGCAUUUAAUAUUAUUUUAGGUUUUUUAGUUUAUUUUGGGUUUUGUUCUCUUUUAACCUAAUGAACUUUUAAGCUUGGUUGUUAGUUGCCCUAGGGUUUGUUUGCUCUAUAUAAGGACAUUUUAUCAGUUGUAGUCAUAAGCUUUUGAUUAAUAAAAACCCUUAAGAUUUUUUCAACUCUUCUGGUGGAUUCUAGGAACUUUCUCGUGGAUUCGAGAAAAUAGACUUGUGAAUUCAAGUCGCCAUUGGUGGAUUUAAACGAUUAUAUUUCUGCUGCAUCAAUUGGUAUUAGAGCAGGUCUAUUCUUGUGGUUAUCAAUCUGUAUUCAUGGGUGAUGAAGCUCAUAUUGCCUGAGCAGAGUUCAAUGCUCAGAAUGAAUGUCUCAGUGCUCAGAAUGAACGUUUGAAUACACAAAUGGAAGAAAUUCAUCAGUUGUUGCUUGGCCUUAACAACAACAACAACCAUCGAAAUUGUGAAAGGCAGAAUCAUGUUGUUAAUCAUGAUUUCAAAACCAUGGUGAGUAUUUCUUAUUUUUCUAGUCACAUGCAUGUGGAAAACCUUCUAGAUUGGCUGGUUGAGGUUGAUAAAUUCAUUGAGAUCAUGAAGGUUCCAGAUCACAAGCAGGUCAAGAAGGUUUCUUCUCGUCUUAAGAGCAUUGUUGCUGAUUUGUGGGAUGAAUUGCAAAGAGCAAGGAAGGUGCAAGGUAAAGAACCUGAUAAAAUAUGGAGAAAGAUGAAAUGUCUUAUUAGAGAAAAUUUAUGCCUAGAGAUUUUUCAAUCAGGAGGUACCCUUCUAAGGUGGAAGAGAAGAAGUUAAAGUCCACAUAAAUUUCUUUUCAUGUUGAGAAUGAUAGUUCAGUUGAAGAAAUUUCAGACGAUUCUUUAAUGGAAGCAGCUCCACAAGAAAUUUUUCAUGAAUUUCCAACAAAAGAAACUCCACUAGAAGUUAUCCAUGAAGAAGUUAGAGAACAAAUUGCACAUAUUGACAUGGUUAUUAGCAUUGAAGAAAGUCAAGAAACCUUGCCGCCUCAAAUUAAUCAUUCAGAACCAGAACCAAAGGCCAUUCAAGAAUGCAAUUUUGAGAGUCAAGAAGAAUCUUCUCAAGUUGCAUAUGACAAACUCAUCUAUAGCGUUGGAUUCAUGAUUGUGUCAUCAGUUUAUGCAGAAGACCAUUCCAAUAAGUCACAGGUUCAUCUGUCUAAUUUAUUAUUGGGUUUUUCGUCUACAUAUUUUUAUUUUUCAUUCAAGAUAAACUCGAGGUUGAGUUCUUUCGUAGUGGAGGAGACUGAUGUAGGACGAGAAUUGACCAAAUUCAUACAGAAAAAAAUAAAAGUCAGGAAGCAGCGAAUAAUAAAAAAGAAUGAUAUGAAAAUCGGUAAUUCUCGUGUCAAGAGGUUGCUAGCCGCUGGAAUAUUCAAGAGGAUGUUGUUUUGGACUUUCCGGGUUGCUUGUGUGAAAUAUGAAUUUCAGAAGCAAAUCUGAUCUAGAGUAACUUUUGACCAGAAUGUCCGUUUAGAAUGCAUAAUAUCUUUCCGAAUUGGGAACGACGAGAUUUACAAGACUCACUUAAGUGAGCCCUGUUAGAUUAAGGCCAAAAGAUAUCGUUUUCUUAAUCCGAUUCGGCAUUUAGUAUUAUUUUAGGUUUUUUAGUUUAUUUUGGAUUUUGUUCUCUUUUAACCUAAUGAACUUUUAAGCUUGGUUGUUAGUUGCCCUAGGGUUCGUUUGCUCCUAUAUAAGGACAUUUUAUCAGUUGUAGUCGUAAGCUUUUGAUUAAUAAAAACCCUUGAAAUUUGCUCAACUCUUCUGGUGGAUUCUAGGAACUUUCUCGUGGAUUUGAGAAAAUAGACUUGUGGAUUCAAGUCGUCGUUGGUGGAUUCUAACGAUUAUAUUUCCGCUGCAUCACAACAAAAUAGAGUUCAUGUCAAUCGUCAAUCAGAACAAAAUAGAGUCAUGUCAAUCGUCAAUUCCUACAGCAUUAGAAAACUAGCUAGGGUGCUCUAUUCUUCAUUUGACAGCGUCGUUUUCAAUUUGUUGGUGCUUUCAACAAGUCAAUAGAGAAUACAAGAACUACAAACAAACAUAAUUGGAACAUGACUCGUUGCAUACUACAUAUUAACACUACCAAAAUAGACGUUCAAUUUUUGGGGUAAUCCAAACGAAAUGGUCCAGUUUGGCCUGUAGAUAUAUAGGAAACCAUGGUUAUUUUCUUUUUCUUCGUUUAUGUAUCACACAUAUAGAGCUGGUUGGUCCAUUGGACUAGUUUAUUUAAUUUGCCAACAAUUCGAUAGAGCAGCCACCGAACCAGAAAGAAGCAAAAGAAAUUAAUAUCAAUGAAAACUAAGAGACAAAAGAUUAAGGGCGAUGGUGGACGAAAGUUCAUGGAGAAUAUCCUCCCACCCAGGUUUGAGUUUGAACGGCCAACAAAAUUGAACAUUCUUGAACAUUUGUUCUAUACGUGUAGCAUUUGCAUUUGAUGUACCGUUCUUCGUUGUAAAGAUAUAAUGAACCAAAUACACGAGACCCCCUGAGCCUCUGAAAGCUUGGUUUCAAUGUUGUGCUACCCACUCGCCGGCGCCGAUUUCAAGUCGUAUAUGACUGAAACUCAUACUGGGAGGAAAAUUCAUUACAGACGACUCGUUGGUCUAUAUCAAAUGAAUAUAAUGAUCAAGGAGCAUAAUUGUUCUUACCUUUCUAACCUUUGGAUUUGUAAGGUGAAAAUAAAAGUGAAAAGAGCAGCAGCAACAGAGUCUACAGUCCAGACUAGGUAAUUCACCGGACAAAAAAGCAUUAUAUGACAAGGGACCCUAGUUACCAACCAUGUAGCUAUGUCUGGAUUGUCUGCAAAAUUAUUGUUGAUAGGGUGGCGGUUGGUAAGACGGUGGUGUCGCAUUUGCAUAAUCGUAUGGCCCUCCAUAACUGGUCUGGCCGCCAUAUGAACCCCCACUUCGGAAUACAGAACUAGCAGCCAUGCUGCUGUCGCCAGAUAGGGAAUAUAUGUGUUGUUGUGGAAGAGCAACAGGGCUUUGAGCACGGGCUACUCCAUAUGAGGUUCCGUAAGAGACUGAUGUUGCACCGUCAUACACGGUUGGGCUUGGGUAAUUGUACGGCCCAGGAUAUCUUGUUACUGGGCUGUGCUGUGGAGGAGGAUUUACGGUUGGGCUUGGGUAAUUGUACGGUCCAGGAUAUCUUGUUACUGGGCUGUGCUGUGGAGGAGGAUUUGGGAUUCUCCGGUUAAAAGAUGAUGGGUGUGCAUUGGAAUACUUGGCAGCUUUUGCUGGGCGGGAAGAUGAUGAUCCAACUCCUCCACGGCCGCCACCGCCGCCUCCACUACCAUACGAACGCUUGUUAUUAGACUUACUGGAAGCUGCAGCUGAAUUCUUCUUUCUAUCUGCUUUGGCUCUCUCUAAAGCAGUGACUCGCUUCCUUAGGGAGUCGAGUGUAAAUUCUGAUUCAAGUUUGUGGUCCUCUACACAUUUGAUAACUGCUCUGAUGGAAUUCAACUCCAAAGUGCUCGACUCCUCCUGUAAGAUGGACCUCCAUUAGGAAAUCUCAAAAUGAGUCUAAGAAAACAUCAAUUGAAGAGCAAAUUCAUCUGAUUAGAUAACAUAGAUAUAGGAUGGAGUUACACUUACAGAUGCAGCCACACUAUUGUUGCCAUUCUUCAUUAUGGUUGAAGCAUUCUUCUUGGAGUUCUUCAAAUAGGACUUGAGAAGGGAAAUAGGAGGAAACCUCUCGGUCAAACCAGACUCAAAAGCAAAAUAUAUUGCCUCUAUCUCCUUUCCAUUCUUCACUAACUCAUCAAUAACAUCUGUACAAAUCACACAGUAUUUCAAUCAGAACAUACAAAACUUAGAUGACAAACGAACAAUGAAUAUGAACACAACAAGACGAGAAAGUUGAAACAAUGAAUCAUCACGCUAUGCUUAUACCAUUCAUAAAAAAUUGGUGACUGACCAGAAUGUAACCGACACAAACAUCCUCCUUCUAAGAGUAGAAGGAAGGACACAUGCAUUUCCUGGCAUUUGGAUCAGAUAAAUCUAUGAUUAUGGAGAGACAAUACUAAGGUGAACAUUUAUAACUUAAGAAAAAGUAUGCAAACACAGAUAAGUUUAAGAAAUAGUGAUCAAGAAACUUAGCCUAGUCAACCUAAUUUACAAUAAUUCUAUCCCACCAAAAUGCCUACACAAGGAUUAGGCGAGUUGAUCAAAGAUCAAAUGACAGAGUUGCUACACUUUUAAGUCUCUUCCAGAUUCAAAACAUCUUCAAGAUUAGAAUUCAGAUUAUGUCAAGCCACCAUGCUCAACAUCUAAGCUUUAUCUCUACGUAUUACGCAACAAUGCUUAUCAGAGGUAAACUUCUUCACUAUAAACAAAUGCCUAAGUUGGUUAAUAGUAAGCUCUAAAGAAAUUAGCAUAUUCAAAAGUUUAUAAAUCUACAUCAGAACUUCAAAUUAGCAAAACCCCUUAACUUACAUUAUAUUCCAACAUGCACACAUUCAAGAAGCAAUAAUCCGAAACAAACACAUUGCUAAACUUUGAUUCUGAUCACACACACACAUACCUCCAAUAUCUCCGAAUUGUAGUGCCCCGGCAAGCUUAGCCAUAUCUCUCCUAGCAGCAUGUUCCAUCACCAACUUCUUAUAAAACUCCUCAUCAUACUUCUCCUUCAACUGAAACCCAAUCACCAUCUGCACAAACAUCACCGCCUCCGCCGCCCCCAAUGUCCCUCCACCACUCCUGCUCAGCUCAUCCAUCUGCCCCUUCCACCUGUCCGCAACGCCCGCCGCUCUCUCCACCACACUCCUAGCAAAUGCCGGCCCUUUCGGACGGGAACCGGACCGCGCCUCCGGAAACAGAGCCUGAAUCAGCAGCCCGCAGGCCCACCGCUUAUCGGUGACCCCAACUUUCUUGGCCUUGGUCUCCAGAAACACCUCCAAAGCAUCCAACACCAGCCUCGGCGCGUCCACCGCCUCCGCCAUUGCCGGAACAAUCUCCGCCCUCAGCGACACCGACUCCUUCCGCUUCGUAACUAUAAACCUCAGCAGCCCCUCCGAGUCCAUUUUUCUACACAGCGAUUUCAGCGUCACGGCGAUGUCCAAAUUCGCCGGAAAUAUUCUUCCGAACUCGGCCAAGGCGGCGUAUUUCUGCUCCGAGACGCGUGCCGCGGCGGAGGCUUCGCGCUCCGCGAGCGAGGUCUCGCGGACGUCGAGGGACUCUAGGGUUUGGCGGGAACGCGACUCGAGGGAUUCGAUUUUGGAGUCGAGGGAUUUGAAUUUCUCGGCGAGCGAUUUCUGGAGGGCGGUGAAGUGAUCGGAGAUGGUGGCGUAGAGCUUCGUGGAGGUGGAGAGGAUCGCCUUCUGCGCCUCUAGGUCGUCGAAGAAUUUCUGGACUCUGUGCGUCGCGACCACCAGUUCGGUCCCCAUUGCUCGUUGAUUUCAAAAACGACGGCGUUUUGAAGUCGCGAAAUUAAAGGAAACCCUAAUCCGGAGGAAGAAGAAGAAGAUCAGUCUCCGAGUGAGUGUGUAGAUAUUUCCCAGCUCUCAGAUUCUUUCCUUUCAGUUACGUUCGGUUUAAACGCUGUCGUUUUCGAUUUUAUAUUUAAUUGCUGAAAUUUAAUAAAAGUUAUAUGGGCGGUGUCACUAAUUACUUUACCGCCUAUGUAACUUACUACAAACGUAGUGUUCGCCUGAUCAGUUGUCGAAUAUUAUUAGCUAAGAUGAUAUCAUCUAACUCGGAGACGAUAUCAUUUAACCUAGAGCAUCAAUACAUCAGCUUCCUUAUAAAAUUUUCGAUGAAUAUAUAAACAAGAUGAAAGAAAAUAGAUAUGAUACUUCUUCCAUAUAAAAAUUACAACUUGAAACUGUGGUCUUGUUCUAUUUUAUAAAGGUGAUUGCGCAUUACCUUGCGUAUGUUAAGCAUCUGCAAAUAAUAUAAUGAUGCUAGUCCCAAAUUCAAGAUCAAAGACCAAAGGGAGUUGCAUAUCAGAUCAAGAAGCCUCGAAAGGAAUCUAUUUUCAGUGCAUUCUGAUCCUUGACACCAGCUAGAUUGUCAAACAUGUCAUUCUAAGGCUUUAUGACACAAAGGAUGAGAUGCUACAUCUCCAUCUGUUAGUUGCUGUUAAGUUUCUGAUGUCUUCGGAGUUGCGAAUAAUUGAGGGAAAUGUCAACUAUGAUAUGAAUCAGAACAGCAUUCUUUAUCGAAUAGUCAACGAAUUGUCGAUUCAUCUACCUCAGUUGAAUGUGUAUUGCAUAGUACAUGAGGAUUCAUGCACAAUGCCAAAACUGACAAACUGCCAGUGAAGCAUCUGAGACUUCGUCCUGCGAUUUCUGCAGGAUUAAUUCCUUAUGGCACACUAGUUAACAGCAAGGUUUCCUGAGCUUAGGCAUAAGAAUUCUCUACUUGUAAGCAAUCCUUGAUGAGUUAUGUAGAUGUUCACAAUUCACAAAACUACACUCGUCUACUUGUUGAACCAUGACAAAGCUUAUAAGAACAGAAAUAACAAGGCUCUAAACAAGUUUUUGAGGGAAAACUUGAGAGUUCUGUCAAAAGAUAAGCAACUUGAUGCAAACGAAAUUGACUACAAAUCACGGAAGCAAGAAAAAUCGUAAGACAAAGAAUGGUUGUAACAAAUAUCUACACAUUGAUUCGUAGCUAUGAGCUAAAUUAAUACAAGUUCAUUCCUCCCAAGCAAGCAACUCUCCCUUUUGAAAGAUGUUAGAAGGAACUGCAAAACGCAUAGAGAAAGAGCGCGACGAGAGGUCAUCAGCAUCAUGUUGGUCCCAAGAACAUCCUUGAUCAAAAUUCUGAGAGUAAGAGAAAGGAUCAUACUGGAGCUUCACGGAGCGAGUGCUGGAUGGGGAAUCAAAAAUCUUCUUCUUCUCUUUCUUCAACUUCAUCCACAAUGUGCUCCACCGUGACCUGUUUGAUCUAGCUGAAUGCGAGCUCACAUGAGGGUCAGUCUCAUGGUACUGCCGCCCCAACCGGAUAGUUCUGCUGCUUGUGCUGCACCAGUGUUUUCUAUCCAUUGCAGCACAACACCAAAUUGUAAUCUACUUGCAAGUGCUUCAGACGGAUAGAUAUAGCACGAAGUAGGUUCCUGUAUUAAAAGUAUAAAAAGCAGCAGUUGGCCGUCUCUUUUAGACCAAACUUGUCUAACUUGAGGAGCUAAUAGAAAAGCUCAGUUUUCAGUUGACUAAGCUCGAAAUAUUCUCCAACUGGAGGUUGCUACGCUAAACUUCAUCCAGAAACUGACUCAUGUGUCUAUAUAGGAUUAUUUGCCGGAUUAUAUGGAUCUUCUCCACAAUGGAGAAAACCUUUCUUCCUUUUAGCCUGCAAAAUUUGAGGUGACAUACAAUAUCAUAACUGACAUAACAUAUGAUACAAAGAUGCCAGUAAUAAGAAGACAUAUUUCAUUAGCUGAACAAUGGAUGGUUCAAUCACCUUUUCAUAACACCUUUAAUCGUAGGAUAAUAUUACAAUAAACAAUGGUACAAUCCGUUUGAAUUACAAAGAACACAUCAAUUUAGGGUACACUCUCUUCUGUACCCAAGCAUGGUUGAAAACGUGAACUCUCUCCAAGAGAUUAUGUUAUUCUUCAAUUGGAGAAUGCAUCCCUCUAUAACCAUUAUAAGAUAGGAAGAGGGCAGGCUCCUCCGUUUUUGAACAACAUCUAUUAUCAGCACGAAUACUGGUACAUUUUAGCUCCUCUGUUUAUAUGUUCUUACAGAAACCAUCUAUACACGAAAGCAACUGCCUUCUCUUGACAUGUCACAGACUUUGCUGUAUCGUCUUAAGGCCGGAAAAAGGGUGUAGUCAACAAUCCACCGAACUGAAUUUGUUAGGAUUUUGUUGCGUAACCAAACAUAUAAUCCCCCUGCAUUUAACAUCGCUUUGCAGUUUUCUAAUGGUUUGGUGAGCCUCAAGAUACUGUUCUCCCAAAGCAGAUGGAUGCAAUAUAUAGAUUCUUCAACCAUUUUUCCUGCCAAGGCCAAAUGAGAGAAUAUAUAUAUGUAAAAUAUUUCUGCACCAUGAAUUCUGCAAAUAUCGGCUUUACCAAACGUAUACAUGUGUGCAUAAGACCGAUGACUUCUACAAUUACUUUCCGACUGAAAUGCAAUUAGUUUACCAAAAUAAUUUUAAAGCUAAUGUGCAUCAAGUUUGUGUGUGUGUGUGUGUGUGUGUGUGUGUGUGUUCUUCUCCAAGUCUCCUCUCAUUUCCAAUAAACUCAUUUCCUUUAGAGAUGAGAAUAUUGUUAUGCAUUGAUAAUGAUAAUUUUAUAUCUGAACCAACUCCCAUUGGCGCAACUGGGUUCCACGUUGCCAAAGAAGGAUCUUCUAAAUGAAGAUUUGGACAUUUCAACUUAUCACUCCCAUUUCAAAACUCUACAGAGGUUAAAGCAGAGAUGACACUUACCUUAACAUGCGUAGUUGGAAAAACAGAUGUCCGGAGAGUUUCCUGCGCCACAUCUUGUGAUUUCUUCUUGGGUGAACUAAGUAUGAAUGCAGCUUGGUCCUCUGUUGCAGCUGUUGAGGUAAUACGAUAUCCAUUCUCCCAUCUUCUAUGGAUGCCUUCGCUCGGAUAUAGGAAAUCAAUCUCAACAACCUACCAAUACAGCACAUGAAACAAUUAUUUUCUGCAGUGUUCAAAUCAAACAGAACGUAACAAAAGGGGGUCCAAGACGAUAUACCUGAUUAGAAUAACCUGCAUUUCUGGACAUAACAAUGCCCCAUCUGCUACCUGCGGUAGUCAUGGAGGUAACAGAGAAACCUUCCUUCCAUUUCUUAUUAAUCCAUUUGAAAGGGAAUACAUCACUGACUUUGUAUGACUGCUGAGUAUAUGGUACGCCUUCAAUGGAUGACAAAUAGAAGAUCAACAAUUAGAACGAGUAGCCCAAUUAACAGAAAACAUACUCGACAGAUUCCUACUAAGAACACAAUUCACUAUCAUCAUGGACUGACUAGAUUCCAGAAGCGAAACUGAAAUAGACAACAGGAAGCUCUGUUAAUAAGUUUGACAUACCUUGGGACAUUACCACCAGGGCACUGCCGUUGCCUGCGCCAGCAAGUGAAGUGAUAUAGUAGUUCUUGUCCCACUGAUCCAUUAUCCACUCCUGGAAAAUAAUCAGAAACAAUUAACUUGCUGGAACACUUAAUAAUUAAAUGUCAAGUGAAAGCUUAUGAGCGGGUAUUUUCAAGAGAAGCUACCUUGUGCAAGAAAACAGGUGAUAGUUCAUAAACUUGGGAUGUGAAACCAGUCCCCGCAUCCAUGACUAUAGCCCACAUAUUGGCAGAUGAAGCAACACAGCUAAUAUACAAACCAUCUUCUUUUCCUUUGUCAAUGUGCUGCUCCACUCUCACGUCCAUAACAUUGUAGUGAUACCUGCAGACAUUUAUUCAUGUAACUUCUUGACACAGGACAGGAAUGUAUAACCAACAAUACAGUGAAAACAUAAACAAUAAACUCAGGUAAAUCAGAUUCAUACUCCAUUUAAGAGUAAACUAACGUCUCCCGAUAAGGUGAUACACAAUACUUUUCUUAUUCAGGACUGAAACUUUGUGCUAUAUGCUAAAUUAGGACUACUUCCUACAAGUAAUAUUCAGAAUUUUAAUCACAUAAGUUUGUACCGAAAAGUAUUACAUAAUCACAAUUUUCCUUAUUACAGCUUGACAAAUAAAAAGAUGGAUACGCUAUGCUUUUAAACCAUGACUCUAAAUCCUGUGAUCUAAAGCAACUUCUAUACACACCAUAUCAGAAAAUAAAAUAGCUAAGAAAACCAGGAAAUUGGGUGAAUGAGUGAUUGGUAACCUGAAAAAGGGAUUAUGCUCCCUGGUAUUACAUCACCUACCUUUGCUUCAUUGACGGUCUGGUAUUAUAGACUGAGAUCCACUGAUUAGCUGGGCAACCUAGUCUAACCUUUUUCCUGGGUUGCUCACUAUCCUCCGAUUCAAGAAACAACCUUCCCCUUUUUUGGCCAACCUACAUUACAAAAGCAUUCCGUAAACAAAUGCAGCAACCACAACUUCCAAAGAAAUAUAUAUCAAAAAGUUUGAGCAUGAGUAAACCACCUUUGUAGCUCCAUCAGUUCUUAUAGGUCGAAGGGCGGCAUUCACAUUUAUGUUCUUAUCAAACAGGGAAAUAAGUUUUAAGUAAUUUGGUUCUUCAUCGAAUUUCAUAUUGGUCACCAACUCAAGAAACUGUUGAAAAGGAGGCGGACAUGAGACACAUAGCAUCUCAGGAGAAGUUGCCAUCUUCUUCUUGCAAACAAGAAAUCCUUUGUUUUCCCCCUACAGCCCAAGAUCCAUGUCAAGUGCUUAUAAAAUAAGGAAGAAAAAAUAGAACUGUUUAAUUGACUAGGAAUACAGUGGGACGCCCAAAUAAACUUACAUUGUAACCUUGCCAGGGAAGUUUGCCUCUAAGGAGAAAUAUAAGGGUAUAAGCUAAUGACUCAAGGUCAUCCCUUCGGCUCCCUGUCCUGCCUAGAUGAGCAUGUACACUUGCAUAACGAACAGUUCCCCUAUCAAAAGAUCAGAUACAUCAGGAUACUUCAAAUCAUGAGGACAAAAUUGGGUCUAAAGAUCGUAUUAUAAUUGUCCUCAUAUUGAAAUGGUUAUUAGUACAAGGAUGAUAUGCACAUUUGAUAUAUACUUUCUGAGAUGGAUUGUUAGACUGCAUAUCAUUUGUUUCUCACAAUACUUGAGGGCCAAAGUAACUUUUCUCUCCCUCUCCCCCUCUAACCAUCUUGAUCAUCCAAUGUGUAAUAUUGAAGGUUGUAAGUACCUGAAAACAUCAGGUUUUUGAUCAUAAUCGACAUGACGUCCAGAUGUUUCCUUCCAUUUUGAAGCUGUCAAAAAGCAUAUUAAACCAGUCACAAGUCUGUCCAACAUUUCUAUGGAAUGAAAUACAUAAGCACAUUCAAUUAUAGUUUGAUCUUUUAUCCUUGUUACUAAAUUUAUUAAACAGAGAACUCAUACCCAAACCAAGAUCAACAAGAUAUAACUUCUUAUCAUUGACUGUUCCAGGUUGACCAAGCAAAAAGUUUUCUGGCUUCACGUCUCCAUGCACAAAACUACAGUGCAAAUUACUUAUCAUGAGCCACAUUAAUGUAGAACAAAAAUUAAUAACAAAGCAGAAAGUAAAUAGUUGAAAAUACCCUUUGAUAUGAAGCUGCUCUAAUAUUGAGAUUGCCUCCACUGCUAUACAAGCAACCAUCUCUUCAGACAGCCUUAGUACCGGCAAACACAAGAGGAGAUAACAAUGAUAUAACUAAUGCAUAAACUUGGAAUGUAAAUUACUUUUAAGUAUCGACUCUGAAACUCAGAACACAGAAAUAACAGAAGCUACUUACAACUGAUUCCGGUUCCAAACAUCCCAUAAACUGGGGCCUAGCAUAUCCAUGACCUAUUGCAACAUUUAAGAGUUAUUGUUCAUGAAAAGAAAUAUAUGACACUAUUUUCAACAUAUGAAACACAUGCCUCAGAAGGUGAGUGCCGAUAGAAAAGUAACUCACCAGGAUAUAGUAAUCUCCCUGCUGACCUUUGUAAUGAACGUGGGGAACUCCGUAACAUCCAUUAAGAGAGCUUCAGGGUCAUGAAAGACUGAUUAGGAAACAAAGAUUAGAGUGUUUUACCAAAUAAAAGGAUGAAACAUUUCUUACCUGUAUACUUGCCACUCAUAAGGAGGACCAUGACUGCACCCCUUACUGUUUCGACCCUCAAGCUUUAAAGCAACCUACAACCGAAUACAGAUAUACCGUUAGUGCCAGAAUCAAAUUAAUCUGAGAUUUUAACGAGAUAAAACAGAGAUGCAGUACAAAUGUGAGACCUCAAAUGCCUCAGGCCCAGAGCUCCCAUAUCCUCCAGUCACCCUUCUUCCUACAUAAACUUGUCCAAAACCCCCUUUCCCCAGCUUUCUAUCUAGCUUGUACAAGGGGGAGUUUCCAAUCUGUACCUGGAGAUGAAAAUAUUGAAUCAUGUUUAGUAACCAGUUUUGGUUAUUUAGUAACCAGUUUUGGUUAUACUACGGGAUAGAUCCAAGCAGAGAGGUGCCAAGCAGAGAGUUGACAAAAAUUACUCUUUCGGGAAGUGGACUACUGCUCCCUUCAUCCUCAAUAGCAGUCAAUUUUUGUGCACCUUUCUGAUCUAUCAAUUCAUCAGGAACAGCCACCAAAUCUCUUUUUGGCAAAUCCAAACCUGCAUGCCCUUGGCCACCAACUCCAGCACCAAACAGCUUGGGAUUUUUACCUUGAUUCAUGGCUCUAGACCCUCUUCCCCUACCUCUACCAGUCAACCCUGCAUUGGGACACAGAAUCAUUGAGGUAAAUGCAUUAUUCAUAGGUUACUAUAAGAAUACAAUGACGGAGCUAUUACCUUUUCCUGGACCAGCCCGUGCAGCUGGAACUACAACCGCAGGAGUAUCCUGGACAUUAUUGAUCCUCUUUGACCGGCGAACUCCACUUCUUAAAUCUGGCAUUCUAUUUCAUGCAAAUAAUCUCUACCUUUCUUCUCCAAUCCCAAACACUGUUGAAAAAUUAUAGGCUAGGACUCCAACCUGAGAAGUUGACAAAACAAAAAAGUUAACUUCUGAUCAGUAUUCAGUCUGUUCUUAACUUCAGAUGCUCAGCCCAAAAGUUUACUUGAGCAUCCAUAUGUAAGAGAUAAUGUCCUCACUGGAACAUAAAGUCUUGUCAUCUGCAGUAAGUGUAAACAGAGUUGAUUGCAGAUUUCCAAGACAAAAGAACAUAGACAGACAAAAGUAACAACCAUUUCUAACCUAUAAAUCAAAACCUUUAAGCAUACUCAUUUAUCAUUAUCAAUGCAUAACACCCCCAUAGCAGCAUUACAAUACAGACGACAUAUUUCAAUCGAUUCAGGAGUGCUGCAUUGCAAGUUGAUUCCCACAUACACACCAUAUACAUUCAAAACUAAACUCAAUCCAACUGUAGCUACCCUAGCAUCCAUGAUCAAAUCCCCUUCAUUUCCAAAAUCCGCAACAUUACGAUUGUGAGUUGUUGCAAAAACCCGAUUACCCAUUAGUUCAAAGCUAAAUCAAACACUCACAAAUCCUCAAAUUUCAAACAUCCAUCCAAACACAACCAACUAAAACUCACCACUGCAUACCAACACAUAAUCAUCAGCCCAAAGAACAGAUUUUUAACCCAGAAUCACCUCAAACACAAACAUUAAGCUCAUUCAAUCCAACUCAUCAUUCAGAUGAUCCCAAAAACCAUGCAAACCACACCAAAACUGAACCAACAAACAAAAACAAUACCCACAAACAGAUUCAAACAACCCGAUUGAGCAGGACAAUCACAGACCCAGAAAAGCCACAUAAAAAACAAUUUUGAUGGUAAUGGUUUUGCAGAUGAUAACAGAAAACAAAGAGAUGAGCUUUGCAUCAAAAACAUACCCGAUGAUGAAAAAGGCGAUGAAUUUGAGGACCCAAAAGGAUGAAGAAUCAAAGAGAGAAUGGGGAUGGAACUGAAUGGGAGGCUGUCAAUGAAUUUGACGGUGGGUGACUUAGAGAGACAGGUUGGGUCUGAGAAUGUGUUUUGUAAGAAGAGAAGAAGAAGAAAGGUGUGUGUAUCAUCUCGGCAAAAUGGAAAGACGGUGUGAGCGAACCUAGUGCGUACGAUAACAUGAAGGCUGACGUGGGGAUUUUUCAUUGGUUAGGUAGGGGACUUAUGGUGGAGGUAUGGUAUGGGAUCUUGGCUGUUUGAGUUUGGGCCAUUUGUUCCAUUUGUUUCAGGUGCUAAUGACCAAGGUCAACUAUGUAUGUGUUUGUUUUGUUCUUUUUCCUAAUAGUGAAACUUAGACACCAAGAGAACAGGCCUUGACUAUAAGUCUAUAACCCAAGAAAGAAAAAUCAAGCCCACAACUUAUAUUAGUAAUGACACUUCAUUUUUGUUUUUUUACUUUAAGUUUCUUUCAAAGUCCCUAUGUGUUUUUAGUUUCUUUUUCACUUGUAUUAGUUUGUAAUUUUAUUGUAUUCAGAUGAUCCCAUCAUGUAACAAAUGUACAAUUAGGGGGGAAGUACAUGAGUGAAUGUCAAUAUGAUUGAUAUUUUGAGUAGGAAUCACCAUGAAUGAUUUCCAAAAGCAUGUACAUUGUAUUUUUUUUUUUUUAAAUACAUUGUAUGUACAUUGUAUGCUUGCGACGAUCUUUUGACUCUUAAUAUAUUAGUGGAUAGGUCAUAGGUUAAAUAGGAGUGUAAUUUGUAUCAUUUUAAUUUCAACAGGUUUUUACUUAAGAUGUGUCAUAGAAAUACCAUUAAGAUAUUUGAAGAAACUACUGCUUAUAGGACAAAACAAAUAAACACAAAUUCUUGCUCUACAGUUACUACAUGCAAGUAUCUAAUUGAGUGGGUUAAGUAUAUGCGAGACUAUGAUAUGUCUGAUCCCACACAUUUAAGACUUGAAUAUAUUGUACUGGUUCCACGGUUAUAUGAUUCUUCAAAGUUAGGCACAAGUAGUGAGAAUGAAAAUUAGGAUGACAACUACAACUAUCAAUGAUAUGAAAGACAAGUUUAACAUGUUCGAACAAGUUUACUAAUUAUUGUUAUGGUUUUGAUUUUUACCCGUGUAAAUGCAUUACUUUUACGAUUUUGUUUUUUGCCUGGCUCUUGGCCUCGUUUGUUUCAUGGGAAAUAAGCAUCAAAAAAUGAAAGUUGUUCAUUUCCGGUGUUUAGGAAAGCAUAAGGAAAAGAAACACUUUAUUGAUUGAUGGGAAAAUAUGGGGAAAAUGGUUCAUUCUAAAAUCCUAAGGAACCAAUUUCCUUUUUUAUUUCACUGCAUUUAUUAUUUACAACACAAUAUUUUAUUAUAUUAAAUCUCAACUCUUUAACAACUUUCCAAUUGACUUUUCUGGUGUUACCAAGCAUCGGAAUGGAAAAUUCUUGUAAAUUUCUCAUCCUAUGGGAAAGAUGAAGGAACCAUUUUCCCUUCCGCGAACCAAACGAGACCAAGAGUGAGCAACAGCUGCCUGUAGGAAAUGUAUGAUGUAUUGAUGUUACAUAAAUCCCUCAAGCGUUUAUGUAAUGGGUCCAAGCUUUCCUCUUACACCGGUAUUCUAACGGUGACCGAGACAUCGAUCUAUUUAUACCGAUUCAUGUUAUGGUGAAACAAAUGGAGUAUUUUUCAAUAAGGAAAAUCCGAACCCAAAAUUGUUAGAUAUUGCCAGUUCAUCCCAAGACUCGGAACUGUAAUAAAAAUGUCCAAGUCUCAAGUCUAUGCUCACAGCAGGCCCUAAAUUAUCCCUCAUUUUCACACCAACCACCAUGUAUUUCAAUUCCACACGAUGAUCAAAGAAAGGAGCAUAACCUCAUAAACACCAAACAAUAUUGAUAUAUAAACAAGCCGCUGCAAUUUCUCCAAUUGAAUAUAAGUAGAAAAAUUACAUAAAAAAAGUAUGAAUCAAAUUUUAUGCUACAUAUAGUACACAACAAGAACAAGCUCAUCAAUCAAGUCUCGCUGCUACUGCCUAACCCUAAAACUCAAAGAUCCGAUCAAUGCAACAGGUAUGUCAUCGCCAAAGCCAGCACCAAAAGGAUGUAAGCAAUUCCUUGAUCUAUAGCCGCACCUAAACAAAAAUCAAAUCAAAACCCAUGUUAGCAAAUCCACAACACUAAAAAACCCAUGUAAGCAAAUCCCCAAUACUACACAAACUGGAUCUGAACAAGAACUCACCAUCGCUGGUCGGAGAAGGAGCUGGGGCUUCCUGACCAUAGCUGAGGCCGAAGAGGGCCAUGAAGAUGAACCCAAUAAUGGGAAGAGCGCAGCAAGAUCUGUAUGAGUUCAUCUUCGAAAAGUGAAUUAGAGAUGAAGAAGAAGAAGAAGGUGAGGGGGUUUGAGAAUUUGGGUUGGAGGGUUGGGAAGGGUAGUUGGUGUUUAUAUAUUAUUGGGGCAGUGUGGGGUUUGGGGAACGUGGAGGGCAACAGUGGGCAUGUGCUGGUUCGAGGAAGGUGGGUGAGAGUGUGAGAGAGAGAAUCUGAGAAUAGUUUCAGUUUGGUUUUGGUUUCUUUGUGAACAAAGUACGCGGUCUUGACGCGAGCUUUUUUGACUCCGGGUCGGCGGCUAAUGGACUCGGAUUCAGAUUCGGAUUCGGACUCGGACGGCAGUAGAUGUAUGAGAGUGGCCAUGGUUCUUAGCCCGCCAUAUGAGGCUGGAUGGAAGGAUGUAGACAUUGGACCAUAAAAUUGUAUACAUCAACAUAAAAUAAAAUACAAUCUAGAGUGACGUGAAAAUACAACGUCUUCAUGUGUUAUCGGUUUAUAUUAUAGUACCAUAAUUGUCUGUUGAUUCAAUAAUUUAUCAGAACGUUCAUUUUUCGUCACAUUUUAAAAAAAAUAUGAUAAUUUUAAUAAACACAACAUUAUGAUCGACUAAUUUUUUCUUCUUCAUGAACCAUGGAUCAUUUUUUUUUUUCGACAGUAUAAACCAUGGAUCGUUAAAAAUCAAAAUCAUGUAAAUACUUAAAUAGCAAAUACUGUGAUUCGAUGACGAUGUGACUUAUUCAAAGCAACAUGGGUUACAUGGGUCAUUGAGACCAUUAAUCUAACACGUUUUUUCAAGAUUUUGAAGUGUCUUAUUGUUUAAGUGUCCCAUUUGUACUCAAAAGAAGACUUUGUCAUUUAUCCAAAUCAAGAUCCCUAUGCUUGAUAAGCGAGUGCGACACGAGGGCUUCCUUAGUUCCAUACAACUAAGGCAACACAGGAAGGAGUAGGAAGUCUGGGUGAUAAAGAAAGCGCAGGUGUGCAAAUGUAGCAACCUGUGCCAGCAAGGGAGAGAAGAAUCAGAACCCCGUUGAGUUGUCAAAUUAGAAGGUCAAACAGAAGUUGGUGUUGUUAGAUUAGUCUUGAUUCACAUAUGGAAGCCAGGAGGAUUGAGCUAUAAUUCAAGUCCAAAUUGUAUACAUUGUAAUGGAAAAGUCGGUUGUGGUCGACCUUGAUCAGUUGACCGUUACGGUUGGUUUUAUAUAACGUUGAACGCCACCUUCCACAUCAGCCGUAAAAUAUCACAAUAACAUUGUAGCCAAACACAUACAAAGCGUAUGUUACCAACAAUUGUGUGAUUUUGUUAUAUUUAUAUGUUAUCUGUUAGCAAAUAUCAAUGUGGGAGGUGUAUAGUAGUUGUAUCUAUGUAUGAUUUUAGUUUUGCUGAUAGGAAUGUACACGUCUAAAAGAGUUUCACAAUUUAUGUAAGAUAUGGGAGAAAACUAUGUAAUUAGAUAAAUUUUACUUUUAAGUUUUCGUUGAAAUUUUCCUAAACCUUUUGAUAGAUGUAUCAUUCAACCUUCUAUGGGAUUGAUCUCGAUUCUUGGAAAUGCCAGAGUUCAAUCGUUGAACUAAGUUGGUUGCGGAUUAAGUUUUAAAAGAAAAUUUAAAAAAACUAUAAUAUUUUGUAAUGGUGACCACAAUUUGUGAGAGAGUGAGAAUUCUACAAGUAGCUAGGAAACAUAAAAAGUUCACAACUAUCUAUGAAUGUCUAUAUAUAGCCUCUAUGGGAAUUGAUAUCACGUUUAAUGAAAAAAUUGAGCUAAGGAUGAAAUAAUUUUUUUAUUGAUAUGCUUGUGUUAAAUUGAUGAAUGGUAAUCUCAAAACUGUUUUAGCAUUCUCAAUAUUAACCCAUGAUUUUGUUAUCUCCAAUCCAUCAAGGCAUCCUGAAAUGAAAAAAGGCUUGUCAUGUUUGAUGAGGUUAUGGUCGCAAGUCGUUUGUAAACGUGAUCAAAGCCAAACUCUCAAGCAUAAGCAACAGCCUCCUUGAGAGACUAUCCCCAUAUAUCGUCCGCAAUAUGCAAAGCAUGAUCCUUUGCAUUGCCGAUCUCAAACUUGAUUAUACGCAAGCACAAAAAAGAGAAUUUUCAUAUACACAUAAUUUUAAAGAGUGGUUUUAAAUAAAACUCACAUAAUAUUCAUAUCUGAUAGACAUCUAAAAUGUAUCAAUUAUGAUAAAUAUUAUGUCAUAUUUUUUCUAAAUUUUACACAAUUGACACCAUUCAACUAUAACAUAUUAAUAUAAUAAAUAAGCUUAAUUGAUGCUGUCUUAAAUACCUUGAUUAUGAGUUUUUCUUCUAACACUAACAUUUUUCAAUCAAUUCGCAAGAAUCAUGUAGUUUUCUUUAUUUUUAUGAAAAAAUCUAGAUUUAACGAAUUCAUUCUCUAAUCUAUACAUAAGGUAAAAUAUAAUAUGAAUAAGAUAUCUGAUCUAAACCCUAUACCCUAAACUCUAUAGCCUAUACCCUAAACCCUAUACCCUAUACCCUGAACCUAUACCCUAACUCUAUACCCUAAACCUUAUACCUUAACCCUAUACCCUAAACCCAAUUUUGGGUUUCUUUUAUUUAGGUAUAUUAUCAUAUCAUACCCUACUUAAUAUGUACAUUAGAAACGUAAGUAGUAGAGAGUAAAAUGUUCUCUCGAUUAUGAUAGGAAAUGAUAUAAUAAUAUACUUAAAAAGAAUAAAAUUAAUCAAAGAACAAGAACGUGUACCUUACAAUUAGACAUUUUUCGACUAUGUAGAGAGACACUAAAUGUGAGCUUAGGAAUGAAAAGUAUCAUCCUAUUACAAAUGACAUACUUCUGUAUAUAGCAUAUAUAUACACACACUCAAGUUAGUAAUAACAAGUUAAGAAAUUAAAGAAUGUAAUUGAUUAUGACAAAGUUAAAUCCAACUAAAUUUUAGCUAGUAUUUGAGUUUCAAAUUGAUGCUAAAAUUGAUAAAUAUACCAAAUUUAGCUUUUUACUGUCUGAAGAGCAAAUUAGAGAAACCGAAAAAUAAAAAAAAUAUUAAUUAUAGACAUUUGCUCUAUAUGGUAUGUUUGCUUAUGUGGAGUGAGUGUAAAAUAAAAAAAAAUAUGUAUGAGUUUAUCUUAAAAGAGGUAUAGUAUUUUAGGUUUUUAUCUAAUUUUCUCCAAAAUUAAUGUCUCCAGUAACUUUAGAAAACCAAUGAGCUGAUUACAAACUUGCACUGGGAGAGUAAAACAAGAAACUAAUAUGAAGACUGAAGGAUCGAAGAAAUGCUAGAGACGAUUCCACCAUAGCAUCAAAAUCUCAGCAGCACCAGACUAGCUAGCUAGGAGAAGAUAUCAGUCUCACCCGAAAGUGUGUACAGAGUCCCAAACUAUAUAGUUUGGAACUGGACAUUUUACCAUAUUAUUUUUCUACUUUUGCCGAAAAUUCCGAAGUAUUAAGAAAAAAAGGAUGACCACUUAUGCAUGCCAUGCAUGUCUGUCGCUACUUGUGGCUUUGGCCCAGGAAUGACUAUGAAUCUCGUAUGAAAACCAGGGCACCACACAAAAUGCUUCCUAUAAUAAACACAUGCAAAGUAGUUAAAAGCUUGUUGCUUAUGCUUAAUUAGGUCGUGAUCUGACUAGGAACAACAUUAACGACACGGAAAGCAUAAGCCUAACCAAGUGCCGACAAUUUCAUUGCUUUUCUGGGUUCAACAUUUCGCUCAACCCAAUCGAUUAGGUCUUUCUUUCCUAUCAAAUGUUGCAUUUCAAGUCACAUCUAUACACAUCAAUCCCCCCUAUCCCAUAUGAUGAGUCCUAUAUAUGACCUAGUGACAUGCAUAUGAAUCGUGCUACAUCAAACUAGGCAGUUUAAUUUGGGCAGUAAGUCAUCAGAUUAAUUAGAUAUUAACUAUUGAUCAGAGUUUUAAAAAAACUCCUUAGGCUUUGUUACUGUGGAAGACAUGUUUGGAGUGUCUAGACGUCGUCUAAGUAGGUUGUACGGCCUUAUUUUAAAACACUGUAUAUAAUUAAAGUUUAAAAACUCGUUAAAUAUUUUAAAAGUAAAAAUUUAACUUAAAGCGUUUAAACGCCUCUCAAAAAAAUGAGCGGUCUUAUUUGAGAACCCUAGUAUUGAUUCGUAUUACUAUUGACAUACGAAAUUUUAUUAUCAAAACGGAAAUGGAGUAGAUAAUUAAUUUGUGAAGCUAGCUAGCGGUGAGAGAUGAAGAUAUGAUGAACAAUGGUGUCAUUGCCAGUAAGAAAUAGACAAGUGAGCACUCUUUUGAGUCAGAAUCGUCUCCAACUGGCGGAACCAAAGGCAGGUGGCGGAACCAAAGUAGCAUCUAAUCCUCAUUGGGAAUGCUUGGUGGGGUCGAAAUCCCAUUUCCCAAAUGAAAAUUUGUGACUAUGAAUAGCGUCGUUAUUCGAUUUUCUUAGGCUACAAGUGCAGCUAAAGCUUUGGUAUAUGGACAAGUGUAGCUCAAGAUAAACUAAACUGGUCUCAUCAGUCUGAGGAUGAGCCCAUUGUAUUAUAUCGUAACAAAAGCAUCUUUCACAUCGAGGCUAAAAGCAAAGGAAACCUUUCCCUGGAGGAAUCAAUCUUAACCCCAAAGAAACUUCUUUAUAUAUAUGCCAAUUCCAUAGCCAAGCUUUACUUGCCCACCUCUCCUAUAUAUUCCUCUUCUCUCUAUAUUUGUAAUGCUGUAGCAGUGUAGGCUACAGAUUCUUUUCUUUUCUUUUCAGGCCAUUCCUCAUAUCUCAGGUUAACGAGAACCAAGAUUGAACAAGAUCAUUAUCAUGUGUCACCCAGCGGGAGUGUCUUUGGUUGCACACAGAGACUUGGCGGUGCAAAAUCGCCGGUGGCUGCUGCUUCUUCUGCAGGCACGGUUCGACGGUUCAAGGAACUUGCAUGCAGCUGCAGACAGAGGAGUUAGAGAGGCUGCUGCUUCUGGUGGAGGUGGCGGCGGUGGCGGCGGAGCAAGGCGAUGUGUGUGCUCGCCGACAAGGCAUCCGGGGUCGUUCCGGUGCAGGCAACACCAUGCUGAUCAGUAUGUAUGGGGUGGUCGAACUGUGACAAGAAUCAGGUCCAGUAGUACUAGUACUAGCUGAUUAAUAAGCUAGCUUUGGUUUUAUACAAGUGAGCAAAUUUACAAGAUUACGAAGGAGAAAUUGAGAUGUAAAAUAUGGUGAUGUGUGUCUUGCUUACAAGAAUUAGCUCAACUGCUAAAGGUUAAUUGGCUGGAGUAUAUUGAUGUUUUAAACUGCCCUCGUCAUAUUUGGCGCAUUUCUUAGAGGGUGUUGGGAAACAAAGAUCGUCAUAACGACAUAACCAAAUGCUUAUCUAUGCUUGUUGCAGUUUAAUUAGAACUGAGAAAGGUUUAGUGCUGUGAAAUUCUGUUAGUGAUCCUAAGAAGUGGAAAUUUAGUUCCAUCGUUUUGUUAUACCUCCGUAUACAAGAUCAAGUUAAGAACCCAAAUCAGUAAUCGAUCACUUGGUACUUUAUAAAACCAGUUUUUGGGUUGCAAAAGAUAGGAAAAUGACGCUUAGGAUGAUGGUAUAUGAUAAUGAAACUCUGAACGAAAUGCUUUCAAAGGUUUAUAUUAACAAGCAUAUAUCACAUAAAACCGCUGCUAAUGAGGCUCUACUGAUACAAAACAUAAUUUGUCAUCUGAAUGAACAUAAGCUGGUUACAGGGGUUAUAACAAGACCGAUAGAUCGUUGCCUCCAAACUAUUCAACUUUUGUCAGUUUUGAAGAGUUAACUUGGAUUUCACGAAACUGCGCAAAAUUUUUAAGUUAUUUAACAUUUUGACAAAAUACAAUCUAUAGUUAACUUCUAAGGACUAGAGACAUGGUUUAAUUUUCUCGAAUAUCUUAACAAAUCGAUAUUUGUAAACAACUCAGACGUAAAUACUUCAUUCCUAGUGAUACGACACAAGUAUUCUCUAGAAUGUUUCAUAAUAGUUGAUAUAUGCUCAUAAAACACACAAUUGUUAUUCAUCAACAACUAUCAUAGUGUGAUUCUUGUUCAUUUAGAACACAACUCCAAUCAAUACAUUCAUCGUAAUAUAUUCAUACUGUCAAGUAAGAGUGAGGUAAUUGACAAAGUAUGCAAGCACAUAACACUCGUGUUCUGCUUGUCCGAAGGUUAUCCCAAUUGAUAUAUCAAGCCAUGCAACAAACUAAUCACAGCACGAAGCAACCAUCAGCUUCAGGAUCAGGAAAAGUGGAUGCGUUGGUAUAGAAUUCGAAGAUACGAGUAUGCAUGAACUGGAGACUCAAAACAGUUCCUGACGUCCUUGUCGAUCUUGGUCGUUUCAACUUCAAAUUGAAACGGAAUGGCAACACCCCUAGUCUUAUGACUCCCAACCUCAUCAAACUCAGGUGCUUGUCCAUCUGGGCGACUCAUUUCGGGGGCAACAAGGCAGGCUUUCUGACCUCCUAUAUGGAGGAUGUAACUUAUACAUGCGAAAUCAAAUUCCUCAGGCAACAUUGGCAGCUCCAAAUCAACAAUUUGUGUGAUAGAUUCUCGAUUCUCAUCUAAGAACAUAAUAUAAACUCCUAGAGACCACCGUCGACCAUGAUUGUAGGCAAACAUUAUCUUCUUGUUAUUGUUAUGGUCACCAGGGAGGUCCAGGACCAAAGCUCGGUUAACAAAAGGAAAAGGGCCGCUUUCGCACAUGGAAUCGACUCUCCUCCAUUUUCUGUCUGCGUGAGGAACAUCGAAGUAGUAGACAGGACUUCUUCUCUGAGAUAUAAACAUCUUGGUGCCAGUAAUUGCAUAAGCAAAGGGGCCAAAGCAGGAAUGCCGGAGAGAUGGAGGUUCUGGUAGAGCAGACCAAGUCCCCAUUUCGGGAUCGAAUACCUCAAAUGAGGGAGAACCGGAGACAAUCCUAUACGUAAGUGCAUACAGUUUGCCCCCCAUCUCCACCAUCAUUGGAGAAAACUUGCCUUGGAUCAAUUUGGCAUCCAUCUUCCGUAUUACACUUGUAUCACCAGGAGGCUGCUUGUCGGGGUCAGUUUCGAAGACGUAAACAUCUCUAUGCCAAGUAGAGCCGGUGAACCUUGUAACGAAAUGGCCGGCGGGUGUCAGGCCAGCGGCGAAAACAAUCUGGGAGCCCAAUACACCACAGACCCCACAGGAGGGGAGUUCAGCAUCUCCGGCCUUAUAACCGACCUGCUGUAAUUGCAAACUAUCAACCGAAUCUGAUGACAACAGAUCGGACAAUUUGAUGGAACGGACAACAUAGGACACUCGCUUACCCGGGUGGUGUUCGAUGUAACAUGAGAGACUUAUUGGCCUCCGACUCAUUACGCUUCAACUUCUUACUUCUCUUCCUCUUCCUAUCAGCCUUUUCACGGCAGUGCCGAAGCUUAUGCUUAUCAGCCUUAUACGGUGGUUCACGGCAGCCUCUAAGCCGGUGACCAUCGCCGGCUCUGUUGGCUACGUUAAGAGUGUUUUUGGGGGACAUGGAAGUGUUUGAUGCUUUGUGUUGCGCCUUUCUUUGUGUACUUAUAGAGGAAACCUUUCCUCCCAACACAAGAAGUAAUCCAACUACAUAACUGGUCUAAUUUAAUUGGGUUUUCUGUUCCUAGAUGGACUAGGAAACCAGUUAGACUUGCAGGUCUUAGUUUUGACUGAUUCGAACCUUCAUCAGGAAUGUUAAUCGUAUGAUUUAACAAAAUUAUCCUUUAAAAAAAAAAAAAAAAUAAGUUAAUUGAAAAGAUAUACAAUUCGGAUUUACUCAACUAGUUACUGUACCAAGCACACCAGGAUAUUAACCGCAUCAUUGACGAAGUACCUGUUUUUGUUGGUCACUUGAUCACGUUAGUUCUUAAUGAAGAAAGCAAACAACGCCUGGGGGUGGUGGCUUUGUUGUCCAAAUGGUUUCAAUUGACUUGCAUACUUCGCUAACUAUAUACUUCAUGUCAGUAACCCCAAUAAAGGUAGAACAAUUUCUACCAUAUGAAACCAAGUUUGGUUUAUAUACUGUAUCGGAUUCCAAGGAACCGAUAUCACAGUUUUGGGAUCUAAAACAUGCUAAAGAUUAUGAGAUAGCCUACUAAUCCAUGAAUCCAAUCAAUCGUUGGGUUUCUACAGUACUUCAUAAGUUAUAUUAUUGUUCCGAAGUGUCGUGCAUUGUAAACACUAAACAGGAGAUAAGUUACGAGCUGUAAAACAAAACCACUUAAAGAGAUAGGAGAAUUGAGUUACAAGCUGCAAACAUGAUAUAUGAACAUUCAGUGAUGGAUAUAGAAUGAUGAACCAAAGUGAGAUUGAAAAGCUGGAUAUUGUAUGAGAACAACAUGGCUGCGAUCCGUAGUGGAAUUUUUGCGACCAUAGUUUACCAAUCCUAACAUAAAUUAAACUUUGGCAAAAUACUGAAAUUUUCUCAACACGGUGUGGUAUUAUUGGUAAGGAAGCAUCUUUCGUGCUUGUUACCUUUUACUAGUACCAAAUACGACACGAAAAAGACAAAAUAUAGUGCAAGCUUCAGCUUAGUUUAGAAACCCAGAUGAGAUCAUCAAAGCCAAGUCAAAGUUCAAUACCCAAUAGAGUCAAGACACGAAGUACUUGUGGGUCCAAAAGCAUUUCAAAUCGUCGACAGGACGUGGAUACAGUUUUGGGUCCAAAGGCUCUUGCGACGAAAAAUCGUCGAGUCAAUAUUACAUAUUCGUAAACCAACCGAGCUGGCUGGCUGAAGCCCAAAUAUAUUAGAGCCCAACCAAGCUGAAGUCGGUGGAAGACCGUUGGAGAGAACGGUAAUAUAAUUUGAAACUUUUCCAAACCUCCGAAAACCCUCCACUCAUUUUCGCUCUCCAAAUUUCCAAUCUUUCUUUCUUUUCAAUCCCAAGAGAAUCCCACUUGUUUCUUUUCAUUCUCAAAUCCAGAGUUGGAAGAAACCAUAGAAAUCGAAAGGCCCAAAUUUCCAAUCCCAAUUGCAAAAUCAAGAACAGACCCUGAUUUUUCAACCUCUGAGAAACCCUAGAAACAAAUUUCGAGAGAAAGGCCCAAUCUUUUUUCCAAUCUAGGUUUUGCCGAUUUCAAAUUGCGAAUUCGAGAUGGGUAAACGACGUCGCAUCAAGAAGCUCUGUGCUGAACUUGAUGUAGCCGAGGACAAGUUUGGAGAGAAAGAGCCGAUCAGUGAGGAAAUUGAAGAGGGAAGUCAAGAGGCUGAUGAAGAGGUUGGAUCGAAAAGGAAAGAGGGAUCGGCGUAGACGGGAACGGCGUGAACGGAAGAGGUUGAUGGGCGUGAGAGAUUUGCGUGUGCGGGAUGGUCGUGAUUAUGUCCCGCACACGCAAAUCUCUCACGCGCAUCAACCUCUUCUGUUCACGCCGUUCCCCCGUCUACGCCGAUCCCUCUUUUCUUUUCGAUCCAACCUCUUCAUCAGCCUCUUGACUUCCCUCUUCAACUUCCUCACUGAUCGGCUCUUUCUCUCCAACAUGUCCUGGGCUACAUCAAGUUCAGCCCGGAGCUUCUUGAUGCGACGUCGUUUACUAAUCUGGAAUUCGCAAUUUGAAAUCGGCAAAACCUAUAUUGGAAAAAAAAUUUGGGGCUUUCUCUCGAAAUUUGUUUCUAGGGUUUCUCAUAGGUUGAAAAAUCAGGGUCUGUUCUUGAUUUUGCAAUUGGGAUUGCAAACUCUCUGAUCCCGAACUCUCAUUGUAUGUAAGCCGCCUUUUUCUAUUCUGAACUAUUGAAUGAUUUUAUGAAGAAGAUUGCUGAUAAUGAUUGAAGUUUGCAUCCCAUUCCUAUUAACUAUUGGAUCUAUUUUGUCUUUGUUUUGAUACACAGGUUCCAGUUCCAAAACUUGUAUUUCCACAAGUUUCUCCAAAACAGGGAGGACAUCACCGCCUUUCCAGUGCUUGCUGUUCAGAACCUCCGUCGGCUUCAGAAUGUCACUUAUAAGGAGAGGGAGCGCAAAUGGACACAGGCAUACAAAAGUUGGGUACAGGACCACUACCCCGAGGGGGGAAUUGAUUUGGAAACAACCUGUAGUGAGGAGAUUUAUGCUUGGAGGGCCUUCAACUAUAGGUUCUACCGAGAUGACCCAGUAGAUGAGGCUGACCUUGUCAGGACCCUCAUCUCCCACUUCAACGAAUGCAGGGCCAAAGAUAUUCCUGCCUCAGCUACAUUUGACCUCAAGCAGGUCGGGGAGGUGGUUUUCAGCUUGUUUCCAGAUAUCUACACCGAUCUCUUCGACUUCCUGUACGAGUGUAAUGUCUAUCUUGAUUUCUCUGCCUGCCGGACUUACUACAGGUGCGUUCCCCUUUGCUCUAUCUUACCAGUUUGCUUGAGACAAUUUUCCAUAUGAUCUUUUGGUUAGGCUUGCUACUGAUGUGUGAUUCCUUCUUUCUUUCUUUUUGUGCAGGGAUCCUGUUGUUGUUGUUGCUGAUUAAGACUGCAACAGUGGGCAUAACAGUGGGGCUUGUUUGAGGUUGAUUCUAAUGGAGGAGACACUUGACUUAGAGAAGAGGAAAUAGCUGAAGCAGUCAUAGUGGGAGGGUCACCAUUUUUUCUGAUGCCAUCUUCCUGAUGUCAUCUGGUGUGCAAUGCAGGUGCCGCCUUAAUUUUUUUUUGCCUUGCUGGUGAAGUGAUUUCUUUUUUAUAGAGGAAAUAAGUAGGUGGCAUACACCCAAGUUUAAGUGUAAUAGUUGAAGAAAUACAAUGCAGACUUGAGGAAGUUUAUGCUUGUAUCAGUGAUUGAUUGUUGUGCUUCUUGAAUUCUUUUUACCACAUAAUGCAGACUUGAGGAAGUUUGUGUUUGUAUGUUGUGCCUCUUGAGUACUUUUUACCACAUUUUCUGUUAUAAAGGAGGUGAUAUAAAUCAUUCUAUUGAGAAUUAGAAUCGACCUCCAGGGCUUCUAAAUCUAGAAUCGACCUCCAGGGCUUAUAAAUGGCCUUGUAAUGUCAAAGGAUCUGUGUCUAGGUGAGAUAUCUUAUUAGUAAUCAAGCUUGCAGGCAAGGUGAUUUGUUUUCAUGGCAAAAGCCAGCCGGAACAAGUGAACUUUGAGGUUCAGCCGGGGCGGUACUGCCAGACUGAAAUUAGUGUUUUGUCCAAAAUAUUAAUACAAAUGGUCUGAGCAAGAACUGAGGACAUGUGGAUCAGUUUUUAACUCUUUUGUUGGGUUUGUACUUUAAAGCAGUGGUUUAAACUUUAAACUCUGGCAAAGAAUUUUCUUAAAUGUAAUAGUUGUUUAGAAGCUAUAAGCUGCCGGCAGGGAGAAGAGCUUUAGUUCUGGGCAGGUUCUCAAAUUUGCAGAUUUAUAAGGUCCCCCUUUGAAUUACAAGAUACCUUUAAAAGGAAAAUGGAGACGCAACAACUGAGACUAAAGAAAGUGUGAAUUUUUAUAAUCCAAAUGGCUACAGCAGUAAUGAGAGAAGUAUUCCCGAAUUUUUAGCAAUUAGCACAACACCACAAACUGGGAUUACUAAAACAACCCGUCAAAAGAAACUGGGAUUACUAAAACAGGUCAUUCCAUGAGUUGCAAUCACAUAUAGAAGUUAUUACAGUUACAAUGGCAAAAAAAUGACCGAGAAAGGAAUGAACUAAGCAAGCAGGUUUGCGUCCACAUGCUUGCAUUGAAUAGCUUCCACGCUUGUAACAACUUAAUCCAGGUUAAGGUCAUCAGCAACCUCUGGGAUGAUAGCAGUUGGCUCGUUGACCGCUUCCUCGACAGAAAAUUGAAUAGGUACUGCAGGUCUAAGAUAGCUUGUCGGCAAAACUUAGCACACUUUUGCACAACACAUAUUCCGAGCUCCUUAUAUGUCUUAGAAACUUAAACUAGAGGAUCAGCUACCACUUCAGGUACUCCAUUAUCUCCAGAAGCAGAUAGCUGCCAGAUAUAUGUAAUCAAAAUGACAGUGUCUUGCUGUCUUAAAUAUGCAUUUUGAUAAAACAUUUUACAACUUGAUAUAAUAAUAGAAGCAGAUCCUGAUGUGUGCUCUGAAUCAAAAACAUGAACUGUACAGUAUAUGUUUGGCUUUGUUUGUCAACCAAGAUAGUCUAAAUCAUGCACUAGAGCAAAUUCAAAUGGAAAGUCGUGAGUGAACGGAAAAAACAUAAGACUUACAGUUGGUCAAAUAGGAAGAUUAAAAUAGAUUUGGGAUAAGUGCUUUACAACUACAAACAUAUGACUUAUACUAUCAAAUGCAUGAACUGCAAUACUUAGAUUAAUUAAGAUAUUCUAUGAAAGUAUGAAGCUCGCUUUCAAAAAAAGAAGAAGAAGAUAUUCUAUGAAGCAAGAAAGUAUAUUAUAUAUGCACAUACCUCGAGCCUGAGCCUUUACCAAACGGGUAGGAGAUGGCAUUACCAAAGAUCAGUGUUCACUACUACAGUGCUCGCGGUGGCUUCAGCUUCUAUAAGGAUCCCUGAGUCGACUCUGCUUGUUGACCGAAAAGGUGGUGGCUUCUGGAUAUAGCAGGCGUGCAGCUAAGUUAAUAUCAACAUUCUUUGAACCUUGAAGUUCCAUUCACAGAUGCAUAUCCAAUCCCAAAGCAUAUCAACCCUCGGAUCAACCUAAGCUAACUGAAAGCCUAAAACCGCUUUAUUACUUAGACUCCAAAGCCAAGCAACAAAACAAAAAGCCGACAAAGUUUAUUGAUGAAACAAUAUAUAACCUAUGUCCAUGAAGAGAUCAACAGUUUUACCCAACAAGUACAUAUUACUGGUAAACCAGAUCAAAUUUAACAAAAGUCUACAACUAGGACAAUAGUUCAAUUGUAAUAAAUCUCAAUAACUAUCAUAGUCCAAAACUGGGUAAAGCAGUACAGGAGCUUCAUUACCUUCUCUGAUGCCCUAUGAAAACACCAUAAGGCGGAGGCAACAUCUUUCUUGACACAGUCUCCAGUAGGAUACACAACACCCAGAAGGUAUAGAGCGCCUGGAUGCAACUAAAAAGAUACCGAGCUCCUGUUAGACUAUGAAAUACGAUUCUGGAAGCACCAUUAUUUGCCACAUUAUAGUGAAAACCUACCUGAUCAACUGCCUUCUCCAGAUAUGGAAAGCUUGCUGAUCCGACUGGACAUUCUCAUUCUAAAAAAGCACCCGAUUAGGCAACCAUCAUAAAGUAAUAAUAAAAUGAUCAAGUAUGUCAACGGAAAAAGAAAAUGCAACAAACUAUUGCAACAUCCCCAACCAGAAACAAAAGAAUAUCGAUCUAUUAAGGGCAUUUUAUCACAUGAGUCGUCAAAAUUCACACACUGAGACCAAACCCAUAAAACUAAUUAGUUCACAUACAAAUUGUUUGAUAGCUGCAAAAUAUACAAUUCACUUAGUGUAUACCUCAACUCUAAGACGACAAGCGAGUUCAUACUGUGUAUCCGGAUCACCCAUAUUUGCGGCUUCAACUGACAGAGCAGCUCCUCUGUUGUGCAAAAAACAGAAAAAUUAUCAAUCACAUGACAUCUUUUUAUUUGCUUGUAUGCCCCAUGAUGCAACACAUAGUAAUUUUGAGAAUGCAGACCACCAUCAUUAAGAUAAUGAAGAAAAGAGUCUAUAAGACUUCUCAGAAAGUACACUUACAUCGGUUUGCAUGCCUCUGGGACAUGGUAUUUCAAAUGCAAUCCGGACAACCAAUACCUAGCAUGGGUAUUUGAGUUGUCGGUCUCUAGAGCCAACUCAAAGUUUUCUUUGCUGCUUGAUGCGAUCAAAACAAUCGUGUCAGAACAGAGCCUUUUCUUUCUAUCAUCCCAAUUUCAUCAACAAAACCUUAUAUGUACUAUGAUCAGAAGGAAGGAGGAGUAUUGCUCCGGAGCAAUACUCUAUAAAGUAUUUUGCCUCUGAUUUGGAAGCUUAUAUCUCACCCAACAAUCAACCAAGCAAAUUAACUAAUGAUGGAAGUCGACAAAAUCAUGGAUUUUAUCCCAGCAGCCUUCUAUUAAAAACAUGACACUCUUCUCUGUCCUCCCAAAACAAAAUCAAAAAACCAUCGAAAACCCAAAAUUCAAUUUGGUUUCUCUUUGUUUCCCACCUUUCCUCAUAAACCAAAAGCAUGUAAAACACAUACAAACACAUGGACAUCAAAAGGCUCCUUUCAUCUUAAACCUCAUCAAACCUACACUAACAUGUGGGUCAGUUCAGUUCACAAUCUACGUCUUCACAUUACUAAUCAAGACACCAACUUUCACUACUUUUCCAAGUAGAAAGAAAAGUUGUUAAAUACACAGAAUGGCAACAUAAAAUAGAUAAAUUUAACAACUUAUUCCAUUUUCUUUAUACCAUUUCAACACUCUAACUAAAGACUGAUUCAGCUGGUAUUCAACAUUAACUAGAGACAGAGAAUUAUCAGAUUAACUCUAGGAAUUAGCUCUAUCAAAUUCAAGUAAUCAGCCUUAAUACUUGCUAAUAGCCUAUGACCAUAUAAAAAAGACUUAAUGUAAAGGAAUCUGUGAGACUGACAUUCAUAAAAUCCUUAAAGUCAUAUGUUACUCUAAGCAUGUAACAAUAAAGUUAAACCAUGGUACUAACCAAUCAUUACACACCAUGUUCCUCUGACACUUAGGCUUCUAGCAAUGCAGGUUAAAGCCACACGAAACCUCUAACUUUUCAUGGUUUAUAACUCUGUUUCGUCAAAAAUGAAUAAUUAGACCUGUGAUGCAGCAGCUACAACAUUGUAAAAGAAUUCCGCUAUUAGAAGCGUAGGCCAUUGACCCAACUGUAAAACAAAGCACUUUCACAAAUCCACUUACAGAACUCACGAACCCAGGCAAUAGUCAUAUCCCCACCAUCAAACUAAACGGAGGGCCUUACACAGAAUAGAUAAAGUGCAGAAGAUGAAUCAAGUUAAAGUGAUUAGAGCAAAAAGCAACCAAGGGUAAAAGGCGGAAAGGUAGAGUCUGGACGUAUAUGAUAGUCGAAAAUGCGAGGAGGCUGGAAUUGGGCGGUGAAACAAUUCUUCCUGUCCUUGUCGACCAUGGAGAUAUCAAAUUCGAAUUGAAAUGGUAUGGCAGCACCUUGUAUAGUAUAAAUCAUCACAAGCCUAGUUUCUUUAUACUCUUCAUGAGCAGGUUUUCUGAUACGGGUGUUGACAAGGCACAUAUUGUUUCCCCCUAGAUGGAGCAAAUGACAGUCACCCGGCCGUUGAGGGAGCGCAGCAGCUGGCAGAUUCAUCUCCAUUAUUUCACUGAUAUCUUCCUGGUUUUCAUCCAAGGACAUAAGAUGAACUACUAGACUAUUCCGGAAAAAGCCACCAGCUUUAACCGAAAAGAGCAACUUUUUGUUACUGUGUUCUGGCUGCGGCAAGUCCACCACUAGAGCUUGGCCUGUAAACGGGAAAGGGCCGCCUUGGCACAUGCUGGGGACUCUCCUCCAUUCUGGGUCACUGGCCGCAAGGUCAAAGCAGCGAAUUGAAGGGUCCUGUUUAAGGUAGUUGCGGUAGUAGUUUUCUUCGCCCUCUGGCACUGGGCUAGACAUGAACAAUUUGGUUCCGGAUAUUGCAUAAGAGUAGAGGAGGCCAUAAUUAGGAUAUUUUGGCAGACGUGACCAAGUACCCUGUUGGGGGUCAAAUACCUCAAUGAAACGUAAGUGUUAUACUCCUUAAGGGACAGUACAUAGAGUUUGCCGGCAAACUCAGUCAUCAACGGUUUAUGCUUCCCUCCGUUCAAAGCGGGCAUCUUGACUAUUCCUUGGUUGGGGUCAUGGACAUCAAAGGCAUAUGCGUCUGUGGUGGCAAGAGGGCCGAAUGGGAAUCCGAAAACCGGAUCGGAGUUGGGUUUCAAUCCGCUGGCGAAAACAAUCUUGGAGCCCAAAACACCGCAACCCCCUUCAAAUGGGAGAUCAUCGUCGACCAGAUUCGCCACUUGUCUUGAUUCUAAUUUCACCGACGACGACGACGACAGCAAAUCGGAAAGAUUGAUGGAACGAACAACAUAAGAAAACUCCCCAGGCUCAUACCCCGCAGGAGGGAUGGACUUUCUGUGAGUUUCAAAGCUACAAAUGAAUAGAUACUUCUCAUGCUCUUCACCGUAGCUUUCUGGGUUCAACGAUUUUUCGGACAUAGUGUUUCUCUGUUUGCUCUCAAGCUUUGAGUUUGAGGCUUAGGUUUUCGGCUUUUGGCAGUUUAUAUACAAACAUGUUUCUUCUUCAUCACACGGUUGGAUUUACGUUUCCUAAUAACAAUUGGAUCAGAGGUCCUAAUUAUUAUUGGAUUUGGAUUGGAAUCCAGCAGAUAGUUGGGCUCGAACGAAAACUCGGCCCAGUUGCUUUAUAACUAUUCCCCGUCCUUUUUUCUUAAAUUAAUACAUAACGACCGGCUCUACUCUGUAUAUCAUGAAGAGUCAUGGCCUAAGUUUACAGAUAGGUCUAGCUGCAGUUCGGUUGCCAACCCUUUUCAUCUCAACUGAUGUCGACCUAAAGGUAGAUAGUAUACGAAAACUAGAUCGAAGCGGCCAAAAUUUUCAUUUCAUCUUCACAAUUCCUCAACAUCAAAACAAUCUACUUUAUUCCUCAAUUACUAAACGUAGGCAAACCAAAAGCCACAAAGCCAUUAUGAAUUUCCAACCCACAAUCAUACAAAUCGAAUUAAAAAUGAAACUCCCACAUAAUCACACUGAGGUGUACCAGUGCUUGGUCUCUUACUAGGCUUUAUGCAUUUUUCAGGCCUUUAUUGCGAAGAAAUAACCCCUUUUUCUGCAUAUGUAAAAAUAGAAUAGUGUUAGUCCUCUAACUUAUUCUGCCAGUUGAAAUUAAAAUCAUUAUUAAGGAAAAAAAAAACUAUGCUCGUGACAAUCAGACAAUUUUCUUUUUUCGACGCUAGAUAAUACAUUCUUGAACUCAAAUGUUUCAUAAUUUUAAGAAAUUAAAAAUAACAAUCUCUCACAAUCCAAGUAUCUAAGCUAGGUAAAGCUAGGAUCGGUUUGUGUUUUUACCCGGCUUGGCCUUUAUUACUUUAUUCACAACUUUAUUCACACAACAAAAUUUCUUGCUCAUGUGAAAUCAACUUUUCUUGCUCAUUACAUGAUAAUACGCUCUUCACACCUUUAUUGCAUUUGUUGUAUUUGAUUGUUCCAUGAUAUGACUUUUACUUAUACAUAGUCACUCAUAAGUCAGUUAAAAUAAAAUGAAUUGUGUAGAGCUAAUAUAUGUAUAUGAGAUGUUGGAGGCAAUUAAAAAUUAUUCACUGCAUUUAUGAUUAGAGACUUAUCACCAUAUUUGUCUUUCAGCAUAUUCCUUUGGACCUUGAUGUUUCGUUUAUGAUUAGAGACUUAUCACCAUAUUCAUCCUUCAGCAUAUUCCUUUGGACCUUGAUGUUUCGUUUAAAUCAAAUUUGCAGGUUACCAAGACAAUUAGUACGUACUAGGGAUGAGAAUGAGUAACCAUUUAUUUAUGAUGUACUAGGAAAUCAAUGCAAUUGCUCAUUUGCUCUUGCUUAUAUGUGAUGUUGAUCAUUUCUAUUAAAAAAAAAAAGUGAUGUUGAAAGUAAUUACAUGUAAAAGUAACUUAUAACAACUAUCUCUCUCAUACUUGGGACCAAGCCCCAAAAAACACCCUAGUCUGACUACAACAAAUCUAGCCAACAUAUACCUAAGGCUAUGAUCGUUUCGCGGAAUCAAGGCAUAAGGCCAUGUUUGUUUGGAUGCAGUAGGAAAUAAACUGGAAAAGAAAAUGGCGGGACGUGGAUACACUUCUGCUUUACCGACCAAAAAUCGUCGACAGAAGUCAGUCAAUACUACAUUUCGUCGUCUUUUCUUUUGUAAACCAAGCUGCCUCAAGCCCAAAUAUAACAGCCCAACCAAGCUUUUUUCUAGGGUUUUGCUUGCAGACAACUCCUAGAUGAGGUCGCCUCCAGGUGAGCGAAAAAGCUUCAUCUUCCGAUUCUCGACUUCGGCACAGUCAAAGUGCGUGAUGAUAGGACUCAGAUCCUCUCCUCGUAAUUGUCUGCUAAUAUUGCCUCAAAAAUGAAUCUGGACCAUACAAUCGUAAUGGAUGGCCAGGAUUUCUCUAGAAUUUUACAGGGGACCUCAAGAAUUUUACCACCUGCCACGUCAUGGACGAGUGUGACCGUAAAAUGUUAAUAGGGUAAAACGACUCCCAAAUUCAAUUCCUCUCUCUCAAUUUAUCAUCGGCCGCGACGAGAGCUCCAUAGGAUUCGGGGCAAUCGGCUGGGGGUAGUUGCGGAAUUUCCAGUGCUUCAUCUCCGGCGCCGGAAUGCCAAGUGGGUAAGUUGGACUCCUCUUGCUAGUUACUUUACUGUUCAAUUGGUACUGGUAAACUUGGUAGCAGUAGAAGAUAUGCAGUGACUAAUAAUUGGAUACAGUUAGUCUUUGCUCAAUGGAUACAUAGCUCCUAAGAUUGCCAAGUUAGUGAUUGGAGCUAUAGAGCAAAUGGGGACGUGUGUUUCUUUGCUAUUACGUUGAUAUGAUACAUAGGGAGAGCUGGUAGUUCUAGUUAUUGCGUGGAUUGAACACCCUUUUCCGAAUUCAGCUGACGGAUCAUGUUAGUUUUUGUAAGAAAUUCGAAACAGCAAAGAGCAGAAAUUGUAUGUAGAUAUAUGUUCGGGCAGGUAUACCUUUCGUCUCUAAAUUGUAUGCAGAAAUUGUUUGGACUUGGGGAGCAUGGUGAUGCUGUAUCUCGUCAACUGAUUCUUACAAAAGUUUCAGUGGCUGAAAGACGGCCAGAGGACUAUGAAGUAAGCUGAUGAACUUACUAAAACAUAUAUCAUUGGCUUGUUGUCUUAUGCAUGCAUCAUAGAUUACACAUUGAUCAGGAAUCUCGGAAUUGGAUCAUGUUUUGUGAUUGUUGCUGUUGUUGUUAACCACCCGAACUACAGCUAGCACCCCACAACCCUAAAGAAUUAUGUCCUUUUUCCCUUUACCAAAAACUGAUGGAUUUUCUUUGAAUGUUGUUAUUUAAAUUUUUUUGUUCUCGAUGCAUGUUAGAUGUGUAAUGAAUAUAUCAAAGGAAAAGAGUAAAGUUCAAUUCUUUCUUAAAUCCCCUUGUGGUUUUACUUGUACAUAAAUCUGAGUGAUAUUUUGUGGAUUUUUUUCAAAUGUUGAGAAUAGUCACUAUAUGUUUGCAGGCUGUUAUGGUUCGACCCUUAUCUGCAGUAAAUGCCCUUGUUCGGUUUACUGGGGAGCCCCAGAUGUUUGCAAUUGAGUUCAAUGAUGGAUGCCCCAUCCAUGUGAGCACUUGUUACACUUUAACUUUUAAUUUUUGGUUUCUUUCAGGGACAUGCUUCUGAUGUUUGUGAUGUAUCUUGUAGGUAUAUAUACAAGCACCUCUGGUGAUAGCUUACUUGGGGCAGUUCGUGAUUUGUUGCAAACAGAAGUAGGUAGAUGUGUUCUCUUGUGGGUAUUGAAAAAGUUUACCCAGCACGUUUUGCCAUAACUUUCCACUUUAUGCUGUUUGGCUGACAUCUGGUUAUAACUUGUGCAGGGUCAAUAUGCUGUGACUGUGUUACCAAGACUGACGAUGCCUGGCCAUCGCAUUGUUCCACCUUGGGGCAGAGUUAAUUUACAAUUUGAAAUUCAACGGCCUAUUGCAGAUAUGGAGAUCGCAUCCAUGCAUUUGAAGCACUUAGCAGCAGCUGCCAAAGAUGCAGUUGCUGAAGGUGGUUCCGUUCCGGGAUCAAUGCGAUGAAUAAGAGAGUUCAAUGCAUGUAUACCGUAUAAUGGUGUCCCUCCUAACAUAGAAGUACCUGAGGUGACGUUGAUGGCUUUAAUAACAAUGCUUCGGCUACGCCAAAUCUUCCUCCAGAGUCCCCUCCUUUGCCACCCCCUUCUCCUAAAGCAGCUGCAACAGUCAUGGGAUUUAUUGCUUGCUUACGUAGAUUAUUAGCUUCAAGAACUGCUGCUUCACAUGUCAUGUCUUGCUUACUCCGAGAUGGUUCAGAGGGUGUAGCUGCUGAAGCUGCAUUGCAGUUCUUAUUGGUGGUGGCCCUGGGGAUACAAAUAUAUUGACAGAUUCUAAAGGUGAGCAGCAUGCCACAAUCAUGCACACAAAGUCAGUGUUGUUUGCUCAACAAGGUUACGCCAUUAUACUUGCCAAUAGACUGAACCCUGUGUCUGUAUCACCACUAUUAUCAAUGGCUGUUGUUGAGGUUCUUGAGGCAAAAAUAUGUGAUCCACAUGGUGAGACAACACAAUACCCAGUGUAUGUUGAACUAUUACACCAAGUAGCUGGUUUGAAGCGUCGUCUGUUUGCGUUGUUUGGACAUCCUACUGAGAGUGUUCGGAAAACAGUGGCUGUGAUUAUGCGUACAAUUGCUGAAGAAGAUGCAAUUGUAGCAGAGUCCAUGUGUGAUGCUGCAUUGUGUGAUGGUGCUUUCUUGAGGCAUUUAUUGCAUGCAUUUUUCCUUCCAGCUGGUAAGCGACGUGAGGUUAGUCGACAGCUUGUUGCUCUUUGGGCAGAUUCUUAUCAACCCGCUCUAGAUUUAUUGUCUUAGAGUUUUGCCUCCUGGACUUGUUGCUUAUUUGCACACAAAAUCUGAUGGAGUUCUAUCAGAAGAUUCUAAUCAAGAAGUUUCCUUGACCAGUAGAAGACAGAGACGCUUACUUCAACAGAGGUGAGGUUGUACCGAAGUAUGAGCAACGUCCCAGGCCUUGCCUUCUGCAAAAAAUUAUGACGUGAAUGACCCCAUGACACAAACAAGUAGUGAUGUCUCAAAAGUGUCCAAUAACUAUCAAAGAUCUGCAAUGGAUCCAAAUUCUGGACAGGCUUCGACCAUUCAAUUUUCUGGUGCUCAGACUGGUGAAAACUUGACUGGGGAAGUAUCUUCUACUGGGGAUCUACAAAGCAAUUAUACAUCUUCUCUGGCUUCAGCUGAUGCUCAGUCAACAGGUGGUCAUGCUUCAUUGGCAGGAAAUACUGCAAUCUCAACAGAUUCUCAGCAAAUAUCCAAUCUCACAGAAUUCGGGUCUCCCUUCCCCUGCUCAGGUUGUUGUAGAAAACACUCCUGUGGGAUCUGGCAGGCUUCUGCGUAAUUGGCCUGAAUUCUGGCGAGCAUUAGCCUUGAUCAUAAUUGUGCAGAUUUGAUCUAGAAUCAGCGUACCAAGCAAGAGUUAAGGGAGGCCUUGCAGGCUGAGUUUGGCUCACACUGUAUUUUUAUUUUUAUAUGCUCAGCAUUUUAGUAUUUUUAGUGAGCAACUGCUUUUGAAUUUACUGGAAAGCCUUCCACAUUCACAAUCUUUUUUCACUUUUGAAAAAAUAUGAAGUUCCUUUUAGUAAAUCAACACCACCAUAUACAGUUUGAUUGCUGCUACUGCCUUCAAGGAAUGGAUGUGUUUUUGACAAGGAAGGAGCACAGGUUGGUCCUGUUGAAAAGGAUGCCAUAAGAAGAUUUUGGUUCAAGAAGGCAAUUGCUGGGAUGCUAGACCGGAAGAGACCACAUGAUAUUCGUGUUCGAGUUCCUGUUGUAACGCCAGCUCAGGUCAGUUAUAACAAGCGUGGAACUUAAAUCUCAUCUACUAUGUAUUUCAUUUUUCAUUUGCUGUGGUUUUUCUCUGCAUUGUGAGAAUUUUGCCAGUGUCUUGACGGAAGAUUUGAGUUCUAGAUCAGUUUGAUUGAAAGAACCUUAAGUGUUACCGGCAUAUGCUAUCUAAUUUCGGGUGAAUUGAUUCCUUUUUUCUUGGAGAUUACAUAAGAUACUUGAAAAAUAAUACAGAACAAUCAGACGAGGGAAAUAACAUUAUCAUUGACUGAAACAUGAACAAUACAAAUACAGAAUAUAAAUACAGAAAACAGUUUCCAGGAUGCACGAUAGGUUAUGAUCAUCAGCAAUGCACCAAACAAAUUACAGCACAAAGCAACCAUCAGUUCGAGGACAAGCAUAAGUGGAUGGGCUGGUAUAGAAUUCGAAGAUACGAGUAGGCAUGAACUGGAGAGUCAAACAAUUCUUAGUGUCCUUGUCGAUUUUGGUGAUAUCAACUUCAAACUGAAAUGGAAUGACAACACCCCGCGUCUUAUGACUCCCAAUUUCAUCUUCAUAUUCAGGUGCUAGUUCCCCCCGGAGAGUCAUUUCAGGGGAAACAAGGCAGGCUUUCUGGCCUCCUAUAUGGACGAUGUACCAUAUGUUUGCAAAUUCAAAUUCCUCAGGCAACAUUGGCAGCUUCAAAUCAGCAAUUCGAGUGAUAGACUCUUGAUUUUCAUCCAAGCACAUAAUAUAAACUACUAGAUACCAACGAUCAUUCGUGUAACCAAACAUUAUCUUCCUGUUAUUGUUAUGGUCACCAGGGAGGUCCAGGACCAGAGCUCUGUUAACAAAAGGAAAAGGGCCGCGUUCGCACAUGGAACGGACUAACCUCCAUUCUCUGUCUGGGUGAGCUACAUCGAAGCAAUAUACAGGAAAUCUACCCUGAGACACAAACAUCUUGGUGCCAGUUAUUGCAUAAGACAAGGGGCAAUUGCGCUGAUACGGACCAUCUCGUCGGAAGAAUGGAGGCUGUGGCAGAGCAGACCAAGUCCCCAUUUCGGGAUCGAAUACCUCAAAUGCGGGAUCCGAGACCCGCUCAUACGAAAGUGCAUACAGUUUGCCUCCCACCUCUAUCAUCACAGGAAAAUACUUGGCUUGAAGCAAUUGGGCAUCCAUCUUCUGGAUUACAGAGCUGCUAUCACCAGGAGGCUGCUUGUCGGGGUCAGUUUCGAAGACGUAAACAUCUCUUUGCCAAGUAUGGUUUGGAUCGGACCAGAGGGGGGGCCUCUUGCCGCCGGCGAAAACCAUUUGGGAGCCCACCACACCGCAACUUAUAAAACCGGGGAGUUCGUCCCCGGUCUUAUAAGCGACCUGCCGUAAUUGCAAAUUAUCAACCGAAUCCGACGACAACAGAUCGGACAAUUUGAUGGAACGGACAACAUAAGUGAUCCGGUCUCCGUCUCUAGCGUCGUGUUCUUCGUCGAAACAAAUGUACAGUGUCUUGUUAUCCUCCGACUCAUUUAGCUUCAACUUCUUACUCCUCUUCUUCUUCUUCUUCUUGUCCUUCUUCUUCUUCUUCUUCUUGUCAGACUUAAGCGGUGGUUGACGGCGGUGACCACCAUCAUCGGUGGCUUUGUUGGCUUUUAGGUUAAGAGUGUUUUUGGGAGACAUGAACUCCAAACAGUUCAGUUUGCUUUCGGUGUUGUUGGGCCCGUUCUUUGUUUAUUUAUAGGGAGGAAGCCUUGUUUCCCUGUCUCGCUGGGUAUUGGACUUUACUCCUUCUCUGGUUAGAAAUAGGAUCCACAACUGGGCCUAAUCUGAUCAUGAGCCAGCCCAACUCCACUCCACAAGUCGUUUUGAGGCUAUAAUUAGAUUCGACCUGGAAUGGUAUGAAUCGGAGGGUGAAGCAAUAUUUUUUGUCCUUGUCCAGCUUAGUGUAUCAACUUCAAACUGGAAUGGUAUGGCAACCCCCAAUUUCUUAUGAGACCCGAGCUCCAAUUCGUAUCCUCCUUCAUCAUCACAGGGGAGCUCCAAUUCGGGGAUAACAAUGCAGGCUUUCCGACCUCCUAUGUGGACAAAUCACAGCUUGUUGCUUCACCCAAUUCAUAAGGCAACCGCGGCAGCUUCAAGUCACCGAUCCUUGUGAUAGACUCUUGUUUUUCUCACAAUGACAUGACAUAAACUCCUAGACACCAACGAUCGUGACUAUAGGCGAACACUAUCUUCUUGUCAGGCUGCGGCAGGUCCAGGACCAAAGACUUAUCAGCAAAUGGGAAAGGGUCGCCUUGACACAUUGUAGGGACUAGUCUCCAUUCUCUAUCCGGGUGCAGGCAUUGUAUCCAAGUACAUCGAUGUGAUCAACACUGUGUCAAGGUCAAUCCGUGUGCAGGCAUUAUAUGGAUCAACUGCUACUUUGCCUUCGACCGCGAUUGCCCUUAUGGAGGAUACAAAAUGAGUGGAUUUAAAAGAGACUGUGGUAUGCAGGGCCUCCACAAGUACAUGCAUACUAAAUCUGUGGUCACUCCAGAAUCCUUUACCAAAGGAAUGUUAAUAGUCAGUAAUUUCAGUGCAGAGUAAAUUAUUGUGUUGAAGUUCUUUGUUUAUUUAUGUGGGAAAUGUCAAAAAGAUUGUAUUUGUUGUUGCGGUAUACAAAUCUCUAUUUUAUCGAUCGACACCUGCAAAGGAUCAUUGUUAGAUAUGGAAAUACCUGUAUAUAUAUCUGCCAGAGAGUAAUUCACUUGGGACAUUAAUUUGUAGGCUUCUUGCAGUGUCAUUUCAUCAAAACAUGUCACGGACAGAAACACAUAUUGCCGAAUGAAAUCAGAAUCAAUUAUGGAAGGUGAAGUGAUGUGUAAGACUUAAUAUCUACAUCUAAGGAACACAUAUUAAGUGUAAUAACUUGCCGGUUCUUCCUCUUCUCCAUCUCCUCAUGCAUGCUCAGACCAUUUGUAUCUACAGUUUUGGCGAUAGCAGUAGGUAAUUUCAGUCCGGCAGCAUCGGCCGAACCGCUAAGGUUCACUUGUUGAAAUCACCUUGCUUGCAAGCUUGACUUGGAACAGGAUAUCAGACUUGGCUAAUUGCGCCAAUGCUCAGUAUAGACAGCGAGAUACAGAUCUUUUAACAUUACACGGCCAACUUUGAGCUACACUGGAAAGAGACAUCAUCGUUCCUCUAGAUUUAGAGGCCCUGGAUGUCGAAUCUAAUUAUAGCCUCAAACUUUGAACCCUAUGAUUUUAUUUAUCACCUCCUUUAUAACAGAAGAUGUGGUAAAAAGAACUCACAAAGCACAACAAUCAAUAUCACUAAUACAACCAUAGACUUCUUCAAGUCUGCAUUAUUUUUCUCCAACUAUUACAUUUAAACUUGGGUGCAUGUACUUGUUUUUUCUAUCUAUGAAAAGAAAAUUAAAGAGCCAUACAUAUUGCUUGAUGUAAGAAGGCACUUGCACUGCACACCAGAUGGCAUCAGGAGAACUGGUGACCCUCACUGUUGACUGCUUCUGCUAGUCCCUCUUCUUUAAGUCAGUCUGCUCCGUUUAGCUGAUCAGGAAUAUGAAUAAAAUCAACCACUGUAUACGAAAGCCUUCAAAGUUCCGAUCAACCUCAAAUAGGUCCACUGUUAAAUAUCUGUAAGAUAGACAACCAUAUUGUGCAUUAGAUAUAGCCUUAGAUAUACAAACUACCUGACAGCGCAUAAGACUUGAAAAAUCAGGCGAGGGAAAUAACGUUAUCAUUGACUGAAACAUGUAUCCGUUAAGGAGCGCAAACAAUACAAAUACUGAAUUUAAAUACAGAAAAGAAAGAGAGAAAGAAAACAAAAAACAGUUUCCAGGAUGCACGAUAGUCAAUCAACACAUUAUGAUCAUCAGCAAUGCAACAAACUGGUUACAGCACAAAGCAACCAUGAGCUCGAGGACUAGGAAAAGUGGAUGGGUUGGUACAGAAUUCGAAGAUGCGAGUAGGCAUGAACUGGAGAGUCAAACAAUUCUUGGCGUCCUUGUCGAUCUUGGUGAUAUCAACUUCAAAUCGAAACGGAAUGGCAACACCCCUUGUCUUAUGACUCCCAACUUGAUUAAAUUUAGGUAAUUGUUCCUCUGGGGGACACAUUGAGGGGGCAACGAGGCAGGCUUUCUGACCUCCUAUAUGGAGGAGGAAACAUCUCUUUGCAAAUUUAAACUCCUCAGGCAACCUUGGCAGCUUCAAGUCAGCAAUUUGUGUGAGAGAUUCUCGAUUUUUAUCCAAAAACAUAAUAUAAGCUCCUAGAUUCCAACAACGAGUACCGCCAUAGGCAAACAUUAACUUCUUGUUAUUGUUGUUGUCACCGGGGAGGUCCAGGACCAGAGCUCCGCUAACAAAAGGGAAAGGGCCGCGUUGGCACAUGGAAUGGACUAACCUCCAUUCUCUGCGAGGGUGAGCUACGUCGAAGCAGAAGACAGGACAUCUACUCUGAGACACAAACAUCUUGGUGCCAGUAACUGCAUAGGACAAGGUGCCACCGCGGUGAUACUGACCAUUUUGUUGGAAGAAUGGAGGCUCCGGUAAAGCAGACCAAGUCCCUAUUGUGGGAUCGAAAACCUCGAAGGAGGGAGGAUCAGAUACCGUAUCAUACGAAAGUGCAUACAGUUUGCCACCCAACUCCACCAUCACGGGAACAUGUUUGCCUUGAACCAAUUUGGCAUCCAUCUUCUGAAUCACAGAAGUAUCACUAGGCUGCUUGUUGGGUCAGUUUCAUAGACAUAGACAUCUCUAUGCCAAACAGGGUUGGGGAGGCGUGCAGCGAAAAGGCGGGCGGCAGGUGUGACGCCGGCGGCGAAAACGAUUUGGGAGCCCAACACACCGCAACCCACAAGAGAGGGGAGUUCUUCAUCCCCAUCCCCGGCGGCCUUGUAAGCUACCUGCUGUAAUUGCAAACCAUCAACCGAAUCUGAUGACAACAAAUCGGACAAUUUGAUGGAACGAACAACGUAAGAGACGCGCCUUUCAGGGUGGUAUUCGAUGUGGCAUAUGUACAGAGACUUAUUAGCCUCCGACUCUUUCAACUUCAACUUCUUACUUCUCUUCUUCUUCGCCUUACGCGGUGGUUCACGGCAGCGUCUAAGCCGGUGACCAUCGUUGAGUGUGUUUUUGGGAGACAUGGUUAGUUGGUUUAGCGCUCUCUCUUUAAUUUGUGUAUUUAUACUUUUAUAGGGAGGAACCCCAACCUCCCGAUCUCGCUGGGUUUUGGAUUUCCUCUUUGAAAUAGGAUUCAUAAAUGGGCCUUAUCUGGUUACGAGGUCGAACUCAUUAUUCCUCAUCUCACACCAAAAUUAUCGCACCCCGAGUUUGGGCUUGACAAAUUUAAAAUGAGCCAUGUGAUCCGGCACACAGAUUGUUUUAUUUAUUUUGCCUUUUCCAAUCUGUAUAUAUUAAGCGAAACGGGGGGAUUACUGUUCACGGAACAGUGUCUUCGCCCCUUAAGAUGGAGCCACGUACAGCUACAAUCGAAGGCCCAAAACCCACCACGUAUAUGUCAACUUUACGUUUGUUUUCCCUGGUUUCUCACUUCCAGCUUUCCACCAUCUCUUUUUCUCUCGAUUCUACCCGAACAACUCAAGAAAAGUUUGGGCUGUUGCAAAAGUUCCUCUCUCUGCAAAAGUUUUUCGUUCUGCAAAAGUUCUUCUCUCUGGAAAACUCACUCAGUUGGUGUGUUGGACUUUUGGGUUUUCUCCUUCAUCUCUCUGCAAAAGUUCUUCUCCGGCCAUAUCCAUAUUUGGUUUUUGGUGUAGUCUCAUUUUAGCUUUGGGAUAUAACCACGCACGUGCGAAGCGCGGGUGUCAAAGCUAGUAUUUAUUAUUUUAAGACCCAUGCCAUGAAUGAUUCAAACGAGAUAUCUGAUAAUUUCCAACAAGCUGUUUUUUGAAAGGGUAGGAGCUUUCAAGAUACCAAAUGUUAUAACAAAAUGGGAAAAUUGUCCAAACAUUGUCUUACUUUUUAGAGAAGCAAAACUUUUAGAGAAACAAAACUUUGAUAUCUCAUCUUCAGAAAACUUCAAAACAGUAUCUCAUGUUCUUACCUCGACUGAAGUUUGGUAUCUAGAACCGUUAGCUCCGUUAAAAAAAUUGAUGACAACCAUUUUUAUUCUUAAAGUGACCAAUUUACUCUGAGUUUUUAUUUUUGUUAUCAUUUUAUUAUAAUAAAAAAAAAUUCGUCAUACUGAUACCUCAUCUUUUCUUCAUUAUAAAUUUUGGUACUUCAUGGCUGCUUAAGAUAGACAACCAUAUUGUGCAUUAGAUAUACAAACUACCUGACAGCGCAUAAGAUACUUGAAAAUUCAGGCGAGGGAAAUAACGUUAUCAUUGACUGAAACAUGUAUCCGUUAAGGAGCACAAACAGUACCAAUACUGAAUAAAACAAACAUAUUACAGCACAAAGCAACCAUCAGCUCGAGGACUAGGAAAAGUGGAUGGGUUGGUACAGAAUUCGAAGAUACGAGUAGGCAUGAACUGAAGAGUCAAACAAUUCUUGGCGUCCUUGUCGAUCUUGGUGAUAUCAACUUCAAAUCGAAACGGAAUGGCAACACCCUUGUCUUAUGACUCCCAACCUGAGUAUGAUAUUUAGGUACUCGUUCUUCUGGGAGAUUCAUUUCAGGGGCAACAAGGCAGGCUUUCUGACCUCCUAUAUGGAGGAUGUACCCUCUUUUUGCAGAUUCAAAUUCCUCAGGCAACAUUGGCAGCUUCAAAUCAGCAAUUCGAGUGAUAGAUUCAUGAUUUUCAUCCAAGAACAUAAUAUAAACUCCUAGAUACCAACGACCAAAACCGUAGGCAAACAUUAUCUUCUUGUUAUCGUCACCAGGCAGGUCCAGGACCAGAGCUCUGCCCUUAAAAGGAAAAGGGCCGCGUUGGCACAUGGAACGGACUAACCUCCAUUCUCUGUGAGGGUGAGCUACAUCGAAGCAGCAGACAGGACCUGUUAUCUGAGACAUAAACAUCUUGGUGCCAGUAACUGCAUAAGACAAGGGGGAAUGACGAAUUCGCUCCAAGAAUGGAGGCUGUGGCAGAGCAGACCAAGUCCCCAUUUCGGGAUCGAAUACCUCAAAUGAGGGAGGAUCCGAGAUCGGCUUAUACGAAAGUGCAUACAGUUUGCCUCCCACCUCCAUCAUCGUAGGAAGAUACUUGGCUUGGAGCAAUUUGGCAUCCAUCUUCCGGAUUACACUAGGAGGCUGCUUGUCGGGCUCAGUUUCGAAGACAUACACAUCUCUAUGCCAAGUAGGGUUUGGAUGGGAAACGAAGAUGGGUUUUAUGCCGCCGGCGAAAACAAUUUGGGAGCCCAACACACCGCAACCCACAAAACCGGGGAGUUCAUCAUCUCCGGCCUUAUAACCGACCUGCCGUAAUUGCAAAUGAUCAACCGAAUCCGACGACAACAAAUCGGACAGUUUGAUGGAACGGACAACAUAAGAAACCCGAUCUCCAGGGUGGCGUUCGAUGUGACAUAUGUACAGUGAUUUAUUGGCCUCCGACUCCUUCAGCUUCAACUUCAACUUCUUACUUCUCUUCUUCUUCUUCUUCUUCUUCUUGUCAGACUUACGCGGCGGUGAUUCACGGCAGCGUCGAAGCCGGUGACCACCAUCGCUGGCUUUGUUGAGUGUGGUUUUGGGAGACAUGGAACACCAAACUGUUUCCUUUCGGUGUUGUUGGCCCCUUUUCUUGUCAAUUUAUAGGGAGGAAGCCUUAUCUCCCUGGGUAUUGGACUCUACUCCUUCUCUGGUUCGAAAUAGGAUCCAUAACUGGGCCUAAUCUGAUGAUGAGCGGGCCAACUGAGGUAGCCCAUGUUUACAUCACAUUGACAUACAUGUUCAGCUAGCUAUCCUUCAUUUUCAAUAACCAAAAAAAAGGUAAAACAAUUUCAACCAUACAAAAUGAAGUUUGAUUUAUAUACAAUGAUUGUUGAAUACAUGAUGAAUUUGUUUCAAUGAUCAUUUUAUGGUCCUAAAGCUAUAGAUUGCACAACCAAUCACUUCACCAGUAUAGUACAUGCUCACUCUCUAAAAGUUGUUAAAACUCUAAUUCAGCUUUUAACACCUCUUGAUUUCAACCUCUUCACUGCGAGAAGUAAAAAAACCAUGCGUUAGUCAUCACAAUGUACACAGACUGUUUCUUCAAUGUAAAAAGAAAAUGUCACGAUUCAAGGACAUAUGGCAAACAAUGUCGUACCGAUAAAAAUAGAUAGCACACAGCUCAACUUUGUUAAUGCUUGAAAUCAUAUUCUGCUAAAUAACAUAACCUCCUUAUAAGGUGCGAUCUAAGGGUUGAAUUGCUCAUAGUCUAUUUUUGUGAUUUGCUCAAGAUGCCAGAUAACAUACCAUAUAACAGAGUACUGCCCGUCUUCCUUAUUUAUUCUUUAAUAAAGGGUCAUCCUUGAGACCAGAUGAAUUGACACGUCACUACAGGGAACUGGUGCAAUCCUAGCUCCCCUAUGAUGACAACUUACCCUAUCCCGUAACGGGGUAAAACUAUAACAAGAAACCUAAAGUCCGACCAGCCGUAGGACCAUACUAAACUUGAGACUAUUCACAGUUAAAGAUGAGAAGUAAACUAUCAAUCAUUCAUGCUCAGGACUGACUACAGAAGAGAAAAGAGCUCACCCUAUGGAUGCAAUAGACAGAGGAAAGGAUAUAGAGUAGAAAUCAACAUCUCAUACGAAAUCUACAAAGAAUUUAUUGAAUUCCAAAUUAACCACAAGAAAAGAAAGUAAAGACAAUCCUCACCUCAGGGUAACAAUCUUGACGAACAACUGUCUGAUCGUUUGUAUUCACAUACACCUCACACGAAGCUCUUCCCUGAUCAACAGUAAUGACCACAGUUAGAUAAUAUCAAAAUGAAGAAGUAAUAAACCACACCACAAUCACAAUCACAAUCACAAUCACAUCACAAACCAACUCAUCUCACCCUUACAUUUCACAUACAUUAGAUGUCAACUUAUCAGUUCGUGCUUCUACUUGUUCUAUUGUUUUUCGAUAAACAUCACACUUCCAUAGCCACAGCUAUACAUUCAUACAUGAGAAACCAUAUCAACUAGUUUUACUUUUUCUCUUUCACCAUUUCGUAUUAGCUUAGAAAGACAAUCGAAUCACCAACUCGAAUGCAGCUAAGCAAACAAAUUAUAGCACAACCAAAAGUUCACAUAUAACCAAAAUGCUUCACAAACCAAAACAGUAUCAAACCAAAAGCUUAUUUAUUAAUUGAGCUAUGAGCAGGUUUACCUUGAUCGGAAUUCUGAAGAAGAAUAGCCCAACGGUUCCAUCCACCACGGAAUCAGUAUCAAACGGAAUCUCACCCCUAGCCAAAUCCUCCAGCAAGUAAAACACGUCGUGAAUCACCUCCAGCCCAUCCACCACGAGCGUGGCGUUCACGUACGACGAGCCUCUCGCCCUCACGCGCCCGCCGUCGGAGCUCACAAACCCUAGCUCUCUCCCCCGGUACCCGAUUUUGACCACCAGCGAGUCGUACUCCAGAGAGAAGAAGUCGCGGUUACGCACCUUGAUGGUCAGCGAGAACGACGCGUCCAGAGUGAGCUUCGGCGACGAGUGCACUCCGACGUGGUUGAGCUGGAUCCGGGCGAGGCUGAGGGCCGGGUCGGACGGGAAGAGGAAAAACACGGCGGCGGAGAUGAAGAGGAACGCGGCGGUGGUGGAGACGCAGAGGCGGAAACGACGUCGUUCGAGGUAGUCGUCGCGAUAAGGGCGGUAGUGAGUUAAAACGACGACGUGUUGUUGGGGUUGGCCCGAAUCGGGGUUGGCCGGAAUCGGCGCGUAGAAUGCAGACUCGCCUUUCGAGCUCUUCAUGUUUUUCUUGGCGAGUCGUUUAAACGAUUUUGUCCAAAAGCUACGGCAUUUUAUACGUUUUUUAGAGUCUAAGGCGUGUGACGUGGCGAUAUUUUGGGUUGGUUCAUAGAGGCCCAAAACACGAGUUCUAAUUCAACUCUCUAAGGUAAAAUAGUCUGAAUUACCCCCAUGAGUUAUUUACGGAUAUGUGUUCCGAGUAGAGGUGGCAAACGGGCUGUUUAGCACGGGCACGACACGUUUAAAAGCGGCCCGGCACGGCUCAAGCCCGUUAACGGCCCGGCACAACCCGGCCCAAACAUAUUAUUCUAAUGGGUUGGGCUGGGCCCAGAAAAAUGAGCCCAUGGGCCCGGCCCGGCCCAAGCACGAUAAUAUGAGGCCCACAUCCCGGCCCGCUAUAAAAUAUAUAUAUUUUUUCCAUUUUUAAUAUAAAGAUAACAUAUUUAUAAAUAAUAAACUUAGUUUUGAGUGUGGACAAUAUACUUAUAUACUAAUAAUUAUUUAUUUGAGUAUGAAUUUGCAUUUCCUUAGACUCAUAAGAAGUUUUUGCCUAAAAAUUUAUUAAUUGUGAACAAUAAACAUUUAUCACUUAUUUCUUUAGUUUGUUAACAAAGAAAAAAAUGAUCAAUAGAUUGAGUGAAUUAAUUUUGGUUUGUAAUCGUAUCAUGUAUAAUCACAACUUUUAAUUAUGGUGGUGACUACUAUUUUCAAUUUUUAACUAUAGGACAUUCACCUCGAUCAUUUUCAAUUUUCGACACGAAACGGGCUUGACACGGCCCGUUCAUGGGCUCGGGCCGGCCCGGCCCAAGCACGGCCCAUCACGUUAUGGGCUUGGGUCGUGGGUCAGGCUGGGCCUUACAUUUGAGUAAAUGGGCCGGCCCGAGCCCGAGCCCUUUAAGAAGUAUCCCAUUGUGGGCCGGCCCAAGCACGGCUCGAAACCUGAUUAGAUGGGCCUGCCAGUUUGCCACCUCUAGUUUCGAGUUCCGACAUAUCGAACGAGUAUCGGAUCGUAUCCUGCUGUAUUAUGCCGUAUUCGAGUACAAAUUCUGAGGUAUAGUUUGGUAUUACUGUGACUUUAAAAAAAAAAAUCUGAUUAUGCUAUACAGCGAAAAUAAUUAGCUGUGAAUUAAAAUGAUUUUGUGUUUGGUAAAUAUUAGUUUUAAAAUUGCUACAAAAUCAAAAUAUAUUAAUUUCUAGUGUUUUUACGACAGCUGCUUCUAAAAUUAACCUUCAGGUUGUUUCUAAAAGCUGCUGCUAGUGACCUGUAAAAACUGUUUUUCUUUGAUUUACUAAACACUAUAAAAUUUAAAAGUUAGGAUAGAAACUGAUUUUUUUUUUAAAUAAAACUAUACCAAACGGGGCCCGAAUCCACAAAGCCGGAAAUGACGGUAAAUUGCCUGAAACGGCCCGAUACGUCCGGAUAUGUAUUUAUAAAUAAUAAAAUACGUGGGGGCAGUUUAGAUUAUACGUACUGGUGUUAGCAUCGGUUGCGAAAUCUGGGCCGUUGAGCUAGAUCACCCGCCACGGAUAUAAAAGGCCUCCAAAAAUCCCCAAAUUCGAAACCCUAGCUUUUCACAGUGUUGCCCAGAAAAUCUGAGUGUAGUGCGGCGAUGGAGAAAGGCGAGGCGGAGGAGAAAAGGCCGAUUUUCAGAGAUAUAAGGCGGUAUUAUUGCGAGUACUGCGGAAUUUGUAGAUCCAAGAAGACUCUGAUUGCUUCUCAUAAAUUAGCUCAGCACAAGGUUUGGUUUUUUGGAGCUGAUUAAAGUUUUGAUUUUUAUGAAUUGGGUGUUUGAUUUUGAAGGAGAUAGGGUUUUGCGUCUAGAUUAGAUUUUGAAAUUGAGUUGUUUCUGGAUUUGGAUCUGGGAAUUGGGAUUUAAAGUUGGGUUCUUUGUUUUUGUAGGAUGAGAUGGAAUUGGCAAAGGGUGAUGAAGUGGAGGUGGAUAAGUCUAAUACAUGUGAAGAAUGUGGUGCCAGUUUCAAGAAGCCUGCGUAUCUGAAGCAACAUAUGUUAAGCCAUUCCCUUGAGGUAUUGUGUUGAAUUUUGAUUGUCUAUAUGGUUUCAUGAGAAUUGGGUGUUACUAUCAGUUGGGUGUUACUCUUCUUGUGUGAAAGUUUUCGAGGAAAAGUAUCGGAUUGGCAGUGAAAUCAGUGGCAUCUUGUAUGAGAGUCUGAUGAUUGAUUUCGAAAGAGCUGAGAUUAUAGUAGUGUGUUUUGUUGUUGAAGUUUUAGUAUGUUUUGCAUUGAUUGAAGAUAAGAGUUUUUGCAGGAAUCAGCUUGUUUAAGAACUAUACCGUUUGGAUCGCGUGAAGCAUUGGAUCCCACCAAAGAACUCCAAAAUGCGAGAGGGUAUGAACUUGAAUGGACCAGUACCAGGGGGGAGACCUCCUGUGAAGCUCCGUCAAGUGAUCCUCAAUCACGCAGUGUUAGUAUUAAGGUUUGAAUGCUUGUUCAUGUACUUAGUAAACUGUGGUUGUCUGUUUGUGAUUUUCUUUUGUUUGUUGUACUUUUUUUUUCUGUAUUUGUUGCAACAAUUGAAGAUGUAAAUUUUGCAGGAAUUAGAACUUCUGAAAAGUAUUGUUUUGACGGCGUGAAGCAUUGGAUCCCAAACAAAGAACUCCAAAAUGCAAGAGGGUUCAGCUUGAGUGGACUAGUACCAGGGGGGAGACCUCCUGUGAAGCUCCAUCAAGUGACCCUCAAUCACACUGUACAGCUCCAGAUUUAAAUGCUUUUUCAUGCCAACGUUUAAGUUAUGGUUUUUCGUUCAUGAAUUCACUUCAGCUCGUUCUUUACAGAGGCCAUAUGUUUGCACAAUCGAUGAUUGUCGUUCUACUUAUAGAAGAAAGGACCAUUUGAACCGUCAUCUUCUUCAGCACCAAGGAAAAAUCUUUAAGUGUCCAAUUGAGAACUGCAAGAGUGAAUUUGCUUUUCAAGGUAACGUGAAGAGGCAUGUUGUAGAAUUUCACAGUGAGGAUUGCCCUUCUACUGGCGUUGAAGGUCAGAAGCAGCAUGUGUGCCAGGAACCUGGUUGUGGAAAGGUGUUCCAAUUUGCUUCGAAGCUGCGGAAACAUGAGGAUUCUCAUGGUAGGUGUUAUUUCUGAAUUCUAUCUCUUUUAGGUUCCAUUGUCUAUGGAAUCUCUUUUUGUCUGUGGUUGUUGAAUAUGGUAAGGUGACCUAUAUAAUAAACUGAUAGUCUCAAAUGAGGAGUUGUGGUGUUGCUCAGAGUUUUUUUGUAUGUUAAUGCUAACGCUGUCUCUAUUUCUGCAGUUAAGCUGGACUCAGUGGAGGCAUUCUGCUCUGAACCGGAUUGUAUGAAAUAUUUUUCUAAUAAGCAAUGCCUUCAGGAGCAUAUUCAGUCCUGCCACACUCAUAUCGCUUGCGAGAUAUGUGGGAAGAAGGUGUGGAAAAAGAACAUCAGAAGCCAUCUCUCUACUCAUGAAGAGGGAGCCUCUUCAUUGGAAAUUAAAUGUGAAUAUGAGGGUUGUCUUCACACAUUUACUAAAGUGAGUUGCUAAGAAGACUGUGAAACUAUUUACACGUUGAUAUGCUUGAUUUGACAAGCCUUGUUUGGUUUCUUAUGUUUCGUUGUUAUAUUUGCAGAAAUCAAAUCUUCUCCGGCAUGUGAAGGCUGUACACCUCCAACAGAAACCUUACGCGUGUAGCUUCUCAGGCUGUGGCAAGACAUUCUCAUACAAGCAUGUCAGAGAUAAGCACGAGAAUUCUGGAUGUCAUGUAUACGCCUAUGUGAGUGCCAUGUUCUUGGAGCAUUCAAUACCUCUUCUGCUGGAUUCUACAUAUUUUUUAUGGAUAACACAGUUGCAGACAAUCCCCCAUUAUGAAUCUCAUGUAUGUCAUCUGUUGGUUAUUGCUUUGAAUUGCAGGGGGAUUUUGAAGAGGCUGAUGAGCAAUUCCGGUCAAGGCCAAGGGGUGGGUGUAAGAGGAUAUGUCCUACAGUGGAAAUGCUUGUGCGUAAAAGGGUUACUCCACCAGAUCAAUUUGGCCCAGAGACAGAGUUCCUCUCCCAGUUAUUCUCGCAAGAAGAAGAUGAGCGCUGAGGCGUGCUCUAGUAGAGUUAAUAACCAUGGAAGUUGGGUAUUUUGAAUCUGCAAACUAGAUAUGUAUAGCUGCCUUUUGUAAUUAUUUAGAGAGUGGAUGACAGGACUUAUCCUGGGUUCUGUAAUCUUCUGAAAAUCUGUGGUUGGUUCGGCCAAUUCAUAAUACAAGCCAGCGAAGUUUUGACACAUCUCCUUUUGCCUACCGUGUCAAGUUAGUCUCAUAUCUUCAAUCCAGAGAGAAAUAAAGCUGCACAAUUAUAAAUGAGUAGCAAAUCCUCUUUGCUGUCAUCAACCUCGUAUCGAGACAAAUAACAGUCUCUUGUCAACUACAGCCUACUCGAAAAAACCUUGCAAAGUCAGUAGGCAAUGCUCAAGAAUAACUCGUGACAGUUCACCAUCACCAUUGUAGAAGAAGGGAUCUCAUCACCAAAGCUACUCAUGACAGCUCCAAGCAAAGAUUAUAUCAGAUGUAAAAAGAACAGGAACUACGCACAAGCCGAAGAGAUACACCAAUGAUUCUAUUAGGCAGUUUUUGAAACACUGAUUUGAAGAAAGAAAAAGUAAAGUUAACGAACUAUCCUAGAACUAGAAAAUACAGUACACAAAUAUUCAACUAAAUCAUAUAAAUCCAAGGAAGCAUGACUAUGGAUGGACUGUGACACAAAUGGAAGCUGUAUGUAUCAGCACGUAACUAUGGAUCCCGACCAUGGAAUAGUAUGAAAGAUUGUUUCUAAUUUUUCUUUUGGGGCCAAUGCCUUGUGGCUACUGAUCAUCCCCACUAAAUAUCAGGGUUUUCUAUCAUUACAAGCUAUAUGCCUUCUGGCCUUACAAAACUCAUCCCAAAUACUCCAUUAUAGUCCAGAGAAAAUAGAAUUACAAGAAAAAGGAAAGACAAUAGCCAAUAUUUGUCUCUAAUUAAUACUAAAAUUUGAGGUUUAUUAAUAAAGAUCGAAGAGCUAACAGUAAUAGAACAAUAGUGAUAACACUGUUUACAUUAUUCAUGAAACUGAAUACAUUGUUCAUGAGCUAUAGCGUGUAAAUAUAUCAGACACACAUGAAACGGCUUAACUGAUGAACAAACACAGAAACUCUAUAUCUGUAUCUAUUUGGCUUAUACAAUUUAUAUAGAAGGGUGCUAAUGAUGGAGAGGAAUAGCAAGUAAUCAACACCAACUUUCUUGCAAUCAAAGUACUUCAACCUGUUGAUCUUAAUUGUUUAAGUAGAGUGAUCAAGUACUGAUGUGGGAGAAGUCUGCGAGUUAUUGGCUGCAGGCAUGGACUUUGAGCGCUUCAUCCAAGCUGAGGAUGAGCGGGAACGAUGAAACCGGCACCGGAAUGAGCCUUGAUGUGUUGUUGGUGAGCACAAGCACUGCCCUCCUGAUGAUCCUUUAGGUGAUGGUGCUUCUGCAGUGUUGCCACUUUUCGGAGAAUUGAUUGACACACUCAUUUUAUUGUUACCAUGCUCGUGGGAUGCCAUGUUUAUCUCUAAUGAAUUGAGAAGAGAAGAAGAGAAGUAUGAGCCAGGAGAAGCUUUACUGUGGUGCAGUACUUAUUGGCAAGGCUAGCGUGGU
rnacentral:lncRNA from 1 species